rnacentral:lncRNA from 1 species
AUCAGUAGUGGCGCCUUGGCGCGCAGGUGUCCGGCUUGAAGGAGAGCGGGCCGGCGGCGUACACGACGUUCUCGUACCCCUCGCCGGACCACCGCUUGCCCUCGUGGCGGAGCGGCGCACCCUCGAUGCCGUAGUUGACGUUGGUGAGGUCGUCGCACUUGCGGUCCGGUGACGCGAGCAGGCGCACGAAGCAGGCCUUAGCGGGGUCCCCCAUGUAGUAGUCAGCCUUCUCGGCGACGUCGAACUCGGCGAGGAAGUAGCCCUUGCCGUCGGCGACGGGCGUCCGCGACACCAUGACGCGGUUCUUGGCGUCGCGGCAGGUGACCAUCACCUUCGCCCCCGGCAGCGGCGUCGCGCCGUCCAGGCACCAGGAGUUCUGGUGUGUGCAGCUCUGGCAGUACACCACGCCCUCCACCUUCAGCAUCACCUUGUCGCACUUGGCAGCCGGUGCCGGCGAGGGGGUCUGGCUAUAGCCGUGGGCGCUGGCGCCGGUGGCGGCGAGGAGGGACACGAGGACGAUGGCGAGGGGGAGGUAGGCCGCCAUUGCUGGAAGCGAAGACUGGCACUCCGUACGUGCGUGCUCAAUCGAUGGAGAUGGUCGCAGCUGGCUUUGGUUGUGUGUGGAAACGGCGGGAGGCGUCGGGUUCAUAUAUAGACGCGGUAAGGUGGCCAGGUGAGGGGUUACGGAGAGUAUUAAAAUGGUGUAGACGUGCGGCCAUGUAGGUGACCGGCCGGCAGGCCGGCAACGGCCAACGUGAGGGCCAGUUUGUCUCUCAGAUUGUCGGUCUUGGAACAAUUAAUGGAGAGAUUACGUUAAUACAAAAUCAUUGCACACGAUCGGAUGAUUAGUGUGUCAGUGUGUGGCGUUCGAUCGGCAGCAAAGAUUUCAGAUUGCGUGCGUGAUGAUCCCUUUGUUUUCAAUUGAGAUUUCGAUGUGUUAUUAAAUGGGUAUGAUUAAGGAAUAUACAAAGGAUGUAGGCAAAUCGAACACCAUGGAGGCAUCGUAUCAAGGAACAAACAACAACUCGUGGUACGGUAGCCAGGAGGCAUGAUGCACCCAGCAUAAACUCAUUUUUUUAAAGGAGAAAGACCCCCAGCCUGUGCAUCGAUGGAUGAAGUCAUUUUAUUAAUUAUUCAUGAGGAUCUUACAAAGUAAUACGUUAGUGCGUCUGAAGCCAUCAUCUUGACAACAUAUGCCACUACUCCUAUCCUUGAUGAAGGUGUGCCGAUAAUCCGAACCAAAUACCAAACAGACUUCGCAUCAUAACCUAACAUCUAAAACCGAAGGCCCCAACCGAACCACAGUGUCUGGUCUGGAAAGCACACCAGUCUGACGCACUCUCAGAAGUCGUCGUCAUCGUCUUCCACCGAUCUAUCUUCAGACCUUACCGAUGCAUCGAGCUUGCCAAGCCUACCAGCCGUCGACGCCACCACGAUGUCAGACAACGGUAGCAUCGUGCGCUUGCCUAUCAUCACACGCCCACCGUCGAGACCUCGCUGCUUCAUGCGGCCGAGACACGUUGUUGUUCACGUGCCAGAUGCCACGCCGCUCAUCCAAUACGAACACCACCUAUUGUCACUGGGCCCCGUCCCCUCAACCUGCGGUUUCUCUAACUGAGCACUUGAAUGCCCCAGGGGGCGCCUCCAAGAAAAACACGACACAUACAGUGUCGUCGACGCCCAAUCUGAGAAGAUUUAUUUUUUGUGGAUAACUCACACAAGUUAUUAAAAUAUUUUUACCGUAAUUAUAAAUUAGAUGAACUGUCACAAAAGUCCUUCACUCUAAGAAAACAUCACAAAAUAGUACUAUCAUUUUAGAACUCGUAUCCCGGUUUCGGUGCUAGUACGUAAUAUGUUGCAUAUUGUUUGUUUGAUUUCAUGCUUAGUGGGGUGGCACACUUUUAAUUGAUUAGGCUUUAAGCUUUGGUGGCGUGAUAAAGUUAUUUUAAUUCUCUAUUUUUAAAUAGCUAUAAUCCACUAGCUAAUUUUUAUUUUCAUGCAACAAUGACACAUUAUCAAAUUAUACAUGGAGUCAUAAGUUAAACAAGCCCGACGGGAGGAGUUUGGCUAUUCGUCUACCGAACAUUUAAUAUAGAGAGUACCAUUACAUUAUCAUUGCACAAGGCAUGUUCACUAUUCACCAUGAACUGAACCUCUUCUAAUUUCUCCAUGACAUGAAACAUUAUUUACUUUCGAUGUAAUUAUUAUUUAAUUUUAUGUUAUUUACUUGCAACUCUUAAUCAUGUUCCAUUCUGUUACGCGAUUAUUCUUCCAUCAUCGCUAUCAUAACCCUUUCACGUACGAAAUUAGACAAUUCACUUGAGAUUAGUGACUGCUCGAGUGCGAAGAAACGCUCACAAUGAUGCUCUCAUGUGCUCUUUGUUGAGAACGAUAUACAAACUGGGAUAAUACUUCCAUAAAAGUGUGCUUCAACCAGUCAUGUCCACUUGUAGGACAUCAAUUAUUAUUUAAAACAAAUCUAACAAAAGGUAAAAUAUUGAAAAUAGACUCGAUGAUUAUAUCCACCAUAAUGCUAAAUGUGAACUAAGAAAAAAUCAUGAAAAAAGUCGCUUCAUAUCUUUUUAGGCAAAAAAAAGUUGCUUCACAUGUCAAAACAUAAAAUGGACUUGGCCAAAUACCGCACCAACAAACUAAAUAGUGGGCUUCAUGUAAUCCCUAGUCAGAAGUCAUACUUAGUCGUCUAGAUGCAGUUAGGCAAUCGAAUCAAACACGGCCUAUUAUUAUUUAUAAAAUAAUAUUUGGCCCAUGUUUGUGAGAUUUCUUUCUUUGUAAUUUGUUGGGGAACAUAGUAAUUUUAAGAAAUUUCCUAUGUCACACAAGGAUCUACUAUGGAGAAACCAGCAACGAGCAAAGGGGUAGAGCAUCUUCAUACCUUUGAAGAUCGCUAAGCGGAAGUGUUGCUAGAACGCGGUUGAUGGAGUCGUACUCGCAGCGAUUCAAAUCGCGGUGGAUUCCGAUCUAUGCACCGAACAACGGUGCCUCCGCGUUCAACACACGUGCAGCCCAGUGACGUCUCCAACGAUUUGAUCCAACGAGGAGGGAGGAGGGGUUGAGGGUGAGAUCCAGCAGCACGGCGGCGUGGUGACGGUGGAGCUACGUGGCACUCCGACAGGGCUUCGCCAAGCAGUACGGAGGAGGAGGAGGAGUAGGGCUGCGCCGAAAGAGAGACAAGUUGUGUCUCAAAACAACCCCAAACCCUCCACUAUAUAUAGGAGGAGAGGGAGGAGGGUGCCCACCCUUAGGGUUUCCACCCUAAGGGGUGCCGCAGCCCUAGAUGGGCAAGGGGGCGGCGUCCAAGGGGUGGAGGAGGUGGCGCCCUAGGGUGGGCUAGCCCACCACGCCUAGGGUUAGCCCACCACCCUCUCUCAUGUGCCUUAGGCUGAUGGUGGUGGCGCACCAGCCCACUUAUGGGUUGGUGCCCAUCCACUUUUGGCCCAUGUACCCCUUCGGGGCUGGUGGCCCUUCCCGGUGGACCCCGGAACCCUUCCGGUGGUCCCGGUAUAUUACCGGUGACGCCCGAAACACUUUCGGCGAUCAAAUCCUCACUUCCUAUAUAUGAAUCUUUACCUUCGGACCAUUCCGAAGCUCCUCGUGACAUCCGGGAUCUCAUCCAAGACUCUGAACAACCUUCGGUAACCACAUACACUAUUCCCAUAUAACCCUUGCGUCAUGGAACCUUAAGUGUGUAGACCCUACGGGUUCGGGAAGUAUGAAGACAUGACUGAGACACCUCUCCAGUCAAUAAUCAACAACGGGGUCUGGAUAUCCAUGUUGGUUCCCACAUGUUCCACGAUGAUCUCAUCGGAUGAACCACGAUGUCGGGGAUUCAAUCAAUCUCGUAUGCAAUUCCCUUUGUCUACCGGUAUGAUACUUACCCGAGAUUUGAUCGUCUGUAUCCCUAUACCUUGUUCAAUCUCGUUACCGACAAGUCUCUUUACUCGUUCUGUAACACAUCAUCCCGUGACUAACUCUUUAGUCACACUGAGCUCAAUAUGAUGAUGGAUUACCGAGUGGGCCCAGAGAUACCUCUCCGUCACACGGAGUGACAAAUCCUAGUCUUGAUUCGUACAACCCAACAAACACUUUCCGAGAUACCCAUACUGCACCUUUAUAAUCACCCAGUUACGUUGUGACGUUUGAUACACACAAAGUACUCCUAUGGUAUCCGGGAGUUGCACAAUCUCAUGGUCUAACGAAAUGAUACUUGGCAUUAGAAAAGCUUUAGUAGACGAACAACAAGAUCUAUAGCUAUGCUUAGGAUUGGGUCUUGUCCAUCACAUCAUUCCCCAAUGAUGUGAUCCCGUUAUCAACGACAUCCAAUGUCCAUGAUCAAGAAACCAUGAUCAUCUAUUGAUCAACGAGCUAGCCAACUAGAGGCUCACUAGGGACACAUUGUGAUAUAUAUAUUCACAUAUGUAUUACGGUUUCCGGUUAAUACAAUUAUAGCAUAAAUAAUAGACAAUUAUCAUGAACUAGGAGAUAUAUUAAUAACCACUUUAUUAUUGCCUCUAGGGCAUAUUUCCAACAGUCUCCCACUUGCACUAGAGUCAAUAAUCUAGUUACAUUGUGAUGAAUCGAACACCCAUAGAGUUUUGGUGUUGAUCAUGUUUUUCUCGUGAACGGUUGUGCGACAUUCAAAUCCGUGUGUACUUUACAAAUAUCUAUAUCUCCAUCCUGGAUGUAUCCACGAAUGGAGUUGAAGUGGCACUUGAUAUGUUUGGUCUUCUUGUGAAACCUGGGUUCCUUUGCAAUGGCAAUAGCUCCAGUGUUGUCACAAAACAGAGUCAUCGGGCCCGACGCACUUGAAAUCACUCCUAGGUCGGUGAUGAAAUCCUUCAUCCAAACUCCUUCUUGUGCUGCUUCCGGAGCAGCUGUGUACUCCGCUUCACAUGUAUAUGCCACCACGAUGCUUUGCUUGCAACUGCACCAGCUUACUGCCCCAUUAUUCAGAAUGUACACGUAUCCGGUUUGUGACUUGGAGUCAUCCGGAUCUGUGUCGAAGCUAGCAUCGACGUAACCCUUUACGACGAGCUCUUCGGCACCUCCAUAAACGAGAAACAUAUCUUUAGUCCUUUUGAGGUACUUAAGGAUGUUCUUGACCGCUCUCCAGUGAUCCACUCAUGGAUCACUCUGGUACCUCCCUACCAAACUUAUGGCAAGGUUCACAUUAGGUAUGGUACACAACAUUGCAUACAUGAUAGAGCCUAUGGCUGAAGCAUAGGAGACGGUACUCAUCUUUUCUCUAUCUUCCGCCGUGGUCGGUCAUUGAGUCACACCCAACCUCACAUCUUGUAAUACAGGCAAGAAUCCCUUCUUAGCCUUCUCCAUAGUGAACUUCUUCAAUAUCUUCUCAAGGUAAGUGCUUUGUGAAAGACCAAUGAGGCGUCUCGAUCUAUCCCUAUAGAUCUUGAUGCCUAAUAUGUAAGCAGCUUCUCCACGGUCCUUCAUUGAAAAACUCUUAUUCAAAUAGGCCGUUAUGCUUUACAAUAGUUCUAUAUCAUUUCCCAUCAACAAUAUGUCAUCUACAUAUAAUAUGAGAAAUGCUACAGAGCUCCAUCAUACGUCUCCAACAUAUCUAUAAUUUUUGUUGGUUCCAUGCUAUUAUCUUGUCAAACUUUGGAUGUUUUGUAUGUCUUUUAUAUAUUUUUUGGGACUAACUUAUUAACUCAGUGCCAAGUGUUAGUUCCUGUUUUUUCCGUGUUUUGACCCUUUUCAGAGGAGAAUAUUAAACGGAGUCCAAACGGAAUAAAACCUCUGAAAAGAUUUUUUUUUUUCGGAACAGAAGAUACGCAGGGAACUUGAGAACCAAGGCAAAGGACCCCGGGGGAGGUCACAAGCCCCUAGGCGCGGCCUGGGGGGCCAUGCCUAGCAGGCUUGUGGGCCCCCUGUGGCUCCUCUGCCCUACUUCUUCCUCCUGUAAAUCCCCGAAAAAUCCAAAACCACGGGAGAGAGCCACGAAAAUACUUUUCCGCUGUCGCAAGCUUCUGUCUCCGCAAAAUCCCAUCUGGGGCACGUUCUAGUGCCCUGCCGGAGGGGGGAUUCGGACACGGAGGGCUUCUUCAUCAACACCAUUGCCUCUCCGAUGAUGCGUGAGUAGUUCACCAUAGACCUUCGGGUCCUUAGCUAGUAGCUAGAUGGCUUCUUCUCUCUCUUGGAUCUUCAAUACAAAGUUCUCCAUGAUCUUCAUGGAGAUCUAUCCGAUGUAAUCUUCUUUUGCGGUGUGUUUGUCGAGAUCCGAUGAAUUGUGGAUUUAUGAUCAGAUUAUCUAUAAAUAUUAUUUGAGUUUCUUCUGAUCUCUUAGAUGCAUGAUUUCAUAUCCUUGUAAUUCUCUUCGAGUUGUGGGUUUUGUUUGGCCAACUUGAUCUAUGAUUCUUGCAAUGGGAGAAGUGCUUGGUUUUGGGUUCACACCGUGCGGUGACCUCACCCAGUGACAGAAGGGGUAGCGAGGCACGCAUCGUGUUGUUGCCAUCAAGGGUAAAAAGAUGGGGUUUAUAUCUAUUGCACGAAUUUAUCCCUCUACAUCAUGUCAUCUUGCUUAAGGUGUUACUCUGUUUGUAUGAACUCAAUACACUAGAUGCAUGCCAGAUAGCUGUCGAUGUGUGGNGCCACGAAAAUACUUUUCCGCUGUCGCAAGCUUCNGUCUCCGCAAAAUCCCAUCUGGGGCACGUUCUAGUGCCCUGCCGAGGGGGGAUUCGGACACGGAGGGCUUCUUCAUCAACACCAUUGCCUCUCCGAUGAUGCGUGAGUAGUUCACCAUAGACCUUCGGGUCCUUAGCUAGUAGCUAGAUGGCUUCUUCUCUCUCUUGGAUCUUCAAUACAAAGUUCUCCAUGAUCUUCAUGGAGAUCUAUCCGAUGUAAUCUUCUUUUGCGGUGUGUUUGUCGAGAUCCGAUGAAUUGUGGAUUUAUGAUCAGAUUAUCUAUAAAUAUUAUUUGAGUUUCUUCUGAUCUCUUAGAUGCAUGAUUUCAUAUCCUUGUAAUUCUCUUCGAGUUGUGGGUUUUGUUUGGCCAACUUGAUCUAUGAUUCUUGCAAUGGGAGAAGUGCUUGGUUUUGGGUUCACACCGUGCGGUGACCUCACCCAGUGACAGAAGGGGUAGCGAGGCACGCAUCGUGUUGUUGCCAUCAAGGGUAAAAAGAUGGGGUUUAUAUCUAUUGCACGAAUUUAUCCCUCUACAUCAUGUCAUCUUGCUUAAGGUGUUACUCUGUUUGUUAUGAACUCAAUACACUAGAUGCAUGCCAGAUAGCUGUCGAUGUGUGGAGUAAUAGUAGUAGAUGCAGAAAGUAUCGGGCUACUUGUCUCGGACGUGAUGCCUAUAUGUAUGAUCAUUGCCUUAGAUAUCGUCAUGACUUUGCGCGGUUCUAUCAAUUGCUCGACAGUAAUUCAUUCACCCACCGUAAUAUUUGCUAUCAUGAGAGAAGCCUCUAGUGAACACUAUGGCCCCCGGGUCUACUUCACAUCAUAUUUUCAGCCCUACACUUUUACUUUGUUGCACUUUCCGCCUUCAGAUCUCACCUUGCAAUCAAUCGUGAAGGGAUUGACAACCCCUUUGUAGCGUUGGGUGCAAGUUUGCUCUUUUUGCGCAGGUACGGUGGAGACUUGGCUUGAUACUCCUACUGGAUUGAUACCUUGGUUCUCAAACUGAGGGAAAUACUUACUGCUACUGUGCUGCAUCACCCUUUCCUCUUCAAGGGAAAAACCAACGCAAGCUCAAGAGGUAGCAAGAAGAAUUUCUGGUGCCGUUGCGGGGGAGCAUCAAGUGAAGCUUAUCCAAGUAACCGUCGCAAACUCAUCUCUUGCAUUUACUUUUUUGCCUCUCGUUUUCCUCUCCUCCACUUCUGAAAAACAAAAAUUUACAAAAAUAUUUGCCUUUUUCAUUUGCCCUUUUCUUUCGCUUGCUUUCUGUUCGCUUGUGUGCUUAUCUGCUUGCUGAAGUCACCAUGACUGAAAACACCAAACUUUGUGACUUCUUGAAUACUAAUAAUAAUGAUUUUAUUAGUACUCCGAUUGCUCCUGCCACUAGUGCGGAAUCAUAUGAAACCAAUGCUGCUUUGCUGAAUCUUGUUAUGAAAGAGAAAUUCUCCGGCCUUCCUAGUGAAGAUGUCGCAUCCCAUCUUAAUACCUUCAUUGAGUUAUGCGAUAUGCAAAAGAAGAAAGAUGUGGAUAAUGAUGUGACUAAAUUGAAGCUAUUUCUGUUCUCAUUGCGAGAUCGAGCAAAAACUUGGUUUUCAUCUUUGCCCAAAAAUAGUAUUGAUUCUUGGAACAAGUGCAAACAUGCUUAUAUAUCCAAGUAUUUUCCACCGGCUAAGAUUACCUCUCUCCGUAAUGAUAUCAUGAAUUUUAAGCAACUAGAUCAUGAACAUUUUGCACAAUCUUGGGAGAGAAUUAAAUUGAUGAUUAGAAAUUGUCCCGCUCAUGGCUUGAGUCUUUGGAUGAUUAUACAAAUCUUCUAUGUUGGUUUGAAUUUUUCUUCUAGAAAUAUUUUGGACUCCGCCUCCGGUGGAACUUUCAUGGAAAUCACAUUAGGAGAAGCCACAAAACUCCUAGACAAUAUCAUGACAAACUAUUCUCAGUGGCACACUGAAAGGUCACCUACUAGUAAAAAAGUACAUGCUAUAGAAGAAAUUAACUCGUUGAGUGCUAAGAUGGAUGAGUUAAUGAAAUUGUUUGCUAGUAAAGGUGCUCCUUUAGAUCCAAAUUAUAUGCUCUUGUCUUCCUUGAUUGAGAGUAGCAAUGAAAGCUUGGAUGUUAAUUUUGUUGGUAGGAAUAAUUUUGGCAACAACAAUGCUUUUAGAGGAAACUAUAUUCCUAGGCCUUUUCCUAGUAAUCACUCUAAUAACUUUGGCAACUCCUACAACAAUGCUCAUGGAAAUUACAAUAAAUUACCCUCUGAUCUAGAGAGUAAUAUUAAAAAGUUUAUCAACUCACAAAAGAUUUUCAAUGCGUCCAUAGAAGAAAAACUACUCAAAAUUGAUGAUUUGGCUAGGAGCGUUGAUAGAAUGUCUCUUGAUAUUGAUGCCUUGAAAGUUAGAUGUGCUCCUCCCAAGAUCAAUAUGGAUGAAACUUUGAAAGCUAUGCAUGUUUCCAUGAAUGAGAGUAAAGAAAGAACCGCCCAAAUUCGUGCUAGACAUGAAUGGCUUAAAAAGGCGUGUUCUCGUGAUGAGAAUCGCGAAGAUCAUAAAGUGCUUGGUGUGACUCCCAUUGAAUCCUUGUUUUCUAGUAUCAAACCUAAUGAUGAUGCGGCUGGAUAUGAAUCCACUUUGGUUGAAAAACGCCUCAAUGAUUCGGAGUCCAUCUAUCUUGAUGCUGAAAGCAUUGAAAGUGGAGUAGAGGAUAUCAAAACUUUGAGUAGUAAUGAAACUACUACUUUGGAUUUCAAGGAAUUCAAUUAUGAUAGUUGCUCUUUGAUUGAAUGUAUUUCCUUGAUGCAAUCCAUGCUAAACUCUCCACACGCUUAUAGCCAAAACAAGGCCUUUACCGAUCAUAUCGUCGAUGCUAUGAUGAAAUCUCUUGAAGAGAAACUUGAAUUGGAAGUUUCUAUUCCUAGAAAACUUCAUGAUGAGUGAGAACCUACUAUCAAAAUCAAGAUCGAAAACUAUGAAUGCAAUGCUUUGUGUGAUUUGGGUGCUGGUGUUUCCGUGAUUCCAAAGCCUUUAUGUGAUGUUCUAGGCUUCAAUGAGAUUGAUGAGUGCUCUCUUAAUUUACAUCUUGCAGGUUCUACUGUUAAGAAACCCAUGGGAAGGAUCAAUGAUGUUCUUAUUAUUGGAAAUAGGAACUAUGUACUCAUGGAUUUCAUUGUGCUUGAUAUUGAUUGCAAUCCGACAUGUCCCAUCAUUCUUAGUAGACCUUUCCUAAGGACUAUUGGUGUUGUCAUUGAUAUGAAGGAAGGGAAUAUUAGAUUUCAAUUUCCAUUAAAGAAGGGCAUGGAACAUUUUCCUAGAAAGAAAAUAAGAUUGCCUUAUGAAUCCAUGAUGAGGGCUACUUAUGGUUUGAGCACCAAAGACGACGAUACGUGAUUCUAUCGCCUUAUGCCUAGCUAAGGGCGUUAAACAAUAACGCUUGUUGGGAGGCAACCCAAUGAAUUUAUCUUUGAUUUUUGCUUUCUGUUUUGUUGCGUCCACACCAUCAUAAUUCUGUUAUGAUUGUGUUUUUUGUGUUUCUUUUUGUGUUUGAGCCAAGUAAAACCUUUACGACUAGUUUUGGUGAUGGUUGUUUGAUCAUGCUGGAAAAAGACAGAAACUUUUCGCUCACGAAAUUAUUUUUCAUUUUUAUCCAGAAAGAGAUUUUGAGUUGAUUCUUUUUUCUUCUGGUUGAUAUGCCAAUUUCCCAAAUUUUCGUAAUUUUCCAGAAUUGUUGAGAUACCAGAAGUAUACGAAGUAUACAUAUUGCUACGGACUGGUCUGUUUUUGACAGAUUCUGUUUUUGUUGUGUUGAUUGCUUAUUUUGAUGAAACUAUGGAUAGUAUCGGGGGGUAAUAGCCAUGGAAAAGUGAUAAUACAGUAAUAUAACACCAAUAAAAAUAGAAAUCAAGUUUUAUACAGUAUCUAAAGAGGUGGUAGUUUGUUUUCUUGUGCUAAUGAUAUCAUGAGUUUCUGUUUAAGUUUUGUGUUGUGAAGUUUUCAAGUUUUGGGUGAUGUUCUCAUGGACAAAGGGAUAAAGAGUGGAAAGAGCUCAAGCUUGGGGAUGACCAAGGCAUCCCAAGCCAAUUUCAAGGACACCAAAAAGCCUAUGCUUGGGGAUGCCCCGGGAAGGCAUCCCCUCUUUCGUCUUCAAUCCAUCGGUAACAUUACUUGGAGCUAUAUUUUUAUUCACCACAUGAUAUGUGUUUUGCUUGGAGAGUCGUGUAUCAUAGGAGUCUUUUCUUUUUGUUGUGUCACAAUCAUCCUUGUUGCACACCUUUUGAGAGAGACAUGCACUCAUCGUGAAUUUGCUAGAAUACUCAUUGAGCUUCGCUUAUAUCUUUUGAGUUAGGCAAUUUAGCUCACAUGUGCUUCACUUAUAUCUUUUGAGCUAGAUAACUUUGCUUUGUGUGCUCCACUUAGAUCUUUUAGAGCACGACGGUGUCAUAUUUUGGAGAAAUAAGAACUCUCGAUCUUCACUUAUAUCUUUUUGAGAGUGCUCUCUCUGAGUAACUUGGUAGUUGGCUUGUGCUAUGAAAGUAGUCCUAAAGAUGAUAGGCGUCCAAAGAGGAUACAAUAAAGCUUCCAUAUUCUUGUGCAUUGAUUAUAAAGAGAAGUCUGAUUCCUCUAAAUUAGUUUUGAGACAUGGAUUUGGUAAUAUUAGGAGACAUGUUAGUAGGGUGUUGUGAAUCUAGAAAUACUUGUGUUGAAGUUAGUGAUUCCCGUAACAUGCACGUAUGGUGAACCGCUAUGUUAGGAAGUCGGAGCAUAAUUGAUUUAUUGAUUGUCAUCCUUUGUGUUGCGGUCGGGAUCGCGCGAUGGUUAACACGUACCAACCCUUCCCCUAGGAGUAUGCGUUUAGCACUUUGUUUCGAUUACUAAUAACAACUUUCGCAAUAAGUAUGUGAGUUUUUCAUGACUAAUGUGAGUCCAUGGUAUAGAUGCACUUUCACCUUCCACCAUUGCUAGCCUCUCUAGUGCCGUGCAACUUUCGCCGGUACACAAAACCACCAUAGACCUUCCUCAAAACAGCCACCAUACCUACCUACUAUGGCAUUUUCAUAGCCAUUCCGAGAUAUAUUGCCAUGCAACUCCCACCGUUUCGUCUCAUGACUUGUGUCGUCACUUUCAUAUUGACAUUGUAUGAUCGUAAGAUAGCUAGCGAGUCAUACCUGAGCUAGAUCGUUGCACAUCCCGGUACACUGUCGGAGGCAUUUCCUAUAAGAGUCAUCAUUGUUCUAAGCAUUGAGCUGCGAGUAAAUAAAAGUGUGAUGAUCAUCAUUAUUAGAGCAUUGUCCCAUAUGAGGAAAUAAAAAAAAGUAUGCCAAAGUUGCCCACACAAAAAAUAUAUGGAAAGAGGUCAAAGAGCCCAAACAAAAAAAAGAGAAAAAGAGAGAAUGGACAAUGCUACUAUAUUUUUUCCACACUUGUGCUUUAUAAUAGCACCAUGUUCUUCACGAUUGAGAGUCUCUUGUUUUGUCACCACCAUAUACUAGUGGGAAUCUUCAUUAUGUAACUUGGCUUGUAUAUUCCAAUGAUGGGCUUCCUCAAAAUUGCCCUAGGUCUUCGUGAGCAAGCAAGUUAGAUGCACACCCACUAGCUCUCCUUUUGAGCUUUCACACACUUAUAGUGUUGGAAUUAUGCCCUAGAGGCAAUAAUAAAUAUAGUUAUUGUUAUAAUUCCUGUAUCAAGAUAAUCGUUUAUUAUCCAUGCUAUAACUGUAUUGAAUGAAGACUCAUUUACAUGUGUGGAUACAUAGACAAAACACUGUCCCUAGCAAGCCUCUAGUUGGCUAGCCAGUUGAUCAACGAUAGUCAGUGUCUUCUGAUUAUGAACAAGGUGUUGUUGCUUGAUAACUGGAUCACAUCAUUAGGAGAAUCACGUGAUGGACUAGACCCAAACUAAUAGACGUAGCAUGUUGAUCGUGUCAUUUUAUUGCUACUGUUUUCUGCGUGUCAAGUAUUUAUUCCUAUGACCAUGAGAUCAUAUAACUUACUAACACUGGAGGAAUACUUUGUGUGUAUCAAACGUCGCAACGUAACUGGGUGACUAUAAAGAUGCUCUACAGGUAUCUCCGAAGGUGUUCGUUAAGUCAGUAUGGAUCGAGACUGGGAUUUGUCACUCCGUGUGACGGAGAGGUAUCUCGGGGCCCACUCGGUAAUACAACAUCACACACAAGCCUUGCAAGCAAUGUGACUAAGUGUAAGUUGCGGGAUCUUGUAUUACGGAACGAGUAAAGAGACUUGCCAGUAAACGAGAUUGAAAUAGGUAUACGGAUACUGACGAUCGAAUCUCGGGCAAGUAACAUACCGAAGGACAAAGGGAAUGACAUACGGGAUUAUAUGAAUCCUUGGCACUGACGUUCAAACGAUAAGAUCUUCGUAGAAUAUGUAGGAUCCAAUAUGGGCAUCCAGGUCCCGCUAUUGGAUAUUGACCGAGGAGUCUCUCGGGUCAUGUCUACAUAGUUCUCGAACCCGUAGGGUCUGCACACUUAAGGUUCGACGUUGUUUUAUGCGUAUUUGAGUUAUAUGGUUGGUUACCAAUGUUGUUAGGAGUCCCGGAUGAGAUCACGGACGUCACGAGGGUUUCCGGAAUGGUCCGGAAACGAAGAUUGAUAUAUAGGAUGACCUCAUUUGAUUACCGGAAGGUUUUCCGAGUUACCAGGAAUGUACCGGGAAUGACGAAUGGGUUCCGGGAGUUCACCGGGGGGGCCACCCACCCCGGGGAAGCCCAUAGGUGUUGGGGGUGCCGCACCAGCCCUUAGUGGGCUGGUGGGACAGCCCAAAAGGGGCCUAUGCGCAUUGAGAAGAAAAUCAAAGAGAAAAAAAAGGAGGAGGUGGGAAAGGGAAGAAGGACUCCACCUUCCAAACCAAGUAGGACUCGGUUUGGGAGGGGAAUCCUUCCCCCCUUGGCUCGGCCGACCCCUUGGGGGUUCUUGGACCCCAAGGCAAGGCUCCCCCCUCUCUCUCCUAUAUAUAGUGGGGUUUUAGGGCUGAUUUGAGACAACUUUGCCACGGCAGCCCGACCACAUAUCUCCACGGUUUUACCUCUAGAUCGCGUUUCUGCGGAGCUCGGGCGGAGCCCUGCUGAGACGAGAUCAUCACCAACCUCCGGAGCGCCGUCACGCUGCCGGAGAACUCUUCUACCUCUCCGUCUCUCUUGCUGGAUCAAGAAGGCCGAGAUCAUCGUCGAGCUGUACGUGUGCUGAACGCGGAGGUGCCGUCCGUUCGGCUCUAGAUUGUGGGACUUAUCGCGGGACGGUUCACGGGGCGGAUCGAGGGACGUGAGGACGUUCCACUACAUCAACCGCGUUCACUAACGCUUCUGCUGUACGGUCUACAAGGGUACGUAGAUCACACAUCCCCUCUCGUAGAUGGACAUCACCAUGAUAGGUCUUCGUGCGCGUAGGAAAAUUUUUGUUUCCCAUGUGACGUUCCCCAACAUAUAGCUCUAAGUGCAUCCAUUUCAUGGUAAUCCCCAUUCUUUCACAUUGAUAUCUAUUAAUGGGCAUCUCCAUAGCCCUUUGAUACACCGAGUCAAUGUGACCAUCUCCUCCUUUUUGCCCCACAACCUCCACCACACUCUAUUUCACCUAUAGUGCUAUAUCCAUGGCUCACGCUCAUGUAUUGCGUGAGAGUUGAAAAAGGUUUGAGAAAUUAAGAGUGAGAAAACAAUUACUUGGCUAAUACCGGGGUUGUGCAUGAUUUAAAUUCGUUGUGUGGGGAUGAUGGAGCAUAGCUAGACUAUAUGAUUUUGUAGGGAUAACUUUCUUUGGCCUUGUUAUUUCGAAAGUUCAUGAUUACCUUGCUAGUUUGCUUGAAGUAUUAUUGUUUUCAUGUAAAUAGCAAACUAUUGUUUUGAAUCUUACGGAUCUGAACAUUCAUGUCACAUGAAAGAAGUUACAAAGGACAAAUAUGCUAGGUAGCAUUCCACAUCAAAAAAAUAUUCUUUAUCACUUCCCUACUCGAGGACGAGCAGGAGUUAAGCUUGGGGAUGCUUGAUACGUCUCCAACGUAUCUAUAAUUUUUGUUGGUUCCAUGCUAUUAUCUUGUCAAACUUUGGAUGUUUUGUAUGCCUUUUAUAUCUUUUUUGGGACUAACUUAUUAACUCAGUGCCAAUUGUCGGUUCCUGUUUUUCCGUGUUUUGACCCUUUUCAGAGGAGAAUAUUAAACGGAGUCCAAACGGAAUAAAACCUCCGAAAAGAAUUAUUUUUUUUCGGAACAGAAGAUACGCGGGGAACUUGAGAACCAAGGCAAAGGACCCCGGGGGAGAUCACAAGCCCCCUAGGCGUGGCCUGGGGGCCGCUCCUAGCAGGCUUGUGGGGGCCCUGUGGCUCCUCUGUCCUACUUCUUCCGCCUAUAAAUCCCCGAAAAAUCCAAAACCACGGGAGAGAGCCACGAAAAUACUUUUCCGCCGCCGCGAGCUUCUGUCUUCGCAAGAUCCCAUCUGGGGCACGUUCUGGUGCCCUGCCGAAGGGGGGAUUCAGACACGGAGGGCUUCUUCAUCAAAACCAUUGCCUCUUUGAUGAUGCAUGAGUAGUUCACCAUAGACCUUCGGUUCCAUAGCUAGUAGCUAGAUGGCUUCUUCUCUCUCUUGGAUCUUCAAUACAAAGUUCUCCAUGAUCUUCAUGGAGAUCUAUCCAAUAUAAUCUUCUUUUGCGGUGUGUUUGUUGAGAUCUGAUGAAUUGUGGAUUUAUGAUCAGAUUAUCUAUGAAUCUUAUUUGAGUUUCUUCUGAUCUCUUAUAUGCAUUAUUUCAUAUCCUUGUAAUUCUCUUCGAGUUGUGGGUUUUGUUUGGCCAACUUGAUCUAUGAUUCUUGCAAUGGGAGAAGUGCUUGGUUUUGGGUUCAUAUCGUGCGGUGACCUCACCCAGUGACAGAAGGGGUAGCCAGGCACGUAUCGUGUUGUUGCCAUCAAGGGUAAAAAGAUGGGGUUUAUAUCUAUUGCAUGAAUUUAUCCCUCUACAUCAUGUCAUCUUGCUUAAGGCGUUACUCUGUUUGUCAUGAACUCAAUACACUAGAUGCAUGCUCGAUAGCGGUCGAUGUGUGGAGUAGUAGUAGUAGAUGCAGAAAGUAUCGGUCUACUUGUCUCGGACGUGAUGCCUAUAUGUAUGAUCAUUGCCUUAGAUAUCGUCAUGACUUUGCGCGGUUCUAUCAAUUGCUCGACAGUAAUUCGUUCACCCACUAUAAUAUUUUCUAUCAUGAGAGAAGCCUCUAGUGAACACUAUGGCCCCCGGGUCUACUUCACAUCAUAUUUUCAGCCCUACACUUUUACUUUAUUGCACUUUCCGCCUUCAGAUCUCACCUUGCAAUCAAUCGUGAAGGGAUUGACAACCCCUUUGUAGCGUUGGGUGUAAGUUUGCUGUUUUUGCGCAGGUACGGUGGAGACUUGGCUUGAUACUCCUACUGGAUUGAUACCUUGGUUCUCAAACUGAGGGAAAUACUUACUGCUACUGUGCUGCAUCACCCUUUCCUCUUCAAGGGAAAAACCAAUGCAAGCUCAAGAGGUAGCACUCCCACUCACUUUCUUGUAAAUACAAGCUUCUCCAUAAGUCUGUACAAAUCCAAACGCUUUGAUCACCUCAUCAAAGCGAAUGUUCCAACCCCGAGAUGCUUGCACCAGCCCAUAGAUGGAGCGUUGGAGCUUGCAUACCUUGUUAGCAUUGCUAGGAUCGACAAAACCUUCCGGCUAUAUCAUAUAAAAAUUUUCCUUAAGAAAGUCGUUCAGGAAUGUUGUUUUGACGUCCAUUUGCCAGAUUUCAUAAUCAUAGAAUGCGGCAAUUGCUAACAUGAUUCGGACCGUCUUCAGCAUCGCUACGGGUGAGAAGGUCUCAUCGUAGUCAAUCCCUUGAACUUGUCGAUAACCCUUAGCGACAAGUCGAGCCUUAUAGAUGGUCACAUUACCAUCCGCGUCAGUCUUCUUCUUGAAUAUCCAUUUAUUCUCUAUGGCUCGCCGAUCAUCGGGCAAACCCACCAAAGUCCAUACUUUAUUCUCAUACAUGGAUCCUAUCUCGGAUUUCAUGGACUCAAGCCAUUUGUUUGAAUCCGGGCCCGCCAUCGCUUCUUCAUAGUUCGAAGGUUCACUCUUGUCCAACAACAUGAUUUCCAUGACAGGGUUGUCGUACCACUCUGGUGCGGAACGUAUCCUUGUCGACCUUCGAGGUUCAAUAGCAACUUGAUUCGAAGUGUCAUGAUCAUCAUCAUUAACUUCUUCUCUUGCAAGUGCACGCGCUUCACAAACAUUUUCUUGCGCUGCGCUACUCUCCGGUUCAAGAGGAGGUACAAUUACCUCAUCAAGUUCUAUUUUCCUCCCACUUACUUCUUUCGAGAGAAGCUCUUUCUCUAGAAAGGAUCCUUUCCUAGCAACAAAGAUCUUGCCUUCGGGUCUGGAUAUCCAUGUUGGUUCCCACAUGUUUCACGAUGAUCUCAUCGGAUGAACCACGAUGUCGGGGAUUCAAUCAAUCUCGUAUGAAAUUCCCUUUGUCUACCGGUAUGAUACUUACCCGAGAUUUGAUUGUCGGUAUCCCUUUACCUUGUUCAAUCUCAUUACCGGCAAGUCUCUUUACUCGUUCUGUAACGCAUCAUCCCGUGACUAACUCCUUAGUCACAUUGAGCUCAGUAUGAUGAUGGAUUACCUAGUGGGCCCAGAGAUACCUCUCCGUCACACGGAGUGACAAAUCCCAGUCUUGAUUCAUACAACCCAAUAGACAAUUUCAGAGAUACUCGUAGUGCACCUUUAUAAUCAUCCAGUUACGUUGUGACGUUUGAUACACCCAAAGUACUUCUACUGUAUCCGGGAGUUGCACAAUCUCAUAGUCUAAUGAAAUGAUACUUGACAUUAGAAAAGCUUUAGCAGACGAACAACACGAUCUAGAGCUAUGCUUAGGAUUGGGUCUUGUCCAUCACAUCAUUCCUCAAUGAUGUGAUCCCGUUAUCAACGACAUCCAAUGUCCAUGAUCAGGAAACCAUGAUCAUCUAUUGAUCAACGAGCUAGCCAACUAGAGGCUCACUAGGGACACAUUGUGAUCUAUAUAUUCACACAUGUAUUACGGUUUCCGGUUAAUACAAUUAUGACAUGAAUAAUAGACAAUUAUUUUGAACUAGGAAAUAUAAUAAUAACCACUUUAUUAUUGCCUCUAGGGCAUAUUUCCAACAUAAUUGCAACUAUUUUGCCCUUAUCCAUGGUAUUUCCUAUUCACCAUGUAACGCGGGGGCUCCCAAGCAAGGACCUCCUAUGUGCAAGGCGGCUGGGCCGACCCAUUGAGAGGCGCCGCGAAGUGUGUCUGCAGCAUAAAAAUCGCAAAAAUAAAAUUGAAGCAGCGAGGAAUUGAACCCAUGACGUUGAUUUCCACCACAAGUGUUGCUAGCCACCAUAGCAAGUCACUACAUAUGAACAAUAGCGCAUCGAUACACUAUUUCAGAACUUACUAUUGCGGGAUAUUCCCCUUUGAAAGACUUUUCUUUCCUUUAAAAACAAAAUUGGAAAGAAAAUUAGGGGAAAGCAAAAAAAGGCAAAUAAAUAGAAACAUAAAGAAAAAGGAAAAAUUAACUUGGUAAAAAAUAAAACAAAAAAGGAAUGAAAAUGGAAAAAUAAGGAAAAACAUAAAUUAAAUAAAAAUCGUUAACUUUUUUCGAAAUUAAAACAUAUUUUGUAAUUCCAAAUCAAAAUUUGGAAACACAAAAACAACUUAGGAAGAAAAUUUAAAACACGAAUAUUUUUUGAAAUUUGUGAAGAAGUUUUGAAGCGGGAACAUUUUUUGAAACUCCUAGAAAAUCAAAUCAUGAACAUGUUUAAAAUUUUGCAAACAUUUUUUGACAAAUGGGAACUUAUUUUAAGUUUUGAAUUAUUUAAAAAUAACCCUAAGAAUAAUGGAAACUCCUGCCAAAAUAUUUAUGAAAACACAAAUAUUUUCUAAAUUUCUGACAUAUAAUGGAAACUCCUGCCAAAAUGGAAACAUGAAAAAAUGGAUAAAAAAUAUUCAUCUAUUUUUUAAAGCAGAAACAUUUUUUGAACUUCCAAACAACUUUUUGAAAAUUUGUGAACAUUUUAAAGAAAACAUGUCGAACAUUUUUUGAAAACAAGAACACUUUAUGAAACAUGUCGAACUUUAUUUAUUUGAAAAGUUGUGAAAUUUCAGGGCAGAAAUAUUCCGAACUUUUUGUUUUUGCAAAAAUAGAGAAUAUUUUCUGAAUAAGCGAUCUAUUUCUGAAUUUAUGAACAAAACCAGAAAACAUGAACAUUUUUUUGAAAUUUCUAUGUUGUUGUAAUGGAAACAUUUUUUGAAACUUCAAAAAAUGAAAACGGGAAAAUGUUUUGAAAAUAUGAACAGUUUUUGAAAUGGGUACAUUUUCUGAAAAGUUAUGAAAUUUCGGAGCAGAAACAUUCCCAACUUUUUUUGCAAAAACACAAACCAUUUUUUGAAUAAGCAAAAAAAAUUAGUUCACGAACAAAUAUGAAAACAUGAAAAAAAUACAAUUUUUCUGAAGUGGGAACAUUUUUUGAAACUUCAACAAAAUGAAAAUGUGAACAUCAUUUGAAAUGGGAACAUUUUUUGAAAAUAUGAAUUUUUUUCGAAAAGUUGUGAAAUUCCGUUGCAGAAACAUUCAGAAAUGUUUUUUGCAAAACCACAAACAAUAUUUUGAAUAAUCAAACAUUUUUCAAAAAAGUGACCAUUUAUAAUUUGUGAACAAAAAUUUAAAAAUGGUUUGGGAAAAACAUUGCGAACAAUAAUUUGAAAUGCAAACAUUUUUUAAGUUGCUGAAUAUUUGUUAAAAAUGAAAGAUACUUGAAAAAGGAAAGAAAAUAAAAAGAGAUAGAAAAAUGAGAAAACAAAAAAAGAAGGAUACUUGAAAAACAAAAAAGAAUAAGGAAAGAAAAAUUAAAAAUAAAAAGCAAAAAGAAACAGGAAAAACAGAUUCAUGAGCUUCUAAAAUGUUCCCAAACCAGAACUUUUUAGAAAAAAAUAAAAAAACAUUUCUCGAAUUUAAAGAACAUUUUUUGAAAAACCUGAGAAAAAUUGAAAAUUCAAAACUUUUUUAUAAAAAGCAAAAAUAUUUUCAAAUUUGAAGCACAAUUUUUGAAAUUCCGAAAAUAUUUAGAAAAUCCAGAAGUUUUUUUGAGACAUAAAAAGGAAAAAGAAGUAAAAGAAUUAGAGAAGAAUAAAAAAAUAAAAAUAAAACAGCUCAGGAAAUCUUCUACAAGUUUCCUAAAACCUGAAAACACUGGAGAAGGCCCGAUGGGUCGCUGCUCAGUCGCUUGCGGCCCGACAGGUUGACGCAACUAGCGAGAAAUAGCAUAUUUCGGGUUUUGUCGGUAGUUUCUAUGCAGCAUUAUAGGGGGGAAUUUGAGGGUUUGCCACACAUUUCCCUGCACUUUGAGGAUUUGCCCUCUUUUUUAUUGACAUUGAUGAUUUGCCACAACUUUACCAAAAACUUGAGGAUUUGCUCGUGACAAGAUGAGCCUACCAUGACAUGACGAAAAUACCCUCAAACUACCAGCUAUCUGGUGGCGCACAUCCUUGGGAUGACUCCGCGCGAGGCUGGUAGUGACCACGCACACGGCCUCGGCUAGCAGCAUGGCCAACAUGGCGAGGAAUGCUCUCACCGUGGAGGUGGGAGACCAGCCGGGCAGCAAUAUCGGGCGAAUGCGUCGCACGCAGCGAGCAGCCGUUGCCGGGGACGCACGAAUCCACUCCAAUAAGUCAAUCCGGCAGCCGUCAAGCUCGCGGUCCGUUAUGGACAACGACGACCAUUGGCCGGCCUCCAUGAACAUCAUGUCACGCUCGAGCCGGACGGACGGACAGCGAAUCUGUGCCUAGUGCUCUGUGUGCGCUGUGUGCGUGCGUGCUCUAGCACUUGGGCGUGCGCGAUGUGCUGGGCGUGCGUGUGCAUGGGCGUGCAUGCGUGCGUGAGUGCUCUUGCGUAUAUUGUGUGAAUGCAUGCUCACCUGGGACCUGGGUGUGGUGCGCGCUCUGUGUGUGUUGUGUGCGUGCAUGUUCUACCAUCUGGGCGUCCAUCUAAUGCUGCUGCUACUGCGACAUACACAGAGAAGGACGUCAUUGUCUGCACUCCAUCCCUUUCCGAUGUGCCCUCACCGAGCUCGCGAUGGACAGUCACCACCGUGACCGGACUUGUAGUGUAGACGACACCCUCCGCCCGCCACAUCCAGCACAAGCACAUGAGUAGCAGCAGGUCAGCGAACUCCGAGCGUGGUGACUGAAGGAGCACCAACAGCACAACACAUGGCAGCAGGUGAUGAGCCAUGGCGAGUGUUGCUGCGGGUUUUGACAAGAGUGGCGUUUUGAUCAUCCAAUCAGUAUAGUGUAACGCCAAAUCAAAUAGAAAGGGCAAAUCCUCAAGUUUUUGACAAACUUGUGGCAAAUCAUCAAUGUUAAUAAAAAACAGGGCAAAUGCUCAAAGUGCAGGGAAAGGUGUGGCAAACCCUCAGAUUCCCCCAUUAUAGGCGGCCGUUAACAAUCCGACACCUGAAGUGCUAUUAGCAUGGGCUGGUCCACUGAAGUGUUGUUGAAUUUUAUAUUAUUAUUUUUUGGUUUUUCCGUUACGAAAAAAAUAUAAAAUAAAAAAAGUUUACAGAUUUAAAGAAAAAAGUUCAUCCAUUUGAAAAAAAAUCAUAUCUUUAAAAAAUGUUUAUCAAUUUCGAAAAAAUAUCAUUAAUUUUAAAACAAGUUCAUUGAAAAUAAAAGAAAGUUCAUCCAAUUUAGAAAAGGUUCAUUAAAACUUUAAAAAGUUUAAUAAAUUUGAAAAAAGAUCAUGAAAAGUAAAAAAAAGUUUAUGUAUUUUUAAAAAAAGUUCACUGAACUGAAAAAAGGUUCAUAAAUCUGAAAAAUGUUCAACCAUUUUCAAAAAGAUGUUCAUCAAAUUUCCGGAAAGUUUAUAAAUAUUCAAAAAAUUCAUCAAUCUUAAAAUUUAUUUGUUGGAGUUUUAAAAAAUUCAUCGAUAUUAAUGUAAAUUCGUAGAAUAAAAAAAAACGUUUCAAGUGCCUAGAUGGGCCGGCCGAGUUCAAACGCUACAGGCGUCAGUUAACAAAAAUGCAUAUGAACUGACGCCUCUGGCGCCAAAUAGGAAAUGCCUGCCAAGCAAACACGCCCCAUCCACUCCGCAUAUUUAGGCCGACUCACUUUGGGCUUCUGUAAUGUUGUUUCUGCUACUAUAGGGAGAAACCUUCGCUGGACCAGUUUUCUUUUUCUUUUUUUUAUGUUUCCCUUUUGCCCCUUUUAUCUUUUCUCCAUAUUUUUCUUGUUCUUUUGUAUACUUUUUAAUUUGUGUAAUUCAUAAUUUUAAAACUUGGAACAUUUUUCUAAAUCAAAGAAAAAGAACAAAUACAUGAGCAUAUUUUGUAAUUCGAGAUUUUUUGAAUUGAUGGUAAUCAUUGAACUUUUUCAAAAUUCAUGUAAAUAAUUAAAAAAUCACUAAAUUCAGAUUUUAAAAAGCAUGAUGUUUUUAAAAAUCAUAAAUAUUUUUAAAAUCUUUGUGAUAAAUUCAUGAUAUUUAAAGCUUUGUGAUAAAUUUACAAACAAUUUUUCUGAAUAUUUUACUAGAAAGUAGUAUGUAUUAGUAGGAAAGUUGCUGAAAUUAAAUAUGUAUGGAUGCUAGCUUGGCUAUCACUUUAUCGCUAAGCACCACCUUGAGAGAGGUGCGUGAUUGCUCGCCCCCACAACCUCCUGAACACUCCCAAAGACCCUACUAGGCAUGAACCCCAUAUUGGGGUCAUGCCGAUCCAAAGACUUUCAGAAUGACAACUACAGAGGUUGCCUUGGAAUCUUUGGAAUCGGUUUUAAGUCUUUUCCAUGGAUACUUUUUCUGACCUUUUCAUGUCUAUAUAGAUGGCGCCGACGAUUAUACUGCAAAUGUUUCCCUAAACCUACUACGAAGGUUAGGAAGUUUGAUCCAAAUUAACAUGAAUUGUGUGACAAUGCAAGCAUUUACUACAUCUCUCAAUCCUGCCUCCUGACGUGAAUGUUGAGGAAAACUGCAUGUGUUUCUUGGAGGAAUCGGCUAGGUAGAAUUUACCCUCAUUAUAUGAAAUUUGGGGAAUUCGAUUAUUAUUUUUGCCACGGUUUACUUUGCAUUUUGACAAUUUGCCACUGGUCGCAUUGUAAUUGCCUUUUAGCCACUAUUCACAUUGGGGAUUAGACUUGGACGUUUGCCCUCUUACAGGUCGGGCCCGCUUGAAAUCCCGGUUUUACCCCCGGCCAGCCUCCCUGCUCUUCCUCGAGGCGACACACCGGUGGACGGCGACGGUGGUAAUCGACGGCGGAGGCUCCCUCCCGGCAACAACGACAGUGAGUCUCCUCUCCUCUCUCCUCUGCUGCUCAUCCACAUGUCCCACGGACGACCUAGGGUUAGGUUUAAGAGUUUGUCGCCGCCCCGUGCGCCUGCUGGCCGCCCCCGCCGCCGCUAGGCCGUCUCCUGCGUCCUCGACCUGGCCGCCUCCCCUAGUCGUCUUCCGCGUGCACAAACUGGCCGCUGCCCCUAUUCGUCUCCCGCGUCCACAACCUGGCCCAGCCCCUGCCCCUGGCUUGCUGCUGCUUGCUUGCUACUGUUCGAUGCUUCCUUGCUGAUAACAUACAUUGCCCGAUUUUGGUGCAGACCAUUGGAAGCUAGGGUUCAUCACUGCACAUUGGGGAAUUUCGUGUGAAGGACCACUUCUUCAUUCAACAUGUACAAGUGACAUUAUAGUAACUAGUUUUGGGCAUUUACCAUCAAAUACAUUCGAAAGAAUUGUUUUUGAGGCAAAAUGGGCAAACAAUCAUAGUCCAAUGUAAAAAGUGAUAAAAAUGCAAUUGCAAUGUAACUAGUGUUAAGUUGUCAAAAUGCAAAGUAAAUCGUGGCAAAAAAUAAAAACUCUCCAUUGAAUUCUGUAUCAAUACGUAAUGGCCAAGAGCUCCACAUUUCGUGAAUCUGUGCGUCUUCUAAAAUAUAGUAUAUUUUAUGAACCUAUCACUUUCUGAUGGGGAUGUGUAUUUAUACUGCUCCUUAUUUUGAACUGUAUGUAUUAGUUCUUUAUUGUCUGGUAUUUGUUCCUCUUAAAAUAUCUCAUUUUCCACUUGGACUGUUAAUGCUCGUGGGCUCGUGGCAUAUGAUGUGAAGUUGUGUUCUGUUUUCAUCAAUGCAUAGUUCUUGAAGUGCGUAAGCUGCAUUUAAAGAUAUUAGUAAUGACCUUUUUCUAUAAUCACUGCAUUGUUCGACUCCAACUCCCAUAUCUUUUAAGAUAAUAAAGUGCUUACAAACCAAAAAUAAAGUUUAUGUGGGGUGAGAUCAUAGUGAGGGUAAGUGUACCAAAUAGAUUCGUUUCUACUGAUCAAAUAAAAAAAAUUGUGUUGCUCAUCGAAGUGCACGAACAACCUUGCAUAGUUAGUUUGAGACAGCCAUAAUCAUCUUGAGUUUGUGUGCUCACAUAAUUCUGCUCCCAAAUAGAAAAAUAUUUAUAUGAUUCCUGUUAGCUCAAAGUAUGUUAAUUUUUGGCCUCAAAAUUUCAUUGCCUCUAAUGGUCAGGUUGACCUGAGCCCAGCCUAUCAUACGUGCCUCGUUCUCAGCAGCUGCAGACGUUCCCUAAGAAAAUAGGCAAGCACUGCCGAGAAAUCGAUCGAGGACCGGGGUUGCUAAGGGAAACGAGAUGAGCGGUUGAUCGGGAUGGAGGUUGUGGUGCGGAAGAUGCAGCAGCGGGUGAGGAAGGCACGGGAGGAGACGGAGCGAUGGGAUGACCUCAACUCCCGCCUCCUGUCCCAGUUCUCCAAUGCUGCCGCCAUCAUCACCCGCCUUCUGGUACCUUUCAUUCUCAUCAGAUCCUUCCUUGCGCUUAUCUGCAUCCUACUUGUACGCAGCAGCUUCAGUGAUGCGCUGCGCGUGAUCAAUUCUGCAGCUGUAAUGGGGUUUGAGAAAUUUAAUAAAUGUGCACGGUUCACUGUAAGGUGGUUACAGUAGCGAAUUUUAUUGGUUUCAGUUAAAGAGCAGGCCAAAAUUUAGGAAUAGGGAUACCUGAUACUGCUGCUAAUAUGCAAGCUACACAGAAGGUGCUCAUUUAAUGUUAGUGACUAGUAGCUGCGGAGCUGCAUUGUGGUGUUGGAUUCUCAUGUAUCUGGUGGAUUUAAGAUCUUACCCUGUGUCAUGUGUUGACAAGGUACUUGGAGAUGCUAAAAAUCAUGGUAUCCUGCGGUGUGUGCCCAACAUCAGGGAGGAUCUCUUGGGGGCACAGAUGAGGAGCCUGGAGCUCAUAUUUGUUUCAAUGAGGGAGACUCUGUAAGCUGCUGUCACUGUUGUUACAACCGCUUUUGGUUUGGUCCAACUCUAGAAGCAUAUGCAACGGAAUUGUUUCGAGUUGGUGUUACAAUGUUGCUGCAUUUUUUUUCAGGGAGGAGUUCAGUGGCAUUGCCAAAGGUUUGAGCAAGGUACUGCGCGAUGCUAAUCAGAUGGUGAGGGGUGGAUUGGCACUCACUGGGAAACAAUUGCAGUUACAAGUGGGAAUUUUGCCAACUAUUGCAGACUGCUUGGGUGGGCUACAAACACUGUCUGAAAUGCACCAGGCUGAGUACGAAACAAGUGACAUACCUUCGCCAAACCUACUCUGUUUUUAGAACAUCCUCAUUUUCUUAAUAAAUAAUACAAAGCUUACUCAUUUGACUGUCGCGCUAUUGCUGAUAUGUAUAUUUGCCACCUCAUAUAUGGGAAUCACCUAUUUAAACCAGUACCAUCUCUCUUGUAGCAUUUUGUUUUUGCUGGUGUCAUAUGUUUAAGAUAUUAUUUGCUUUCUUUUCUGACAAUUCAUUGAUAUGCAUCUUACUCUUGUUAUCAUAGCAGAAGCUACUUCUUUACUGAUAAUACAUUGAUAUGCCAGGUAUGCGCUAAAAUCAUCAAUCAUCUCUUUGUUGACAUGGAAAAGCAGGCAAGUUGGAAUUUAUGGCCACUAAACUGUCCUUAGAUUUGUUCCCGAUAAUUCUGUAUCUCUGUUAGUUUACCCAAUACUAAUCCCCCUCCCGUCCCUUAAAACCAGCAGUUGGCCAAAUCUCGAUCCUUAUGUUUCUCCAUUUACUUUUGGUGCCCUUUCUUUUGCAGUUCAAGUGAAAUCGCUGCAAUGCGUCAACUCUUGGUAGACCAACCAAACAUACCGAAAGAUGAAGGUAAGAAAUGAAACAAUAAAACUGAAGAUAUGGUUUUUAGUGAUGGUUUGGUCUGAUGCUAUUUCACUCUAUCUUCCUCAUUUUGCAGUGCAAUCUGUCUUCGACAUUAUAUUUGCAGAUGAAAUUUGCUAAGUUGAGCAUGCAUCCUACUAUUGGAAGCCCUAUUGCCAAGACAUGUUGAAGCAACUGUAUUUUGAUCUACUCCUUCCGUUCAUAAAUAUAAGCUUUUCUGACCUUUCUGUGAAUCGGAUAUAUAUAGACACGUUUUAGUGUCUUUGUUCACUCAUUUCACUCGUGUAUGUAGUCCAUAUUGAAAUAUCCAAACCAUGGUAUAUUUGUGAACGGAGGGAGUACUUUCUUAUCUGAACAAAGUGUUGAGUAAAUAGGCAAUUUUCCGAGUACAUUAAUCCACAAAAUAAUAACUAGCAUGUCAUUGACUAGACUAAUGACAAUACUGAUCUUGAGCUAACCUAGCACAUACUACGCAUAUGGUGGAUACAUCUAUGCAAACAAGUAGUACUGCUAGAAUAAAUACGAACAUGAGGAUAAACGAGUCAUACCCUCCAAUCGACCAGUUGGCCGUAGCAGCGGCGGCGGCGGCAGUAUCCUCUGCCGUCUUCUUCUCGGCUUCCUCGCGGAGACGAUCAGCUUCGCUUGGUGAAGACAUGGCGAUGACGAGGGCGACGCGGACGUAGACGAAGCAGACGGACGGAGGCGAGCAGUCGCGUGAUCGCUCCCCAAAAACCUAAUCGCCCCUCUCCCGUACAGGAACUGGAGAGGCGAGGUUUCGGAGGCCUGCUCUCCCGUUGACCGUGUACGCGGUAAACGGGACGGAGUCGCCGGCGGCAGCAGCAGUGAAGGAACGAAGGCGUGAGGCAGAUGUGAUCUGAUUCUCGUGACGGCUAGGGUAGGCGAUCGCGUGCUUAUAAAGGCGGCUGGGUGGAGAGACGUGGGCCAAGCCCACGUCCGAGUCGGUAACAGCCACGAUCCGACGUCUCGGAUCGUUCCUUGUCCGUUACGUAUUCUCCGUUCCUGACCGGCAAAAAUAAGCGCGUAGGUAUGAGCUCGGCUCGGCUCAUUCCCGCAACCCGCGGCGCGGCGCGGCGCGGCGCGUCGAGGCGUGGCGUGGCGAGGCGGACUGCGGAGGAGGAGUGCGCGAGGGCACCUUCUCUUCUCACUCUCCAAUAGCAUGUGGAAGAGAGACCCUUAUAAAGGGGUCCAAACUCUCCUCCACUAGCGGGGUGGGACUAAACUCCCACCACCUUGCCAUGCCACCACCUACAUGGGCCCUUGUAGAUUUUCUGAAAUUCUCUAAUGGGCCUAAGGCCCACCUCCAAAUUUCAACAAUCCCCCACCAGAUCUCAAGGGCACAUCGUGUUCCCUCGUUCCAAUCACUGUUUUAAUAUACCACCAUUUCAGUGAAGACCUAUUAAGGUUGAGCUUCACCUAGAACAAGUAGCUACACUCCUUUACAACUGAACAAUGGACUAUGCCUUGAAUUGUCAGCUUGGUGUAAAAGAGCUUCACCACAAGUCUUACUAGUACUAGACUGCCGAAGGUGACCCCUCGGGUGGAGCAUAUUAGUCACACUCCUGGCCUAUUCAUGAGUUUACUAGAGAUCACCCAAACCUCAUAGACUGUGACCAGCAGUCAAGCUCAUAUAGGUGUGUUCCUCCAAAGAUCGCUCUGUAGGACAGCAUCUUGCUUACAUGUAAGCUUUAGAACACAUUAAGACAGUAGUCAUCCUACCGUACAGUAUCCGAGAGUAUUGCAUCUCCAACGGAGUGGGUUAGUAAAGUUACUCUCCUCAGUUCACCACUGGCUUGUUUUCCCAGGUCCUACUUCACGGGUUCUCCGAUCAUAUAGGUUAGGUUACUACCAUGGCAACUCAUGUGGGUCUCAUACCCAUCUCCCUCGAUGCACUAUCUAUCACAACACGUGAUAGCCCUUUAGUAAAGGGAUCUGCCAGAUUCUUAGCCGUUUGGAUAUAAUCCAACGCUAUCACUCCGGAGUUUCUCAAACGUCUGACAGACUUCAAUCUCAUUCUUAUAUGUUUGUUGGACUUCAUAUUGUCCUUUGAACUCUUCACUUUAACAAUAACCGUCUGAUUAUCGCAGUUCAUAAGGAUAGCCGGAACCGGCUUCUCAACCACAGGUAAGUCCAUCAAAAGAUCUCGAAGAAAUUCUGCUUCGACACCAGAUUUGUCUAAUGCUGUUAAUUCUGCUUCCAUUGUCGAUCUUGUUAAGAUCGUUUGCUUGCAAGACUUCCAGGAAACAGCACCACCCCCAAGAGUAAACAUAUACCCAGUAGUGGCCUUCAUCUCAUCAGCAUCAGAGAUCCAAUUCGCAUCACUAUACCCUUCAAGUACCGAUGGGAAUCCCGUAUAGUGAAGCCCGUGGUUGACAGUACCUUUCAAGUAGCGCAUAAUUCUUUCAACAGCACGCCAAUGAACAUCGCCCGGGUUUGCAACAAACCGGCUAAGUUUGCUCACAGCAAACGCGAUGUCAGGCCUCGUUGCGCUAGCUAGGUACAUAAGUGAACCGAUAAUUUGAGAGAAUCUCAAUUGAUCUAUAGCCGUGCCUUUAAACUUUCGAAUAAGCACACUAGGAUCAUAUGGUGUUUGACAAAUUUUGCAGUCUGAAUAUCCAAAGCGACUCAAAAUCUUAUCAACAUAGUGGGAUUGCAGAAGUGUAAUCCCACCCUCAUCAUCUCUCAACAGCUUGAUGUUCAAGAUAACAUCAGCCACCCCAAGGUCCUUCAUCUCAAAGUUUUGAGACAGAAAAGACUUAACCUCCUCAAUUACUUUGAGGUUGGUUCCAAAUAUCAGUAUGUCAUCAACAUACAAGCACAAUAUAACUCCUUCGCCCCCACCAUGGCGAUAGUAUACACAUUUGUCAGCUUCAUUAACAACGAAGCCAACAGAUGUCAGAGUUGUAUUAAACUUCUCAUGCCAUUGCUUAGGUGCUUGUCUCAGACCAUAUAAAGAUUUCAGCAACUUACACACCUUUCCUUCCUGACCUUCUAUCACAAAGCCAUCUGGCUGUUGCAUAUAGAUUUCCUCAUUUAGCUCUCCAUUCAGGAAAGCCGUCUUAACGUCCAUUUGAUGAACGAGAAGACCAUGAGAGGCCGCCAAUGAGAGUAGUACUCUAAUGGUGGUCAGUCUAGCCACAGGUGAAUAAGUAUCGAAGAAAUCUUCCUCUUCUUUCUGGGCAUAGCCCUUGGCCACAAGCCUAGCCUUGUACUUUUCAAUCGUACCGUCGGGCCUAAGCUUCUUUUUGAACACCCACUUGCAUCCCAAUGGUUUGCAACCAUAGGGACGAUCGGUGAUUUCCCAUGUCCCGUUAGCCAUGAUGGAGUCCAUCUCGCUACGGACAGCAGCUUUCCAGUAAUCAGCAUCUGGAGAAGCAUACGCUUCUGAAAUAGAAGUGGGAUUAUCAUCCAUGAGGUAUACGAAGAAAUCAUCACCAAAGGUCUUUGCAGUCCUUUGUCUCUUGCCCCUACCACGGGCUUCCUCGUCAUCCUCCUCAGGAUUUUCAUCAUGUGUUUGUUCAUAAUAUUCCAUAGGAAUGGCAGGCUCAGGAGUUAUCUCAGAUUCCUGUCUAGAAGUGCUUUGCAUAUCUCUCAUGGGAAAUAUAUCCUCUAAGAAUGUAGCAUCCCUCGACUCCAUUAUUGUACCGACCUUCACGUCAGGUACCUCAGAUUUCACUACUAUAAAUCUAUAGCCUACGGUAUUCUUAGCGUAUCCCAAAUUAACGCAAUCCACAGUCUUUGGUCCAAGCUUACGCUUCUUGGGGAUCGGUACAUUGACUUUCGCCAAGCAGCCCCAAGUACGUAAGUACGAGAGUGUCGUCCUUCUCUUCGACCACUCCUCGUAGGGAGUGACCUCAUUAUCUUUUGUAGGAACUUUAUUCAGGACAUGACACGCGGUCAAUAUAGCCUCCCCCCACCAUGCCUUGGAUAAACCCGAUGUAUCUAACAUGGCGUUAACCAAAUCAGUUAGAGUACGGUUUUUCCGCUCGGCAACCCCGUUUGACUGGGGUGAAUAGGGAGGCGUCCUCUCAUGAAUAAUGUCGUGUUCCGCACAAAAUGAAUCAAAUUCGUUUGAGAAGUACUCUCCACCACGAUCAGACCGGACUCGUUUAAUUUUCUUUUCAAGUUGAUUCUGAACUUCUGCCUUAUAGAUUUUAAAGUAGUGUAGAGCCUCAUCUUUAGUAUUUAACAGAUACACAUAGCAAAAUCUAGUGGAAUCAUCUAUCAAUGUCAUGAAGUAUUUCUUUCCACCUUUAGUCAACAUACCAUUCAUCUCACAAAGAUCAGAAUGUAUGAGUUCUAAUGGUGCCAAGUGUCUCUCCUCUGCAGCCUUGUGAGGCUUGCGAGGUUGCUUUGCUUGCACACACGAGUGGCACUUAGAACCUUUGGCUAAAGUGAAAGUUGGGAUUAAAUUCAGUUUUGCUAGCCGCGACAUAACACCGAAACUUAUGUGACAAAGACGUGAAUGCCAAACUUCAGAUUCAUUAACACUCGAAUGAAUAUUGUUCACGACUUCAUUACAAAAAUCUGGUAGAGAAAGGCGGAACAGACCUUCGCAUUCAUAACCUUUUCCAACGAAAAGUCCAUAUUUCGUAACUACUACUUUAUUAGACUCGAACACCAACUUAAACCCUUCUCUACACAGAAGGGAGCCACUAACGAGAUUCUUCUUGAUGGCGGGGACAUGCUGCACGUUCUUCAGCUGCACGAUCCUUCCCGAAGUAAACUUCAGAUCGACCGUGCCAACACCAAGAACAGAAGCACUCGCGCCAUUCCCCAUCAAUACGGACCCGCGACCGGUGGCCUGAUAAGAAGAGAACAAAGAUAAGUCAGCACACACAUGAAUAUUUGCAUCCGUGUCCACCCACCAAUCGGUGGACUCACAAACUGUAAAUACAGUAAGUAAAUUACCGUACCCAGAUGCACCACUUUCAUUGUUGCCCACAAUCAUGUUUGCAGACUUGGAGUCCUGCGCCGGCUUCUUGUACUUGUUUGGGCAUUUGUUCGCCCAAUGUUCCUCUGAACCACAAGUAUAGCAGCCAUCUCCCUUCUUAUUCUUCUUGAAGGGCUUCUUCCCCUUCUUCUUGAAGUCGGUAUUCUGUUGGACAGAGUUCUUUCCCUUGGGCUUGUGAGAAUUGAAGUUCCUCUGAUGUACCAUAUUGGCAGCAGAAGUGCUUUCCACCGCUUUUCCAUUGGAGUCCUUUGCUCUCGAGUUCUGCUCAACACUCAGAUGGCCGAUGAUGUCCUCUACUGAGAACUCACGCCUCUGAUGUUUCAGAGUAGUAGCAAAGUUCCUCCAGGAAUUAGGGAGCUUAGCAAUUAUACAGCCCGCGACAAACUUGCCCGGCAAAUUGCACUUAAGAACCUCAAGUUCCUUAGCUAUGCAUAUUAUCUCAUGAGCUUGUUUCAAUACAGAACGGUUGUCAACCAUCUUGUAAUCGUGGAACUGCUCCAUGACAUACAUCUCACUCCCAGCAUCGGUGGCCCCGAAUUUAGAUUCGAGCGCCUCCCACAAGUCCUUGGCAACAUGCAUAUGUAAAUAUGCAUCAACCAGCUUAUCUCCGAUCACGCUAAUGACUGCUCCAAGGAAUAGGACGGUGGCCUCCUUAAACAUCUUCUCCUGUUCAGGAGUGAUAGUUUCCGUAGGAGUGACACCGGCUACCCAGAACACGUUCAUAGACGUGAGCCAUAAGGUGGUUCUCGUUUGCGAACGCUUGAAAAAAGUACCGGUAAACUUAUCCGGUUUCAGUGCAGCAGCAAAACCAUUACUCGAAAAAUUCCUACAGACAUUAGGUUUUUGGAUUGUUGAGUAAAUAGGCAAUUUUCCGAGUACAUUAAUCCACAAAAUAAUAACUAGCAUGGCAUUGACUAGACUAAUGACAUACUGAUCUUGAGCUAACCUAGCACAUACUACGCAUAUAGUGGAUACAUCUAUGCAAACAAGUAGUACUGCUAGAAUAAAUACGAACAUGAGGAUAAACGAGUCAUACCCUCCAAUCGGCCAGUUGGCCGUAGCAGCAGCAGCGGCGGCAGUAUCCUCUGCCGUCUUCUUCUCGGCUUCCUCGCGGAGACGAUCAGCUUCGCUUGGUGAAGACAUGGCGAUGACGAGGGCGACGCGGACGUAGACGAAGCAGACGGACGGAGGCGAGCAGUCGCGUGAUCGCUCCCCAAAAACCUAAUCGCCCCUCUCCCGUACAGGAACCGGAGAGGCGAGGUUUCGGAGGCCUGCUCUCCCGUCGACCGUGUACGCGGUAAACGGGACGGAGUCGCCGGCGGCAGCAGCAGUGAAGGAACGAUGGCGUGAGGCAGAUGUGAUCUGAUUCUCGUGACGGCUAGGGUAGGCGAUCGCGUGCUUAUAAAGACGUCGGAUCGUUCCUUGUCCGUUACGUAUUCUCCAUUCCUGGCCCGGCAAAAAUAAGCGCGUAGGUAUGAGCUCGGCUCAUUCCCGCAACCCGCGGCGCGGCGCGGCGCGGCGCGGCGCGGCGGGCGGUGGAGGAGGAGUGCGCGAGGGCACCUUCUCUUCUCACUCUCCAAUAGCAUGUGGAAGAGAGACCCUUAUAAAGGGGUCCAAACUCUCCUCCACUAGCGGGGUGGGACUAAACUCCCACCACCUUGCCAUGCCACCACCUACAUGGGCCCUUGUAGAUUUUCUGAAAUUCUCUAAUGGGCCUAAGGCCCACCUCCAAAUUUCAACACAAAGCAUGAAAGAGGCUGCAGUUUCAGGUUUAAUGGUCUCAAUUGCUAUAGCACCGUGACAAAGCUGGAAUUAAUUUUCAGAACCAUUUAGCUUGUAUAAACCUUCAAGCAGCGUUAAAGAUAAACUGAGCGUAAAUAAUUCAGAUGGGAUGCAAAUCAACACUCACCGUCUGAGUUCAAGUUUUUUCCAAAUUCCACUAAAAAAUGUUGCUAUAGAGUGGAUGCUCGUCGUUUCUGGUCACAUUUUUCUCUUGGACCAUGAUAUGUGUUGACUGUUAUAGGAAUAUAUAAAUAGAAAUUACCAAAUGACCUCCACUGAUUGAGCCCGAGCACCCAACAGCGAGUUGUGACUGAGUGAACUUCCUGCUCGAGACAUGUUAGUUGAGGCUACCUGUACCGGUGUAAAUUCCUUAGGUUUUCUUAUCCGUGCCGUGAGAAAGAACAAGGGAAAUCCUCCCCUGUCCCAGCCGAUCUCCCCCAUAUUUGUGUGUUGCCGAUCACAAUGCCAACCUCCUCCAUCUGAAGAAGAAAGUUAUCGGGCCCCAACCGCAUGACAGGUAGUGGUGGAGAAAGAAGUUAUCAGGUGAGAAGAGGAAAUCAACAAGGGAAAAAAUCAGUUUGGUUAAAGCCAACUGGAGUGUAGGCGGGAAAUUUAGUGUCCUUGAAUUAGAUUUUGUAGGGUAGAUUUUUUUUGUCCCCUCAGUUUCAAAAUAUACGGUAUACUAUUAUUUUUAAAGUCAAACUUCUCUACCUUGAACCUAACGUAGUGAGAAAAAUAUCAAUAUCUACCGUAUCAAAAUAGUACAAUUAAAUUCGUAAAAUAUAGUUUCAUAUUUUGUUUAUUUGUAUUGUACAUGUUGAUAUUUCUCUCUUUAAAAUUGGUCAAAUAUAGAANGAACUAAGAACCCAUCAUUUGUGUGACUUACAAAAAUAUACCUUUUUAAAAUAGUUUUUAAGGCUUAUAGAUCGAAUCUCUAAAGGCCCUAUCUCCCUCGUAGUGUGUUGACGUGAUAAGACCCUGAUCUUAUGAAUUUUGCUCUGAGCUUCGGCAUAUGUUUUGUGAACGGUGACGACAACCCUGUGAAGUAUGCUUUGGUUAAAGAUACUCUUCUUCUAUUCUUCUGUGAUAGGGUGCUCAUAGUCUGUUUCCUGUGAGUUUGGUGACGAAGUACACUUCGGCAACUUUUGUUCCAAGGGUCAAUGGAUGUGUAUUUGGUCAUAACACGUAAUAUGAUCUUAUAUUUUCAUCGGUUGGGUGGGCGGUUUGUGCUUCUUUUCAAAAUCUUUGAGGCUAAUUUAGUAUGCAGGCCUUGUCUUCUAUAGUUCUUUCCCUGGAAAAGCUUUUCUAUGGUUUCUUCACUAAUGUUAUGGUGGAGUGCAGAUAUGCAAAAGGUGAAAACUGGAGACACCGACUUCAAAGAACCACAUGUAGCUUUUAGUCAUGGAUCUUUAUUCUUCGUUUGUUUGUUCAAUCUAGACAUCUUCCCUAACAUUCCCUAAAUAAGCCACAAAUAUUUGAGAGGUGUGUCCUACAUGCAAGACCCGAUGUGAAGUUGCACUAGUCUUGUUCAUUAAUGCAUGCCGUGUAAGUGAAAAAUGUCUUUCAGCUCCAGCAAAAAUAAUAGAAUUUGUCUUCUAAAAUUAAGAUUCAGAUUAACUGCAAGUUUCUUAUUUAUUUUUCUUGUAGAGAAAUGUUACGACUCACUUCACGGUUGCUGAAUUGCGUCAUGGUUAUUAUAUGAAUUUCUAAUUAAAGAUGAGUCAUAUAAAAUUGAAACAGAUCAAACAAACAAUACAACACACAAUUACUUUUUUGAUAAGACAAAUAAACACGUAAUAUUUUUUUGAGGGGUAAACACACAAUUUUUUUUGAGGCAAGGUAAACACACAAAUUGAUUGGACGGUCAUGUAGUGGGCUUCACACGUCAAAACAUCUAAAUGGGCCGAGCCGAAUGCAGUCGAAGGAGAAGGCCUGCCGGAGUCGGUCAGCGCAACCGAAUCAAACAGGACUCUUCAAAAUAAAAAUCCGGCCCAUGUUCGCGAUGUUUCGCUCUUGCAAUCGGCAAUCGCGUCGCGACUGUUUUGCCCUAAUCCACAGCGGGCGCCUCCCCCCCUGCAUCGCGAAUACUCUGCUCCGCCCUCGCGGCCUCUCCAACACUCCCAAACCCUAGCUUGGCGUGACCCCAUGUCGGGGUCGUACGGAUCCGACGACUACCGCGGCGGCGGCGGCGGCUACGGCGGCCGAGGUCGCCUCAGGAUCCUCGGAAUUGGUUUUGUCUCCUCUUCCUGGAUCGUUUAUCUGACCUUUUUCGUGUCUGCGUAGGUGGCGGUGGUGGUGGCGGCGGAGGCGGUCGUGGGCGCGGCGGUGGUGGAGGAUAUGGCGGCAGCGGUGGAGGCGGAGGAGGAUAUGGAGGUGGCGGCGGUGGGGGAGGGUACGGCGGCGGCGGGAGAGGGGGUGGUGGUGGUGGAGGAGGCUACGGCGGCGGUGGCGGAGGCGGCGGGAGAGGUGGCGGGCGCGGGGGAGGACGCGAUGGUGACUGGACUUGCCCUGACGCAAGGUGGGUAUCGAAUUCUCGCUAUCUCGCUCUAGGAUUUGGUGUUGGGAUCUUCUCAACUGUCGUGGGGAUUUAGGCUAGGCAGAACUUUCAUGACAUUUUAUUGUUGGGAGCUUAUGCCGUAGCGCGGUCACUGGAAUUUCAAACAUCACACCAUUCUGAUGGUUUAGUUUCAACUUCUGCUAGAUGCCCUAUGGCCUUAAAAUCAUAACUUAUGAUCCUUGAUAUUCAUGUCUGUAAUUUACAUUUGAGAUUAUUGCCGGGCUAUAUGUUGAUAUACUAGCAUUAUUUGCCCUGGUUAUUUACUCUGUUAUAUAUAUAUUUUAUUGGUUGUUACACCAGAGCAUAUACAUUUAAUUUACCAUUGUAUUUCUUUGCGAUGUUGUUCAGUUAUUGGAAACAUCGGUGGGCUCUAGUUUUGUAAACACUACCAGGUGUUUUCAUGCUGAGUGUAUUAUCUUCUAUGCAAUCGUUGAGACUAAACGUAUAUGAAUUCUUGUUGCAGCUGCCUUAAUGUGAACUUUGCAAGGAGGACUGAGUGCAAUAAGUGUGGGGCAGUUAACCCAAGUGGAGGUGGAGGUGGUGGCGGCGGCGGUGGGUACGAUAGGUCUGGUGGAGGUGGAGGGUACAAUCGUGGUGGUGGUGAUCAUGGUUCAGGAGGCGGUGGCUACAGCAGAGGUGAUGGAGAUUACAACUCUGGUGGUCGUGAUGGUGGUGCCGGAGGAGCAAGAGGAGGGUAUAAUCGUGAUGGUGGGAGUGGCCGUGGUUUUGAUGACCACCGUGGUGGGAGCGGUGGCAGUUAUGGGGGAAGAGGCCAAGAGAACAACCAAGGUGACGGUGGCUAUGGACAGGCUCCCCCUAAAGGCCCUCCAUCCUAUGGCGGUCCUCCAGGUGACUACGCACCGCCCCCAAGUUCCUAUGGAGGCAACAAUGUGUACAGUUCAGAGUCUGCAGUGCCACCCCCUAACAGCUAUGGCGGCGGUCGAGGCUCUUACCCACCAAGCUAUGGUGCCCCACCUCCGAACCCAUAUAGUGGCGGUGCCCCAGGUGGGCAAGGAGGCUUGCCACCUACAUAUGAUGGUGGUUAUGGUGCUCGGUCUGUGCCUGGGGGUGGAGGCGCAGGUGGUGCUCCACCACCUUAUCAAGGUGGUGGCGGCGGUUAUUCUGCAAAUGCUGCCCCUGAACCUACUACAAAGGUUAAGCAGUGUGAUGCAAACUGUGAUGAUUCCUGCGACAAUGCAAGGAUUUACAUCUCAAACCUGCCUCCUGAUGUGACUGUUGAGGAACUGCAAGAGCUUUUUGGAGGAAUUGGCCAGGUAUAAUUUACCUUCUCUUGAAUUCUUUAUCAAUCUGUAAUAGCCUAGAGCUCCACAUGCUGUGCAUCUGUGCGGCCUCUAAAAACAUAUUUUGUGAAGUGCUGCUUAAUUUGAACUGUAUGUAUCAGUUCUUUAUUGCCUGAAUUCCGUGUUUGUGUUCCUCUUAAAGUAUCUCAUUUUCAACUUGGGCUGUUAAUACCUGUGCCCUAUGAUUUCAAGUUGUGUUCUGUUUUCAUCAAUUCAUACUUCAUUUUAAGUGUGUAAGCUGCACUUAUUGAUACUAGUAAUAAUCUAUUCUGUAAUGCAUGGUUGGACCCCAUCUAUCGUUCUUUUAAGAUAAGGUGCUUACUAACCAAAUGUUAAGUUUAUGUGUGGUGAGAUCAUAGCGAGGGUAAUUGUACCAGAUAAACUUUUUUCCACUGAUUAAAUAUGAAAACAUGUGUUGUUCAUCCAAGUGCAUGAACAACUUGCAUAGUUCGUAAUAAUCAGCUUGACUCUGCUCACAUAGUUCUACUCCAAAAUAGGCCAAUUUUUUUUAUCUCUGUUACCUAAAUAUAUGUUGUAGUUUUCUACUUCAAAACUUUAUAGACAUCCUGAGUCGGUCAGGUAAAAUAUCUUUGCCACAUAUCUUUGCCCAAGAACUCGCGAGAUGGCACACCCAUUGCUGUUGCUAAUCUUAGAGAAUAGAAUACUGUUAUUUUUCAAUUAUGUCGAGCACUUGUUGGUCAUUUUAUUUUGUUCUUUCAAUACUUGCAACUACUUUUUUAAAGGUUGGAAGGAUCAAGCAAAAACGUGGCUACAAAGACCAGUGGCCCUGGAACAUAAAAAUCUACACUGAUGAUUCUGGAAAAGCCAAAGGAGAUGCUUGCCUUGCUUAUGAAGAUCCUUCUGCUGCUCAUUCAGCUGGUGGAUUCUACAAUGGUAUGUUUAGUGCUGGGGUUGCAGCGAUGCAUCACAUUUUUCUAUCUAACACUGCUUUCCACUUCAUAAUGCAUAUAAUCUUCUUCCAUUUCAGAUUAUGACAUGAGAGGCCGUAAAAUUAGUGUUGUGAUGGCUGAGAAAUCAGCACCUAGAGCUCCUACAUCUGGUCAUGGGUAAGUACAUCUUGCUUGUUUAUCUGAUAAACACAAAUUCUGUAAUCUAAUGUCUACUCUGGGCCAAUUAUACCCUUUGGCCCCUGCUACAGUUUGAUAUCUCAAUUUGCAUUUUCCUAGCAUUGUCAUAUUAUUUUGUCCCGUGUCAUUGUGUUAUUUUACAGGCCUCUUCAAACUAUUUUGCGGAUAUGAUAGUAUUCCAUGACUUGUCUGGUUGUUGCAUUUUGGCCUGAAGAGUACAGAAUAGAACCAAACCAAGUUAACCUGAUUCAAAUUAUGUAUCAGACAUUGUUGGCAUGCUGCAUAUGCCUUUGAUGACCAGAUAAAGUCUGGAGUCAUUGCUAAGUACAGUUGACCAAUAUGCGGUUUUUCUUUUAAGCAGCUGAGCCUUUAAAUUAGCAUAUAUCUGAUGUAUCUCCAAUUGAGCAUUACUAAAAUCAUGAUUGGUUGUAUGAUGCUAACAUAUAACCUGUUUGCCGCAUUACUUGUUGUGCAGAGGUGGACGUGGUGGUGGAGGCGGCUAUGGCGGGGAUAGACGCAGAGAUGGAGGAGGCUAUGGCGGGCCUAACAGAAACCAGGGCGGUGGUUCACGAUCGCGACCAUACUGAAAACAGUCAUAUAAUUACUAAGAUUGUCAUCUGCAAGAAACCAUUUAUAUUCAUGUUCUCUCUGGACUUGUACUCAUACAGGAGAGCGUAAGGUAGGUUGUCUGCUUUCCCUGGACUUCUGUUCCAUUGUCUUAUUCCAGUGUUGGUCGGAUGUUUGUUUGUCAAAAGUGAUUGAUCUAUGUUGUGUGAAUUUUUCCUUAGAGGCAGCUGGAUAACCUCCAAAUGCUGAUAUGUUUGAGAUGUUAUUACAGGUGAGUGCCGAUCUAUUAUGAUUAUGCAAUGCUUUGCUAUUAUGGUGACUGGUUUCACCAUAUAUUAUUUUUCCUUUUUUGAUCUAAUGCUUACAUUCCACAUGGUAUUCAGCCGGUGGAUCACUGCUGUAAGCUUUGGAUUUUGCUUUGGAGAACAGGUAGGGCGUUUUUGUUGUGUGGUUGAUUCGCUCCCAGGAUAGUCUGCUAGUGACGUGGUUCUGUGAAUCUUAGAUGUAUUGAAGAAUCUUCAUAGACUUGCACCUCAGUGAUUAUUUCCAUCUAUUUGUAAAAUUUAAUUUACUUGAAGUAAAGCCUGUCUGAAUAUGAGGUAAUUAGCAGCUUGAUAUUACCUUGUCUUAGAUUUGACUAGAUACAUACUUAUUUAGAUAAAUAUAAAACAAGAAUUUAGAUAAACAUCCAAACAAGCACUAGCAUUAACGGAAUUUUCUUUAUCUACUCCCUUUGAGCUUCUGUCUGCUAGCCGAACUUCAGUGGCACGACAUUGCUAUCUGCUCUUUCAGACAAUCCUGAAGCUGCAGAUCCAGCUUCAGUUCAGUUGGCUCGAGUUUCAUCAAUUCAUUUCUUUCCUUGUUUGGUUCUUCUCUUAACAAUAAACUGCAGCUGACAUACUUGAGUUUCACCCGGUGAUGUUUUGAGCAACUUAUGGUACUUGAGUAAAGUAUCACUUAUUUCUUGAUUGUAGCCAGUAGAAGGUUGUGCAAAUGCGAUCUAUGCGUUACUAAAAGGAUUACCUUAUAUGCAUCAGUAUAUGUUACUACUUUCAUUGCCCUCCUCUAUGUUACCACGAGUGGACGUAGAAACCAUCACGGAAGUCGGCUCACAGAUAAAGUGGGUGUUUUGUACACGUAAAAUACACUAGUGUAGUGAGUCAACGUUAUGGAAACACGUCUACAAAAUACGUGCAAAAUUAUCGCAACUCUUUCACUUACACAAACUGCGUGCUUACGUCUCGCGUCUCCGAGAAUUUUUCACUGAAGGAUUUAUGUCUUCGCCGGAUUCUCGGAGCAAGGGCGUUCGUCCUGCUUCAUGCGGCAGUUCCAGGAAGCUGGCUCGCGCAGAGCUUCCGCACGGGGCCUAAAACAGGGAGAGUACGCGUCUUUAAAUAAAUUUUGACCCAUGAAGUGAGGAGAGCAUUUUUCGCUUUUUUUUUAGCAGAGUACAAUCAAAGUUGCUCACAUAUGAGCACAUACUCAUCCGUAUGAACGCACGCACUCACAUCCUACCCCUAUGAGCACUUUUAAAAGAAUAAGCCGGCACAUUAUCUUAAGAUUGACGAAGUCGUCACCGACGCCUUCGUUGUUGAUGGGAACGUCUCCUCCCAUUAAAAGCACAUCGACGGAAGAUCUGUAAUAAAUUUAGAAAAAUACAAGCACCAACGUCAAGUCUGAAACUUGAACUCUGAUAGGCAGGGAAUACCACAGUCCUCCUAACCAUCCAACUACGACAAGCACCGGAAGCCAAUCUUUGUUUCCUUCUUGUCUUUCUAUGCAAGCCGAAGCUUAAAUAAAACCAAUUUUUUUUUACCUGAGGCACCAGCAUAAACACCUAUGUUGUACAGUGCAUUAUGAAAUCUCCAACGCGGAUCACAAAACCGUUGGUAUGCAACUGGGAAUGCGUGGUACUGCAAACUAAGGUAAACCAGCCCUUCCCCUCGAAAAACUUCCUCCUCGUGCACGAGCGACGCGACCAAAAAUUCGUUGGGCUCCCAACAAGCGUUAUUGUUUAACGUCUUUAGCCAGGCAUUGACAAUUCAAUGAUGCUCACAUAAAGGAUAGCAAUCGGACACGAAGAAAACAUCAUGAAACAUGUGACAAACAUAUCUAAGUCUGACAUACUUCCUAUGCAUAGGCAUUUUAUAGAAAAACAGAUUGUCUUGACAAUCAAUAGUUAUCAUAUGCAAGGAAGAAGAAUGAGAUAAUAGCAAUCUCAACAUAACGAAAGGGUGGUUUAGUAACAUGAAAGAUUUUACCACAAUAUUUUUCUCUCUCAUUACAUGUGGGAUCAUAUUCAAAUUCAACAAUAUAGCUAUCCCAUAGGAUAUUCUUUUCGUGAUCCACAUGCAUGCAAAGUUGACACUCUUCAAAAAUAGUGGGAUUAUCAUCAACUAAAGUCAUGACUUCUCCAAUCCCACUUUCAAUGUUAUUGCAAACAUCAUAUUCAUCAUGAGGCUUAAUUUUUUUUUCAAGAUCAUAAGAAAAAUCAUCACCCCAAUAAUGAUCAUUGCAACCAGUAGUGGACAUAACAAAACUAGCAUCCCCAAGCUUAGGGUUUUGUAUAUUUUUAACAUGAUUGUCAAAUAGAAUUUAUAAUGAAACCAUUGCAAUCAUGUUUUUCAUCCAAGGAGCCCUCGUGAAUCACUUCAUAUAUUUUUUCCUCGCAAUUUUCAGAUUCACGCAUCUCAAGCAAAACUCCAUAGAAAAAGUCAAGUGCACUCAACUCACUAGCAAUUGGAUCAACAUAAUUGGAUCUCUUAAAGAGAUUAGCAAGUGGAUGAGGAUCCAUAUCAAUAGAUUUUCAGCAAGCGAAGAUGCAAGCAUAUUGAAGGCACAUAGCACACAAGCGAACAGAAAGCAAGCGAAAGAAAAGGACGAACCAAAAAGGCAAAUAUUUUUUUGUAAUUUUUUGUUUUUAAGAAGUGGGGGAGAGGAAAACGAGAGGCAAAAAAGUAAAUACAAGGGAUGAGUUUGCGACACUUACUUGGAUGAGUUCUUGACUUGAUCCUCCCCGGCAACGGCGCCAGAAAUUCUUCUGCUAUCCCUGGCAACGGCGCCAGAAAUCCUUCGACUACGGCGACAGAAACCUUCUGUCGUCUCUUGAGCUUGCGUUGGUUUUUCCCUUGAAGAGGAAAGGGCGAUGCAGCACAGGAGCAGUAAGUAUUUCUCUCAGUUUGAGAACCAAGGUAUCAAUCCAGUAGGAGAAUCUCGUCAAGUCUAGAGUAUCUGCGCAAACACAAAAGAGCUUGCACCCAACGCUAUAAAGGGAUUGUCAAUCCCUUCAAGAUUGAUUGCAAAGUGAGAUCUGAAGGCGGAAAGUGCAACGAAGUAAAAGUGUAAGGCUGAAAAUAUGGUGUGGAGUAGACCCGGGGGCCAUAGUGUUCACUAGAGGCUUCUCUCAAAAUAGCAAGUAUUACUGUGGGUGAACAUAUUACCGUCGAGCAAUUGAUACAACCGCGCAAAGUCAUGACGAUAUCUAAGGUAAUGAUCAUACAUAUAGGCAUCACGUCCGAGACAAGUAGACCGAUAAUUUCUGCAUCUACUACUAUUACUCCACACAUCGACCGAUAUCGAGCAUGCAUCUAGUGUAUUGAGCUCAUGACGAACAGAGUAACGCCUUAAGCAAGAUGACAUGAUGUAGAGGGAUAACCUCAAACCAAUGAUGAAAACCCCAUAUUUUUACCCUUGAUGGCAACAACGCGAUGCGUGCCUCGCCACCACUUCUGUCACUGGGUGAGGUCGCCGCACGGUAUGAACCCAAAACCAAGCACUUCUCCCAUUGCAAGAAUCAUAGAUCUAGUUGGCCAAACAAAACCCACAACUCGAAGAGAAUUACAAGGAUAUGAAAUCACGCAUAAGAGAGAUCAGAAGAAACUCAAAUAAGACUCAUAGACAAUCUGAUCAUAAAUCCACAAUUCAUCGGAUCUCGACAAACACACCGCAAAAGAAGAUUACAUCGGAUAGAUCUCCAUGAAGAUCAUGGAGAACUUUGUAUUGAAGAUCCAAGAGAGAGAAGAAACCAUCUAGCUACUAGCUAUGGACCCGUAGGUCUAUGGUGAACUACUCACGCAUCAUCGGAUAGGUCAUGGUGUUGAUGAAGAAGCCCUCUGUAUCCGAAUCCCCCCUCCGGCAGGGCAUCAGAACGUGCCCCAGAUGGGAUCUUGCGGAGACAGAAGCUUGCGGCGGCGGAAAAGUAUUUUCGAUGAUCUCCUGAUUUUUUCUGGGAUUUUAGGGAAUAUAUAGGCGCAAAACCUAGGGCAGAGGAGGUCCAGGGGGCCCACAAGCUAGGGAGGCCCGGCCUCCCCCCUGGCCGGGGCUAGGGGGCUUGUGGGAUCCCUGGGGACUCCCUGCCUUGGUUCUCAAGUCUCCCAAUCUUCUUCUGUUUCGGAAAAAAUCUUUUCGGGGAUUUUAUUCCGUUUGGACUCCGUUUCAAAUCUUCCUCUGAAAAGGGUCAAAAACACGGAAAAAACAGGAACUGGCACUUGGCACUGAGUUAAUACGUUAGUCCCAAAAAAGAUAUAAAAGGCAUACAAAACAUCCAAAGUUUGACAAGAUAAUAGCAUGAAACCAUCAAAAAUUAUAGAUACGUUGGAGACGUAUCAAUCGCCGUUCACUUUCUGCUUACUGUGUUUUUCUUGGUGGUUCUCUCAUUGCUUGGAAAACGAAGAAAUAGACCACAGUUUCACGUUCGAGUGCAAAGACUGAGUUGCGACUGAUGGCUCUUUUGACGACAUAAGUGACUUGGUUACGGUGGUUACUUCAGGAUUUUGGUGUUUCUGUCACUACACCUACUAGGCUCUUAUCUGACAGUACAUGUGCUAUCAGCAUUGCACGCGAUCCUGUGAAGCAUGAGCUCACCAAGCACAUUGAUGUUGAUUCUUUUUAUGUGUGUGCUGGUGUGCAGGAUCAGGUUAUUGCUCUUCAGUAUGUGCCUUUCGAGUUACAGUUGGCGGAUUUCCUGACGAAGGCCCAGACUAGAGCGCAACAUGGCUUAUAUCUCUCCAAACUCAGUGUUGUUCAACCACCAUGAGUUUGAGGGGGGUGUUAGAGUAUAUAUAAUAUAGCCAUGUACCCCUUUGUAUUUAUCCCAUUGUAUAAGGGGUUCUCUGCAUAUAGUCCACACAUGUACAUGUAUAUAUAUUGUCCUAUGGCCUCAUGGGAAUACAAGUUGCAUAUUCCUAACAGUAGUAAACCGUGAGCCACGAGGACUCGGCAAUCUCAUGACCUUGGUAUCGAGUCUAACUAAGUUAAUAGGUGAGAUAGGGUUAAGUGUUUGAGUUUGCAGCAAUCUAAGCAUAUAUGGUGGCUAACUUACGAAGAACAGAAAUAUGAUAUGGUGGACUACGUAAGACGGUCGAGAUAUAAGGAUGAUCACUAAGUGAUACUGAACACCUACUUACGUCAUUCAUAACCCCACCGCGUUCUCGAUCAGAGAAGGAGCUCUGAAAGAGACAGUCACGGUUACACACUCAGUUGGCAGGUUUUUAUUUAAGUUACUUUAAGUUAUCUAGAACCGGAUGUUAACAAAAUAUCCAUGAUUGCCAUAUAACCGCGGGUACAGCUUUCCGAAAGAUUUAACCCUGCACGGGUGCUCCAACUAGUCCAUCACAAAUUACCACAGGCCGCAUAGUAACCCUCUACCACAAAACUCAUGAUCUCGUCGGAUUCCUUAGUGGAAAACCUCAACUUUGAGAAGAUCCAAAGUCUCACCGGAAUCCCAGUGUGUAAGAUAUAUAGCUAAGGUAAGACAAGUCCGGCAAGACCUCUCGACGUGUCGACGAACCCGAUAGGAGCCGCGUAUCUCGUUCUGGGGACACGACGGAUGAGCACUACGUACAGUGGCGGGAUAGACAUCCCCCGAGUUGCCCCGGGUGUCCCCGCAAGUGGCUCUGGUUUGUACCAACACUCAUGAGGAGCACUGGCCCGGGGGGGGGAUUGAUUAGAUUCCUCGAGGUAGCUAUUCCCCAUGUUUUAUUAUUAUUAAGUUGUUAGCAAAUUAACACCAAAGUUGGGUCUUUCCAGACAGGCCUUAACACUAAACGAUUUAUCAAGGGGGUCCCCAUAACAACCCCGAACAUGUUAGGAGCGCUCAGUUAUGGAAUAAAACACCGGUAGCCGAAACUAAGGCAACAACAACGGAACAAAUCACCCGACAAAAGGCUAGGCCUCCCGCUAUUUACCAAGUAUAUAGGUGCAUUAAUUAGAUAGAAAUUUAAAUACGAUGAUAUCAAUUGCCCAUGUAAUCACAUGGAUCAGCUGGCACCUGCAACUAGCAACGCUAACAAAUUAGUGGUUGAGCAAGCCUAACUUAGCCAAACAAUAUUUGCUAGGAGGGGAGGUGUUUGAGGUUUUAUGGAAAUGUUAGAUGGCCUAUAUAUCAUGUGGUAGGCACCGGAGAUGUAACGAUAGAAACGAAUCACUAAGCAUAACAAAGCUAGAAACAGUGUCAAGGUCACAAUCAUCUUGCCUGUGGUUUCUCCAGAGUGGAACUGUUCCUGAUCUUCCCGCACGAACUCACCGGACUCCUCGAACUCGUUUCCGCCCCCAGUAGCUACCCAAAAGAAACAAACAUCUAAUAAACACCAGCAACAGAUGAUGCAACAGGCAAUAUGAUGCAUGUAUGCACAACUCCAAACAAGCACAGAAAACAACCCUACUCAGACUACAAAGUGCCACCUCACCACAAAGUGACUUUUUCAGAACUGCUCAAAACUGAAUUCCAGUACCGGCAUUGGAUUCCUUGGAUUUUUUUUACCCCAAAUACAUAUAUCAUACCGCCAUAUUUGCAUGCAGAAAAACACCACAAAUAGCAAAAGAAAAACUACCCAGAAUCAAGCUAUUCUAUUGUCAAGAACAUGAACUGUUCUUGAGCCUGCCAAAUUUGGCAUAUGUCAGAUUAGGCAGAUUUCAUUUUAGGAAUUAUUCCAAAGAUGGAAUUUAUCACAUCACAGAAAUAAAUAAAGGGAAAAAUAAAAUAUCAACUAAACCUAAAAAGAUAGGGGGGCACUGGUCAUAGGUACUAGGGUCCCUAGUGCACGACAUGUGGGCCCUGGCCCCACUUGUCAGUGGCACACACAACACAACACACCACUGAUACAUCCCAAACGUAUCUAUAAUUUAUGCUUGUACCAUGCUCUUUUGGGUGACAUUGUUAUGUGUUUUGCUACACUUUCAUACCUUUUUACACAUAUUUGGACUAACCUACUAACUCAGUGCACCCAUUACCAGUUUUUGUGUGUUGAUGUCUCUGAAUUCCAGGUUUAUACCCAUACUUACAGUGCCCGAAAAGUUCCACAGAAAAUAUAUAAAAAUCAGCGUUCCAGAAGACUGCACACUCCCGAAGGAGAGCCAGAGGGGGGCCACACCCCACCCAGGCGGCCACCUGGCGCGGCCUAGGGGGAGGUCGUGCCACUAGGCUGCCUGGGCGAGUGGUACCUCCCCUGGUGCCCCCCUUUGGCCCUAUUUUUACACCUGUGGAGGAAACCCUGAUUGUAGAACCCUUUUCUCCAAAAGCAAUUCCGAUCUCCGCUGCCAUCGCCAACAAGUUUCGGGGAACCAGAAUUCCUCUGUCGGCACCCUUCCGGGACGGGGAAGUGCCCCCGGAUUCAUCUCCAUCGACGUUUCUUCCUCCCUCCAUGAAGCGAGAGUAGUUCCUCCUCGGGGCUGACGUCUUCUACAAUAGCUAUGUGGUUAAUUUUCUCUCCCAUGAUGUGAUCUUGAUUGUGAUCAUAUGCUAUGUUAAUCUAGGGUGAUCCCAUGAUGUUUCCCAUUCUUCUGUGUAUUGGAUUGAUGUAAUCACUUGAUCUUAUCUAGUAUAGUCUCCGAGACCAUGGUGAUAGCGGUCUAUUGGACAUGGAUUAGAAGAAUAUUUUCAUGAGUGAUUUCCCCUUUUGUGAGUUGAUUGAAGAUUGAGAGUCUCUUGGUGCUUGUCUUUGACUAUCCGUGAGACAUGUUAUAGUGAUUGUGGUACUCUCUUUGGAUGGUUGCAGUGACAUUGGGAAAUCCAUAGAUGAGAACUACGAACACUGAGGUGUGCUUUUGUAGCCUACAUAAUUCUCGUCCUCCCUUGAUCACAAAGGAAUGAUCUCCGAGUACGUCUCCAUUGCAUGUUUUAGUGGAAAUAUCAUGUGAUUAGACUAUGUUAAUGUUGUUGGGAGUUUCCACUAGUGAAAGUAUGAAGCCUAGGCCUUGUUUCUCACCAAUGUUACACCGUUUGUGCUCACUUUUGUCACUUGCUACCUUGCUGUAAUUUUUUAUUACAGAUUUAUAUUACCUUGCUUUGCCACACCUAUCACCCAUAUUUUACCAUCUCUCCGCUGAACUAGUGCACCUAUACAAUUUACCAUUGUAUUAGGUGUGUUGGGGACACAAGAGACUUCUUGUUUCUUAAUUGCAGGGUUGCUUGAGAGAGAGAGACCAUCUUCAACCUCUACUUCCCCGAGUUCGAUAAACCUUAGGUCAUCCACUUUAAGGAAAUUGUUGUUGUCCUACAAACCUCGGCGCUUGGAGGCCCAACAUAGUGUACAAGAAUAGAAGCGUGCAUAGACAUCAAGCUAUUUCUAGCGCCGUUGCCGGUGAGGUGAGUGCUUGAAGGUAUAUCUUUGGAUCUUGCAAUUAAAUCUUUUCGCUUCUUGUUUUUAUUUUCACUAGUUAGGCUUAUGGAAAACUGCAGUCUUAGUUCACUGCUUGGGGAACUCUGCUUUACCACACCCAUGGUAGAGAAGUCUCCUCCACCUACUAAAUGUAUCCCAUUCGAAAUACCACUUGUGAUAAUUGAAAUAAUUAGGAAUGAUUGUUAUGCAGGAGAUGGAACAGUCAAUCCUAGUAUUCAUUUGUUGAAACUUACAGAACUUUGUGUAUUGUUUAAGAUUUCAGGUUUGACAAGAGAUGGAGUCAUCAGGAAAUUAUUUGCCUUGUCACUGAAAGGAAAAAAUAUUGGAAUGGUAUAGGCUACUAGAUAAUUCUCACCUACGGGAUUGGGAGGAGAUCUAGUCUCUCUUUUACUCCAAGUUUUAUCCUCUUCAUGAAGUCCAUGAGAAUAGGAAUUAUGUUUAUAAUUUCUAUCCUCAUGACGGAGAGAGCAUAGCUCAAGCUUGGGGGAGACUGAAAACUUUAAUGCUAAAAUGUCCUAACCAUGGGCUCCCCAAAGAUAUGAUUAUUACUAAUUUCUAUGCGAGGUUCUCUCGACAGGAUAAAGACUUGCUCGAUGCUUCCUCUAUGGGUUCUUUGACAAACGAAAGGAUUGAUGCUAAACGGGAACUCCUUGAAAGAAUUCAAUGCAAUACUGAAGAUUCGGAGAUCGACAAAGGUAAAGAGUCAGGUAUAAAUUAUGAGUAUGAUUGCAUUAAGGCCUUUGUUGAAACUGCAAGUUUUAAUAAGUUUAGUGCUAAGUUUGGGCUUGAUUCUCAACUCCUUGUUGAUUUCCUAAAAUCUUUUGCUUCACAUCUUAAUAUGCCUAAGGAGAAUUGGAUCAAGCAUCAUGAACCUUUUAAAGAGAUUUGCAAAGAAAAUGAAAUUGUUAAUGAUAAAUGCAACGUGCAUGAUCCAAAUCCUGAAAAUGAAGUUUUAUAUAAGCAUGUUAAUUUUUCUGGAGUGGAUAGACCUUGUGAAAGGCCUAUGAUUGAAGACGAGAAGUAUUGUAAGCACCAUAAGCAUGAAAGAACAAUCACUUGGGUUAGAGAUUUAAAUGAAAUUGCUAAAGAAUUAUGUGACCUUUAUCCUUUUACUUGUGAACUUUAUGGUAUAGAGGGUCACUUUAAUUUUCAAUGCAUGCACUAUCAAAUAACUGUUAGCCAGUUGUGUGAUAACAUGAUCACUUCUGAUCUUUAUGAUGAAAUUAUGUUAUUUUUGAUGUGUGAAGAGUUAUCAAAAAGAACUUCUUAGCUAGAUGAUAAUGCCUUAGGAAUAAACAACACUUUGCAAAAAUCCCAUCUCUAUUGUGUUGUUAAUUGCCAUGAAAAUGAUUACAUAAGUAAGAUUAGAAAGGAGGGAACUUUACCAAAGCAUAAAAAUGUCUCUUAUGUUUCCACUAAUAAAAAGGAGAGUUUCUCGCAUGUUUCCCCUAUUGUUUCUAAUGAUAAACCAGAAUAUGUGGAGAAGAUUUCUCUCCAACCACUCCCUCCUAAGGUGAAGAAGAUGAAAAAGAAGAGGAGGAAGAGGAACAAGAAGGAAGAAGAAUGGGUAUCAACCUCGCUUGAGCAUAUGAUACGUCUCAAACGUAUCGACUUUUCCAAACACUUUUGCUAUUGUUUUGGUCUCAUUCUUGCAUGAUUUGAACGAAACUAACCCGGACUGGCGUUGUUUUCAGCAGAGCUGCCUGUAUGGUUUUCUUAUGUGCAGGAAAAAUGGAUUUUUAGGUGUCCCGGAAAAUUCCAAUAAAAAUAGAGAAAAAUCCAUGCAUCAGGAGGAACCAUUGGCCAGAACAUGGCCCAGAGGGGGUCACCGGGCCUCCACGCGACCUGGUGGCGCGACCUACCCCCUGGCCGCGCAAGGAGGCCGCCUAGGUGGGGCCCACCCCCUCUGGUGCCCUACCUUGGCUCCUAUUUUUACCCGUGAUGGAGAAAUUCUAGAACAGAAGUCGUUUUGCAAGUUCUCAACGCGCAGCCGCUGCCACCCUCGCUUCUUCUUCGGGAGAGCUAAUCUGGAGGCUGCCUUGGCCUCCGGAGAGGGGAAAUCGUCGCCAUCGUCAUCACCAUCACCACUCCAUCACCCUUCCAUGGCUUCCCCUUUCACGUGUGACUAAUUCCCUGCUCUAGGUGAUGGGGAUGGUAGGGAUUGGAUGAGUUAGAUCAUGUAAUAGUUCAUCAGACUGUUGGGGGCAUGUUGCCUAUCAUCUACUAUGGUGUUUAUCAUCUUUGCUACUACUUGUUACUCUUAAUGCUUGUCACAUUGGGCCCGAGUGCCAUGAUUUCAGAUCUGAAUACCUUAUGUUUUCAUGAAUAUAUUUGUGUUCUAAGAUCCUAUCUAUGAGUAGUAUGCACCUAUUAUAGUCCGGAACCAGCGAUCCCAAUGGUGACAGCUUGGGACACUAAAGGGGAUAGACUAUGAUUUGAGGAUUCCAUGUAUCCAUUGAUUGUUAAUGCUUUGUCCCGGUGCUCUUUGACAAGAGCACCUUAAUCUCCGUAAGUUCCUUUUGGCCCCGUUGGUAGCGGGAUGGUAGGACAAAAGAUGUUGUGCAAGUUCUUAUUGCAAGCACGCACGACUACCUUGGGAUACAUGCCUAAUGUUUGAUAUUUGCCUAGAUGAUCAUUACUUUCCUAUGUGCCUUGCCCCAAGUUAAAUACAUGAUAUCUCUCAUCCAUGACCGACCAUCCAUCUCCCUAGCCUACAGUGUUUUAAUCCUGCUGGUUACAAGUUGCUUUACUUUUGCUGUUUUACUUUCGUUGCUUUGCCACCUUUAUUUCUGUUGCCACCAUCACCCAUAUCACCGUUGCUACUAAUAUUUCGUUGACAAUCAAGUAUCUUUCACGUGCGGUUGAAUUGACAACUCAACUGUUAAAACUUAUAAAUAUUCUUUGGCUCCCCUUGUGUCGAAUCAAUAAAUUGGGUUAUCCUACCCGCGAAAACUGUUGCGAUCGCCUACACUUAUGGGUUAUCAAAACUAUUUUCAGGCGCCGUUGCCGGGGAGCAUAGCUUUAUUUACAAGUCUACUUGGAGUUAUUUUUCUUACUGCGAUUUAUCCACUAUGGGUAAGAAAGGAGACCCCAAGGUUCCAAUUUUACCAUCUACAACAAGAAAAGGUAUUGUUCUUAGCACUAGUGAUACGCUUGAUUCACCUUCCGUUAUGAGUAAGUUUGCUUCACCACCACCACAUGCUACUUCUACCGAAUUCGUUACUAUGUCUGAUACUUUUGAUGAUGCUUCUACUACUCUUGAUGAGACUGGUUUACUUGGUUAUUUUAUUGAGUCUCAAAUUGCUAAGGUUGCAAAGCAGUCUGGAAUUGAAAUUCCUGUUACACGCUACCCCAUCGGUAGAUCCUUUGGUUACCUAGACUUGAGUGGUCUCAGGGAAAUAAUUCUUGAUGAUGAUUUGUGCAGGGAGCUUACAGAGUGUGCUGACUCUAACCGUGCUUCUGUUAAGAAGCUGCUUGAAAAGCAUUCUAUGAAGAACAAAUUUACUCCUAAUCCUAAAUUUGCUUCAUCUCCUAUUUGCAUUGAGGAUGCUGAUUUUGAUUUCCCUGUCGAUCUUUCACUUAUAUCCACAGUUGAAGCUGACCCCUUUUAUGGAAGAGAAAAUGACGAUGCUAUUGCACACCUUACCAAACUCACUGAGUUGGGUGGCUUAUUCACUACAAAGGACAAGAAGAGAAAUUAUUAUGUUACUAAGCUACUUCCUUUCUCUUUGAAGGAAAUGCUAAAGCAUGGUAUGAUGCACUACCAUGUGGUUCCAUUAAGAGUCCUCAAGAUUUAGCUAAAUAUUUUGUUGCCAAAUAUUUUCCUGCUCGUAAGCAACAUGCUGCUUUACAAAGAGUAUAUAACUUUAAACAGUUGCAGGAUGAGCACCUCCCUAAAGCUUGGGGGAGGUAUUGCACUUUACUCAAGGCUAGACCGGGACAUGGAGUCCCUAAGAAUGAAUUGCUUGAUAUAUUUUAUGUUGGUCUAACCGAUGAAUCUAGAAACUAUUUGGAUAGUUGUGCUGGUUGUGUUUUCAGGGAAACAACACCGGACGAUGCUGAAGAACUAAUUGACAAGAUAACUAAGAAUCAUGAUGAUUGGUCCGUUCAUGAACCACCUCCACCACCAAAGAAGAGGGGUAUGCUUUUUCUUGAGCCCUGAAGUUAUGCAAGAAGCCAAGAAGUCUAUUAAAGAGAAAGGUAUUAAAGCUGAAGAUGUGAAGAAUCUACCUCCUAUUGAGAAAUUAUGUGAACCUACCACUCACCCACCUAUGGUAGAGGUACACUCUCUUUUAGAAUUCAAUGCAAGUGACAUCCCUCAUGGUAAGCCUCCUGAUCAAUGUUUAGAUGAGCUUGAUAAUUUCAUUCUCAAGCAAAGUCAUUUUAAUGAGAGGAUUAAAAGCCAAUUGCAUGAUAAUUUCCUUGCUAUCGAAAGUGUGCUUGAUGUUUUAAGUAUAACUAUUAAUGAUGUUAAAGGUCUUGUUAAGCAUUUUCAUAUGGUUCAAACUUAGCUUGAAUUUUUUUUCUAAUGUGCAAAAAGAUUUGCUUGCUAACAAUGCCAAACAAGUUGAUACAUAGGCAUAUGGUAUAAAGACCCGAGGUGGUACACACACCCAGGACCCCCUCUAUCCGGAGGGGCAUCCAAAGAGGAUCGAGCAAGAUUCUCAAUUGCAGGAAGAAGACGUUGUCACCUCCCCGAAGAAGAAGAAGAAACACAAGGAAGUUGAUAACUCAAAUGAUCCCAUAAUUGAUGAAGAAUCGAGGUCUUUACAGCCUUUUAUGAUGACAGCAUGCUCUCCAUGUUUCACUUACCACUGUCUGCUCAAGCUUAUCAGGAACUGCUUUUGGUCCAAUCUUUGCUUCAGGACCUGGAUCUUGAUCAUCAGGCCUCUGACAGAUGGGUAUGGGGAAAGGAUGCUAAGGUCUACACAGCCAAGAGCUACUACGCUCAUAUUCAUAGCAGUAUUAUACCAAGCCCUUUACUCAACUGGAUCUGGAGAAGCUGUUGUACCAUGAAGAUUAAGAUGUUUGCCUGGAUGCUCAUCAUGGACAGGCUAAAUACUCAAGAUAUGCUUGAACGACGUCACUGGAAUGUUUCUGACUCCAACCUUUGUGUUCUAUGUCAUGCUCGAGUCAAGGAAGACAGAGAUCACUUAUUCUUCAACUGUCUUUUCAGUACCAGGGUCUAGAAUUACCUGCAGAUCACAUGGCAGGGUCCAUCCAUGUGGAGUGCUGUUGUUGCUGCUAAAAGGGACUUUCAUAACCCUUUCUUUGCUGAGGUGGUCUUCACUGCAUGUUGGAACAUCUGGACUAUCAGAAAUGCAAAGGUCUUCAACCAGGAGCAGCCAAAGUUCAGAAAAUGGAGAUCUGGAUUCAUUCAUGACAUUUCUCUGUUAGCUCAUAGAAUUAAGGCUAGUUUGAGGGAUGAUCUCCUUAAAUGGGUUUCCUUUUUGCCUCCUUGAGGUUUGUAAUCCUUCCUCCUCUUCCCCUUUGUACAUUCUAAUCUCCUCUUGUACAUAUUGCUCUCAUAUAUGGGAAUAAAGGAAAAAUGGCUGUGGGGGGUUUUCCUUACAGUAGCCGGUCAAAAAAAAUUGAUGAAGAACCUAUUGUUGAUCCUAAUAGUAUAUCUAUUUCCGAUGUUGAAACCGAAGAUGGUGCUGAACCUGAUAAACAUAAUGAGAAGAAUGAUCCUCCUGAAGUACAAGAAGAAGAAGCACCCGACAAGCGCAAGAGAUAUACUAGAGAAGACUUUGUUGCAAGAAGACAUGGGAAGGAAAGAGAACCAUGGGUACAGAAAUCAAUGCCCUUCCCAGGUAAGUCUUCCAAAACCAAAGAAGAAGAGCAUUACAAUAAAUUUUGUGAAUGGAUGAAACCUCUUUUUCUUCAAAUUCCUUUGACUGAUGCUAUUAAGUUGCCUCCGUACUCGAGGUAUAUGAAAGAUAUUGUUACUAAUAAAAGAAAAGUUCCUAAUGAGGCAGUAUCUAGUAUGCUUGCUAAUUACUCUUUCAGUGGUAAGAUACCCGAGAAGCCUGGUGAUCCAGGUAUACCCACCAUUCCGUGCUCCAUAAAAAAUAAUUAUGUUAGAACUGCUUUAUGUGAUCUUGGUGCAGGAGUGAGUGUUAUGUCUUUCUCUCUUUACAAAAGGCUUUGUCUAGAUAAAUUAAUCCCUACAGAUAUCUCUAUUCAAAUGGCUGAUAAGUCAACAGCCAUUCCUGUCGGUAUUUGUGAGGAUGUUCGUGUUGAAGUUGUUAAUUGCUUGAUCUUACUGACUUUGUUGUGCUUGACAUGCCCGAGGAUGGGAGCAUGUCUAUUAUUCUUGGUAGACCUUUUCUUAACACCGCGGGUGCUAUUAUUGAUUGCAAUAAAGGAAAGGUGACUUUCAAUGUUAAUGAGAAGGAGCACAUGGUAUAUUUUCUGAAUAAGAUCGAUAAAAGGCAUGGCCUUAAUUCUAUUGUGAAUAUUGAGACCGUGAAGGUUGGAGAGUGGGAUUGUCCUCUACAUGUGCACCACAAAUACAAAACCAUUAUGGUGGGGAAAAUGUCCAUUAAAAUAAAGGUACCUGAUUGCUUUAUAAGAAGUGAAACUUUUUGCUCGAUAUAACACCUGUUUGGUAGUAAGACUUGAUCAACCUUGCUAACAAAUAUGUUUUAUGUGAGUAAAAAGAGAAGCUUGUCAUGUUUUCAUUUCCUUUAUCUUUCAUCCUCCUUGCUGUACCAAAGUUUUAUGAUUUUGAAACUUCAUAUGUUUAACCAUUGCUUUGAGAUUUCCGGAAGUUUUGCAGCUUUCGAUACUUCGAAAAAAAUUCAAAAGAGAAGUUGUCAGAAAAAUUGUAAUAAAAAUUUCCAUCGAAAAAGAGACACAGGGGCACCUGGGGCCAACCAGGGGGCCACCCCUGGUCCAGGUGGCCAGGUGGCGCGGCCUGGGCCCACCUGGUUCCCUUUCCAUGUACUUCUUCCCUUCUCACUCUCUCACUCCAAAAAUCCCAAUUUUUCUCCCGGAUCUCGAGUUCUUGUUGUUCUUGGUGGCAAAUUUUGAUCUCUCUCUACGACCCAUCAUUUGCAUUGAGAAUUUUGAGCAUUUGCUCCUUGGUAUGUGACUCCUCCACUCCUCCAAUUAGAAUUUUGAUUGGUAGUCUUAUUUGUGAGUAUUUAGGAGUUCUUGGUGUUUUUCAUAUGAGCUUGCAUGCAUGUUUAGAAAUUUAUUUAUGAAGUUUUGACGCAAGUUUAUGCAUCAGGGAAGUGAGUAGAAUAGUUUGGUCCAACUCAUUUUGCUUAAAUCUUCAUUUUUGUGAUGUACCAAAAUUUUUAGAAAUGAGUUUGUUUGGAAAAGCAAAAGGAUGGCUUGGGAAGAAGAGACCCGAGCCUACCGAUAGACUAACUAGAGUUGCAGCUUCACCCUCUACUGUGAGGACAAGUUACAAUGAUGAUAUUGUGCCACCGGAGUUGCUCCACGAGAUGGAAACGACACGUGCCAUGACAUACCCGUGUUCAGAUUUCCUUGCGGCCGCAUGUAUUAAGGAUGAGUUUGAUAACCUCUGUCCAGCUGCAGGUUUGACACUUCUUGUAACACGACGUGCGCCACAAUACCCAAAACUCACCUAUUAUUUUGUCAACUGGUUUAGAUAUAAUGAUAAAACUUCCAUGAUUGAAUUCAAAUUAUAUGAGGAUGUCUUUACCAUGUCUUUGGCAGAAUUUUGUGACGUUAUAGGUGUGCGGAAUGUCGGUAAGACGACCAAAAUGAAAGUUCAGCCCUACGAGCUGAAAUCCCUAUUCGCUUCCCUUUGCAGCAAGGAUCCGCAAGACAUUCACCGAGGAAAGAUUUCCAACAUCUUGUUUCCCCACAUCAGGUAUUUCGCAUACUAUAUUGCUCGAGGGGUGUUAGCUCGUGACAACACGAGCAACAUUUCGGCUCCGGAUCUUGCUAUCUUGGCAGCCGCCCUCUUAGGAGAUAACACGUAUAACAUUGGUGCUUUGAUUGCUCGUCGCCUCGUCGCUAACAGCGGCAAAGGGACUCACUUUGGUGGCAUUUAUGCCACGCUUAUCCUCGAGCACCUCGAGCGCACUCUACGUGCGGAUGAUACGUCUUUUUCAUUCAUAAGCUUUGAUCUUACCGCUAUGAAGAGGCAUGAGUUUGUUACUAGGACUUCUGAGUUUGAUAACCUUGUUUAUAUUAUGAGGUUCGGCAAGCUUACUACUCGCGAGAUCCGUCUACGUGCACCACUUUUGUUUGAUUACACUAGCAGGAACGAAUUGUCCUUCACCUCAAUUGAGUUGGACGAGUUCGUGAUCCAGCAGCAGUUCCACAACCCCGUGGAGGGGGUUGUUCCCAAGGAAGAGGAGCCUUCUUCUUGGGAGUAUAGCCGGGCAUCAGUCUAUGCGCCCGAGGCCCCGUACGAUUCUUGGAGCUACCAGUACCACCCCGGAGCCGGAGGGAGCUCCUGGAGCCCGCAAUAGCCAAGCCCAACUUAGUCCAAAAGCCUAAGCUUGGGGGAGUACGUACCCUUCUCCACUUUCAUUGUAUCAUCCGUGGUUUCCUUUUUAAUAUUUUCCGAGUUUUUGCCUGUUCUUUUUUAUUCUUUCUUUGCAAAAACAACAAAAAUAUUUCUCUUUUCUUUUGCUUUUGUUUAGCCUUUGGAAAACCCAAAAAGAUUUCCUUUCUCUCUUUAGUUUGCUUUGUUUGCAGAGUUCAGCUCACAUCCAUGGUUGCAAUUGCACUUGAUUAUAUCUAUCUACGUUCGAUCGUGCAAGUGACGAUGCAAUAAUGAUGAAGAUAAACGGAAGGGAUGCAACAAGGAAAGCCGGUAUGAACUCUGUUUGUUUCUACUUUUGUACAUAUGCCUGUACUUAUGAUCCACAGACGAGCUUGUAGCAACAUAGUGCUAUGUUUACAAUGCUUUCCCAGUAGUUCAUGCUUUCUUUUUGACUUGUCUCAAAUAGCUGGAGUGCAUAAUGUGUUAUUGAAAUGAUUUGCAUGCAUUGCAUUGUUCAUGGUUUGGCAUAUUGAAGUGGUAUUUACCUUCAGAGAGUUUUUGGAUUGACUUGGCACAUGCUUACACAUGUUUAUGACUAGAAGUCUAUCAAGCCUUGAUGAUCUUUUUAUUUCAGAAUAGUUAUAUCACUUUCAUGCCCGAUUCAAUGUUGCUUUGUUGCUCUGCAUGAUUAUGACUGUUAUUGCUCUCUAGUUGGUUGCUUCCCCAUCUUUUGCUAGCCUUCACCUGUACUAAGCGGACUGGCUGCUUGUGCAUCCAAAAUCCUUGAAACCAGUUGUGCCAUAUGAGUCCACCAUACAUACCUAUAUGCGGUAUUUAUGUGUCGUCCUAAGUAAAUUUGCAUCUGCCAUACUCUAUAUCUUCAAAUAAAUAUUUUGUUUUGUAUGCCUGAAUCACUCAUGUAGCGACUAGGGGCUAUCAGUAUCUUCCAUGCUAAGUGGGUUAUUCUCAAGACAUGUGUUGAUUCACUAUCAUUCACGAGAAAGUGGGUGGUAACCGGGAUGCCUAGUUCCAUGCUCAAAAGUCAAAUCAAAUUUAAUGAAACAAAACUCCCCCAGGAUUGUUGUUUGUAUGGACGGUACCCGUGGAUUCGGCCCGCUAUGGAAUGUGAUCGAUUGGUGGAGGGGAGUAAAAACUUUACUUUUCUAUUUGGAAACCGCCUAUAAUGUAUUUAGCAUGGAAGAUAUUGAGAUCUCUUAGUUGUUACGUUGACAAUGAAAGCAUACCACCCAAAAUUUUGAUUCAUCCAUGUUUUAAAAACUCAAGCUCUCGCACCUCUGCAAAUAAAUGCUUCCUUCUGUGAAGGGCCUAUCUAUUUUACUUUACUAUUGAGUCAUCCUCUUCUUAUAAAAAAGCACCAACUAUUGAGAGCAUAAUUGUCAUUCUGAGUGUAAUGUGCAUUGUCCAAAGUACCACAUUGUCUUCUGCAUGAUUGUGAUAUUACUCAUUUUGGAAUAUUUAUUUCUAGUCUCCUUUAAGACUCCGAGGGAGCGUGUGCAUUUAUGUUUUUCUUCACUCAUGGGGGCUAGCGAGAUGCCACUCUAAUAUGUCCAAGUCAUGUGCAUUGUGAUCUCAUCAUGAUUUUCAGUUGCAUAUUAUUCAUUCUUAGUUGUUUGAAACUCUUCACAUGAUCGAAGAAUUGCUUCGUGCAUUGUCUUUGUAGCAUUGCUUCAAUACUUGUCGGACUUGUUCGUAGUGCAUGCUUAUAUACAUCUAAUGAAGCAAAAGAGUUUGUCAAAGUUUUCUUUGUUGCGUCUAGUUCGUUGAACUGAAUUGCCUGAGGACAAGCAAUAUGCUAAGCUUGGGGGAGUUGAUACGUCUCAAACGUAUUGACUUUUACACACACUUUUGCUAUUGAUUUGGUCUCACUCUUGCAUGAUUUGAACGAAACUAACCCUGACUGGCGAUGUUUUCAGCAGAGCUGCCUGUAUGGUUUUCUUGUGUGCGGGAAACAUGGAUUAUUAGGUGUCCUAGAAAAUUCCAAUAAAAAAUAGAGAAAAUCCACGCAUCAGGAGGAACCCUUGGCUAGAAGAUGGGCCAGAGGGGGUCACCAGGCCUCCAGGCGACCUGGUGGCGUGACCUGCCCCUUGGCCGCGCAGGGAGGUCGCCUGGGUGGGCCCCACCCCCUCUGGUGCCCUAACUUGGCUCCUAUUUUUACCCAUGACUGAGAAAUUCCAGAACAGAAGUCGUUUUGCAAGUUCUCGACGUGGAGCCGCCGCCACCCUUGGUUCUUCUCUGGGAGAGCUAAUCUGGAGGUUGCCUUGGCCUCCGGAGAGGGUAAAUCGUCGCCAUCGUCAUCACCAUCACCACUCCAUCACCCUUCCAUGGCUUCCUCUUUCACGUGUGAGUAAUUCCCUAUUGUAGGUGAAGGGGAUGGUAGGGAUUCGAUGAGUUAGAUCAUGUAAUAGGUCAUCAGAUUGUUGGGGGCAUGUUGCUUAUCAUCUACUAUGGUGUUUAUCAUCUUUGCUACUACUUGUUACUCUUAAUGCUUGUCACUUUGGUACCGAGUGUCGUGAUUUCAGGUCUGAAUACCUUAUGUUUUCAUGAAUAUAUUUGUGUUCUAAGAUCCUACCUAUGAGUAGUAUGCACCUAUUAUAGUCCGGAACCGGCGAUCCGAAUGGUGACAGUUUGGGACACCAAAGGGGAUAUACUAUGAUUUGAGGAUUCCAUGUAUCCAUUGAUUGUUAAUGCUUUGUUCCGGUGCUCUUUGACAGGAGCACCUUAAUCUCCAUAAGUUCCUUUUGGCCCCGUUGGUAGCGGUAUGGUAGGACAAAAGAUGUUGUGCAAGUUCUUAUUGCAAGCACGCACGACUACCUUGGGAUACAUGCCUAAUGUUUGAUAUUUGCCUAUAUGAUCAUUACUUUCCUAUGUGCCUUGCCCCAAGUUAAAUACAUGAUAUCUCUCAUCCAUGACCGACCAUCCAUCUCCCUAGCCUACAGUGUUUUAAUCCUACUGGUUACAAGUUGCUUUACUUUUGUUGUUUUACUUUUGUUGCUUUGCCACCUUUAUUUCCGUUGCCACUAUCACUUCCAUAUCACCGUUGCUACUAAUAUUUCAUUGCCAAUCAAGUAUCUUUCAGGUGCCAUUGAAUUGACAACUCAACUGUUAAAGCUUAUAAAUAUUCUUUGGCUCCCCUUGUGUCGAAUCAAUAAAUUGGGUUAUCUUACUCGCGAAGACUGUUGCGGUCCCCUACACUUGUGGGUUAUCAGUAUAUUCCUCACAUCAACUUUUAUCCUAACGGACAUAAAUUUAUGGAGGAUGGUGAGCUUGAUUGCAUUCAUUAUUAUCUUGAUGAUAAGUAUGUAGGUACUAUUGAAGAUGAUUUUGAUUAUGAUAUGCAUGUUACUUAUUGUGAUUGGGAAUAUGAUGAUAAUGCUACUUAUGAUCUUGAAAAUCUUUUUGGUACCAACUCUGAAAAUGAUGAUAUGGAAAGCUCUAAGCUUGGGGAUUAUAGGAUUGCAAGUCCUUUACCCAUUAGUGAGGUGAUAAUUGAUAAUUCUUUUGCUAGUAAGAAUAAACACAACAUGUUUACAAAUGUAGUUGCUAGCAAUAAUAAUGCUCUUCUCUACCAUGAUGAUGUUAUAACUCCUAUAUAUAGUGAUUGUAAAGAUACCUAUGACAUAAGGAGAAAUUAUCCAUAUGAAACUGGUCAUAAUCAUGGAGGGAAUUACUCCCUUGCUGAACACCAUCUCCCCAAUACACAAUUAAUCUAUAGUGUUCAAGUUGUUUAUGAUAGUCCUACUCCCACUAUUACCAAUGAGAAAGAUUAUGCUUAUGUGGAGAGUAAGAGUACCUUUUUGCAUGUGGAUCAUGGUAACAAUGCUUUAUGUGAUACUUAUAUUGUUGAGUUUAUUCAUGAUCCCACUUAAAAUUAUUAUGAGAAGGGAACAUAUGCUUAUAGAUAUUUCAAUAAUAUCAAGUUCCCUCUCUUUAUGUUGAAGGUUUUGAAGCUGCACUUGUUUUGCCUUCCUAUGCUUAUUGCUUUAUGCUAUUGAAGUAUUCCUAUGCAUGGGAAGCAUGUUAGACUUAAAUGUGUUUGGUAUUUGUUUCUUGAUGCUCUCUUUUGUUCUACAGCUCUUAUUCCUACGAGAGCAUCAUUAAAAUCUUAAGUCUAUCUUUAUGGCUAUAAAGAAAGAGCUGUAGGGAGACGACCCUUGUUAUCUUUACUUUUAGUUUUUACUUUCAGUUUUUAGUGGUCUUGAUGUUUAUUACUACUGUAGAAACAUAAUUGUAUCUUUAUUUUUAAGCUUUCUGGCGUCUGUUCUAAGUUUUUUGAUUUGAGUUGCACAAGUGCCCUAAAAAAAUUAUUUACUACUUGUUGGUUUGUUUUUCACAGAUUCUGCCACGUUUUGCGUUUUCAUCGUUUUGCAAAUCUUAAGCUUGCUUUUUCUUUGCAAAAACUUUUUGGCAAUCUUGAGAAACAGUAGCUCCUCAUGAAAAUCUUUAUUUUCAGUGGAUAAAAAAUAUUUUAUUAUGGGUACUAACCACUCUAAUCAGCUUAUGAUGAGUUUCGUAUGAAGGGAGUUUUCAAGUAUGCGAUGGAAGAUGAUGAAAGAAGAUCCAGGAGUGUCAAACGCUCCAUCUUGGGGAUGCCCCCAUGCACCCCAAGAAAUAUCCAAGGAUACUCAAGUGUCUAAGCUUCACGAUGCCCCCGUGCAUCCCCUUCUCCAUCAACAAUCAUCAGUUCGUCCUUCUACAUGCUAUAUUUUUAUCUCUUCAUGUGUUAUGUGCUAAACUUGGAGAAUCUCGCUCUUUACUUUUUAGUUUGCUUUAGUUUUGCUUGUUGUUCAUAAAAAGUUGGACCCUAGCCUUCAUUGUUUGGGAGAGAAACAUGCUCCACUCCACCCUAGAUCACAAACAUAGGUUUUCAUGCUUAUCUUCUUGUGUUUUUUAAUCUUUUCAUAGUUCUUGUCAUGCUUAGCUCUUAGUUUUCAUGCUUAUCUUUCUAAGAGCUUUUAUUUAGGUUGCUUUUGGAACUCUCUUGAGUUAUCAUGCUUAUCUUGUUUAGAGAGUUGGCUUGUUGCACGGGGUUGUCUUGCAUGAGUAGGUAAUUGAGGUUGCUAUUUAAGUAUAGUAGUAACUUGCAAUACUUUUGAGGUAUUGAUUUGAGUAAUGUUUGGACUUUUGGUGUCAAGAGCUUGAGAUAUUAGUGAUAGGUGUUGUAUUUUGGGCAAUCCGUGUGUAUUUUUGAAACUAAAAAAAUUAGUUGAGAACUCUAGCUACUAGAUGGAUCGCUAACUUAUGGAGGGGUUGGAAUAUAUAGAGUACCCUCACGUUAUCAUGGGUCGAGGAUGCACAAGGAUAACCAAACCCCCAAACACUCCUCCUUGGGGUACUUGUCUCUUUGUGAAUCUCCUGACUAGAUAGAGAGUUACCGAUAAUAAGUGUUGGAAAUAUGCCCUAGAGGCAAUAAUAAAUUAGUUAUUAUUAUAUUUCCUUGUUCAUAAUAAUCGUUUAUUAUCCAUGCUAGAAUUGUAUUGAUUGGAAACUCAAAUACAUGUGUGGAUACAUAGACAACACACUGUCCCUAGUGAGCCUCUAGUUGACUAGUUCGUUGAUCAAAGAUGGUCAAGGUUUCCUGGGCAUAGGCAAGUGUUGUCACUUGAUAACGGGAUCACAUCAUUAGGAGAAUCAUGUGAUGGACAAGACCCAAAUUAUAUACGUAGCAUAUUGAUCGUGUCAUUUUAUUGCUAUUGUUUUCUGCGUGUCAAGUAUUUAUUCCUAUGACCAUGAGAUCAUAUAACUCACUAGCACCGGAGGAAUACCUUGUGUGCAUCAAACGUCGCAACGUAACUGGGUGAAUAUAAAGGUACUCUACAGGUAUCUACGAAGGUGUCCGUUGAGUUAGUAUGGAUCAAGACUGGGAUUUGUCACUCCGUGUGACGGAGAGGUAUCUCGGGGCCCACUCGGUAAUACAACAUCACACACAAGCCUUGCAAGCAAUGUGACUAAGUGUAAGUCAAGGAUCUUGUAUUACAGAACGAGUAAAGAGACUUGCCGGUAACGAGAUUGAAAUAGGUAUGCGGAUACUGACGAUUAAAUCUCGGGCAAGUAACAUAACGGAGGACAAAGGGAAUGACAUAUGGGGUUAUAUGAAUCCUUCACACUGAGGUUCAACCAAUAAGAUCUUCGGAGAAUAUGUAGGAUCCAAUAUGGGCAUCCAGGUCCCGCUAUUGGAUAUUGACCGAGGAGUACCUCAGGGCAUGUCUGCAUAGUCCUCGAACCCGCAGGGUCUGCACACUUAAGGUUUGAUGAUGUUUUAGUAUAGUUGAGUUAUAUGUGUGGUUACCGAAUGUUGUUUGGAGUCCCGGAUGAGAUCACGGAUGUCACAAGGGUUUCCGGAAUGGUCCGGAAACGAAGAUUGAUAUAUAGGAUGGUUUCAUUUGGUCACUAGAAAUUUUCGGGCAAUUCCAGCAGUGUACCGGGAGUGACGAAUGGGUUCCUGGAGUUCACCAGGAGGGGCCCACCCACCCGGGAGUGAGCCCAAGGCAUUAGGGUGGCGUCACAAGUCCUUAGUGGGUUGUUGGAGUCAGCCCAAGGGGCCCAUGGCGCCACAUAAGAAAAUACCAAAGGAAAAUAAAAGAAAGAGGGAGGUGGGAAGGAACAGGAGGACUCCUCCUUCCCAAACCGAAUUGGUCCUCCCUUGGCCGGCGCACCUUGAGGCCUUGUGCCUCAAGGCUAUCCCUCCCCCUCCCUCCUAUAUAUAUUGGUGGUUUAGGGCUGAUUUGGAACACAACUUUGCCACGUGCAACUCAAACCUACACCUCGUAGUUCUUCCUCUAGAUUAGGUUUCUGCGGAGCUCGGGCGGAGCCCUGCAGGAAUAGAUCAUCACCAACACCGGCGCACUGUCAUGCUCCCGGAGAACUCAUAUAAUUCUCCAUCUCUCUUGCUGGAUCAAGAAGGCCGAGAUCAUCGUCGAGCUGUACGUGUGCUGAACAUGGAGGUGUCGUCCGUUCGGCGCUAGAUCGGAAUGGAUCGUGGGACGGAUCGCGGGACGGUUUGUGGGACGGUUCGAGGGACGUGAAGACGUUCCACUACAUCAACCGCGUUUCUUAACGCUUCUUGUUGUGCGAUUCACAAGGGUACGUAGAUCUAAUCUCCACUCGUAGAUAGACAUCACCAUGAUAGGUUUUCGUGUGCGUAGGAAUUUUUUUGUUUCCCAUGCAACGUUCCCCAACAGUGGCAUCAUGAGCUAGGUUCAUGCAUAGAUGUUAUCUCGAGUAGAACACAAAAGGUUUUGUGGACGGUGAUGUUCGAUUUGCUGCCCUCCUUAGUCUUUUCCCGAUUCUGCGGUACUGUUGGAUUGAAGCGGCCCGGACCGACAUAACUCGUACGCUUACGAGAGACUGGUUUCAUCGAUUGACAUGCAACGUCGUUGGAUAAGGAUGACUGGCGGGUGUCAGUUUCUUCAACUUUAGUUUAAUUGGUUUUGACCGAGGCGAUCCUUGGAGAGGUUAAAUAGCAAUUUGCACAUCUCCGUUGUGGUUUUUACGCAAGUAAGAUGCGAUCAUACUAGAUACCCAUAGCAGCCACGUAAAACGUGCAACAACAAAUUAGAGGACGUCUAACUUGGUUUUGCCCGGUAUGCUUGUGAUAUGAUAUGGCCAAUGACGUGAUGUGAUAUAUUGGAUGUAUGAGAUGAUCAUGUUGUAAUAGUUAAUAUCGACUUGCACGUCGAUGCUACGACAAUCGGCAGGAGUCAUAGGGUUGUCUUUAAACUAACGUUUGCGUUUUCAGAUAAGAUUACUAUAUUUCUAGGUCGUAGCUUUAGUAGUAAUAGCAUAGAUAGCACGACAACCUCGAUAGUGACACGUUGAUGGAGAUCAUGAUGAUGGAGACCAUGGUGUGCCGCCGGUGACAAGAAGAUCCUGCCGGUGCUUUGGUGUUGGAGAUCAAGAAGCACAAGAUGAUGGCCAUAUCAUGUCACUUAUGAAUUGCAUGUGAUGUUAAUCCUUUUAUGCACCUUAUUUUGCUUAGAACGACGGUAGAAUUAUAAGGUGAUCUCUCACUAAAAUUUCAAGAUGAAAUUGUGUUCUCCCCGACUGUGCACCGUUGCGACAGUUCGUCGUUUCGAGACACCACGUGAUGAUCGGGUGUGAUAGACCCAACGUUCACAUACAACGGGUGCAAAACAGUUGCACACGCGGAACACUUGGGUUAAACUUGACGAGCCUAGCAUGUACAGACAUGGCCUCUGAACACAAGAGACCCAAAGGUCGAGCAUGAAUCGUAUAGUUGAUAUGAUUAGCAUAGAGAUGCUUACCACUGAAACUAUCCUCAACUCACGUGAUGAUCGGACUUGAGUUAGUGGAUUUGGAUCAUGUAGCACUCAAAGGACUAGAGAGAUGUACUUUUUGAGUGGGAGUUAUUAAGUAAUAUGAUUAAUUGAACUAAUUAUCAUGAACAUAGUUAAAAGGUCUUUGCGAAUUAUGAUGUAGCUUGCGCUAUAGCUCUACUGUUUUUAUAUGUUCCUAGAAAAAAUUUAGUUGAAAGUUCAUAGUAGCAACUUUGCGGACUGAGUCCAUAAAACUGAGGAUUGUCCUCAUUGCUGCGUAGAAGGCUUAUGUCCUUUAUGCGCCACUCGGUGUGGUGCACCUCGAGCGUCGUCUGUGGAUGUUGCGAACAUCUGACAUACACGUUUUUGAUGACUACAUGAUACUUCAGUGCGUAAAACUUAAUGGCUUAGAAGCAAGGCGCCGAAGACGUUUUGAAACGUCAUGGAACAUAAGAGAUGUUCUAAGAGAUGAAAUUGAGAUUUCAUGUUCGUGCCCUUGUUGAGAUGUAUGAGACCUCCGACAAGAUUCUUUGUCUACAAAGUAAAGGAGAAAAGCUCAAUCAUUGAGCAUGUGCUCAGAUUGUCUGAGUACAACAAUCACUUGAAUCAAGUGGGAGUUAAUCUUCCAGAUGACAUAGUGAUGGUUCUCCAAAGUCACUGCCACCAAGCUGCUAGAACUUCAUGAUGAACUAUAACAUAUCAAGGAUAGAUAUGGUGAUCCUUGAGCAAUUCGCAAUGUUUGACACUACGAAAGUAGAAAUCAAGAAGGAGCAUCAAUUGUUGAUGGUUAGUAAAACCACUAGUUUCAAGAAGGGCAAGGGCUAGAAGGGAUAAUUCAUGAAAUGGCAAACCAGUUGCUGCUCUAAUGAAGAAACCCAAGAUUGAACCCAAACCUGAGACUAAGUGCUUCUGUUGUGAGGGGAAUGGUCACUGAGGCAGAGCUACCCUAAAUACUUGGUAGAUAAGAAGGCUGGCAAAGUCGACACAAGUAUAUUUGAUAUACAUGAUAUAGAUGUGUACUUUACUAGUACUCCUAGUAGCAUGAGGGUAUUGGAUACCGGUUCGGUUGCUAAGUGAUUAGUAACUCGAAAUGAAAGCUACGGAAUAAACGGAGACUAGCUAAAGGCGAGGUGACGAUAAGUGUUGGAAGGGUUUCCAAGGUUGAUGUGAUCAAAACAUCGCACGCUCCCUCUACCAUCGGGAUUGGUGUUAAACCUAAAUAAUUGUUAUUUGGUGUUUGCGUUGAGCAUGAACAUGAUUGGAUCGUGUUUAUUGCAAUACAAUUAUUCAUUUAAAAGGAAUAAUAGUUAUUCUAUUUGCUUGAAUAAUUAUCCUCACUGGUUUAUUGAAUCUCGAUCGUAGUGUUACACAUGUUCAUAAUAUUGGUGCCAAAAGAUACAAAGUAGUAAUGAUAGUACCACUUGCUUGUGGCACUGCCACUUGAGUCAUGUCGGUAUAAAGUACAUGAAGAAGCUCCAUAGUGCUGGAUCUUUGUACUCUCUCAUCUUUGAAACAUUUGAGACAUGCAAACCAUAUCUAUUGGUAUAAACGCAUGAAGAAACUCCAUGCAGAUGGAUCGCUUGGACUCACUUGAUUUUGAAUCACUUGAGACAUGCAAAUCAUACCACAUGAAACAAGAAAGUAACUUAUUGGAAGUAAUACUUUUUUUAUGUGUGCAGUCCAAUGAGUGCUGAGGCACGCAGUGGAUAUCAUUAUAUUCUUACUUUAGUGACGAUUUAAGUAGAUACAUGAGUAUUUACUUGAUGAAUCAAAAGUCUGAAAUAUUGAAAAGUUCAAAGCUAUUUCAGAGUGAAGAUCGUCGUGACAAGAGGAUAAACUGUCUAUGAUAUGAUCGUAGAGAUGAAUAUAUGAGUUGCGAGUUUUGGUACACAGUUAAGACAAUGUGGAAAUUGUUUCGCAAUUCAUGCCACCUAGAACACCAUAGUAUGAUGGUGUGUCUGAAUGUCAUAGCCGCGCCCUAUUGGAUAUAGCGCAUACUAUGAUGUCUCUUAUCGAAAUAUCACUAUCGUUUAUGGGUUAUGCAUUAGAGACAACCGCACUCACUUUAAAUAGGGCACCGCAUAUUUUCGUUGAGAUGACACAAUAUGAACUAUGGUUUGGAGAAACCUGAGCUGUCGUUUCUUGAAAGUUUGGGGCUGCGACGCUUAUGUGAAAAAGUUUGUGUCUGAUAAGCUCGAACCCAAAGCGGAUAAAUGCAUCUUCAUAGGAUAUCCAAAACAGUUGGAUACAACUCCUAUCUCAGAUCCGGAAGCAAAGUGUUUGUUUUGAGAAACGGGUCCUUUCUCGAGGAAAGGUUUCUCUCGAAAGAAUUGAGUGGGAGGGUGGAACUUGAUAAGGUUAGUGAACCGUCACUUCAACCAGUGUGUAGCAGGGCGCAGGAAGAUGUUCAUGUGGCGCCUACACCAAUUGAAUUGGAAACUGAUGAUGGUGAUCAUUGAGCUUCGGAUCAAGUUACUACAAACCCCGUAGGUCGACAAGGUUGCGUACUACUACAGAGUGGUGCGGUAACCCUGUCUUGGAGGUCAUGUUGUUGAGUGAUGACCCACAAGUGUAGGGGAUCUAUCAUAGUCCUUUCGAUAAGUAAGAGUGUCGUACCCAACGAGGAGCAGAAGGAACUGACAAGUGGUUUUCAGCAAGGUAUUCUCUGCAAGCACUGAAAUUAUUGGUAACGGAUAGUUGUGUGAUAAGAUGAUUCGUGGCAAGUAGCAAGUAACAAUAGUAACAACGAUGCAGCAAGAUGGCCCAAUCCCUUUUGUAGCAAGGGACAAGCCUGGACAAACUCUUAUAGGAGGUGAAGUGCUCCCGAGGACACAUGGGAAUUUCUGUCAAGCUAGUUUUCAUCAUGUUCAUAUGAUUCGCAUUCGCUAAUUUGAUAGUUUGAUAUGUGGGUGGACCGAUGCUUGGGUGCUGCCCUUACUUGGACAAACAUCCCACUUAUGACUAACCCCUCUCGCAAGUAUCCGCAACUACAAAAUAAGAAUUAAGACAAAGUCUAACCAUAGCAUUAAACUAGUGGAUCCAAAUCAGCCCCUUACGAAGCAACACAUAAACUAGGGUUUAAGCUUCUGUCACUCUAGCAACCCAUCAUAUACUUAUUACUUCCCAAUGCCUUCCUCUAGGCCCAAAUAAUGGUGAAGUGUUAUGUGGUCGACGUUCACAUAACAACACUAGAGGAAAAACAACAUACAACACAUCAAAAUAUCGAACGAAUACCAAAUUCACAUGACUACUUAUAGCAAGACUUAUCCCAUGUCCUCAGGAACAAAAGUGACUACUCGCAAAGCAUAAUUAUGUUCAUGACCAGAGAGGUAUUGAAUAGAAUUAGAGAUCUGAAGAUAUGAUCUUCCAUCGAGUAAUCCAACUAGCAUCAACUACAAAGAGUAAUUAACACUACUAGAAACCUUACAAGUACCAAUCGGAGUCGCGAGACGGAGAUUGGUUACAAGAGAUGAACUAGGGUUUGGAGAUGAGAUGGUGCUGACGAAGAUGUUGAUGGUGAUGAGUCCCCUCCGAUGAGAGGAGUGUUGGUGAUGAUGAUGGCGACGAUUUCCCGAUCCGAGAGGGAAGUUUCCCCGGCAGGACGGCCUUGUCGGAGCUCUAGAUUGGUUCUGCUCAAGUUCCGCCUCGUGGCAGCGGCGAUUCCUCCCGGAAGCCUCCCCUUGAUUUUUUCUGGAACGAAACCCUCCUUAUAGAGAAAGAUGGGAGCCAGAGGGGCAACAACGGGCCCACAAGCCACCUAGGCGCGGCUAGGGGGGUAGGCCGUGCCUGGCAGGCUUGUGGCCUCCUGGUGGCUCCCCUUUGGUGCUUCUUCCGCCCAGUAUUUUUUAUAAAAUCCAAAAUAAUUCCUCGUUGAUUUUCACGCAUUUUGGAGUUGCGCAGAAUAGGUAUCUCAAACUUGCUCCUUUUUCAUACCAGAAUUCCAGCUGCCGACAUUCUCCCUCUUCAUGUAAACCUUAUAAAAUAAGAGAGGAAAGGCAUAAGUAUUGUACCGUGAAGUGUAAUAAGAGCCCAUAAAGCGAUAAAUAUCAACAUAAAAGCAUGAUUCAAAAUGGACGUAUCAUUGAGAAAUAAUGAACCUACGAGCUAUGGAGAAGCGAUGGUGGGGCCGGAUUCCGACAAAUGGCUGGAGGCCAUGAAAUUCGAGAGAGGAUCCAUGUAUGAAAACAAAGAGUAGACUUUGGAAGAACUACUUGAUGGUCAUAAGACUAUUGAAUAAAGAUGGAUCUUUAAAAGGAAGACAUACGAUGAUGGUGAAAAGUCACUAUUAAGAAAAGCUCGACUUAUCGCAAAGAUGUUUCCGACAAGUUCAAAGAGUUGACUAUGAUGAGACUUUUUUUACUCGUAGUGAUGCUAAAAGUCUGUUGGAAUUAGGUUAGUAGUUGCUGCAUUAGUUAUGAAAUAUUGCACAUAGGAUGUCAAAACAUUUUUUCCUCGACGAUUUCCUUGAGGAAAGGUUGUAUGUGAUACAACCAGAAGGUUUUUUCGAUCCUAAGGAUACUAACAAGUAUGCAAGCUCCAGCGAUCCUUCUAUGGACUGGUGCAAGCAUCUUGGAGUUGGAAUAUAUGCUUUGAUGAGAUGAUCAAAGAUUUUGGGUUUGUACAAAGUUUAUGAGAAACUUGUAUUUCCAAAGAAGUGAGUGGGAGCACUAUAGAAUUUCUGAUAAGUAUAUGUGGUUGACAUAUUGUUGAUCGGAAGUGAUGUAGAAUUUCUGUGAAGCAUAAAGGUUGUUUGAAAGGGGGUUUUAAAAAGGAAGACCUGGAUAGAGCUACUUGAACAUUGAGCAUCAAGAUCUAUGGAGAUAGAUCAAAAUGCUAGACAGAACUUUCAAAUGAAAUGCAUGCCUUGACAAGUUUUUGAAGGAGUUCUUGGCUGUGUUGUAAGGUGUGAAUUUGAGUAAGACUCAAAAGCCUGACCACGCAGAAGAAAGAGAAAGGACGAAGGUCGUCCCCUGUGCCUUAGCCUAAGACUCUAUAGUAUGCCAUGCUGUGUACCGCACCUGAUGUGUGCCUUGCCACAAGUCUGUUAAGAGGUACAGAGAGUGAUCCAGGAUUGAAUCACUGAACAACGGUCAAAGUUAUCCUUAGUAACUAAUGGACUAAGGAAUUUUUCUCGAUUAUGGAGGUGGUUAAAGAGUUCGUCGUAAAGGGUUACGUUGAUGCAAGCUUUGACACUAAUCCGAGUAACUAUGAGUAAUAAAACGGAUUCGUAUAGUAGAGUAGAUAUUUGGAGUAUUUCCGAAUAGCACGUAGUAGCAGCAUCUAUAAGAUGACAUAAAGAUUUGUAAAGCACACAGGGAUCUGAAAGAUUCAGAACAAAACCUCUCUCACGAGCAAGACGUGAUCACACCUCAGAACUAUAUGGGUGUUAGAUUCGUUAAAAUCACAUGGUGAUGUGAACUAGAUUACUUACUCUAGUGCAAGUGGGAGACUGUUGGAAAUAUGCCCUAGAGGCAAUAAUAAAUUAGUUAUUAUUAUAUUUCCUUGUUCAUAAUAAUCGUUUAUUAUCCAUGCUAGAAUUGUAUUGAUUGGAAACUCAAAUACAUGUGUGGAUACAUAUACAACACACUGUCCCUAGUGAGCCUCUAGUUGACUAGUUCGUUGAUCAAAGAUGGUCAAGGUUUCCUGGCCAUAGGCAAGUGUUGUCACUUGAUAACGGGAUCACAUCAUUAGGAGAAUCAUGUGAUGGACAAGACCCAAAUUAUAUACGUAGCAUAUUGAUCGUGUCAUUUUAUUGCUAUUAUUUUCUGCGUGUCAAGUAUUUAUUCCUAUGACCAUGAGAUCAUAUAACUCACUGGCAUCGGAGGAAUACCUUGUGUGCAUCAAACGUCGCAACGUAACUGGGUGACUAUAAAGGUGCUCUACAGGUAUCUCCGAAGGUGUCAAUUGAGUUAUUAUGGAUCAAGACUAGGAUUUGUCACUCCGUGUGACGGAGAGGUAUCUCGGGGCCCACUCGGUAAUACAACAUCACACACAAGCCUUGCAAGCAAUGUGACUAAGUGUAAGUCACAGGAUCUUGUAUUACAGAAUGAGUAAAGAGACUUGCUGGAACGAUAUUGAAAUAGGUAUGCGGAUACCGACGAUCAAAUCUCGGGCAAGUAACAUACCGAAGGACAAAGGGAAUGACAUACGGGAUUAUAUGAAUCCUUGACACUGAGGUUCAACCGAUAAGAUCUUCGGAGAAUAUAUAGGAUACAAUAAGGGCAUCCAGGUCCCGCUAUUGGAUAUUGACCGAGGAGUACCUCGGGGCAUGUCUGCAUAGUUCUCGAACCCGCAGGGCCUGCACACUUAAGGUUUGAUGAUGUUUUAGUAUAGUUGAGUUAUAUGUGUGGUUACCGAAUGUUGUUCGGAGUCCCAGAUGAGAUCACGGACGUGACGAAGGUUUCUGGUAUGGUCCAGAAACGAAUAUUGAUAUAUAGGAUGGUUUCAUUUGGUCACCAGAAAGCUUCGGGCAAUUCCGGCAGUGUACCGGGAGUGACGAAUGGGUUCCGGGAGUUCACCGGGAGGGGGCCACCCACCUGGGAGUGAGCCCAAGGCACUAGGGUGGCGCCACAAGUCCUUAGUGGGCUGGUGGAGUCAGCCCAAGGGGCCCAUGGUGACACAUAAGAAAAUACCAAAGGAAAAUAAAAGAAAGAGGGGGGUGGGAAGGAAGAGGAGGACUCCUCCUUCCCAAACCGAAUUGGAGGAGGAGUCCUCCUCCUCCCUUGGCCGGCGCACCUUAAGGCCUUGUGCCUCAAGGCUAUCCCUCCCCCUCCCUCCUAUAUAUAUUGGUGGUUUAGGGCUGAUUUGAGACAUAACUUUGCCACGUGCAACUCAAACCUACACCUCGUAGUUCUUCCUCUAGAUUAGAUUUCUGCGGAGCUCGGAUGGAGUCGUGCAGGAAUAGAUCAUCACAAACACCGGCACGCCGUCAUGCUGCCGGAGAACUCAUCUACUUCUCCGUCUCUCUUGCUGGAUCAAGAAGGCCGAGAUCAUCGUCGAGCUGUACGUGUGCUGAACGCGGAGGUGCCGUCUGUUCGACGCUAGAUCGGAACAGAUUGUGGUACGGAUCGCGGGACAGUUCGAGGGACGUGAAGACGUUCCACUACAUCAAUCGCGUUUCUUAACGCUUCCCGCUGUGCGAUCUACAAGUUUACGUAGAUCUAAUAUCCACUCGUAGAUGGACAUCACCAUGAUAGGUUUUCGUGUGCGUAGGAAUUUUUUUUGUUUCCCAUGCAACGUUCCCCAACAAUAAGUGCAUGAGUUCUUCGGAGUAAUGUGAGUAUUCGAUUGUUGGCACUUCCACCAUCCAUAUUUUGCUAGUCUCUUCGAUACCGUGCAUUACCAUUUCUCAUCUUGAGAGUUGGUGCAUACUUCGCCGGUGCAUCCAAACCCUUGACAUGAUACGCUCUGUCAUCAUAAGCCUCAUUAUAUCCUUCCUCAAAACAGCCACCAUACCUACCUAUUAAGGCAUUUCCAUAUCCUUUCUGAGAUACAUUGUCAUGCAACAUCCACCAUCUCAUGACUUGAUCUUCAUGUCAUACAUGCUUUUGCUUGAUCGAGGAGACGCAUGCUAGUUGGGCUUUGCCCUUAUUAUUGCUACAUGACGCGCUAGUAUUAUUGCAUAUCCUGCUACACUGGCACAUGCAUACAUCAUGAUAGUUUUCAUUUAUCUUUAUGUUGAGUACUUCUUAUAAAGAGUGAAUAUCUUCUUUUUAUUUCUUGUAAAAUAUGGAGUGUUGCCCUUAAGUGAGGAAAAAUCCCAAAGAGGAAAAAUUAAAAUAUCCCAAAAGAGGACACAUGAAAAGAUCCCAAAGAGGACAAAUGAGGGAUAAAUAGAAAGAGCCAAAGAGGCCACAAAAAAUUAAAAAUAAAAAAAGGAAAGAAAAAAAGAGAAAAAAGAGAGAAGGGGGCAACACUACUAUUCCUUUCGAAAGAUCCACACUCGUACUCCAUUGUCAUAUUUGUACUCCAUAGAGAUUAUCAUUCAUGCAUAACUAUGUGGGGACCCUUACACUAUAGAACUAUUAUUAAGUUAUUCCUAUGUUUUGUUAUUAUUAAGUUGUUAGCAAAUUAACACCAAAGUUGGUUCUUGCCAGAGAGGCCUUAACACUAAACGAUUUAUCAAGGGGGUCCCCAUAACAACCCCGAACAUGUUAGGAGCGCUAAGUUAUGGAAUAAAACACCGGUAGCCGAAACUAAGGCGGCAACAACAGAACAAAUCACCCGGCAAAAGGCUAGGCCUCCCGCUAUUUACCAAGUAUAUAGGUGCAUUAAUUAAAUAACAAUUUAAAAAGGAUGAUAUCAAUUGCCCAUGUUAUCACAUGGACCAGCUGGCACCUGCAACUAGCAACGCUAACAAAUUAGUGGUUGAGCAAGCCUAACUUAGCCAAACAAUAUUUGCUAGGAGGGGAGGUGUUUGAGGUUUCAUGGCAAUGUUUGAUGUCCUAUAUAUCAUGUGCUAGGCAGCGGAGAUGUAACUAUAGAAACAAAUCACUAAGCAUAACAAAGCUAGAAACGGUGUCAAGGUCACGAUCAUCUUGCCUGUGGUUUCUUCAGAGUGGAAUUGUUCCUGAUCUUCCUCACGAACUCAGCGGACUCAUCGAACUCGUUUUCGGCCCCAGUAGCUACCCAAAAGAAACAAACAUCUAAUAAACACCAGCAACAUAUCAUGCAACAGACAAUAUGAUGCAUGUAUGCGCAGCUCCAAACAAGCACACAAAACAACCCUACUCAUACUACAAAGUGCCACCUCACCACAAAGUGACUUUUACAGAACUGCUCAAAACUGAAUUCCAGUACCAGCAUUGGAUUCCUUGGGAUUUUUUACCCCAAAUCCAUAUAUCAUAAUGCCAUAAUUGCAUGCACAAAAACACCACAAACAACAAAAGAAAAACUACUCAAAAUCAAGCUAUACUAAUGUCAAGAAGAGGAACUAUUCUUGAGCGUGCCAAAUUUGGCAUAUGUCAGAUUAUGGAGAUUCCAUUUUAGGAAUUAUUCCAAAGAUGGAAUUUAUUACAUCACAGAAAUAAAUAAAGGGAAAAAUAAAAUAUCAACUAAACCUAAACAGAUAGGGGCCCACUGGUCAUAGGUACGAGGGUCCCUAGUGCAUGACAUGUGGGCCCUUGGCCCACUUGUUAGUGGCACACAUAGCACAACACACCACGCAUACGUCUCAAAUGUAUCUAUAAUUUUUGAUGGUUUCAUGAUGUUAUCUUGUCAACUUUGGAUGUUUUAUAUACCUUUUAUAUAUUUUUUGGGACUUACUUAUUAAUUCGGUGCCAAGUGCCAGUUCCUGUUUUUUCUGUCUUUUUGACUCUUUUCAGAUCCGAUUUUGGAACGGAGUCCAAACGGAAUAAAAUCCCCGAAAUAAAUUUUUCCAUAACAGAAGAAGAUCGGGGGACUUGAGGGCCAAGGCAGGAGGCCCACAGGGAACCCACAAGCCCUGUUGCCGCGGCCAGGGGGGCCCGCGGCGACCAGGCUUGUGGCUUCCCUGGCGCUCCCCUGCCCUAGCUCUUUGGCCUAUAUAUUCCCUAAAAUCCCAGAAAAAAUCAGGCGUCCACGAAACCACUUUUCUGCCGCCGCAAGCUUCCUUUUCCGCGAGAUAUCAUCUGGAGACCCUUCCCGGUGCCCUGCCGGAGGGGACUUUGGAGCUGGAGGGAUUCUACAUCGACAUCAUCGCCCCUCCAAUAACUCGUGAAUAGUCCACUUCAGACCUACGGGUCCGUAGUUAGUAGCUAGAUGGCUUCUUCUCUCUCUUGGAUCUUCAAUACAAAGUUCUCCAUGAUCUUCAUGGAGAUCUAUCCGAUGUAAUCCUCUUUGGCGGUGUGUUUGUCGAGAUCCAAUGAAUUGUGGAUUUGUGAUCAGAUUAUCUAUGAAUUAUAUUUGAGUCUUUGCUGAUUUCUUAUAUGCCUGAUUUGAUAUCCUUGUAAGUCUCUCCGAGUCUUGGGUUUUGUUUGGCCAACUAGAUCUAUGAUUCUUGCAAUGGGAGAAGUGCUUGGUUUUGGGUUUUGGUUUUGGGAUUCCUUGUUUCUCAAACUUAGGGAAAUACUUACUGCCGCAGUGCUACAUCACCCUUUCCUCUUCAAGGGAACACCAACGCAAGGCUCCGAGGCCGCGGGGGAAUCCUUUGCAUAUUUGCCAAGGAUGUCCAUGUAGGCGUAGCCAGCAGCAGAAGGAUUCCUGGCGCCGUUGCUGGGAAAGGUCUUUUGUUGCCGUAGAAGAAGGAUAUCUGGCGCCAUUGCCGGGGAGGACAGAUCAAGUCAAGAUCUAUCCAGGUAAGUGUCACAAACUCAUCUCUUGCAUUUACCUUUUUUUCCAGUUGCCUCUCGUUUUCCUCUCCCCCACUUCACAUUUGCCGUUUUCAUUUGCCCUUUGCCAGUUUUCUUGCUUGCUUGUGUUCUUGUUGGUUUGUUGAAGUCAUCAUGGCUGAAAACACCAAACUUUGAGACUUCUCGAGUACUAAUAAUAAUGAUUUUAUUAGUACUCCGAUUGCUCUCGCCACUAGUGCGGAAUCAUAUGAAAUCAACGCUGCCUUGCUAAAUCUUGUUAUGAAAGAGCAAUUUUCUGGCCUUCCUAGUGAAGAUGCCGCAUCCUAUCUCAAUACCUUCACUGAACUUUGCGAUAUGCAAAAGAAGAAAGAUGUGGAUAAUGAUGUUGUUAAGUUGAAGCUUUUUUCCGUUCUCUUUGCGAGAUCGUGCGAAAACUUGGUUUUCUUCUUUGCCUAAAAAUAGUAUCGAUUCUUGGAAUAAGUGCAAAGAUGCUUACAUAUCCAAGUAUUUUCCGCUGGCUAAGAUUAUCUCUCUCCGUAAUGAUAUCAUGAAUUUCAAGCAACUUGAUCAUGAACACGUUGCACAAUCUUGGGAGAGGAUGAAGUUAAUGAUUAGAAAUUGUCCCGCUCAUGGCUUGAGUUUGUGGAUGAUUAUACAAAUCUUUUACGUUGGUUUGAAUUUUGCUUCUCGCAAUAUCUUGGACUCCGCCUCAGGUGGAACGUUCAUGGAAAUCACGUUAGGAGAAGCUACAAAACUCCUAGACAAUAUCAUGACCAACUACUCUCACUGGCACACUGAAAGGUCACCUGCUAGCAAAAAGGUACACACUAUAGAAGAAAUUAACUCGCUGAGUGCUAAGAUGGACGAGUUGAUGAAUUUGGUUGCUAGUAGAAAUGCUCCUUUAGAUCCUAAUGACAUGCCACUAUCUUCCUUGAUUGAGAGUAGCAACGCUAGUUUGGACGUUAAUUUUGUUGGUAGGAACAAUUUUGGCAACAACAAUGCUUUUAGAGGAAACUAUGUUCCUAGGCCUUUUCCUAGUAACUCCUCUAACAAUUAUGGCAAUUCCUACAACAACACUUAUGAAAAUCAUAACAAAUUACCCUCUGAUUUAGAGAGUAAUAUCAAAGAGUUCAUCAACUCUCAAAAGAUUUUCAAUGCGUCCAUAGAGGAAAAACUACUCAAAAUAGACGAUUUGGCUAAGAGCGUUGAUAGGAUGUCUUGUGAUAUUGAUGAUUUUAAAGUUAGAUGUGCUCCUCCCAAGGUCAACUUGGGUGAAACUUUAAAAGCUAUGUGUGUCUCCAUGAAUGAGAGCAAAGAAAGAACCGCCCAAAUUCGCGCUAGGCAUGAAUGGUUUAAAAGGGUGCGUUCUAGUGAUGCAAAUCACGAAGAUCUUAAAGUGCUUGGUGUGGCUCCUCUGGAAUCUUUGUUUUCGCGUGUCAAACCUAUUGAUGAAGGGGCUGGAUAUGAAUCCAAUUUGGUUGAAAAACACCCCAAUGAUUCGGAGUUCACCUAUCUUGAUGAUAAAGGUGUGGAGAGUGGAGUAGAAGAAAUCAAAAUAUUGGGUAGUAAUGAAACUCCCACUUUGGAUUUCAAGGAAUUCAAUUAUGAUAGUUUCUCCUUGUUUGAAUGCAUUUCUUUGAUGCAAUCCAUUGCAAACUCUCCACAUGCUUAUAGCCAAAGCAAAGCCUUUACCGCACAUAUCGUAGAUGCUAUGAUGAAAUCUCUUGAAAAGAAACUCGAAUUAGAAGUCUCUAUACCUAGAAAACUUCAUGAUGAGUGGGAACCUACUAUCAAAAUCAAAAUCAAAAACUAUGAAUGCAAUGCUUUGUGUGAUUUGGGUGCUAGUGUUUCCACGAUUCCAAAGUCUUUAUGUGAUAUUCUUGGUUUUCAUGAGAUUGAAGAGUGUUCUCUUAAUUUGCAUCUGGCGGAUUCUACUAUCAAGAAACCCAUGGGAAGGAUCAAUGAUGUUCUUAUUGUUGCAAAUAAGAACUAUGUACCUGUGGAUUUCAUUGUAUUUGACAUAGAUUGCAAUCCUUCAUGUCCCAUUAUUCUUGGUAGACCUUUCCUAAGGACUAUUGGUGCUAUCAUCGAUAUGAAGGAAGGGAAUAUUAGAUUUCAAUUUCCUCUAAAGAAGGGCAUGUAGCAUUUUCCUAGAAAGAAAAUAAGAUUGCCUUAUGAAUCUAUGAUGAGGGCUACUUAUGGUUUGAGCACCAAAGAUGACUAUACAUGAUUGCAUCACCUUAUGCCUAGCUGAGGGCGUUAAACAAUAGCGCUUGUUGGGAGGCAACCCAACGAAUCUAUCCUUUUUCUUUCUGUUUUGUGUUUUCCACACUUUCAUAAUUCUGUUAUGAUUGUUUUUUUGUGUUUCUUUUGCGUUUGUUCCAAGCCAAACCGUUAUGAUUAGUCUUGGGGAUGAUCGUUUGGUCAUGCUGGAAAAGACAAAAACUUUCUGCUCACGAAAAGUAUUUUCAUUUCUUUUUUCGUAAGAGAUUUUGAGUUGAUUAUUUUUGCUGCUGAUUGCUACGCAAAUUCUUAGACUGUCGUAAUUUUUCAGAAUUUUUUAAGUACCAAAAGUAUACGAAGUAUACAGAUUGCUAUAGACUGGUCUGCUGUUAACAGAUUCUGUUUUUGUUGAGUUGGUUGCUUAUUUUGAUGAAACUAUGGAUAGUAUCAGGGGGUAUUAGCCAUGGAAGAUUGAAAAUACAGUAACCCAACAUCAACAUAAGUAGAAUUUAAGUUUGCUACAGUACCUAAGGAAGUGGUGGUUUGCUUUCUGAUACUAAUGAUAUCACGAGUUUCUGUUUAAGUUUCGUGUUGUGAAGUUUUCAAGUUUUGGGUGAAGUUCUUAUGGACAAAAAGAUAAAGAGUGGCAAGAGCUCAAGCUUGGGGAUGCCCAAGGCACCGGAAAUUUAUUCAAGGAUGCCUAAAAAUCCUAAGCUUGGGGAUGCCCCGGAAGGCAUCCCCUCUUUCGUCUUCAAUCCAUCGGUAACGUUACUUGGGGCUAUAUUUUUAUUCACCACAUGUUAUGUGUUUUGCUUGGAGCGUCUUGUAUCAUAGGAGUAUUUUAUUUUUGUUGUGUCACAAUCUUCCUUGCUGCACACCUAAAGAGAGAGACAUGCAAUCACCAUGAUUUUGUCGAGCUUCACUUAUAUACAAUUCAACUCACAUGUGUUUCAGUUAUAUCUUUAGAGCUAGUUGAUUUUUGCUCUAUGUGCUUCACUUAUAUCUUUUAGAGCACGGAAGCGCGUGGCUUGGUAGUUGGCCUAUGCUAUGAAAGUAGUCUCAAAAGGGGUAGUUAUCCUAAGGGAUAUGAAAACUUCCACCUUCAUGUGCAUUGAGUAGUUAGAGAAGUUUGAUUCAUCUCAAUUAGUUUUGAGUUGUGGUUGUGGUAAUAUUGAAGUUAUACUAGUAAGGUGUUGUGGAUCUAGAAAUACUUGUGUUGAAGUUAGUGAUUCCCGUAGCAUGCACGUAUGGUGAACUGCUAGGUGAUGAAGUCUGAGCAUGAUUAGUCUAUUGAUUGUCAUCCUUUAUGUGGCGGUCGGGAUCGCGCGAUGGUUUAUACCUACCAACCCUUCCCCUAGGAGUAUGCGUUGAAUGCUUUGUUUCGAUUACUACUAAAACUUUUGAAACAAGUAUAUGAGUUCUUCAUGACUAAUGUUGAGUCCAUGGUUUAGAUGCACUUUCACCUUCCACCAUCACUAUCUUCUUUAGUGCCGUGCAACUUUCGCCGGUGCAUAAAACCCACCAUUAGCCCCACUCAAAACAGCCACCAUACCUACCUACUAUGGCUUCUUCAAAGCCAUUCUGAGAUAUAUUGCCAUGCAACUACCACCAUGACAUGUGCCACCACUUCUACAUUGCCAUUGCAUGAUCAUAAGAUAGCUAGCAUGAUGUUUCCAUUGAUGUCUAAGCCAUCCUAGAUCAUUGUCACGGUACACUACCGAAGGCAUUCCAUAUAGAGUCAUCAUUGCUCUAAGUUUUGAGUUGUAAGUGUGAUGAUCAUCAUUGAUGGAGCAUUGUCCCAUGUGAGAAAUAAAAGAGGCCAGCGAAGCCCAUUUACAAAAGAGGCCAAACAUGCCCACCAAAAAAAAGGAGGCCAAAGAGCCCACCAAAAAAAUGAGAGAAAAAGAGAGAAGGGACAAUGCUACUAUCUUUCCACACUUGUGCUUAUUAAGCACCAUGAUAUUCAUGAUUGAGAGUCUCUCCUUUUGUCACCACCAUAUAGCUAGUGGGAAAUUUUCAUUAUAUAAUUUGGCUUGUAUAUUCCAAUGAUAGGCUUCCUCAAAAUUGCCUUAGGUCUUCGUGAGCAAGCAAGUUGGAUGCACACCCACUAGUUUUCUUUAAGAGCUUUCACAUACUCUUAGCUCUAGUGCAUCAUUUGUAUGGCAAUCCCUAUUCAUUCACGUUGAUAUCUAUUGAUGAGCAUCUCCAUAGCUCGUUGAUAUGCCUAGUCAAUGUGACCAUCUUCUCCUUGUUUUCCUUGCAACCUCCACCACACUCCAUUCCACUUAUAGUGCUAAAACCAUGGCUCACGCUCAUGUAUUGAGUGAAAGUUGAAAAGUUUGAAAAAGUAAAGGUGUGAAAACAAUUACUUGGCCAAUACCAAGGUUGUGCAUGAUUUAAAUUCGUUGUGCAAGGAUGGUAGAGCAUAGCCAAACUAUAUGCUUUUGUAGGGAUAACUUUCUUUUGGCCUUGUUAUUUUGAAAGUUCAUGAUUACCUUGCUAGUUUGCUUGAAGUAUUAUUGUCUCCACGUCAAUAGCAAACUAUUGUUUUGAAUCUGAUGGAUCUGAACAUUCAUGUCACAUAAGAGGAGUUACAAAGGACAUCUAUGCUAGGUAGCAUGAAAGCAUCAAAAAUUCAUUCUUUAUCACUUCUCUACUCGAGGAUGAGCAGGAGUUAAGCUUGGGGAUGCUUGAUACGUCUCAAACAUAUAUAUAAUUUUUGAUGGUUUCAUGCUGUUAUCUUGUCAACUUUGGAUGUUUUAUAUACCUUUUAUAUCUUUUUUGGGACUAACUUAUUAAUUCGGUGCCAAGUGCCAGUUCCUGUUUUUUCUGUGUUUUUGACUCUUUUCAGAUCCGAUUUUGGAACGGAGUCCAAACGGAAUAAAAUCCCCGAAAUAAAAUUUUCCAUAACAGAAGAAGAUCGGGGGACUUGAGGGCCAAGGCAGGAGGCCCACAGGGAACCCACAAGCCCUGUUGCCGCGGCCAGGGGGGCCCGCGGCGACCAGGCUUGUGGCUUCCCUGGCGCUCCCCUGCCCUAGCUCUUUGGCCUAUAUAUUCCCUAAAAUCCCAGAAAAAAUCAGGGCGUCCACGAAACCACUUUUCCGCCGUCGCAGGCUUCCGUUUCCGCAAGAUCUCAUCUGGAGACCCUUCCCGGUGCCCUGCCGGAGGGGACUUUGGAGCUGGAGGGCUUCUACAUCAACAUCAUCGCCCCUCCAAUGACUCGUGAGUAGUCCACUUCAGACCUACGGGUCCGUAGUUAGUAGCUAGAUGGCUUCUUCUCUCUCUUGGAUCUUCAAUACAAAGUUCUCCAUGAUCUUCAUGGAGAUCUAUUCGAUGUAAUCCUCUUUGGCGGUGUGUUUGUCAAGAUCCGAUGAAUUGUGGAUUUGUGAUCAAAUUAUCUAUGAAUUAUAUUUGAGUCUUUGCUGAUUUCUUAUAUGCAUGAUUUGAUAUCCUUAUAAGUCUCUCCGAGUCUUGCAUUUUGUUUGGCCAACUAGAUCUAUGAUUCUUGUAAUGGGAGAAGUGCUUGGUUUUGGGUUCAUACCGUGCGGUGACCUUUCCCAGUGACAGAAGGGGCAGCAAGGCACGCAUCGUGUUGUUGCCAUCAAGGGUAACAAGAUGGGCUUUCAUCAUAGAUUUAAGAUUGUCCAUCUACAUCAUGUCAUCUUGCUUAAGGCGUUACUCUGUUCUUAUGAACUCAAUACACGAGAUGGAUGCUGGAUAGCGGUCGAUGUGUGGAGUAAUAGUAGUAGAUGCAGAAAGUAUCGGUCUACUUGUUUUGGACGUGAUGCCUAUAGAUAUGAUCAUUGCCAUAGAUAACGUCAUGACUUUGCGUGGUUCUAUCAAUUGCUCGAUAGUAAUUCGUUCACCCACCGUCUACUUGCUUUCAUGAGAGAAGCCACUAGUGACACUACGGCCCCCGGGUCUAUUCACAACUAUCGUCUCCACUUUUACUUUUACUUUUCUUUGUUUACUUUUUUGCUUUCAGCUCUCACUUUGCAAACAAUCUAUAAGGGAUUGACAACCCCUUCAUAGCAUUGGGUGCAAGCUCUUUGUGUUUGUGCAGGUACUUGUGACUUGAGGCGAUCCUCCUACUGGAUGGAUACCUUGGUUCUCAAACUUAGGGAAAUACUUACUGCCGCAGUGCUACAUCACCCUUUCCUCUUCAAGGGAACACCGACGCAAGGCUCCAAGGCCGCGGGGGAAUCCUUUGCAUAUUUGCCAAGGAAGUCCCUCUAGGCGUAGCCAGCAGCAGAAGGAUUCCUGGCGCCGUUGCCGGGGAAGGUCUUUUGUUGCUGUAGCAACCACUCAUACGUCCCAAACGUAUCUAUAAUUUUUGUUUGUUUCAUGCUCUUUUGUGUGACAUUGUUAUGUGCUUUGCUACACUUUCAUACCUUUUUACACAUAUUUGGACUAACCUACUAACUCAGUGCACCCAGUGACAAGUUCUGUCUGCUGAUGUCUAUGAAUUGCACGUUUAUACCCAUAUUUACAAUGCCCGAAAAAUUCCACAAAAAAUAUAUAAAACAUCAGCGUUCCAAAAGACUCCAAACGCCCGAAGGAGAGCCAGAGUGGGGCCACCCCCCAUCCAGGCGGCCACCUGGCGCGGCCUAGGGGGAGGUCGCGCCACCAGGCCACCUGGGCGAGUGGGACCUCCCCUAGUGCCCCCCUUUGGCCCUAUUUUUACCCCCGUGGAAGAAACCCUGAUUCCAGAACCCUUUUCUCCAAAAGUAAUUCUGAACUCCGCCGCCAUCGCCAACAAGUUUCGGGGAACCAGAAUUCUUGUGGCGGCACGCUGCCGGGACGGGGAAGUGCCCCCGGAUUCAUCUCCAUCGACGUUGUUUCCUCCCUCCAUGAAGCGGGAGUAGUUCCUCCUCAGGGCUGAGGUCUUCUACAGUAGCUAUGUGGUUAAUUCUCUCUCCCAUGAUGUGAUCUUGAUUGUGAUCAUAGGCUAUGUUAAUCUAGGGUGAUCCCAUGAUGUUUCCCCUUCUUCUAUGUAUUGGAUUGAUGUACUCACUUGAUCUUAUCUAGUAUAAUCUCCGAGACCAUGGUGACAUCAGUCUAUUGGAUAUGGAUUAGAAGAAUAUUUUUAUGAGUAAUUUCCUCUUUUAUGAAUUGAUUGAAGAUUGAGAGUCUCUUGGUUCUUGUCUUUGACUAUCCUUGAGAUAUGUUGUGGUGAUUGUGGUACUCUCUUUGGAUGGUCGCGGUGACAUUGGGAAGUCCAUAGAUGAGAACUACGAACUAUGAGGUGUGAUUUUGUAGCCGUACAUAAUUCUCGUCCUCCCUUGAUCACAAAGGAAUGACCUCCGAGUACGUCUCCAUUGCAUGUUUUAGUGGAAAUAUCAUGUGAUUAGACUAUGUUAAUGUUGUUGGGAGUUGCCACUAGUGAAAGUAUGAAGCCUAGGCCUUGUUUCUCACAAUUGUUACACCGUUUGUUCUCACUUUUGUCACUUGCUACCUUGCUGUAAUUUUUAUUACAGAUUUAUAUUACCUUGCUUUGCACACCUAUCACCCAUAUUUUACCAUCUCUCCGCUCAACUAGUGCACCUAUACAAUUUACCAUUGUAUUAGGUGUGUUGGGGACACAAGAGACUUAUUGUUUCUUAAUUGCAGGGUUGCUUGAGAGAGAGACCAUCUUCAACCUCUACUUCCCUGAGUUCGAUAAACCUCAGGUCAUCCACUUGAGGGAAAUUGUUGUUGUCCUACAAACCUAUGCACUUGGAGGCCCAACAUAGUCUACAAGAAUAGAAAUUUGCGUAGACAUCAACCACAACAUACAGAAAAAUAAAAGGGGCAUGACGGGGGAUCAAACCCGCCACCUCUGCCUCAUACUGCAGCGCACCAGCCACUAGGCUGAGUCGACUCAGCUGCAUUAAGAGGGGAGCCAAACCCUAUACACUAACUAUACUAACAGUGCAAUGACUACGUGUGAACAGACCUUCCCCUGCAACGGCACCAGAAGAAUGCUGCUAGCACUCUCUGGCAAUCGAAACUAGAAGAAUGUUGUUGACGGCCCACCAGCGCGUGGGAUCGUAGCAGUUUUCAAGGGUAGAGUAUUCGGCCCAAAUUAGUUGAUCACCAAACAGGAGGUGAGAGAAUACUCUCGAGUAUUAGCACCUGAAUGUGUCAGAUUCAACCACACCUGAAAGAUUAGUAUCUACAAGCAAAGUAGUAGCAGCAAAGUAACGAGUAACAGCAGCAGAGCAAGACAAGUUACAACAGCAGUAGGACAAACUCGUAGGCGAUGGGUCGGUGAUUUUUUUGGAUGAUAUUCAUCAUGCAGCAGUUAUAACACGGAGAGAUAUGUGGCUAGCUCUCGUUCGUCAAUGUGAUGUAGGCAUGCAUUCCGUGUGUCGUCAUACGUGCUUAGGGAAAAGAACUUGCAUGACAUCUAUUGUCCAUCCCUCCCGUGGCAGCGUGGUCCAAAAGGAAACUACAGGAUAUUAAGGUUCUCCUUUUAAUAAAGAACCAGACCAACGCAUUAGCACUUGGUGAACACAUGAACUCCUCAAACUAUGGUCAUCACCGGGAGUGGUUCCGGUUAUUGUCACUCCGGCGUUGCCGGAUCAUAACACAUAGUAGGUAACUACAACUUGCAAGAUCGGAUCUAAAACACACAUAUAUUGGUGACAACAUAAUAAUUUCAGAUCUGAAAUCAUGGCACUCGGGCCCUAGUGACAAGCAUUAAGCAUGGCAAAGUAGUAGCAACAUUAAUCUCAGAACAUAGUGGAUACUAGGGAUCAAUCCCCGUCAAAACUAACUCGAUUACAUGAUAGAUGUCAUCCUACUCAUCACCGCCCAGCGAGCCUAUGAAUAGAUUACUCACGAACGACGAAGAGCUUCAUGGAAUUGGAGAGGGAAGAAGGUUGAUGAUGACGAUGGCGACGAUUUCCCCUCUCCGGAGCCCAAAACGGACUCCACAUCUGCCCUCGAGAUGAAGAACAGGUUGUGGCGGCGCCUCUGUAUCGCAAACGCGACGAAAUCUUCUAUUCUUAUUUUUUCUGGGAUGAAAGUGAACUUAUAGAUCUGAGAUUGGGGGCGGCAGAGCCACGUGGGCCCCACAAGCUUGCGCACCGCCACCAGGGGGUGGCGGUGGCAGGGCUUGUGGCCCACUGGCCCACCCCUUCAGGUGGAUCUUUGCGCAGGUAUGUUUCAUAUUUUCCAAAAAUGUUCCCCGUAAAUUUUCAGGAUGUUUUGAGAACUUUGAUUUCUGCACAAAAAUAACACCAAGGCAAUUCUGCUGAAAACAACAUCAGUCCAGGUUAAUUCCAUUCAAAUCAUGGAAAUUAGAAUCCAAAACAAGGGCAAAAGAGUUUGGAAAAGUAGAUACGAUGGUGUAACAUCCCAAAUUUUGGAAUGUUAAAAUAAUUAUUAGAAUGAUUGUUUGUUUGAUUGAGUGAUUGCAACUUGAGUGAAAAUUUGAAACUUUUUAAAAAAAUUGAAUGAGAGGGAAUAAAAUGACUUUCGCCUUCUCCGAUGAAUUCAAAUUCAAUCAUUUUAAAAAGCAACGUGAGGAGAUGACAUGACUUCUUCAACUAUAAAGAAUUUGAACGGAGAUAUUUGCAUUGAAUUCUUUUGCAUUUCCAUUCGUUUUCUUCGUGCAACAAAAUGCCGGGAAAUACAUUCUAGAGCAGAGGAACAUGACCCUCGAACCCACGGGCAUUUUGAAAGUUAUUUGAACCCUCAAACUUAGAGGGUCAUUUGAAAAUUAUUUGCAAAAGAAAAUAAACCUUUUUGGCAAUUUUGUGAAAAUAAUUUUUUCGGAAAUUUUUAUUUUUGCCGGUGGAAAAUGCCCAUCAUCUAUAUUUUAUUUUUCUGAUAAUUUUAGUAUAUAAAAACUCUUUAUUCCGAAUUGAUUUGAUUUCCUUUUUAACGUUUUAGUUUCCUAGUUUUGAAAAUAGGAAGGAGAUCACUUUUAUUAGGAAAUACCCCCUGGCCCAUUAAAGACUUACCUAUUCUAGCCCAACAGGAGAUCAUCUCCUACCUCCAUCUCUUCUCCCACAUGACAAAAACCUUCCAUCCAUGGAGGAAGGAAUCCCCUCCUUCCCGAUCUCCCUCCUCCUUCCUUCCGGACGCCAUCCGAGACCGCCUAUAAAUUCCCACCGCCCCCCUCUCUCCAUUUUUCCCGAGAGAACCCCCUCUCCUCGCCUCUAGCUCGCGCACCACCACCACCCCGUCGGCACCAGAGAAACUCCUCCACCUCGCCAGAGAACUUCACCCUUCGGUCAUCCCUGCACCUCCUCCACCUCCACCACUUCGGCCACCACCUCCCCACCUCGGCCCCCUCCUCCACCACCUCUCCACCCCACCUUCGGCCCCUGCUGCCCCAUCCCCCAGCGAGCAGCAGCACACCAGCAGUUUCACCUCCACCUCGCCACCAGCACCUUUCCCACCUCGCCCUCUACAGCCACCCCUCCACUUCGCCACCACCCCCUCCCUGGAGCCCCCCCUUCGCCCCCCUUCCCCACCCCUCGCCGGCCCCUCCCCCUUCCCCACCGGCGACCCAGCCUCCCUCGGCCACCAUUGGCAGCCACGGGAGCAGCCCCAGCCGAAGGUAACCCCCACCUCUCUGUUGUUUUCUUUUUUUUCGUUUAUAACCCUUAGAUCUUUGUUCUAGGGUGUAGAUUAGAUCCUACAUAACCUUUCGGUUUAGUUUAGAAAACCAGCGGUUUUAUUUCACUUAAUCAAUUAGCCAGCGAGUUUUGUUAAGACUAGGCCGUUUGCUCCUAAGUUUGCAGCAAACGCACUCCGCAACCUAUAGUAGCAUGCCACGUGUACCCCCUAUUUGUAGAUAGUUAGCUUCAGUUUUUUCUGUCAAAAUUGCAAAAACAGAAAGUUUAUGUUUUGUUUUGGCCACAACUUUUUAUCCCGAAGUCCAAUGACAUUGAUUCUUAUUUCAGUAGCUCACAAAUUUCCUGUAGUUUUUAAAAACAUAUAAUUUGUCUAUGUUUGAAAUUUUCAAAUAUAAGUUAGAUCAGAUUUAGUUUAAACCUUGUUUUGCCUAUUCCAGGAGUUUAAAAAUAGCUUUUAAUUUGAUUCCUUUUGGUACUGAUCACUAGUGAUCUUAUGUACCAGUGGUAAAAAUUUCAGAUUUGUUUGAGUAUUUUAGCUCACUGUUUCUUGUGAAACAAUUUCUGUUUCACCUCUUUUAGAAUUUCGGCUAAUUCCUUUUCUAUUUUUGUUUUAAAAUAUUUUCUUUAUUAUUUCAGAAAGAUUAUUAUGUUUUGUUUCUGUUAGAUAACAGUAGUUUUGCAACAAGUUUUUAUUUUAUUUUUAUUUGUUUUCAUGAAAUCAAUUCUAGUUCCUUAGUAACUUGCAAUUGGUUUCCGCAUUGUUUCAAAACCCGUUUGGGAAUACUUUCAAAAAGUUUUGUGAAAAAUACUUUAUUUUAUCUUAGUUAAACUUAUAUCUUAGUUCCUUGUUAUUAUUUUCUGUUAGACAAAACUAUUUAGUGUUUGACGUAGUAGAAGACUCCCUAGUUUUAUUUGAAGUUUCUUUCGGAUUCCUAUUCGCUCUCUCUUUUGUUUUGAUUGUUAGAAUGCUUGCUAGUAUGAGUGCUUAUGUGAAUGAUAUGUUUGUUAUAUAGAUUUCAUCGGAGAGUGACGAGUAGUCUAUCAAGUUAUUUCUCGAGAAAUUCUUCUUCGUCAACAUCACCAGGCAAGUCACUUUGAUCAUACUAUCACCUAUGUUUUAUGCAUCGUAGUUCUACCAUCCUAUGCCCAAUUGCAUGCUGCCUAGGUACUUGGAAACUUUAGUAUAAGUUGUAGUAUCCUGUGGUAGGCACACAACAACCCCGAUACUUGGCCCCGGGACGACAAUUUCUUAAUGCUAUGCUUGAAUAGACGGGUUAUCGGUUGAGUGUAUAUCACGAGUGAUGUGAGGUUGAUAUAAUAAUCAAGACCGGCUAAGACAAGAUUUUCAAGACCUCGGACGCAAUGCAACUCUGGGUGAAGGACGGUUGAUCGGCUCCCUGGAGAACCCAGUGGAUGCCCGGGAUGCUGGAGAGGCCAUGUCAUCCUGCGGAAAGCUUCACCCAGGCUCACAGAGACGGACGGAUAUUUUCAAGACCCAAAGCUUACCUGCACAGCCACAAGUCAUUAUGGGCUCUGGCUUGGUUGGACAACGCGGCGACUCUGGACAGGCGGUGCUAGCAGAUGUAGACGAACGGUAGGAAUGGAUGGGCACCGACAGGGAUUCAGAGGGACCCGUUGAAAGACCAUGUUUUGAUCAUCCGGUCUUCAAACACCCUGAAGUGCGAGGACAUACACGGAGGCGAUCAAAUCUUGUGGGGAACGUGUGCAAAACUCUGCAGAGUGCCCAACCUAAUCGAUUAGCCGUGUCCACGGUCAUGGACAACUUGAGCCAAAGGAACUGAAGUUAUCUGGAUUUCUCAACACCAUUAUAUAUAUUUGAUGAGGGUAAUAUUGACAACUCGGGUACGAGAACUGGUUGGCGGAACCAUCUCGUUAACAACCAACAAUGUAGUAACAUUUUGCUUUUAGCCCUCUCUUGAUGUAGGAGAAAACUUGCUUUUCGCUAAAAACUUAUAGCCCCACCUACCAUAUAUGCAUAUAGUAUAGAGGAUUACUUUUCACCCCUCUCUUAUGUGACUUGCUGGCAUAUUCAAUAUGCUGACCUACACGGCUGCAACGUCUUAUGUUGCAGAUAUUUUUUUUCUUCGACGAGUAAGAGUACGAUUCAGGGUUACGGUCUACACUCAACUUGCCGUUGGUGUUUAUUGGGACUCCACUCCCUUGACUGCUUCCGCUGAAAUAUUUAAGGUAUAUAUCAGUUUUACGCUAUUUACAUGUGAUUGCACUUUGAUAUAUACAUUGAUGUACUGUGUGUGCCAGCAUACUGAUCCAGGGAUGGCACAGAAACACAGAGGCUUGACUCGUCUUGAGUCGGGUCGCUACAGAGAUGGUAUCAAAGCACAUGUUGACUGUAGGACGUGACCCUAGAAACUGGAAACUUCUUAGGAUAGGAUCUCUCAAAAAAAAUUAUUUUCAAGAACAUUCUUUACCUCUCAUCUCUUCUGACUUCAUCAAAUGUUCUCUCUCACCUCCAAUAGUUAGACAAUACCCUUACCCCUUUGACCACAUGAAGGAUCAACCGACUCCCACUUCAAAGUAAAGAGGAUUUCAUCAUGCAAUUGAAGCAUUGAAGCUACACCAAUUGAAGACUCUCAAGACCUGAAGAAUUCGAAGAUCUUGAAGCAUUCCAAUAUUUAUAUGUCCAUUAGAAGUCCAAACCCCUGUUAUAUACCCACGUUAGAUACGAUGAUUUGUGAGCCGUCAUUGGUGUGUGUUUUUCGACAGCCACAAAUAAAACCUAUUCUCAAAAAUAUUGUUUGUAUUGUGUGUAUCUCCCUCCCUCUCUUACCCGUCUCAUCCACAAAACCUCAACCCUACCAGAUGGAGUUUGAAGCUGGACUUGUAGUCUCUGGACCAAUGACCCAGCUGGAAGCUGAGAUAUGGAUUCAGAACAUGGAGAACCACUUCGGGAGCAACUUGAUCUCAAGGAAGUAUGAAGUGGAACACGCUCUCCAGUACUUUACCCAAAGUGCUGCUAUCUGGUGGAAAAUGCACUAUGCCAUACAAGGAUUUAGUGGAGCAGAAAGUUGGGAAGAAUUCAAGAAGACUCUGUUAAGAUCCCGUCUCAUUCAGAAGAGCUAUGAUAAUCCGAUGAAGAAGCCUUGUGCAUGCAAGAUCUGUGGAGAAAUAGGACACACCCAGGAAGAACACAAGGAUGGAUGCACUCAUUGUGAUGAAAAUCACCCAGCUGAGGAAUGCCCAACUAGUCAGGUGACUUGUUUCUUUUGUGAAGGAACCACCCACUACCCUGCUCAAUGUCACAUUUACCCCAAGGUACAACAAGUUGUCCAGCAGCAGAAAGAAGCCAUGAAGGAAACCCUCAAGAAGAAGAUUCUAGAAGAACCGGUGAUGAACGAAAAUAUUGAAGACCCUGAUGGGCAAGGUCUGACCCGAUUUUUCUCCAAUGCAUGCUACAAAUGUGGAGAAGAAGGACACUAUUCACAGGACUGCACGAAGAGAAGCCAAGAGUAUCUGGGAAACUUCCCGACGAAAAAAGUGGAGUUUGAUCCACUUGAAAUAGAAGAACUGGCCAAAAUAAAGGAGUCCGGAAAGAAGAAAAAGUACCCUCGGAAGAGCCAAAUCUCUGUAGAUAUAGACCCGAGUCAUGUCAGAUGUUACAAGUGUAUGAAAUUUGGCCACCACAAAUACAUGUGCUCAGGAAGGAAGCCGGGAAUCCAAGGAGCAAAAGCAGAAGCUAAGAAGCCUCGAGACUUGUCAGAAAUCAUUUGCUUUUGUUGCAAGGAAGCAUGACAUUUUGCUAGCGAUUGUCCACAAAGGAAGAAAGCUAGAAUGGAGUAGUUAAGUUUUGACCAUGGCAAUAAGUGUAAUCCGAAGCACUCUUGUUUUUCAUAAGAUCAUGAAGUGAAAUUUUUGUAACAGAAGUCCCUGAGAUUGUAAUAACAUCAUGAAUAAAUGGAAUUUAUUGUCUCAUGAUUGCCUAUGUUGAAACUGUAUGCGUUGUUUCUCUACGAGCAAAGAUCUCUGAACAUUAUGAAGAUAUGAGAAAAUAUGGUCUAUGCAGGCAUGAGUAUAAUUCAUUUUAAGUGUGGUAGUAAUCGGUAAACCCACAGGAUCCACUGAGUAGGAAUGUACCAGGAAUACCUGAGUGAAGUGCAUGCGGAGAUGAUGGAGAUGAAGCUCAUGACCACCAUGAUGAAGCAAAAUAUGGAUGAUUUCAAGGAGCACCUCGGAAAGUUCCAGUGGAGCUAAAGUACCUCCAAGAGAGGCAGAUGAAUAAAGUUGGCAGAAAUGCUUGACCAUACCGAACAAUGUGGAUGGCAGCAAUUGUAAUAGAGUACCUUUCGAAUUGAAGUUUUUGAGAAGAAAGCAAGGAUGUAAUAAAGGAUUGAUUAUGAAAUGCAUAUGAUUUAUGGAAGAAGCUAUGAUGGAUCAGCAAACGUUUUCUUAGGAGCAUACGAAAACCUGAGAGUUGUGAAGAUACGAUAGAUGCUUUGUUUAGCUUGCAGAACCAAUGGAUUAUCCGAACUUCGUUCGUGGACAAGAGAAAUUCUGCAACGCUUGUGAGGAUGCCCAAGUGUUAGAAUGCGAGAUUCGCUAAACCUUAUACAGAGAAAUGAUUUGGGUGCGGAAUGGAUUGAUCACCAUGACGACUUACUCUUAUCAUUUAUCUUGCUAUUCGGAAUGGUAAAUCUGAGAGACUUACCCAUAUAGAGAGACGACGUUCUUUGAAGCUUUUGUUUAAGUCUUAGAAUGGUACAAGGAAAGCCCAUGUACAUGGCACUUGUUGUCACGCGUAGGAAAUUUUACGGUGAGGAUGAAGCCAAGACCCUUCUUUCUGCAGGAUAACCACAAAUGUAGACCACCAUGAGAACCAUCGAUAUGUUAUUUAGAAUUGACCUCGAGACUGUCAGUUAAGAAGACCCUGUGACGGAAGAAGCUUAUAUCAACGGGAGAGCAUCACCAAAGCAUUUAAUAUGAAGACUGUGCGAUGUCAGUUGCCAAAACCCCAGAAGAUCGUUAAAGCAUUUUGAGGGACCAGUAUCUCUCAUUUUAAGUGUGGCAGCAUCCCACUUUGCAAGAGAUUGGAUUGCUAGAAGACCCCCAAACCCUAACCUUUCUUUCUAGCCUCUUCGAAUCUCGAGGACGAGAUUCAUUUUAAGUGUGGUAGAUUUGUAACAUCCCAAAUUUUGGAAUGUUAAAAUAAUUAUUAGAAUGAUUGUUUGUUUGAUUGAGUGAUUGCAACUUGAGUGAAAAUUUGAAACUUUUUAAAAAAAUUGAAGGAGAGGGAAUAAAAUGACUUUCCCCUUCUCCGAUGAAUUCAAAUUCAAUCAUUUUAAAAAGCAACGAGAGUAGAUGACAUGACUUCUUCAACUAUAAAGAAUUUGAACGGAGAUAUUUGCAUUGAAUUCUUUUGCAUUUCCAUUCGUUUUCUUCGUGCAACAAAAUGCCAGGAAAUACAUUCUAGAGCAGAGGAACAUGACCCUCGAACCCACGGGCAUUUUGAAAGUUAUUUGAACCCUCAAACUUAGAGGGUCAUUUGAAAAUUAUUUGCAAAAGAAAAUAAACCUUUUUGGCAAUUUUGUGAAAAUAAUUUUUUCUGAAGUUUUUAUUUUGCCGUGGAAAAAUGCCCAUCAUCUAUAUUUUAUUUUUCUGAUAAUUUUAGUAUAUAAAAACUCUUUAUUCCGAAUUGAUUUGAUUUCGUUUUUAACGUUUUAGUUUCCUAGUUUUGAAAAUAGGAAGGAGAUCACUUUUAUUAGGAAAUACCCCGUGGCCCAUUAAAGACUUACCUAUUCUAGCCCAACAGGAGAUCAUCUCCUACCUCCAUCUCUUCUCCCACAUGACAAAAACCUUCCAUCCAUGGAGGAAGGAAUCCCCUCCUUCCCGAUCUCCCUCCUCCUUCCUUCCGGACGCCAUCCGAGACCGCCUAUAAAUUCCCAUCGCCCCCCUCUCUCCAUUUUUCCCGAGAGAACCCCCUCUCCUCGCCUCUAGCUCGCGCACCACCACCACCCUGUUGGCACCAGAGAAACUCCUCCACCUCGCGAGAGAACUUCACCCUUCGGCCAUCCCUGCACCUCCUCCACCUCCACCACUUCGGCCACCACCUCCCCACCUCGGCCCCCUCCUCCACCACCUCUCCACCCCACCUUCGGCCCCUGCUGCCCCAUCCCCCAGCGAGCAGCAGCACACCAGCAGUUUCACCUCCACCUCGCCACCAGCACCUUUCCCACCUCGCCCUCUACAGCCACCCCUCCACUUCGCCACCACCCCCUCCCUGGAGCCCCCCCUUCGCCCCCCUUCCCCACCCCUCGCCGGCCCCUCCCCCUUCCCCACCGGCGACCCAGCCUCCCUCGGCCACCAUUGGCAGCCACGGGAGCAGCCCCAGCCGAAGGUAACCCCCACCUCUCUGUUGUUUUCUUUUUUUCGUUUAUAACCCUUAGAUCUUUGUUCUAGGGUGUAGAUUAGAUCCUACAUAACCUUUCGGUUUAGUUUAGAAAACCAGCGGUUUUAUUUCACUUAAUCAAUUAGCCAGCGAGUUUUGUUAAGACUAGGCCGUUUGCUCCUAAGUUUGCAGCAAACGCACUCCGCAACCUAUAGUAGCAUGCCACGUGUACCCCCUAUUUGUAGAUAGUUAGCUUCAGUUUUUUCUGUCUAAAUUGCAAAAACAGAAAGUUUAUGUUUUGUUUUGGCCACAACUUUUUAUCCCGAAGUCUAAUGACAUUGAUUCUUAUUUCAGUAGCUCACAAAUUUCCUGUAGUUUUUAAAAACAUAUAAUUUGUCUAUGUUUGAAAUUUUCAAAUAUAAGUUAGAUCAGAUUUAGUUUAAACCUUGUUUUGCCUAUUCCAGGAGUUUAAAAAUAGCUUUUAAUUUGAUUCCUUUUGGUACUGAUCACUAGUGAUCUUAUGUACCAGUGGUAAAAAUUUCAGAUUUGUUUGAGUAUUUUAGCUCACUGUUUCUUGUGAAACAAUUUCUGUUUCACCUCUUUUAGAAUUUCGGCUAAUUCCUUUUCUAUUUUUGUUUUAAAAUAUUUUCUUUAUUAUUUCAGAAAGAUUAUUAUGUUUUGUUUCUGUUAGAUAACAGUAGUUUUGCAACAAGUUUUUAUUUUAUUUUUAUUUGUUUUCAUGAAAUCAAUUCUAGUUUCUUAGUAACUUGCAAUUGGUUUCCGCAUUGUUUCAAAACCCGUUUGGGAAUACUUUCAAAAAGUUUUGUGAAAAAUACUUUAUUUUAUCUUAGUUAAACUUAUAUCUUAGUUCCUUGUUAUUAUUUUCUGUUAGACAAAACUAUUUAGUGUUUGACGUAGUAGAAGACUCCCUAGUUUUAUUUGAAGUUUCUUUCGGAUUCCUAUUCGCUCUCUCUUUUGUUUUGAUUGUUAGAAUGCUUGCUAGUAUGAGUGCUUAUGUGAAUGAUAUGUUUGUUAUAUAGAUUUCAUCGGAGAGUGACGAGUAGUCUAUCAAGUUAUUUCUCGAGAAAUUCUUCUUCAUCAACAUCACCAGGCAAGUCACUUUGAUCAUACUAUCACCUAUGUUUUAUGCAUCGUAGUUCUACCAUCCUAUGCCCAAUUGCAUGCUGCCUAGGUACUUGGAAACUUUAGUAUAAGUUGUAGUAUCCUGUGGUAGGCACACAACAACCCCGAUACUUGGCCCCGGGACGACAAUUUCUUAAUGCUAUGCUUGAGUAGACGGGUUAUCGGUUGAGUGUAUAUCACGAGUGAUGUGAGGUUGAUAUAAUAAUCAAGACCGGCUAAGACAAGAUUUUCAAGACCUCGGACGCAAUGCAACUCUGGGUGAAGGACGGUUGAUCGGCUCCCUGGAGAACCCAGUGGAUGCCCGGGAUGCUGGAGAGGCCAUGUCAUCCUGCGGAAAGCUUCACCCAGGCUCAAAGAGACGGACGGAUAUUUUCAAGACCCAACGCUUACCUGCACAGCCACAAGUCAUUAUGGGCUCUGGCUUGGUUGGACAACGCGGCGACUCUGGACAGGCGGUGCUAGCAGAUGUAGACGAACGGUAGGAAUGGAUGGGCACCGACAGGGAUUCAGAGGGACCCGUUGAAAGACCAUGUUUUGAUCAUCCGGUCUUCAAACACCCUGAAGUGCGAGGACAUACACGGAGGCGAUCAAAUCUUGUGGGGAACGUGUGCAAAACUCUGCAGAGUGCCCAACCUAAUCGAUUAGCCGUGUCCACGGUCAUGGACAACUUGAGCCAAAGGAACUGAAGUUAUCUGGAUUUCUCAACACCAUUAUAUAUAUUUGAUGAGGGUAAUAUUGACAACUCGGGUACGAGAACUGGUUGGCGGAACCAUCUCGUUAACAACCAACAAUGUAGUAACAUUUUGCUUUUAGCCCUCUCUUGAUGUAGGAGAAAACUUGCUUUUCGCUAAAAACUUAUAGCCCCACCUACCAUAUAUGCAUAUAGUAUAGAGGAUUACUUUUCACCCCUCUCUUAUGUGACUUGCCGGCAUAUUCAAUAUGCUGACCUACACGGCUGCAACGUCUUAUGUUGCAGAUAUUUUUUUCUUCGACGAGUAAGAGUACGAUUCAGGGUUAAUGUCUACACUCAACUUGCCGUUGGUGUUUAUUGGGACUCCACUCCCUUGACUGCUUCCGCUGAAAUAUUUAAGGUAUAUAUCAGUUUUACGCUAUUUACAUGUGAUUGCACUUUGAUAUAUACAUUGAUGUACUGUGUGUGCCAGCAUACUGAUCCAGGGAUGGCACAGAAACACAGAGGCUUGACUCAUUUUGAGUCGGGUCGCUACAGAUGGAGACGUAUCAACUGCCCCAAGCUUAAAACCUUGCUUGUCCUCAAGCAACUCAGUUGACAAACUAAGAGAGAAAGAAAAACUUUGACAAACUCUGUUUGAUCUUGUUGUUGCAACUAUGUCUAACUCAUAACCAAAAUUUCUGCAAGAUGACAAGUUAACCACAUAAGUAAGUGACACAAAGGUCUCACGGUAAACUAAUAUCAAUGGCAUAAUCAGCUAACGAGCAAAUAAUAAUGAGUUUCAAAUACCAACACUUCAAUCAAAACAAGCAUGAAGCAAUAUGAAUAGGUGGUAUCUCGCUAGCUCUUUCUGAGACCGCAAAACAUAAAUGUAGAGCACUUUCAAAGAUGAAGGGCUGACUAAACAUUGUAAUUCAUAGCAACGAAGAUCCAGUCAUAGUCAUACUCAAUAUCAAUCAAAAGCAAAGCAUAAGAAUGACAGAGGUGCUCUCUAAUUGGUGCUUAUAUAAGAAGAGGAUGACUCAAUAGGAAAAUAAAUAGACACGCCCUUCGCAGAGGGAAGCAUUGAUUUGAAGAGGUGCCAGAGCUGAAGCUUUGAAAACAGAGAUAAUAAUUUUGGGUGGCAUGCUUUCAUUGUCAACGCAAUGACCAAGAGUUAUCAAUAUCUUCCAUGCUACUCAUGCUAUAGGCGGUUCCCAAACAGAAAAGUAAAGUUUUAACUCCCCCACCACCAAUCAAUCACACUCCACGGCUAGCCGAAUCCUCGGGUACCGUCCAUACUAACAUCAAUCCGGGGGGAGUCUUGUUUUACAGUUAUGUUUUUGAUUUAAGCGUGGAACUGGGCAUUCCAAUUAUCGGCCUCUUUCUCGUGAAUGACAGUGAAUAAACACAUGUUGAGGAUAACACUCCUAGCAUGGAAUAUACCAAUAGCCCCCUGUCACCACAUGAGCGGUUCGGGCAUGCAAAACAUAUUAUUUCUUGAAGGUUUCGAGAGUGGCACAUGCAAAUUUACUUGGAACGGCAGGUAGAUACCGCAAAUAGGUAAGUAUGAUGGACUCUCGUGGAAAAACUUUUGGGUUUAUGGAAGUGGAUGCACAAGCAGUAUUCCGCUUAGUACAAGUGAAGGCUAGCAAAAGACUCGGAAGCGACUAACUAGAGAGCGACAACAGUCAUCAAGAUGCAAUGAGUUUGACUAACAUUAAAUGCAAGAAUGAACAGGAUAUAAAUCACCAUGAACGCGAACAUCAUAGAGGCUAUGUUGAUUUUGUUUCAACUACAUGCAUGAACAUGCGUCAAGUCAAACCACUUGAAUCAUUCAAAGGAGAAUACCAUCCUAUCAUACUACAUCAUAGUCAUCUCAAAAUCUAUGUUGGCAUUCAAGACAAACCAUUAUAAACUCUCAGCUAACUAAGCAUGGCAUCAGAAACUAUGCUCUCUAAGUUGUCAUUGCAAACAUGGUUCUCUCACAACAAAGCUGAAUCUAGGUCGACAAACUAGUCAUAUUUACAAAAACAAAAUAGAUAGAGUUCAUACCAGCUUUUCAGUCUCAGUCACUUCAUCAUAUAUCAUCAUUAUUGCCUUUCACUUGCACGAUCGAACGAUGAGAACAAUAAUAAGAGUGCCCGUGCAUUGGACUAAGCUGAAUCUGCAGGCAAACACAAAGGAGAAGACAAAGUAAUAUGGCUCUUUGAAAGCUAAACAGGUAUGCAAGCAAAAGCCACUAAACAUUGAAACCAAUAUCUUCUACCUUGACCCAAACAAAAAGAAAACUAUUUACACGGGAAAGCUCCCAACAAGCAAAAGAAGAAAGAAAAAUCUUUUUGGGUUUUCUCAAAAGGACAUAAAACAAGAAAACAAGAAAACGAAAAUAAACUAGCAUGGAUAAUACAGUGGCAAAGUGUAAACACCGGCUAACAAAGUGAAAGCAUAAGCAUGAAUAUAAAAUCGGUGAGGAACACGUACUCCCCCAAGCUUAGGCUUUUGACCUAGCUUGGUCUACUCCCAAGGUGGGAAAUAACCAGCUCCAGGAUACUCCGGAGCAGACUAUGGAUGCCACUUGUGUGUGAGCUCCUCUGGCUCCCACUGAUAAACUGGCGUCUCGUACUCGACUAGCGGCUCGGGCACGGGCGCCUGUGGUUGCGUCAAGCCCCAAUAUGUGUAGAUGUCCGAGGGCAUAAUAGUGUACUUGCCUGCAUGAAGAUCGAACAAAGAAGGAGCAGGCAAAGUAAUAGUCUCUCGAGUACCCUGACUAAAUACCAGGUUAUAAAUCAUCCGUCUACUAGCAUCUCUAUCCAGAAAAUCAUGGCGAACCAUGCUGUCAUAAUCCAGAUAUUUCUCAGGGAGAAGCAUCUCUCCUUCCUCUCCCAGUCUAAUGGGUAUCUCAAAGUGUCUGGCAAGACGGGUAGCAUAGAUACCUCCAUAGACGACACCCUUGGAACGGUUGGUGUUCAACCGCUGGACUACUAUAGCACCUAGGCUAUAAGUCUUAUCGUUAUAAAGGCCUUCGCGCAAAACCGCAAGGUCUAGAGAACUAAGUGAUCCAGCCUACCCAUGGCCAAUCAAACAUUUUCCCACAAAUAGUGAGAAGUACCGAAGCACAGGAAAAUGUAUGCUAGCAAUUCUAGCACGAGAUACUCCUCUCUCCUCUCCAACAGCAAUAGUACCAAUGAAAUCCUCCAAGUCCCGUGGACGAGGGUCACGGAUAUCCCCAACAUAAGGUAAUUUGCAUACAUUGCAAAAAUCCUGUAGCGUCAUGCACUGGGGAACAUCGUAUAUCAUGAACUCAACCAUGGGAGGAUUCUUCCUCGGAUAAAAGUUGAAGCUUUGUACGAAAAUAUUGGUGAGGAGGAGGUAUUGUGAGCACUUAUCUUCAACGAACGCAGUAAGACCUGCGUUCUCCACCAAGUAAUAAAAGUCUUCAUAAAGUCCGGCGACACGCAAAAAAAUUCAUCACUUGGCCACUCGCACGCUCGAACUUCUGUGACUCGAGGGACUACGUGCUUGGGGUGGUUCUUCUCCUCCUCCUUGGGGUUACGGCUUGAAGAGCCUCUCAAGAACCUCCUCAUCUUUUCCUUUUUCUAGCUCUGAAAUUCUGAAAUUUUUAGAGACUUCGAAAGAAAAGUGAAUAAAGACUAACCCAACUUGUAGCAACUACUCCUACUAGUGCCUAGAGACCGUAUCACGCACAAAAACUACUUGGGACAAGAUAAAAUCAACAUUUCUAGCUCAAGAACAGGGUCACCAAGGUAGCAAGAAUGUGCGAAGGAUAAAGCACUAGAGAAAAAACUAAUUGGACCAAUGGAGGAGUCACUUACCAAGGAGUAAUUUCCCCAAAACGGUUCGGAGAAUUGUGCUUUGAGCAAGGAGAUCGAAAAUCACAGCCAAAUGAGCAAGAACAUGGGUUUGAGCUGCGAAACAAUUUUUUUCUGGAGGUGGAAGAAGAGGCUGGGAGCUGGAAUGAGUGGAGGGGGUCCCUGUGGGCCCCACAAGCUUGCCCUCCGCCACUAGGGGGGAUGGCGGUGGCAGGGCUUGUGGCCCACUGGUCUGGCCCCCAGGCCAGCUCUUAGGCCCAGAAAUUUUCAAAUAUUCUAGAAAAAAUCAUACUAAAUUUUCAGGACCAUCGGAGAACUUUUAUUUUCGAGGUAUUUUUCUCCGGGACGCUAAAACAGAAAACAGGAAAAACUAAACUAAUUCUAUCAUUUUCCUUCUAAGCAACAGAAAAUGAAAGCUUAAACAGAGGUAUGUGACUCUUUGAUUCAUCCAUUUCAUGGUCGUUGAAAGAAAUCCGUCAAUGGGGUUGAUCAAGUCCUCAUGACAAAACCUUCUCGAAUCGCAAGAGAGAACGGAGAAUUUUUGAAUAGCCACUAAGUCACCUCAAUGGGGAUAUGUAUCUCCCCAACAAGCAAAUCAUACUUCAUCUUGACACGAGGAAUAGGGCAUUCAAAGCUCCCAAUAAGAAUCGAUGAAGUCUUUCCGAUAGCAUUGAUGCAAUGUACUUGAUAUCGUUUCUUCGAAAAGUGCAUUGUGUGCUCAUUACCGUUGACAUGGAAAGUGACAUUGCCUUUGUUGCAAUCUAUAACAGCCCCUGCAGUGUUUAAAAAGGGUCUUCCGAGGAUGACAGCCAUGGCAUCGUCCUCGGGAAUAUCCAAGAUAACAAAGUCUGUUAAGAUAAUGGUGUUGGCAACCACAACAGGCACAUCCUCUCAAAUGCUGAUAGGAAAAGCAGUUGAUUUGUCGGCCAUUUGCAGAUAAAUUUCAGUGGGUGUCAACUUAUCCAAUUCAAGUCUAUGAUAAAGAGAGAGCGGCAUAACACUAACACCAGCUCCAAGGUCACAUAAGGCAGUUCUUACGUAGUUUCUUUUAAUGGAGCAAGGUAUAGUGGGCACUCCGGGAUCACCAAGUUUCUUAGGAGUUCCACCUUUGAAAGUGUAGUUGGCAAGCAUGGUGGAGAUCUCAAGAUCUGGUAUCUUCCGUUUAUUGGUCACGAUAUCUUUCAUGUACUUGGCAUACGGAGAUAUCUUGAGCAUAUCAGUUAACCGCAUCUGCAGAAAGAUGGGUCUUAUCAUCUCAACGAAGCGCUCAAAAUCCUCAUCAUCCUUUUUCUUGGAUGGCUUAGGAGGAAAGGGCAUAGAUAUCUGAACCCAUGGCUCCCUUUCUUUACCAUGCUUCCUAGCAGUAAAGUCAUUCUUAUCGUAUUUCUUAGGUUGUGGGUUAUCAGGAUUAACCGUAGGUUCAAUCUCCACAUCCUCAUCAUUGCUAGGUUGAGCAUUAUUAUGAACAUCACUGUCCAUAUUGUCACCAGGUUCAUGUUCAUCACCAGAUUGUGUUUCCGCAUCAGACGCAGAAAUAUCAUUAGGUUCUUCAGGUGUGAUAGUAUUUGGUGAACUGGCAUGUAGGUUUCUAUCAUCCUUCUUCUUCUCCUUAGGAUGACUAGGUGUAUCAGCAUUGUUUCCUUGAGAAUCUAGAUCAAUUCUCUUAGGAUGGACUUCAAGAUACAAAGGUUCGUGAGUCAUUUUGCCUCCUCUAGUAAUGACUUUGACAAAGUUGUCAUUUAAUUCACUGAGCAAGUCAUUCUAAGCUUUAAGUACUUGUUCUACCUGAGUAGUAAUCAUAGAGGCAUGUUUACUCAGAAGCUUCAGAUCAUUGACAUUUCUGUCUACACAAGCACUUAAAUGGCUAAGCAUACGAGUACUUUGUUCCAAAUGUCUGCUAACAUAAUCAUUGAAACUCUGUUGUUUGGCAACAAAGUUGUCAAAUUCAUCAAAGCAUAGGCUAGCAGGUUUGUCAAAAGGAUUAUCACUCUCAUCAAACCUACGCAGAGAAUUCACUUCUACUACUUGUAUCGGGUUAUCGAGACCAUGGAUCUCUUCGAUAGGUGGUAUAUUUUUGACAUCUUCAGAUCUAAUGCCUUUCUCUUGCAUAGAUUUCUUGGCUUCUUGCAUAUCUUGCAUAGAUUUCUUGGCUUCUUGCAUAUCUUCAGAUCUAAUGCCUUUCUCUUGCCUAUUUUCUUCGUAGUUAGCUUAGGAGGUGGUUCCGGAAUAGUCCAAGCAUUAUCGUUGAUCAAGAUGUUAUUCAGUAGGGUCUCAGCUUGUUCUACAGUUCAUUCCCUAAAAACACAACCGGCACAACUAUCUAGGUGGUCUCUAGAGGCAUCAGUAAGUACGUUAUAGAGGAUAUCAAGUAUCUCGUUCUUCUUAAGAGGGUGAUCAGGCAAAGCAUUCUGUAGCUGGACGAGCCUACCCCAAGCUUGUGGAAGACUCUCUUCUUGGAGUUGAGCAAAGUUGUAUAUUUCCUGCAAGGCAGCUUGCUUCUUAUGGGCAGGGAUAUAUUUCUCACAGAAGUAAUAGACCAUAUCAUGUGGACUACUCACACAUCCAGGAGCAAGAGAGGCGAACCAGGCUUUAGCGUCAUCCUUUAGAGAGAAAGGAAACAGCUUAAGAAUAUAGUAGUGGCGGAUCUUCUCCUCAUUAGUGAAAAGGGUGGCUAUAUCAUGUAGUUUGGCAAGAUGGGCUACGACCGUCUCAGACUCAUAACCGUGAAAAGGAUCAGAUUCGACUAGAGAGAUUAUCUUAGGAUCGACAGAGAAUUCNNNNNNNNNNNNNNNNNNNNNNNNNNNNNNNNNNNNNNNNNNNNNNNNNNNNNNNNNNNNNNNNNNNNNNNNNNNNNNNNNNNNNNNNNNNNNNNNNNNNGUUGUUACUCAUGUAGUUGUCAGUUGUCUUCACAUCCACAUGAGCCUGAAUGAGGGUCUGCUAAGCCUCCAAGUGUAUCUCGAGUAUUCAUUCGGAGGAAGCUUUUACUUAGGCGACUCUGAGUCACCGCUAAGUCCCUCGAGUGUGACUUUUGGUGCGCACUCGGAGCGAGUUUUUACUUAGGCGACUCUGGGUCGCAGCUAAGUCCCCGAGUGUGACUUUUAGUGCACACUCGGAGCGAGUUUUUACUUCGGCAACUCUGGGUCGCAGCUAAGUCCCCGAGUGUGACUUUUAGUGCACACUCGGAGUUAGUUUUUUAGACCGGAGUCUGCAAACGCGGAAGAAUUUUGAAUCGACAAGAAAUCAAUCUGCUUUGUAUUACUUCGAUGAUACUUGUCCUUUACAUUGUUUCCGUCGGCGGUUAUGUGUAGAAGUGCUUUAGUAGAUCUCCAUUCCAUGCUCGCGGCUCGUACAUUUCCCUAUCGAGGUUGUAGAGUCGAUAUGCUCCGUUGUUCAGCACCUUAGAAAUGAUGAACGGUCCUUCCCAGGCAGGAGCCAACUUGUGUGGUCUCUGUUGAUCCACUCGGAGCACCAGGUCGCCUGCUUGGAACGUGCGGCUCCUCACGUGUCGCGCAUGCAGUCGUCGCAGAUCUUGUUGAUAAAUUGUUGAAUGGAUCAGUGCCAUCUCGCGCUCCUCUUCUACACUCCAUCUUGCCUGGCUUGCUCUGCUUCGGCUUCGGAGAAGAGUUCGACUCGUGGAGAGUUGUGAAGAAAGUCACUCAGAAGGACUGCCUCUGCUCCAUAAACGAGGGAAAACAGGGAUCACCCUGUCGAUCUAUUCGGAGUUGUGCGGAGGCCCCACAGCACCGAAGGCAGCUCGGUGACCCAUGCUCAGCGGCAUGUACAAUUUCUCGCAGGAGUCGAGGCUUCAACCCUUGAAGAAUAAGUCCAUUCGCCCGCUCUGCUUGCCCGUUUGUUUGGGGAUGCGCAACAGAUGCAAAAUCCACUAGGAUACCUUGGCCUACGCAAAAACCUUUGAACCUGUCCGAGUCAACGUUUGUGCCAUUGUCGGUGAUUAUGUUGUGCGGAACCCCGUAUCUGGCGAUGAUGUCUCUGAUAAAUUUGAUGGCCGUAAGGGCAUCAAGCUUCUUGAUAGGCUUGGCUUCAAUCCACUUGGUAAACUUGUCGACUGCUACCAGCAGAUGGGUGAAUCCUCCUUGGCCUGUUCUGAAUGGUCCGACUGUAUCUAAUCCCCACACGGCGAAUGGCCAAGCAAGAGGAAUUGUCUUCAGCGCAGACGUUGGCUUGUGGGACUUGUUUGAAUAGAACUAACAACCUUCGCAACGGUCGACCAUAUCUUUUGCCAUUUCAUUCACCUGCAACCAGAAGAAACAGCUCUGAAUGCUUUGGGGACGAUUGCCCUUGAGGAGGCAUGAUGACCGCAGGUUCCCAAGUGAAUUUUUUCCAAGAUUAACUGCCCCUCCUCAGGAGAGAUACACCGCUGAAGGACGCCUGAAACACUUUCCAUGUAUAACUGGUCAUCAAUGACGGUGAAGGAUUUCGACCUGCGAACGAUCUUCCUAGCUUGGACUUCGUCUUCUGGUAACUCUUGCCUCACGAUGUACGCAAUGAACGGCACAGUCCAUUCGGGAAUGACAGCUAGAAUCUCCAUGAUCAAAUCAACCACAGCGGGGACCUCGACUUCAGUCUGAUCUGUUGAGCUCUUCGGGUGUACUGGUUCCUCUGUAAAAGGAUCUUCUUUUACCGAGGGGAGGUGUAGGUGCUCGAGGCAGACAUGACUCGGGACCGGUCUCCGAGUGGAUCCAAGUUUGUCAAUUCAUCUGUUGCUUGGUUUUUCAGUCGGGGAACAUGGUGAAGUUCCAGACCUUCGAACUUCUUCUCGAGCUUCCUUAUUGCGUUGCAGUAUGCAGUCAUGGUGGGGUUCCUUACAUCCCAUUCCUUCAUUACUUGAUUAACCACUAGAUCUGAGUCGCCACAGACCAUCAGGCGACGGACGCCGAGUGUGAUGGCCAUGUGCAACCCGUAAAGGAGAGCUUCGUACUCUGCUUCGUUGUUGGAAGAAUCAAAAUGGAUCUGCAACAAAUACUUGAGUUUAUCACCUUUUGGGGAUAUGAGCCCUACGCCGGCGCCGGAGCCAUUCAACAUCUUGGACCAAUCGAAGAACAUGGUCCAAUGAGCCGAGUAGAUGUGAGGCGGUUGCUAUUGUUCUACCCAUUCUGCUAUCAAGUCAGCAAGAGCUUGAGACUUUAUAGCUUUUUUGGCUUCGAACUUGAUGUCGCAGUAUAGCAUCUCCAUUGCCCCCUUUGCCACUCGGCCUGAUGCGUCCCGAUUGUGGAGAAUUGCCGACAACGGAGCACCAGAUAUGACACAUACCGAGUGGUUUUGGAAAUAAUGAGCCACCUUCUUUGCAGUCAUGUAGAUCCCAUAAAUAAGCUUCUGAUAAUGGGGAUACCUCUGCUUGGAAGGAGUCAGGACUUCGGAAACAUAAUAUAGUGGCCGCUGAACCUUGUACGCUUUGCCUUCUUCUCCGUGUUCGACUGUCAGAACGGUGCUGACGACUUGAUUUGUAGGCCGCGAUGUACAGAAGAAGGGGUUCUUUACUGAGCGGGGCAGUAAGAACCGGCUGGGUGGAAAUCAGGGCUUUGAGGUCAUCGAAUGCGAUUUGGGCUUCGUCUGUCCACUCGAAGGUAUCUGGCUUCUUCAUGAGUCGGUACAGAGGUAACGCCUUCUCGCCGAGUCGAGCGAUAAACCUGCUCAAAACCGCUAGGCAACCUGUGAGCUUUUGAACAUCAUGUACUCUUACCGGCCGCUCCAUUUGAACAAUGGUCCCGAUCAUUUCGGGGUUGACAUCGAUCCCUCGUUCGGAAACAAAGAAACCGAGUAACUUCCCGUUGGGAACGCCGAAUGAACAUUUGGCUGGGUUGAGCUUGAUAUCGUACCUACGUAGGUUGGCGAAUGUUUCUGCAAAGUUAGUCAGCAGGUCCGAACCUUUGCCUGACUUGACGACGAUAUCAUCCAUAUAUGCCUCCACAUUUCGACCGAUCUGGUCUAGAAGGCAUUUUUGGAUCAUGCGCAUAAAAGUUGCUCCUGCAUUCUUCAAACCGAAUGGCAUAGUGAUGUAACAGAAGCACCCGAACGGGGUGAUGAAGGCCGUUUUUAAUUCAUCUGGACCAUACAGACGGAUCUGAUGAUAGCCCGAAUAGGCAUCAAGGAAGGAUAAGCGCUCGCAACCCGCGGUCGAAUCAACGAUUUGAUCGAUGCGGAGGAGCGGGAAGUGGUCUUUCGGACAGACCUUAUUAAGAUGCUUGAAAUCGAUGCACAUACGGAGAGACUUAUCCUUCUUGGGCACCAUGACAACAUUAGCGAGCCACUCGGAGGGGUGCACCUCGCAAAUGAAGUUGGCUGCCAAAAGUUUAGCCACCUCCUCUCCGAUUGCUUUCCUCUUGUGUGCAGCGGACCGACGCAGGCGUUCUCGGACGGGCCGAGCGGCAGGAUCCACAUGCAGUCGGUGCUCAGCCAACUCCCUGGGUACACCUGGCAUGUCAGCAGGCUUCCAUGCAAAAAUGUCCCAGUUCUCAUAGAGGAAUUGGAUGAGCUCGGCUUCCUAUUUUGGAUCAAGAGUGGUGGAGAAGUUUGUCGGGGCGGCGGUGUCGUCCGUCGGGUGGAUGCUGACUUUCUUCGUGUCUCCCGCCGACUGGAAUGCGGACUCGGAAGCUGGCUUCUUUGAACGCAUCAGGUCAGCGGGGUCGGCGGUCUUCUUGUACUCAUCCAGCUCGAGUAUAGCCAUCUGAGGAUCAGCAAUUCUCGACCCCUGCUGCAGACACUCCUCGGCCCGCUGCCGAUUUCCUGUGACAGUAAUCACACAUUUGGGACCGGGCAUCUUCAGCUUCAAAUAGACGUAACAUGGACGGGCCAUGAAACGCGCAUAUGCCGGACGGCCCAGAAUCGCAUGGUAUGCACUCUAGAAGUCUACCACCUCAAAUGUUAACUUCUCUUUACGGAAGUUCUUGUCAGAGCCGAAAACGACAUCCAACGCAAUCUGGCCGAGUGAUUUGGCCUUUCUUCCCGGGACGACUCCGUGGAACUGCAUACUGCUCUCGCUAAGUCUGGACAUCAGAAUGCACAUUCCCUUGAGAGUGUCGGCGUACAUGAUAUUCAAGCCGCUGCCGCCGUCCAUGAGGACUUUGUGCAGCCUAACUCCUUCCACCACCGGGUCGACGACCAGAGCUUGCCUCCCUGGGGUGGGUACGUGUGCUAGGUGGUCUGACUGAUCAAAGGUGAUUGCAGUCUGUGACCACUUGAGGAACGUGGGAGUGGAUGGGGUUGCCAUGUUUACCUCCCUGUUGACCAGCUUCAGUCAACUUUUGCUUUCCACAUCAGCAAAAAUCAUCAAUGUUGCAUGGACUUGGGGGAACGGAUCCUCCUUGUCCUCAUCAUCCUGCUCGGUGUCCUUCGCACUCGGCUAUCCUUCACCGAAUCCUUGGAUCAGGAGGCGACACUUCCGAGUGGUAUGCUUCGACAAUAUGACAUUGCCUUCUUCAUCCGUCUUCGUGUGGAUUGGACACGGAUAAUCUAGGAUGAAAUUUCCUGACUGCCUCUUCUUGGGGGUGUACUGUGCUUUCCCCUUGCCUUUGAACUUGGCAUUUGUAACGGCUGCUGCCUCUGCCUGCGGAGUGGAUUGAGCUUUCUGCUUCUGCUUCCGAUUGUUGUUCCCAUCUCCAUCGGCGACUGACUAAUGCUUGCCGCUACGUAUGCGGUCCUCCUCUUCGCCAUUUGCAUAGCGCGCGGCUAUCUCCAUCAUCUUGCUCAUGGAGAUGUCGCCUGUCCGACCAAACUUCCGGUACAGAUCUCUGUACCGAACGCCUGCUUUGAAGGCGCAGACUGCUUGGUGCUCUGUGACGUUCUCCACCGUGUGGUAGAGGGUCGUCCAGCGCUGGAUGAAAUCGCGCAAGGGCUCGUUUUGCUUCUAGACACAGUGUUGAAGCUCUACGAGACCAGCAGGGCGUUUGCACGUACCCUCGAAGGUCCUCAUGAAGACUUGGGACAGAUCUGCCCAGUUGUAGAUGCUUGAUGGGGCUAACUGGUUUAGCCAAGCUCGCGCCGAACCGUCGAGCAUCAGUGGGAGAUGUUUCAUGGCGACAUGGUCAUCUCCGCCACCGAUCUGGACCGCCACUCUGUAGUCGUCCAACCAAGUUUCUGGUUUGGCCUCUCCUAUGAAUUUGCUGAUUCCCGUCACCAAUCGGAAGUUGGGAGGGAUGUCAGCUGAGCGGAUGGCCCGACUGAAGCACUCGGGGCCAGAAACAACGGUCCUGCUUCCACUCGGAUGGUCUCUAUCAUGACCAUCACGGUGGGCUCGACUUCUGUCGACAUUCUUCUGGGCAAUGUACCCUCUUGCAUGAGGCCUUGGAUCAUGCGCGGCACCGCCCGAACGACGAUCAUCGUAAUGCCGGGGCCUGUAAGGCCCACUUCGCGGAGGAGUACGCGAACGGUGAUGAUCUUCAGGAUGAGACCGAAUGGGAAGCGGAUUCCGACUUGGGUCCCUGGAACGGCUGCCCCCUCUGCGUCGUUGGUGAGAGUCGGGACUGAAAACCGACCGAUGCGUGUUCGCUUGAACAGAACUGUUGUGGAUCCUGUUGUGUGACUGGGAGACCACCGAAUUUUGCUGCUGCGCCGUAUGCAACAAAGCACGAAUCUGCUCGAUUCCUCUACCAGCCUCUGAAUCAGUCGGCUGGAGAGAAUCGGCUAUUCUGGCGGCUCCAGCCAAGUUGAGGAUGGGUGUGCGGAACACCUCGGCGUUGCUCUGGCGAGUGCGCCGACUGGAAGAACGAUGGUGCUGACAACGAGCGCCGGAUGAUUCUCUGAACUCACGCUCGUUCCGGCCAGUCCUGAGGGGACUUUCGUGGGAAUCGGCCAUGAGCAUUUCGGCUGCAGGCCCGUGACCCGGAUACUCGGAAGGUAGUUCAGUAGGAACUGACUCCAAGUACUGGGAUGACGGCGGGACCACAACCGAUUCGAUCACCGCCACUUGAGAGGACGCGUUUUGUCGUGCUUGGGCGUGUCGCACCCAACGCUGAAGCCGCGGACGCGGGAUCGCUUGUUGCGGCGUGUGAUGGGGGCGAAGAUCGACACCGGGGUCGAUGGCUGGAGAAGAAGAACGCCGCGGCAACUGGCACGGAAGUGCGUAGCCCCGCGACUGGGAAGCGCCUCGACGUCGAGCGGCGCAUCCCGAAGCCAUGCCGAAUCGUCGGCGAUGAAGGAGAGUGCGCCGAAGAGGAUCUCGUGACCCAUGCACAGAUCUCCGCCGGAUGACAUGACGAAAAGAUGAAAUCGCAAACUCGCCGGAAGUCACUUAGACGCCUGCCCCACGGUGGGCGCCAACUGUCGUGGGUAUAAGUCUGACAGUAGAAGUAUGGGGUACGAAAGUAUAUGGGCAGAGCCUUAGCUACGGCGAGGAUGUAUGAGUUCAGGCCCCUCUACGGUGGAGGUAAAAGCCCUACAUCUCAGUGCUCUUGGGAGCUUUGUGUCGAGUGUAUUGUGGAUUACAGCAAGUGCCAACCCUAGUACCAGUGGUGAAGGGCGGCUUAUAUAGAGUGCGCUGUCCUUCAUAAUGGCCCGGUGGACAAGGGUGGAGUAGUGGCGAGUAAACGCUUACGUUACCAGUAACGUAAGCUUUAAAUGCUAAUAAUGGUAUAUGAAAACGUAUGAUCGUUGCCCUCCUGGGAGGUUACGAUGUACAGAGUGGAUUCCAGUCGGUAAGUUAGAUAUGCUCCGAGUGGAUCGUCACCGACUGGAUGAUGGGGGUGCCCACAGUUCAGUCGGAACUAUCUAAGGGCCUUGUCUUCUAUGAAGGGUAGUCCUUGGGUAGGACCUAUAGGGUGGACCUAUGACCCUACCCUGGGACUAUAACCCCAUCAGUCGCUCUCUAGUUGGUCGCUUCCCAGUCUUUUGCUAGCCUCCACUUGUACUAAAGGGAAUACUGCUUGUGCAUCCACUUCCAUAAACCCAAAAGUUUUUCCAUGAGAGUCCACCAUACCUACCUAUUUGCGGUAUCUACAUUCCGUUCCAAGUAAAUUUGCAUGUGUCAUUCUCUAAACCUUCAAGAAAUAAUAUGUUUUGCAUGCCCGAACCGCUCAUGUGGUGACAGGGGGCUAUUGGUGUCUUCCAUGUUAGGCGUGUUAUCGUCGACAUGUGUUUAUUCGAUGUCAUUCACGAGAAAGGGGCCGGUAAUUGGAAUGCCCAGUUCCACGCUUAAAUUGAAAACAUAACUGUAAAACAAGACUCCCCCUGGAUUGAUGUUAGUAUGGAUGGUACCCGAGGAUUCGGCUAGCCGUGGAGUGUGAUUGAUUGGUGGUGGGGGAGUAAAAACUUUACUUUUUCUAUUUGGGAACCGCCUAUAGCAUGAAUAGCAUGGAAGAUAUUGAGAACUCUUGGUCAUUGCGUUGACAAUGAAAGCAUGCCACCCAAAAUUAUUAUCUCUGUUUUCAAAGCUUGAGCUCUUGCACCUCUGCAAAUCAAUGCUUCCCUCUGCGAAGGGCCUGUCUAUUUAUUUUCCUGUCGAGUCAUCCUCUUCUUAUAUAAGCACCAAUUAGAGAGCACCUCUAUCAUUUUUAUGCUUUGCUUUUGAUUGAUAUUGAGUAUGACUAUGACUGGAUCUUCGUUGCUAUGAAUUACAAUGUUUAGUCAGCCCUUGAUCUUUGAAAGUGCUAUGCAUUUAUGUUUUGCGGUUUUAGAAAGAGCUAGCGAGAUACCACCUAUUCAUAUUGCUUCAUGCUUGUUUUGAUUGAAUUGUUGGUAUCUGAAACUCAUUAUUAUUUGCUCGUUAGCUGAUUAUGCCAUUGAUAUUAGCCUACCCUGAGAGCUUUGUGUCACUUGCUUAUGUGGUUAACUUGUGAUCUUGCUGAAAUUCUCGUUAUGAGUUAGACAUAGUUGCAACAACAAGAUCAAACAGAGUUUGUCAAAGUUUUUCUUUCUCUUUCAGUUUGUCAACUGAGUUGCUUGAGGACAAGCAAGGUUUUAAGCUUGGGGGAGUUGAUACGUCUCCAUCGUAUCUACUUUUCCAAAAUCUUUUGCCCUUGUUUUGGACUCUAAUUUGCAUGAUUUGAAUGGAACUAACCCGGACUGACGCUGUUUUCAGCACAAUUGCCAUGGUGUUGUUUUUUUGCAAAAAUGAAAGUUCUCGGAACGUCCUGAAAAUUUACGGAGAAUAUUUAUGGAAAAUAUGAAAAAUACCUGUGCAAAGAUCCACCUGAGGGGAUGGGCCAGUGGGCCACAAGCCCUGUUGCCGCGGCCCCCCUGGCCGCGGCAACCAAGCUUGUGGGGCCCACGUGGCUCUGCCGCCCCCAAACUCAGCUCUAUAAACUCCCUUUCGUCCCGAAAAAAAUCAGAAGAGAAGAUUUCAUCGUGUUUGCGAUAUGGAGGCGCCGCCACAUCGUGUUCUUCAUCUGGAGGGCAGAUCUGGAGUCCGUUUUGGGCUCCGAAAAGGGGCAAUCGUCGCCAUCGUCAUCAUCAACCUUCUUCCCUCUCCUAUUUCAUGAAGCUCUUCAUCAUUCGUGAGUAAUCUAUUCGUAGGCUCGCUGGGCGGUGAUGAGUAGGAUGAGAUCUAUCAUGUAAUCGAGUUAGUUUUGACGGGGAUUGAUCCCUAGUAUCCACUAUGUUCUGAGAUUGAUGUUGCUACUACUUUGCCAUGCUUAAUGCUUGUCACUAGGGCCCGAGUGCCAUGAGUUGAGACCUGAAAUUAUUAUGUUGUCACCAAUAUAUCUGUGUUUUAGAUCCGAUCUUGCAAGUUGUAGUUACCUACUAUGUGUUAUGACCCGGCAACCCCGGAGGACUAUAACCGGAACCACUCCCGGUGAUGACCAUAGUUUGAGGAGUUCAUGUGUUCACCAAGUGCUAAUGCGUUGUUCCGGAGAACCUUAAUAUCCCGUAGUAUCCUUUUGGACCCCCGCUGCCACGGGAGGGAUGGACAAUAGAUGUCAUGCAAGUACUUUUCCCUAAGCACGUAUGACGACACACGGAAUGCAUGCCUACAUCACAUUGACGAACGGGAGCUAGCCACAUAUCUCUCUGUGUUACAACUGUUGCAUGAUGAAGAAUCACCGACCCAUUGCCUACGAGUUUGUCCCACUGCUCCUGUUACUUGCUCUGCUGCUGCUACUGUUACUUGCUACUGUUGUUACUUGCUUUGCUCUGCUGCUAUUACUACUGUUGCUGCUACUGCUACUUGCUUUGCUGCAGCUACUGUUACUUGCUACUGUUGUUACUUGCUUUGCUCUACUGUUGUUACUACUGUUGCUGCUACUGUUACUUGCUGCCACUGUUACUUGCUUUGUCCUGCUACUACCGUUACUACUGUUGAUGUUGUUCCUUGCCACUGCUGUUACUCGUUACACUGGUGCUACGUGCUACAAUACUUUUCUGGCGUCAUUGAUACAACCGUUAGGAAUAGUCUGCCGUCAACAGAUCAUUUCUGGCACCGUUGCUAUCAUACUACUUUGCUACUGAUACUUUGCUUGCAGAUACUAAUCUUUCAGGUGUGGUUUAAUCUGACACAUUCAGCUCCUAAUACUUGAGAAUAUUCUUUCACUUCCCGUCGGGCGAACCAACAAAUUUGGGUUCAAUACUCUACCCUCGAAAACUGUCGCGAUCCCACGCGCUGGUGGGCGAUUGCAAGACAAUUUAAUUGUUGAGCAAUUGGGACGAGUUCUUUUCUGACUCCGUUGUCGUAGAGGUAUCAAGUCAGGAAUAGUUGCACGUCAGCAGGCAUCCUUGAAGAGAGUGGGCCAAUAGAAACCUGAUUGCAAUACCUUAUGAGCAGUUCUAUCUCCAGCAUGGUGUCAUCUGUAGGCUUCGGAAUGACACUUCUGCGGGAUCUGUCCCUGUUCAUGUUCAGGCACAGAACGUCUAAUAACACCAUCUACUCCUUCCUUAUAAAGGUGAGGAUCAUCCCAAAAGUAGUGUCUCAAAUCAAAGAAGAAUUUCUUCUUUUGCUGGUAGGUGAAACUGGGUGGUAUGUAUUUGGCUACGAUAUAGUUUGCGUAAUCAGCAUACCACGAUGCACUAUGUGAAGUACGGAUGACAUUCAAUUGCUCAUCAGGAAAGAUGUCAUCAAUAGGUUGUGGGUCAUCAAGGACAUUCUCUAGCCUGGACAAGUUAUCUGCUACAGGGUUAUCAGCACCCUUUCGGUCAACAACGUGCAGAUCAAAUUCAUGUAGCAAGAGAACUCAUCUGAUUAGCCUAGGUUUAGUGUCCUUCUUCUCCAUCAGGUACUUAAUAGCAGCAUGAUCAGAAUGAAUAAUGACCUUUGAGUCAACUAUAUAAGAUCUGAACUUUUCACAUGCAAACACGACUGCUAAAAAUUCCUUCUCCGUAGUGGCAUAGUUUCUUUGGGCACCGUCUAGAGUUUUUCUAGCGUAGUGAAUAACAUUCAACUUCUUGCCAACUCUUUGUCCUAGAACAGCACCAACAACAUAAUCACUAGCAUCGCACAUGAUUUCAAAGGGCAAGUUCCAAUCAGGUGGUUGAACAAUAGGUGCGGUUAUCAAGGCCUUCUUAAGUAUUUUGAAAGCUUCCUCACAAUCCUCAUCAAAAACAAAAGGAACAUCCUUCUGCAAGAGGUUGGUAAGAGGCCUAGAAAUCUUAGAGAAGUCUUUAAUGAACCUUCUAUAGAAACCAGCAUGACCUAGGAAACUUCGUAUACCUCUGAUAUCUAUGGGGCAAGGCAUUUUCUCAAUUGCAUCAACCUUAGCCUUAUCAACUUCAAUGCCUUUCUCACAGGUUUUGUGUCCUAAGACGAUGCCUUCAUUAACCAUGAAGUGGCACUUCUCCCAAUUCAAGACGAGGUUGGUAUCUUUGCAUCUCUGUAAGACUCGAUCAAGGUUGCUCAGGAAAUCGUCAAAGGAAGAACCAUAAACGGAGAAAUCAUCCAUGAAAACCUCAACAAUCUUUUCACAAAAUUCAGAGAAUAUUGCCAUCAUACAUCUUUGAAAGGUGGCCGGUGCAUUGCAUAAGCCAAAAGGCAUACUUCUAUAAGAAAAGGUACUGAAGAGGCAGGUGAAAGUGGUUUUCUCCUGAUCAGAUUGUGCAACAGUUAUUUGCGAGAAACCUGAAUAACCGUCUAGAAAGGAGAAGUGUGUGUGUUUAGAUAUCCUUUCUAGCAUUUGGUCGAUAAACGGCAAAGGAUAAUGGUCUUUCCUGGUUGCCUUGUUCAGUUUCCGGAAGUCGAUCACCAUCCUAUAGCCAGUAAUAAUCCUCUGUGGGAUUAGUUCAUUCUUAUCAUUAGGGACGAUGGUGAUACCUCCCUUCUUGGGUACGCAAUGCACUGGACUUACCCAAUCACUAUGAGCAACAGGAUAAAUGAUUCCUGCUUCUAGGAGCUUUAACAAUUCUUUUCUCACUACUUCUUUCAUUUUACGAUUCAAUCUCCUUUGAUGAUCAGCAACUGGUUUGAAUUCGGGAUCAGUUUUGAUCUUGUGCUGGCAUAGAGUGGGACUAAUGCCCUUAAGAUCAUCAAGAGUAUAUCCAAUAGCAGCACGGUGCUUCCUUAGAGUUUUUAGUAACUUCUUUUCUUCCUGCUCUGAAAGGCGAGCACUAAUAAUAACAGGAUAUAUCUCCUUUUCAUCAAGAUAGGGAUACUUAAGAGUAUCAGGCAAUUGUUUAAGCUCGAACACAGGAUCACCCUUUGGUGGGGGCUGAUCCCCAAGCAGUUCAAUAGGCAAGUUAUUCUUAAGGAUAGGAUAUUGUUCUAAGACAACUCUAUCUAUUUCAUCCCUUUCAUCCUUAUGCAUAUCAUUUUCAUGCUCAAGCAAGUAUUGCUCUAAGGGAUCAGUAGGAGGCACAGAAAUAGAAGCAAGAGCAAUGAUUUCAUCCCUACCAGACGACUCUUUUUCAUGGGGUUGUCUUCCAAACUUGGAGAACUUAAAUUCAUGAGACACACCCUCAAAACUAACAAUGACAGUCUCUUUAAUGCAAUCAAUAUGAGCAGUGAUAGUGUUGAGAAAGGGUCUACCAAAUAUGAUGGGACAAAAGCUAUCUUGUGCAGUAGCAAGGACGAGGAAAUCAGUAGGAUACUUUGUCUUACCACACAAGACUUCUACGUCUCUCACAAUUCCCACGGGGCAGAUGGUGUCUCUAUUAGCUAGCGUAAUAGUGACAUCAAUGGGUUCUAACUCAGCAGGUGCAAUCUCAUCUUUGAUUUCAUCAUAUAAGGACCGGGGUAUUGCACUAACACUAGCACCCAUAUCACAUAAACCAUGAUAACAGUGAUCUCAUAUCUUGACAGAAACAACGGGCAGGCCAACUACAGGUCCGUAUUUGUCUUUCGCGUGAGGUUUAGCAAUUCUAGCGGAGUCCUCACAGAAUUUGAUAACAUGCCCAUCUAUGUCUUUGGCUAAGAGAUCUUUGAUAAUAGCAACACUAGGUUCAACUCUAAUUUGCUCAGGGGGUGUAGGUGUUCUAAUAUAGCCUCUACAUAUCACAGUUGAAGCUUUCGAAUGAUCCUUUCUCCUAACAGGGAAAAGUGGUUUCUCAAUGUAAGCACUGGGUACCACAGGAUCAUUAUAAGCAAUGACUCUCUCUUCAACUGGAGUGGGUUCAACUACAUUGACUUCUAAAGGAGGAUGAAAUUUAAACCACUUCUCUUUGGGAAGAUCAAUAUGAGCAGCAAAAGAUUCACAUAGAGAAGCUACUAUCUGAGAGUCAAGUCCAUACUUAGCGCUAAAAUCUCUAGAAGUGUUUGUUUCAACAAAAGAUUUAAUGCAAUCAAACUGGAAAUUCAUACCUGACUCCUUACCUUCUUCAAGCUCCCAAUCUUUAGAGUUACGUUUCAUUCUUUCCAAUAAAUUCCACUUGUGGUCAAUAUCCUUCUUCAUAAAAGAACCGGUACAAGAAGUGUCAAGCAUGGUACGAUCUUCAUGAGAAAGCCGAGCAUAGAAGUUUUGAGUGAUAAUUUCUCUCGAGAGCUCAUGAUUGGGGCAUGAAUAUAGCAUUGAUUUAAGCCUCCCCCAAGCUUGAGCUAUGCUUUCCCUGUCACGAGGCCAAAAGUUAUAAAUAUAAUUCCGAUCACGAUGUACUAAAUGCAUAGGACAAAACUUUUGAUGAAAUUCCAAUUUCAACCGAUUGUAGUCCCAUGAUCCAGUAUCAUCACAUAGCCUAUACCAUGUCAACGCCUUAUCCUUCAAAGAUAAAGGAAAGACUUUCUUCUUUACCUCAUCCUCGGGCAAACCUGCAAGCUUAAAUAAACCACAAACUUCAUCUACAUAUAUUAGAUGCAAGUCUGAAUGUGAUGAUCCAUCUCCUGUAAAAGGAUUAGCCAGCGGUUUCUCAAGCAUACCCGAAGGAAUUUCAUAUAAGAUAUUUUCAGUAGGUGCCUAAGGUUGAGGAGCAACUCCUCGUUCUUCCGUUCGUGGUGAAUAUACCCCGAACAAAUUCCUCAAAGGAACAGUUUCCAUAGUGACAAGUGACAAUAAAUUUCAGCAUAGUAUAUAAAUCUUUCCUUACCAAAUUCCACUUACCAAAGGCGCUUCACUCCCCGGCAACGGCGCCAGAAAAGAUUCUUGAUGACCCACAAGUAUAGGGGAUCAAUCGUAGUCCUUUCGAUAAGUAAGAGUCUCGAACCUAACGAGGAGCAGAAGGAUCUGACAAGUGGUUUUCAGCAAGGUAAUAACUGCAAGCACUGAAAUUAGCGGUAACAAGUGAUGGUGUGGUGAGGUGAAACGUAGGAGGUGAAAAGUAACAAGUAACAAGUAAUAGCAACGGUGCAGCAAAGUGGCCCAAUCCCUUUUGUAGCAAGGGACAAGCCUGGACAAAGUCUUAUAGGAGGAAAAACGCUCCCGAGGACACACGGGAAUUUCUGUCAUGCUAGUUUCAUCAUGUUCAUAUGAUUCGCGUUCGUUACAUUGAUAGUUUGAUAUGUGGGUGGAGCGGCGCUUGGGUACUGCCCUUACUUGGACAAGCAUCCCACUUAUGAUUAACCCCUCUCGCAAGCAUCCGCAACUACGAAAGAAGAAUUAAGACAACGUCUAACCAUAGCAUUAAACUAGUGGAUCCAAAUCAGCCCCUUACGAAGCAACGCAUAGACUGGGGUUUAAGCUUCUGUCACUCUAGCAACCCAUCAUCUACUUACUACUCCCCAAUGCCUUCCUCUAGGCCCAAAUAUGGUGAAGUGAUAUGUAAUCGACGUUCACAUAACACCACUAGAGGAAAAGACAACAUACAGCAUAUCAAAAUACCGAACGAAUACCAAAUUCACAUGACUAUUAAUAGCAAGACUUAUCCCAUGUCCUCAGGAACAAAAGUAACUACUCACAAAGCAUGGAUAUAUUCAUGACCAGAGAAGUAAUGAAUAUCAAAAUGGAUCUGAACAUAUAAUCUUCCACCAAGUAAACCAACUAGCAUCAACUACAAAGAGUAAUCAACACUACUAGCAACCUUACGGGUACCAAUCGGCGUCGCGAGAUGGCGAUUGGUUACAAGAGAUAGACUAGGGUUUGGAUAGGAGAUGGUGCUGAUGAAGAUGUUGAUGGAGAUGACUCCCCUCCGAUGAGAGGAGUGUUGGUGAUGACGAUGGCGAUGAUUUCCCCCUCCGGGAGGGAAGUUUCCUCGGCAGGAUCGUCCUGCCGGAGCUCUAGAUUGGUUCUGCUCAAGUUCCGCCUCGUGGCGGUGGCGCCUCCUAGAAAAAGCUCCGCCCUGAUUUUUUUACGGACGAAACCCUUCAUAUAGCAGAAGAGGGGGACAGUGGGCCACCAGGGUGCCCACAAGCCCUAUAGCCGCGGCCAGGGGGGCAGGUCGCGGCUACCAGGCUUGUGGGCCCGUGGCAGCUCCCCUCUGGCACUUCUUUCGCCCAAUAUUUUUUAUAUAUUCUCAAAAAAAUCCACGUUGAUUUUGAGGGCAUUUGGAGUUGCGCGGAAUAGAGGACUCAGACUUGUUCCUUUUCUAGUCCAGAAUUCCAGUUGCUGGUAUUCUCCCUCUUCAAAUAAACCUUGCAAAAUAAGAGAGAAAAGGCAUAAGUAUGGUACCACAAAGUAUAAUAACAGUCCAUAAACCGAUAAAUAUCAACAUGAAACAAUGAUGCAAAAUGUACGUAUCAUGAACUCGAUCUAUUUUGUUUUUGUAAAUAUGACUAGGUCAUCAUGCCUAAUUCAGCUUUGUUGUGAGAGAAACAUGUUUGCAAUGACAACUUAGAGAUCAUAGUUUCUUAUGCCAUGCUUACUUAGCUAGGAGCUUAUAAUGGUUUGUCUUGGUUGCCCACAUGUAUGUUGAGAUGACUAUGGUGUAGUAUGAUAGGAUGGUAUCCUCCUUUGAAUGAUUCAAGUGGCUUGACUUGGCGCAUGUUCCCGCAUGUACUUGAAACAAAAUCAACAUAACCUCUAUGAUGUUCAUGUUCAUGGUGAUUUAUGUCCUACUGAUGCUUGCACUCAAUGUUAGUUCAUCUCAAUGCAUUUUGAUGACUGUUGUCGCUCUCUAGUUGGUCGCUUCCCAGUCUUUUCCUAGCCUUCACUUCUACUAAGCGGGAAUACUACUUGUGCAUCCACUUCCAUAAACCAAGAGUUGUGCCAUAUGAGUCCAGCAUACCUACCUAUGUGCGGUAUCUAUCUUUCGUUCCAAGUAAAUUUGCAUGUGCCACUCUCUAAAUCUUCAAGAAAUAAUCUGUUUUGCAUGCCCGAAUCGCUCAUGUGGUGACAGGGGGCUAUUGGUAUCUUCCAUGCUAGGCGUGUUAUCCUCGAUAUGUGUUUAUUCACUAUCAUUCACGAGAAAGGGGUCGGUAAUUGGAAUUCCCAGUUCCAUGCUCAAAUCGAAAAGAUAAUUGCAAACAAAACUCCCCCAGGAUUGUUGUUGGUAUGGACGGCACCCGAGGAUUCGGCUAGCCGUGGAGUGUGAUUGAUUGGUGGUGGGGGAGUCAAAACUUUACUUUUCUGUUUGGGAACCGCCUAUAGUAUGUGUAGCGUGGAAGAUGUUGAGAACUCUUAGUCAUUGCGUUGACAAUGAAAGCAUGCCACCCAAAAUUAUUAUCUCUGUUUUCAAACCUUGAGCUCUGGCACCUCUGCAAAUAAAUGCUUCCCUCUGCGAAGGGCCUGUGUAUUUAUGUUCCUGUUGAGUCAUCCUCUUCUUACAAAAGCACCAAUUAGAGAGCACCUUUGUCAUUUUUAUGCUUUGCUUUUAACUGUGUUGAGUAUGACUAUGACUGGAUCUUCAUUGCCAUGAAUUACAAUGUUAGUCAGCCUUUGGACUUUGAAGGUGCUCUGCAUUUAUGUUUUGCGGUCUCAGAAAGAGCUAGCGAGAUACCAUCUGUUCGUACUGCUUCAUGUUGUUUUGAUUGAAGUGUUGACAUUUGCGGCUUAUUAUUAUUUGCUCGCUAGUUGAUUAUGUCAUUGAUAUGAGGUUACCGUGAGACCUAGAUGUCAUUUGCUUAUGUGGUUUGCUUGUGAUCUUGCUCAAACUCUGGAUAUGAGUUAGACAUAGUUGCAACAACAAGAUCAAACAGAGUUCGUCAAAGUUUUUCUUUUGUCUCUUUCAGUUUGUCAACUGAAUUGCUUGAGGACAAGCAAGGCUUUAAGCAUGGGGGAGUUGAUACGUCUCCGUCGUAUCUACUUUCCUGAACUCUUUUGCCCUUGUUUUGGACUCUAAUUUGCAUGAUUUGAAUGGAACUAACCCGGACUGACGCUGUUUUCAGCAGAAUUGCCAUGGUGUUGUUUUUGUGCAUAAAUAAAAGUUUGCGGAAUAUCCUGAAAAUUUACGGAGAUUUUUCUGGAAUAAAAGAAAAAUACCUGCGCAAAGAUCCACCUGAGGGGGCGUGCCAGUGGGCCACAAGCCCACAGGCCGCGGCCACCCCCUAGGCCGCGCCGUGCAGGCUUGUGGGGCCCAUCUGGCACCACCGCCCCCAAGCUCAGCUCUAUGUCUUCUGUUUCGCCUAGAAAAAAUUCAGAGAGAAGGUUUCAUUGCAUUUUGCGAUACGAAGGCGCCGCCACAUCCUGUUCUUCAUGUGGAGAGCAGAUCUGGAGUCCUUUUCGGGCUCCGGAGAGGGGAAAUCGUCGCCAUCGUCAUCAUCAACCUUUCUCCAUCGACAAUCUAUCAUGAUGCUCUUCAUCGUUCGUGAGUAAUCUCAUCGUAGGCUUGCUGGACGGUGAUGAGUUGGAUGAGAUCUAUCAUGUAAUCGAGUUAGUUCUUGACGGGGAUUGAUCCCUAGUGUCCACUAUGUUCUAGAUUAAUGUUGCUACUACUUGGCUAUGCUUAAUGCUUGUCACUACGGCCCGAGUGCCAUGAUUUCAGAUCUGAACCUAUUAUGUUGUCGCCAAUAUAUGUGUGUUUUAGAUCCUAUCUUGCAAGUUGUAGUCACCUACUAUGUGUUAUGACCUGGCAACCCCGGAGUGACAAUAGCCGGAACCACUCUCGGAGAUGACCAUAGUAUGAGGAGUUCAUGUAUUCACCGCGUGUUAAUGUGUUGGUCCGGUUCUUUAUUAAAAGGAGAACCUUAAUAUCCCGUAGUUUCCAUUAGGACCCUGCUGCCACGGGAGGGGUGGACAAUAGAUGUCAUGCAAGUUCUUUUCCCUAAGCACGUAUGACUACAUACGAAAUACAUGCCUACAUUAGAUUGAUGAACGGGAGCUAGUUACAUAUCUCUCCAUGUUAUACAUGUUACAUGAUGAAUCACAUCCGUCACACUCAUCCAUCACCGAUCCACUGCCUACGAGUCUUUUACUACUGGUCCUCGCUGCGUUACUUUGUCUAGGCUAGGCCUGGGCAUUCGGGUACCCGAAACCGUUACCCGAACCCGAACCGAACCGUAAUACCCGAAAUGUCGGUUAAUUCGGGUUUCGGGCUUCGGUACGGUUCUGGUUUUAGAACGUUUCGGUCUUCGGGUAUGGGUUCGGUUAGUAGGUGUGAAAACCCGAAGUAGCCAUAUUAACCGAAGUACACAACACGAGCAGCUCAUCCGUCAGCACGGCUGCACCUCAGCAGUCAGCACCUGUGCGGCCUACCGGCCCAACUCCCCGCUCGCACACAAGCCUCCCGGCUCACAAAAGCCUCCUCGGCUCCUCGCCUAGUUCAUUCCUUUUCUUCUCUGCCUCGACCCUCCUCGCCGGCUCGCCCUAACCCUAGUUUUCAGCGGCGGCGGCGGAUGGUGGCGCCUCCACCUGCUCGUGACGCCUGACGGGUGCUGGGAGACGCGCGAGCCGCCACCCGUCGGUUGUUGUAGCCUGUAGCGACGCGCCGAGGAGACGCGCGAGCUGCGAGUUGCUGUACGAGGAGACGUGCGAGCUGUCGGGCCGGAGUCAACGCACUCACAGUCGACGGCAGUGAGCCAGUGACCAACUUCAGUGGUAAGUCCCUGUGGCUGAAUUCGUAUGCUCAAGUAGUCAAAAGUACUUGUUGAUUCAGGCUAAGUUCGAAUCCCGAUUCCUAUGCUCAAGUAGUCAAACGUAUUUGUCCCUAUUCCUAUGCUCGAGUUAUUAGUUUGUAGUUAUACUAAUUGGUGUAUUCCUCUGCAAAAAGAAGACUGUAGUUGUAGUUGUAUUUCUCUGCAAAAAUUCAGAUAAAAGUUAUAUCAGUUUGUAGUUGUAUUUCUCUACAAAAAAAAGACUGUAGUUAUACUGAUUGAUUUGUAUCAAGCUAUCAGCUCUAGACAAAACUGAUACUUGUAGUUGUACUGUUAAAAUUCAGAAAAAAGUCUGUAGUUGUACUGUUAAACUGAUAAUUGUACUUAUGUUGUUAUAUUUUCUGUAAUAAAUUGUUUCUUCUUUUGACCUCUCUUCUCAUUGCUGAUAUGUUAGGCUAACUAGUUGUGUCAUUUGUUUUUUGUAGAUGGAAGAUCAAACCUCUCAUAUGUCGGCGUCAGGCACCUCCCCUUACACCGCUUUGAACUCGGAGGAGGACAGUAAUGAUGGGCAGCAGCCCACGAACCAGCAGCAGAAGGAGAUGACCGAGGCUGAUAAGACGACAACAAAUGCAAAGAAAAGAAAGGAAAUGGCUCCACGGUCUGAAGUUUGGAACCAUUUUACCAAGGUCCUCGAUGGGGGUGUGCUGUCCAAAGCAACAUGCAACUAUUGCAAAAAUGAUCUUGCUUGUGUUGCUAAAAGGAAUGGUACAUCAUCCUUACUGAAGCAUUUCAUGUCGUGCAAGAAAAAUCCUCAUAGGGUCAAUGAUGACAAGCAACCAACUCUACAAGCUACUCCGAACAUGGCAGAUACUAGUAAGUGCUCUCUCACCACCUGGAGAUUUGAUCAGGAUAAGCUCAAAGAUGCUUUGGCUGAAAUGGUAAUUAUGGAUGAGCUUCCGUUCUCAUUUGUUGAGAAGCCAGGAUUUAGAAGGUUUGUGGCAAAGGCUUGUCCUCGUUUCAAUGUCCCAUCUAGGAGGACAGUUACUAGAGAUUGUGUGCGCAUUCAUUACAGGGAGAAAGUCAAGCUCAAGAAAUUCUUGAAAGAAUCAUGUGAAAGAGUUUGCCUAACUACUGACACAAGGACAUCUUCCCAAAAGCAGAAUUUUAUGUGUGUAACAGCCCAUUUUGUUGACAGUGAAUGGAUUCUACAUAAGUGGAUCAUUGGAUUUUUCUUGGUGAGGGGUCACAAGGGGGAAGACAUUGGGAAGGACCUGGAGAAGUGUUUGGUUGAGUGGGGCAUAGAUAAGGUGUUUUCAGUCACAGUUGACAAUGCCUCACCAAAUGAUGGAGCUGUAAACUACAUAAAGAGGAUCAUGAACAGUGCAAAUGUAAGCAUAGGGAGAGGAGAAUAUAUGCACAUGAGAUGUGCUGCUCAUAUUAUGAACUUGAUAGUUACCGAUGGGCUAAAAGAGUUGGACAUCUCGGUAAAGCGAGUUCGUGCUGCUGUCAAGUUUAUUAAGAAUUCUCCCGCUAGAAUUACCAAGUUCAAGAAGUGUGCUGAAUUAGAGAAGUUGACAACCAAAGGUUUCUUAUCACUUGAUGUAUGCACUAGAUGGAACUCCACGUACUUAAUGCUGAAAGCUGCAGCCACAUAUGAGAAGGUCUUUGUGAGGUAUGAAGAAGAGGACCCAUACUUUGCAAUUGAGCUAAACAGCGAUAAAAUGCCAGGAGUGCCUGAACCUGAAGAUUGGGAUAAUGCUUCAAAGAUGGCUGAGUUUCUUGAGCAUUUCUAUAAGCUUACCCUUCGUGUUUCAGCCUCAAAUCAUUGCACAUCUAUAUCUUCUUCCAUCAAAUUGCUGAUAUCAUUGUCUUGCUGAGGGCAUGGUGUGGAAGCGGGGACUUCUUGCAAAGAGAUAUGGGAGAAAGGAUGAUUGACAAGUACAACAAGUAUUGGGGAGAUCACAAGAGCUUCAACAUCUUGCUUUUUGUGGGUGUUGCUCUUGAUCCAAGAUAUAAGUUGUCAAAUUACAUCAAGAUUGCAACCUUUGAAAUGUUUGGAGACAUCAAUGGAGAUGAGGUGUGGACAAAAAUGAAUGCAACACUUAAUAAUCUGUUCAAGGAGUAUGUUAAGUUAUAUGGUCCAAGUGAGCAUGAAAUUCAACCUGAUGAUGCACCUGACUUUGAAGAGAGCAGCUGUGAAAGCUUGAUGAGUUCUUUGAUUGCGAAGAAAAUGAGAAUGAAUGACUGUGGAAUUGGCAUCAGCCCUUGCAAGUCUGAACUUGAAAAGUACCUUACGGAGGAUAAUGAAGCAAACAGCGGGAAAUUCAAUAUUCUUGAGUGGUGGAAGGUUAACUCAUCAAGAUUUCCUGUGCUAUCACGCUUAGCUCGUGAUGUCCUAGCUUUCCCAAUAUCUACGGUUGCAUCAGAAUCGGCUUUUAGCACCGGUGGACGCAUCCUUGAUGACUUCCGAAGCUCUCUUACUCCAUUCAUGGUGCAGGCACUACUUUGUACUCAAGAUUGGUUGCGAAGAGAAAUUCCAGUUAACGAUGAAGAGGAUGCUGAGCUACUGGCCAACCUUGAACAAGGUAAUUAAGCAAAUAAGUUACUCUUAGAUAUGUGCUUUCUAUUUUCUUCAUACUUACAUUAUCUUGCUUUAUUUAUUAUUGUCAGAUGUACUUCAAGAAUUGUCUGAUCUAAACAUUGCUAAGUCUGGUACAAGUGCAAGUGUUCGCAUCACCAUUGAAGACACCGAAUCAUAAGUCUUGGUGAGUGAAAUUCUUGUAAGAUUUCCUAUGUAACUUGCAUGUUGUUUUCAACUUGAUAUGCUAGAAACUAUGGUGGGAAAGUGGAAAUUAUAUGCAUGAUCUCGUCUACAUAUCACUUUAAUUUUGAACAAGAUUUCUGUUUUAAUUUGCUUUGCAUUUGCACAAUAUAUUUAAGUGAUUUUGUUUUCACUUCUAUAGGGAAUACGAGAAGAACAUCAAAGGAAGUGUGCUGCUGUCAAGGAAUCCACUCAGCUUCUUUUCUUGUGUUCUAUCUUCUAUGAUUUCCUCAGCUUGGACCUCAAGGAGUUGUGUUGCUUGAAAACUUGUUAAGCCCUUAAAUUAUUAGCUAUGGUUGUCUCAUUUGGACCUAUUCAGCUUGAACCAUGAUAACUAUUCAGCUUGAACCAUGUUUGUUUUGUGUUUGUGACUCAGCCUGAUUUGUGACUCAAGUUAUGUCUGUCUAUGCUUGUGAUGUUUUUAUUUUCUGUUUAUCUGAUAUAUGCUUGUGCACAAUUAUAUUUGAUCUAUGCUUGUGAACAUAUGCACUAUAUUGUAUUUGUGCUUCAGACAAUCAGACUAAUGAAGAUCUCGCAUGUGUUGUGCACUAAAUCUGGAAUUGGUGCACUGUAAUGGACUAAAUAUUUCGGGUUCUGGGUACCCGAAUUACCCGAACCGAUUUUUUUGGGUAAUUUGGGUAUGGGUACUUAUGCGGCAUAUAAAAAUUCGGUUUCCAUUCUUCACUAACCGUACUACCCGCAAACCGAACUAACUGAAGCGAAGAAACCAAAUUACCCGAACGCCCAGUCCUAGUCUAGGCUUGUCCCUUGCUACAAAAGGGAUUGGGCCACUUUGUUGCUACUGCUAUCACUUUGCUGUUGCUGUUGUUCCUUGCUACUCCGCUACUUAGUGCAAGACCUUUUCUGGAGCAGUUGCUGGGGAAAAAUAGUCCCGAGUCAACGUGCUUUUUACUGGCGCCAUUGAUACAACAGUUAGGAAUAGUCUCUCGUUAACAAAUCGUUUUAGGCACCGUUGCUAUCAUACUACUUUGCUACCGAUACUUUGCUUGCAGACACUAAUCUUUCAGGUGUGCUUGAAUCUGACACACUCAGUUGCUAAUACUCGAGAAUAUUCUUUCGCUUCCCUUGUGUGAACCAACAAAUUUGGGUUGAAUACUCUACCCUCGAAAACUGUUGCGAUCCCAUACACUUGUGGGUUGUCAGGAGGCAACCCAAUGAAUAUAUCUUUGAUUUUUUCUUUCUGUUUUGUUGCGUCCACACCAUCAUAAUUCUGUUAUGAUUGUGUUUUUUGUGUUUCUUUUUGUGUUUGAGCCAAGUAAAACCUUUAUGACUAGUUUGGUGAUGGUUGUUUGAUCCUGCUGGAAAAAGACAGAAACUUUACGCUCACGAGAUUAUUUUUCAUUUUUAUUCAGAAAGAGCUUUCGAGUUGAUUCUUUUUUAUUAUGGUUGAUAUUCCUUUUGCGCAGGCAUUCGUAAGUUUUCAGAAUUUUUGAGGUAUACGAAGUAUACAGAUUGCUACAAACUGGUCUGUUUUUGACAGAUUCUGUUUUUUGUUGAGUUGGUUGCUAGUUUUGAUGAAACUAUGGAUAGUAUCGGGGGGUACUAGCCAUGGAAAAGUGAGAAUACAGUAAUCCAACACCAAUAUAAAUAGAAAUCCAGUUUGCCACCGUACCUAAAGAGGUGGUAGUUUGUUUUCUUGUGCUAAUGUUAUCACGAGUUUCUGUUUAAGUUUUGUGUUGUAAAGUUUGCAAGUUUUGGGUGAUGUUCUCAUGGGCAAAGAGAUAAAGAGUGGAAAGAGCUCAAGCUUGGGGAUGCCCAAGGCAUCCCAAGCCAAAUUCAAGGACACCAAAAAUCCUAAGCUUGGGGAUGUCCCGGGAAGGCAUCCCCUCUUUCGUCUUCAAUCCAUCGGUAACAUUACUUGGAGCUAUAUUUUUAUUCACCACAUGAUAUGUGUUUUGCUUGGAGCGUCUUGUAUCGUAGGAGUCUUUUCUUUUUUGUUGUGUCACAAUCAUCCUUUCUGCACACCUUUUGAGAGAUACAUGCACUCAUCGUGAUUUUGCUAGAAUGCUCAUCGUGCUUCACUUAUAUCUUUUGAGCUAGAUAAUUUUGCUCUAUGUGCUUCACUUAGAUCUUUUAGAGCACGGCGGUGCAUAACUUGGUAGUUGGCUUGUGCUAUGAAAGUAGUCCCAAAGGUGAUAGGUACCCAAAGAGGAUACAAAAAUCUCCAUCUUCAUGUGCAUUGAGUAGAAAGAGAAGUUUUGAUUCCUCUCAAUUAGUUUUGAGACGUGGAUUUGGUAAUAUUAAGAGUUAUGUUAGUAGGGUGUUGUGAAUCUAGAAAUACUUGUGUUGAAGUUAGUGAUUCCCGAAGCAUGGAUGUAGGGUGAACCGCUAUGUUAGGAAGUCGGAGCAUAAUUGAUCUAUUGAUUGUCAUCCUCUGUGUUGCGGUCGGGAUCGCGCGAUGGUUAACACCUACCGACCCUUCCCCUAGGAGUAUGCGUUUAGCACUUUGUUUUGAUUACUAAUAAAAACUUUCGCAACAAGUAUGUGAGUUCUUCAUGACUAAUUUGAGUCCAUGGUAUAGAUGCACUUUCACCUUCCACCACUGCUAGCCUCUCUAGUGCCGCGCAAUUCUCGCCGGUGCACAAACCCACCAUAUGCCUUCCUCAAACCAGCCACCAUACCUACCUACUAUGGCAUUUUCAUAGCCAUUCCGAGAUAUAUUACCAUGCAACUCCCACCGUUCCGUUCAUGACUUGUGUCGUCACUCUCAUAUUUCCAUUGCAUGAUCGUAAGAUAGCUAGCGAGAUGUUUCAACGUCAUACGCCAAGCUAGAUCGUUGCACAUCCUGGUACACUGCCGGAGGCAUUUCCUAUAGAGCCAUCAUCAUUCUGAGCUUUGAGCUGUGAGUAAAUAAAAGUGUGAUGAUCAUCAUUAUUAGAGCAUUGUCCCAUGUGAGGAAAUAAAUAAAAAAAGAAGAGGCCAAAGAGCCCAAAAAGAGAGGCCCAAGAGCCCAAAUAAAAAAUAUAAAAAGGAGAGAAAAAUAGAGAAGGGACAAUGCUACUAUCUUUUUCCACACUUGUGCUUCAUAAAAGCACCAUGUUCUUCAUGAUUGAGAGCCUCUCGUUUCGUCACCACCAUAUGCUAGUGGGGAUCUUCAUUAUAUAACUUGGCUUGUAUAUUCCAAUGAUGGGCUUCCUCAAAAUUGCCCUAGGUCUUCGUGAGUAAGCAAGUUGGAUGCACACCCACUAGUUCUCCUUUUGAGCUUUCACAUACUUAUAGCUCUAGUGCGUCCUUUGUAUGGCAAUCCCUACUCAUUCACAUUGAUAUCUAUUGAUGGGCAUCUCCAUAGCCCUUUGAUACGCCGAGUCAAUGUGACCAUCUCCUCCUUUUUUGUCUCACAACCACCACCACACUCUAUUCCACAUAUAGUGCUAUAUCCAUGGCUCACGCUCAUGUAUUGUGUGAUAGUUAUAAAAGGUUUGAGAAAGUAAGAGUGCAAAAACAAUUACUUGGCCAAUACCGGGGUUGUGCAUGAUUUAAAUUAGUUGUGUGAGGAUGAUGGAGCAUAGCCAGACUAUAUGAUUUUGUAGGGUUAACUUUCUUUGGCCUUGUUAUUUUGAAAGUUCAUGAUUACCUUGCUAGUUUGCUUGAAGUAUUAUUGUUCUCAUGUCAAUAGCAAACUAUUGUUUUGCAUCUUAUGGAUCUGAACAUUCAUGUCACACGGAAGAAGUUGCAAAGGACAACUAUGCUAGGUAGCAUUCCACAUCAAAAAUUCAGUCUUUAUCACUUCCCUACUCGAGGACGAGCAGGAGUUAAGCUUGGGGAUGCUUGAUACGUCUCCAACGUAUCUAUAAUUUUUGAUGGUUUGAUGCUAUUAUCUUGUCAAAAUUUGGAUGUUUUGUAUGCCUUUUAUAUCUUUUUCUCUUGGAUCUUCAAUACAAAGUUCUCCAUGAUCUUCAAUACAAAGUUCUCCAUGAUCUUCAUGGAGAUGUAUCCGAUGUAAUCUUCUUUUGCGGCGUGUUUGUCAGGAUCCGGUGAAUUGUGGAUUUAUGAUCAGAUUAUCUAUGAAUCUUAUUUGAGUUUCUUCUGAUCUCUCUUAUGCAUGAUUUCAUAUCCUUGUAGUUCUUUUCGAGUUGUGGGUUUUGUUUGGCCAGCUUGAUCUAUGAUUCUUGCAAUGGGAGAAGUGCUUGAUUUUGGGUUCAUACCGUGCGGUGACCUCACCCAGUGACAGAAGGGGUAGCUAGGCACGCAUCAUGUUGUUGCCAUCAAGGGUAAAAAGAUGGGGUUUUCAUCAUUGGUUCGAGUUUAUCCCUCUACAUCAUGUCAUCUUGCUUAAGGCGUUACUCUGUUCGUAACUCAAUAUACUAGAUGCAUGCUGGAUAGCGAUCGAUGUGUGGAGUAAUAGUAGUAGAUGCAGAAAGUAUCGGCCUACUUGUCUCGGAAGUGAUGCCUAUAUGUAUGAUCAUUGCCUUAGAUAUCGUCAUGACUUUGCGCGGUUCUAUCAAUUGCCCGACAGUAAUUUGUUCACCCACCGUAAUAUUUGCUAUUUUGGGAGAAGCCUCUAGUGACUAUGGCCCCCGGGUCUACUCCACACCAUAUUUUCAGCCUUACUCUUUCUCUUCGUUGCACUUAAUUUCCGCCUUCAGAUCUCACUUUGCAAUCAAUCUUGAAGGGAUUGACAACCCCUUUAUAGCGUUGGGUGCAAGCUCUUUUGUGUUUGUGCACGUACUCUAGACUUCACGAGAUUCUCCUACUGGAUUGAUACCUUGGUUCUCAAACUGAGGCAAAUACUUACUGCUCCUAUGUUGCAUCACCCUUUCCUCUUCAAGGGAAAAACCAACGCAAGCAAGUCUCCGUCAACGUGUCAAUUUAUGGCGCUCUUGUUUGAGAAGUAGCAGAAGGAUGGGUUUGAACCGAAACCUAGUCUCGAAGGAUGUUGAGGUUGGGUGGCGGGUGGGUUCAAUUUUUGGAUUCUCAUUGGAUGUGCUCUUGCGAAUUCGGUCGCCGCGUCCUUGAUGGGACCGCGUACCGAACCAGCCACCAGCCUUGAAUUGUUCCCGGAGCUCGAUGGAAGCUCGGGGUUGUCGAGUUUGUCCGGGCGAUCGGCGACUGGGACGUGUAUUGUUCUUAGUUCCUAUGAAUGGUACGAGGAGCCCUUGACUGGGCAUUCGACAAUACUAACCAGAUGCGUGAUGGGCGGGAUGGGGAUUUUCUGCCGUCGGGUCUAAUCCCGAUCCGUUCAUAGAUCAUACCCUGACUGUUAGUCAUGCCCAAGACUUGGAUCAGGUCGAGUAACUGUGCAAUGUUGAGGUUUCGGUGGUGCUCGCGCCGCUUGUGUGCUCGGGGGUGACUGGUGUCCCUAAUCCCUUAGUGAUACUUGAGAUCACCUUUGUGAAGAGCUUGGCUGACGCGAGUUCGGACGCCCCGAGCCUAUCGGGCUUUAAGGCCGGAUCAGGGAUGAGUUUUGUCUCGAAGAUCGGAUUCACCGUCUAGGAGGACAAAGCGUCGAGGUAUGCGCACUCCUUCAAUGGAGCGGAGAGCCCUGUUAACACAAGGUCUCCCCGGGGGUCGGUGGUGAACUCUAGGCGCCCAACCUGACUUCCUAACCGAGGGUGAAAUUUUUGAUCUGACCGAGGUGGCCGAUCGAAUCGGCAUGGAGAACGAUGCUUCUGAACGCGAAGAUUUGUCCCGGGACAAACAAGUCCCUGUUGCAGACCUCCUCGCUGAUCACCAGACGUGCCAUCAAACCUUAUGGUGAUCCCGUAGUGGAACUCUCAAUGAAAGAACCAAUGUUGGUGUCAAAACCGGAAGAUCUCGGGUAGGGGGUCCCGAACUGUGGACCUUGGAUCGAUGAGUUGUAGGAAGAAGGGGGAGACAAUGGUUUACCCAGGUUUGGCCCUCCUAUGGAGGUAAUACCCUGCGUCCUGCUUGAAUAUAUUGAUGAAGAUGAUUAAAGAGUAGAUCUACCUCGAGACCGUAUAUGCUAAACCCUAGACGAUUCAGCCCUUUCUACGUGGAUAGGGGUCCCUGGUUUAUAUAGACACUAGGGACCCUAGGGUUUACAAGUUACCGACUAUCAGUCGGGGACCGAUGAGCCGACCUAGUCCUUCUAAGCUUGGAGUACAAACCGGUCCUUGGAGCCUUCCUUCCUGUGUACAAAGUUGUCAAUUAUCCGGAAACUGAUGAUUCGGUCCAUGAGCCCGCACCCCGAGGACCCCUUAAUCCAGGACUCCCUCAACUGGUGGCGCGAGGGGAAUUCCGGUGCCUUCACUCCGGUAGUUGUUUAGGUUAGGUUUUUUAGUCCAUGCGGUGUUUAGGCAGAUGGUGGCGCUUCUUUUUUGAGUUUAUCUUUGGGUAUUCGGUCGUGCUCAAGUUCAUCCAUCUGGACUUAGUCGACGGAGCACCGGCGUAGAGUGUUGUUGUUUUCUUGGAUGACAUGGUUAGGCUUUUUUAUCAUGCAUGAAUGACAACGAGAUUGUGACAGUUGCUUUAGAUCUAUUCAAGGGUUGAAUAAUGGCACUUGCGGCUCCAGGACGCUGGUCCUUAGGAGCAUGUGCACGAAGACUUUUGGCUGUAAUCGACAAGGUCAAAUUGGUUUGCUUUGGCGUGGUCAUUCGGUGGUCUACAAACCUCUGUGUAUUUUAAUUAUGUUUAAGGUGCUUUGUAUUUAUUAUGAACUUUAAUAAUAUGUUUGAAUCUUUUUUAGAGAGAAAGGUAUUAAUAGACAAAGAACAACUCUUGGUACGGUAGCCAAGCCGCAUGGAUGGUCCCAACGGAAACUCAUACAACUAAUUAAAAAAUCCACCCUAAGAGUAUCUUCAACCACGACUUGUAAAUUCAGGCCCUCAAACGCCUGUGUCAGUGACUGGGCGUGUCCCCUACUUGUCCAUCAAUGCAGCCACAUUCCUCAUUUUCUUCCUCAUAUGUUCGGUCAUUUGUACGCGAUUGAUGUAGAGGAAGAGAGAGAAGAAAAGAAUGAAUAAAGAAAAGAAAAAGGUGGUUCGGGGUGGGGUCACGUCUUAUGUGGCGCACUGACCGGGCGCGCCCGAGCUCGUCCAUGAGCCCUCAUAUCCUUCCCAUAUUUGAGAUGGAUAUGAGGGUUCGCGGACAGCCCGGACAUAUAGGGACGAUAUGAGGGGUCCGGUUGGGUCAUUUUUUCCUUUCUCUCUCAUGUUCGAUCACUGACCGGGCACAUCCGCGGACGUAUGAGGGGUCAUUUGAGGGGUCCCGCCGUAGAUGCUCUAAAUAUAAAAUGUAACACAAAAAUAACACCAUCUUUUUAUGAGUUAUAUACUGGUUUCAAUGUUGGUGGGUAAUAGAACACAUAUUGUUUCAUUUCAUGUUUACCGUGGCAUGACAUGCUUCUAAUUAGGCUACUUAAGCUUGGUGUUGUAAAGUGAUCUAAUAAGCAUACGUUGUAUGCAUCUAGGAUGUAGAGCAGUAGAGCCAUGGGUAAUGCAUUCUUCCAUUUUUAUAAGAACUGUUUUUGCGGAAUCUUUUCUUUUUACCCAUGUUACGUCGUUUCCUCUCACCUUCUGUUGAAUGUGUGGCACCAAAAGGCAAUAGAACUAUUGAUCAAGUGGCAGUGCAACUUCUAGUUUAUCUUUUUAUGUUAGUAACAAGCAACAUUUCAACCAUGGAAACUUUGUUGCAUGGAUUAAAGUUCUCGUGAGUCUAUCUCCGGGUAUUCUAUGCAGUAGCAUAGGUCUCAAUUAGGAUAAGCUGUUGUUUUGGUCAUAGAAAUUGAACCUAAUAUUAUGGAUCGUCGUCCAACCUUCGGCCUCUAUUGACAUGUCGACCACAAUGGUGUCAAGCAGCGGCGGUGCCAGCAAAAAAAGUUGUGGCUUCAAGUGCACUAAUCUCUUUAAAAUGUCCUAUUUUUGAGCAAUAACGGACAAAAAUAAAACUUGAAAAAACAAAAGUUGUGGGGCUAGUUGACCCCACACUUUACACAUGGAAUCACCCCUCGUGUCAAGUAUGCUUGGUUAAAGGUACUCCUCUUCCAUUUUUGCGCUCAUGGCCUUCUCCUUGAGAGAUUGGUGGCGAAGCGCGACUUUGGCAAUUUCUUUUCAAGUGAUGUGCCUUUGGUCACAAUGCAUGCUUUGAUCUUAGUUUUUCACCUGCUAGGUGGGUCAGUUUGUGCUUCUUUUCAAAACCUUUGAGGAUUGUUGUACGCAUGUUUGUUCUUCUCUGGUUUAUCCACCGAUUUUGUGGAAUGCAUAUAUGCAAAAGUGAAAGGCAUCUCGCCCCUGUGGUGUAUUUUGAUAAUUAGUGUCAACAUAUCUCAAGGGACCAAUGCUUUAACUAGCUUAUCUAAGGAAAGUCAUGUUUGAUUGCAACAAAUGAGAUGAAAGAUGACCACCACAAAUUCUCAUGAAGGCGAGUGUUGGACAAGCCAAGGACUUGCAUUUUCUCCAUUUUAGUGAUCCAGUAUCACGUUGAGUUCAUAGACAUUUUGAUACCAUGAAAAGGGAAUGAGGAUGUUAAAUUGAGUUUCUUUCUCUUUGUGCUUAAACACCAAACUUGAAUGCCCUCAAAAUGACUCCAUUCGUCCACUACAUCUACCUACACUUACGUAUACUUCAUAGAUGCCAAGCUCUUACUGUAGGAACCAUCAAGAAGUUCAUCCAGGUAUAACCGUUGCAAACCCUAGUUGUUUGGAGAUGCCAAGUAUUCCACUCAAACUUGCCACAACAGUUGACAACCUUUUGAUAUCGUGUCAGAAUUUUCGAAGCACUCCACGCAAAAUUUUCGAGCUCGUAACAGUGUGUCUCACUAGUGAAGUCAUUCAUUCAGGGCCUUCGAACACUAUCCGAUCGGACCAUCCAAGUUGUUUAAAAGUUCUUAACUUUAGCUAUAUUCGGUGAUUCUGAACUGGUCAUCAUAGGCCCUCCAAGCUAUGUUAAAUUGUGUUUAACAAUUAAAUUAUUGGUCUAACAUAUAAAUACCACAACACAUCACAUUAACUCACUCAAAGCAAACCCACUCAUAUCAUAUCUAUUGAGAGAGAACUUCACCUCUUUUGUGCUGAUUUCAAAGGGUUUUCUUCUCCAACCAUCAAGCCAUGUCUUUCUGAUAUAAUCUCUUCUUUGUUUUACGCUCCUACUUCUCCAAUCCAAUCGCCAUAUCUUGAGAGAGUUUGUUUGUGGACGAGAUUAUCUUUUGAAGCACAAGAGCAAUGGAUUCAUCACUAAGCAACCUCGGUAUUAUUACUUUGUAUGUGUGAAUCUCCUAGAUUGGCUACGUGCUUAACAUUCUUCUAGUGUGCACAGAAAUUAAGAAGUUUGUAAGAGCUUGAGAAUAUGCUUUAGUCACAUUAGUCAUUUAAUUAUAAGGCCUCUUAGAAAUCUAGGACCUCAUUUUUCAUUUUGCAUCAGGGCCUCGAAUUCCUGAAGACGGCCCUGUUGGCAUGUUAGGACACACCUAUCAAAGACAUAUGAUUUAUUUAGCGAAUAUUAGGGAAUAUGACUAGAUUGAACAAACAAAUAAAAGUAUGAUGAAGAUCCUAAUAUUAGGGAAUGUGACUAGAUUGUGAAUAAUCGCUACAUGGGGUUAUUUGGAAUCGGUGUCUCUAGUUUUCAACUUUUUGUAAGGUUGAUCAAGUGCCAUGUUCAUUAUGUAUGCCAUGCGAAGUAAAAAAAGACCUUUUGACUCCAUUAAAAAUCAUAGAACGUGUCUUUUCAACAUUAAGGUUGAGAUUAACUGCAACUUUCUUAAUUUUUUCUUUUAGAGAAAUGUCAAGGCUCACUUGGUGGUUACUAAAAUCCAAAGCAGUCGCGUGGCGGAAAAAGUCUAUUUUAAACCCUGAACUCAUAGAGGUUCGGUGAAGCAACCCCUCAAGUCGUAAACCCGGUUGAUUGCACACCGAUGUAUGCAAUUCCAGUCUAAAUCGAACCUUGACAUUCUUUGACUCAUAAAAACGCCGACAUGACAGGGAUUCGUCUGGUUGGUCAUCCAAAGCGUGCAUCCGUCCUCCGAAUAUGUGCUACUAGCCACUCGAGCUAAUCGUUAUGGGUGCUAUAAAGAAAGCGUGAUUUCUUUUUUAAAUCCCAGCGAAGUGGCACAUCCAAAUCAAUCUUUAUUUUUUUUAACGUUUCUCGAAAAUUUAGGGAAACAAUUAAAUGCCUAAUAUUGUUCUGAAAACGAAAAUAUUUUUGGAAUUCCAAUUCUUUUUACUCUGAACAUUUUUUUCAAAACUUGAACAGAUUUUGAAAUCCCAUACUUUUUUUAAUUUGUGUACAAAUUUUGAAAAUGGAAACAGUUUUCAAAAUUCCAAACAAAAUUAGAAAAUAUGAACAUAUUUUGAAAUAUACGAACAUAUUAGUAAAUCAUGACCUUUUUCCUUUUGUAAAUCUGGAUCACAACGUUCUUUUUCCAAUUUCUAGUUCUAAAAUGGCAAUGAAUUUAAGAGAGAAAAAGAAAGAAAAAGGGAGCAGGUGAACACAACAGGAACAUGGAGCUCUUGGGUUUGGAUCACUUUGCGUGCUUAUUUUUGCAGUUUUAAAGAAGAAGAAAAUUGCGCGUUUUGAAAAGGAAAAAACAUAAAACGGACCGGUCCAACGAGGAAUAGUGCCAAAUUGUGAGGAACUUGGGUCUCAUAUGCUAGAUAGGGUGAAUUGGGGAAACUGUGCUAGAGGAAUUCAAAUUACACGAGGAGUUCUCUUCUCUCUCUUCUCUCUCACUAUCCUAUCCACUCACACAAACAAUCGAGCCGCGAGUCCGCCACCCCUGGUUCGGUGGACAGACUUCGAUUAAGUAGUCGCACCCGCCUAGCGAGCCCAGUGCGGGCUUGCAAGCCAGUGGGGUAAAUUCCUGGGCCGAGUUGACUUGGGCCUUUUCGCUGGCGUCGCAUUCUUCUCGGCCUAGUCAUCAGCUUCCUUGGCCUUGUCUCUACCUCCAACUUCAGUGUUCGCCAGAGCCGUUGGUGGUUCACCGACAUCCCCCUCGUUGAGUAGUGGCUUGUCUCCAAGCCAUAGCCCGAGGGAACUGUUGUCGCAAGGACUCCAGAUCCUCCCAAGUAGCAUCAGCGUGUCUGGAAUCACUCCAUAGGAUCAGCCCCUACGCUACAGUCUUCUCACCAGCUUGGCGGACUCGAGUUUGCAGAACUUCCACUGCAACCUGCAGCUGAGAAGAAUCAUACGGUAGCUUUGUUUGAAAUGCAGUGGUCACGAAAACAACCUUCUUAAGCUGCGACACGUCAAAAACUAGAUGAAUAUUGCUUGUGGGAGGCAACAACACUUUAUAGGCCACUUAACCAAUUGUCUAUAAUCUGGUAAGGUCCAAAUUCCUUGAAGGAAAGCUUGUGGUUAACUCUACGUACAACAGUAGAUUGCACGUAGGGUUGCAGCUUCAGGAACACCAUCUCACCCACUACAAAACUUCUCUUAGUCAUGUGUUUAUCAGCCUGGUUUUUCAUUCUUUGUUGUGCACGAUGCGGAUGUUGAGAUACAAAGUCCAGCACAAUCUGCCUUUCUUGUAGCCAAUGAUUAAUGUCAUGAGCAGCAACAGUGUGAUCACUAGCAGAGAUGCCAAAAUACCUAGGAGGAUGGCCAUACAAGAUUUCAAAUGGGGUUUGCCAACAGAAGAAUGCCAAUUAGUAUUGUACCAGAACUCACACAUGGACAACCACUUGCUCCAUUAUGAGGGUGUGCGCUGAUGAAACUCGUGAGAUAGCAUUCCACUUGUUGAUUGACUCUUUCAGUCUGACCAUCAGUGGCACGAUGAUAAAUAGAACUCAUGUUGAGUUGUGUACCAGUUCUCUUAAUUAGGGUUUGCCAGAAAGCACUAGUGAAGAUAGGAUCCCUGUCAGAGACAAUGUAUUCUGGCAUACCAUGCAACUUAUAGACAUUGUCCAAGAAAAUCUCAGCAACUUUGGCAGUAGUGAAGGGAUGCUUAAGAGGCAUGAAAUGACCAUACUUGGUAAAUUUAUCAAUAACCACUAGGAUAAAGUCAAAGUGGCCUAAAAGAGGAAGUCCAGUAAUGAAAUCCAUGGUGACAUACUCCCAUGCUUUCUUAGGAACUGGUAGAGGUGACAACAGACCAGGGUAAUUCACUCUCUCUGGUUUAGCCUACUGACACGUGAAACAAGACGGCACUCUAUCCUUAAUGAAUUUUUCACCCCAACCCAUCUGAACAGAGAAUAAAUUCAGCAAAAGUGACUGGAAACCCUAAAUGACCUCCCAAUGGACUGUCAUGUGAUACUUCUCCAACGUCUUGAUAAUUUAUGAAGUAUUCAUGUCAUGCUUGCCUAUGUUCACAAUACUUUUAUAUGGUUUUGUUGCACUUUAUAUGAUUUAUUUAGAACUAACCUAGAAUGACGUUGUUCCUAGUAGAACUACCGUGGUGUUGUUUUUUGUGCAGAAAUAAAAGUUCUAAGACUUGGACGAAACUUUUUGAUGAUUUUUUUGGAAGAAAAGAAAAAUACUCGAGCAAAGAACCACCAAAGGGGGCCCGUUGUGCCCACUAGACACCAGGUCAUGCCAGCCCCCCUCGCGUGGGCUGAUGUCUAGUGGGAACCUCGUGGCCCAUCUUAGAGUGAUUCCAACACCCAAAAUCCUAUAAAUAUAGAAACCUCCAGAAAUAACCUUAGACGAGAAGUUCCACUGCCGUAGGCGUGUAUCGCCACGAAAAACCAAUCCAGAGACAUUCCAGUACCCUUCCGGAGAGAGGAAAUCAUCUCCGGUGGCCAUCUUCAUCAUCCCGACCGAGGCCAAGAGGAGGAGGGAGUAGUACACCCUCGGGGCUGAGGGUUUGUACCAGUAGCUAUGUGUUUAAUCUCUCUUUCUCUCUCUCUCUCUCGUGUUCUUGAGAUGUCAUGAUCUUUAUAUAUCACGGUCCUUGUUAAUAUAGUUGGAUCAUAUGGUGGUUGUCCCAUGCUAUUAUUGUGAUCAAUUAAAUCUUUCACUUUAAGAUCUCAUUAUGUUGGAUUGAAUAUUCAGGUUUGAGAGCACAUGAUAUAUGUCUUGCAUGCGGGUACCCAUAGUGACAUUGGGGUAUUCAUGUGAUUCACUUGAUAUAUGUUGUGGCAUCAACUCGCUGAUUCCCGAGGUGACAUUGGGGUAAUCUAGGCAUAGGGGUUGAUUGCACGUUUACAUACUAUGUUCUCCGAUAGAAAUCUUGGCCUGCUCCUUGAAGUUCUUUGUGUUGGAUUGAAUAUUAUGAAUCUGAACUUGUUAUGGUGUUAUUUUAGUACGAACUCUUGAUAGAUCGAUCGAAAAGGAAGGAUAACUUGUUAUCUUAGUAGGAACUCUUGGACCUAUUGAUAAACCUUAGGUCAUCCACUUGAGGGAAAUUUUAGUAUUUGGUUGCAGGGUUGUUUGAGAGAUACCAUCUUCAUCCUAUGCCUUCGACCAAUUGAUAAACCUUAGGUCAUCCACUUGAGGGAAAUUUUCUACUGUCCUACAAAACUCUAUGCUUUGAGGCCCAACACGAGUCUACAAGAACAAGUUGUGUAGUAGAAAUCAAGCUCUUUUAUGGCGUCGUUGCUUGCGAGGUGAGUGCUUGAAGGUAUAUCUUUAGACCUUGCAAUUAAAUAUAUUAGUUUUUUGUUUAUCACUAGUUUGGUUUAUAAAAAUAAAAUUACAAAAAUGGAAUUGAGGUGGUCUCAUAUUGUUCAUCUUUAUAAUGGCUUUCGUGAAAAUGAUGGAAAGGAGAAUUGUGCUCGACUGCUACAGGAAGAAACUAUGGAAAUGCUUAAUGUGAAUUCCUUGAAUGAUGAGCAUGAUAGAAAUAUUGUUAGUAUGAUUCUCUGAAUAUCCAUGAUAGAAAGAUCUUCGUAGAAUAUGUAGGAUCCAAUAUGUACAUCCAGGUCCCGCUAUUGGAUAUUAACCGGGGAGUGUCUCAGAUCAUGUCUACAUAGUUCUCGAACCCGCAGGGUCUGCACACUUAUGGUUCGGUGACGUUUCAGUAUAGUUGAGUUAUAGGUGUUGGUGACCGAAGGUUGUUCGAAGUCCCAUAUGAGAUCACGGACAUCACGAGGGUUUCUGGAAUGGUCCGGAAACAAAGAUUGAUAUAUAGGAUGGUUUCAUUUGGUCACCGGAAAGAUUUCGGGCAUUACUAGCACUGUACCGGGAGUGAUGAAUGGGUUCUAGGUUUUCACCGGGAGGGGCCCACCCACCCGGGUGUGAGCCCAAUAGUCCUAGGGUGGCGCACCAGCCCCUCCCCUCCUCCUAGAUAUACUAGAGGUAUUAGGGUUUUUGAGACACAACUUUGCCACGUGCAACUCAAACCUAUACCUCGUAGUUCUUCCUCUAGAUCGGAUUUCUGCGGAGCCCUGCAGGAAUAGAUCAUCACCAUCACCGGCGCGCCGUCACGCUACCGCAGAACUCAUAUACUUCCCCGUCUCUCUUGCUGGAUCACGAAGGCGGAGAUCGUCAUCGAGCUCUAUGUGUGCUGAACGCGGAGGUGCCGUCCGUUUGGUGCUAGAUCGGGACGGAUCAUGGGACGACGGUGAUUUGAAUCACGAAGUUGUACCACUACAUCAACCGCGUUAACGCUUCCCGCUUAGCGAUCUACAAGGGUAUGUGGAUCCGAUCUCCCUCUCAUAGAUGAACAUCACCAUGAUAGGUCUUCGUGUGCGUAGGAAAUUUUUUGUUUCCCAUGCAACAUUCUUCAACAGUGGCAUCAUGAGCUAGGUUCAUGCGUAGAUGUAAUAUCGAGUAGAACACAAAAGUUUUUGUGGGUGUUGAUGUUCGAUUUGCUGCCCUCCUUAGUCUUUUCUCGAUUCGGCGGUAUUGUUGGAUUGAAGCGGCCCGGACCAACAUUACUCGUACGCUUACGAGAGACUGGUUUCAUCAACCAACAUGCAACUCAUUGCAUAAAGAUGACUGACGGGUGUCGGUUUCUUCAACUUUAGUUGAAUUGGAUUUGACCGAGCCGGUCCUUGGAGAGUGGUUAAAUAGCAAUUUGCACAUCUUCGUUGUGGUUUUUGCGUAAGUAAGAUGCGAUCGUACUAGAUACCCAUAGCAGCCAUGUAAAACAUGCAACAACAAAUUAGAGGACGUCUAACUUGUUUUUGCAGGGUAUGCUUGUGAUGUGAUAUGGCCAAAGACAUGAUGUGAUAUAAUGGAUGUACGAGAUGAUCAUGUUGUAAUAGUUAAUAUCGACUUGCACGUCGAUGCUACGACAACCGGCAGGAGCCAUAGGGUUGUCUUUAAACUAACGUUUCUGUUUGCAGAUGCGUUUACUAUAUUGCUAGGUUGUAGCUUUAGUAUUAAUAGCGUAGAUAGCACGACCACCUCGAUGGCGGCACGAUGAUGGAGAUCACAGUGUGGCGCCGGUGAAGAUCAAGAUCAUGCCGGUGCUUUGGUGAUGGAGAUGAAGAAGCACAAGAUCAUGGCCAUAUCUUGUCACUUAUGAAUUGCAUGUGAUGUUAAUCCUUUUAUGCACCUUAUCUUGAUUAGAACGACGGUAGCAUUAUAAGGUGAGCCCUCACUAAAAUUUCAAUAUAAAAUUGUGUUCUCCCCGACUGUGCACCGUUGCAACAGUUCUUCGUUUCGAGACACCACGUGAUGAUCAGGUGUGACAGACUCAACGUUCACAUACAACGGGUGCAAAACAGUUGCACACGUGGAACAGUCGAGUUAAACUUAAUGAGCCUAGCAUGUGCAGACAUGGCCUCGGAACACAAGAGACCGAAAGGCCGAGCAUGAAUCGUAUAGUUGAUAUGAUUAGCAUAGAGAUGUUUACCACUGAAACUAUACUCAACUCACGUGAUGAUCGGAUUUGAGUUAGUGAAUUUGGAUCAUGCCACACUCAAGUAACUAGAGGGAUGUCUAUUUGAGUGGGAGUUUAUUAGUAAUUUGAUUAGCUAAUCUCUAAUUAUCUUGAACAUAGUCUAAGUCCAUUUUGCAAUAUUUUAUAUUGUAGAUCAAUGGCUCACGCAGUAGCAACCCUGAAUUUCAAUACGUUCCUAGAGAAAGCUAAGCUGAAAGAUGAUGGUAGCAACUUUGUAGACUAGGCUCGUAAUCUUAGGCUCAUCCUACAAGCUGGGAAAAGAAUUAUGUCCUUAAUGUUGCGCUAGCACAUGAACCACCCGCUACGUCUGACCAAGAUGUUUUGAACGCUUAACAAUCACGUAAGGAGGACUACUCGGUAGUUCAAUGUGCAGUAUUGUAUGGCUUGGAACCGGGACUUCAACGAUGCUUUGAACGUCAUGGAGCAUAUGAGAUGUUCCAGGAGUUGAAGUUUAUCUUUCAGAAGAACGCCCAGAUCGAGGGGUAUGAGACCUCCGAUAAAUUCUAUACUUGCAAGAUGGAGGAGAAUUCGUCUGUCAGUGAACAUGUGCUCAAAAUGUCUGGGUACUCAAACCGUCUAGUUGAGCUGGGGAUUGAACUCCCGCAAGAGGCUAUCACUGACAGAAUUCUUCAAUCACUGCCACCUAGCUACAAGAGCUUUGUGUUGAACUAUAACAUGCAAGGAAUGAACAAGUCACCCGACGAGUUAUCCGCGAUGCUGAAAGUCACAGAUUCAGAACUCCGGAAAGAGCAUCGAGUAUUGAUGGUCAAUAAGACCACUGGUUUCAAGAGAAACGACAAAGGCAAGAAGGGUAACUCCAAGAAGAGCGGCAAAACUGUUGCCAAUCCGACGAACAAACCCAAGGCUGGACCUAAGCCGGAAACAGAGUGUUAUAAUUGCAAGGGGAUGGGUCACUGGAAGCGCAACUGCCCCAAGUAUUUGGCUGAUAAGAAUGCGGCCUAUGCCAAACCAGGUAUAUGUGAUAUACAUGUUAUUGAUGUGUACUUCACCAACUCUCGUAGUAGUGCAUGGGUAUUUGAUACCGGUUCUGUUGCUCAUAUUUGCAACUCGAAGCAGGGACUACAGAAUAAACGAAGGCUGGCGAAGGAUGAAGUGACGAUGUGUGUGGGAAAUGGUUCCAAGGUUGAUGCAAUCGCCGUCGGCACAGUCUCACUUCCGUUACCAUCAGUAUUAGUUAUGAACUUAAAUAAUUGUUAUUUAGUGCUUGCGUUAAGCAUGAACAUUAUAUCUGGAUCUUGUUUAUUGCGAGACGGUUACUCAUUUAAGUCAGAAUAAUGGUUGUUCUAUUUUUAUGAGUAAUAUCUUUUAUGGUCAUGCACCCAAUGUGAGGGGUUUGUUCAUAUUGAAUCUUGAUUGUGUUGACACACAUAUACAUAACAUUCAAACCAAAAGAUGUAGAGUUAACAAUGAUAGCGCCACGUUUUUGUGGCACUGCCGCUUAGGUCAUAUUGGAGUAUAGCGCAUGAAGAAAUUCCAUACCGAUGGGCUUUUGGAGUCACUUGAUUUUGAAUCACUUGACACGUGCGAACCAUGCCUCAUGGGCAAGAUGACUAAGACUCCGUUCUCCGGAACAAUGGAGCGUGCAAGUGACUUGUUGGAGAUUAUACAUAUUGAUGUGUGUGGUCCAAUGAGUGUGGAGGCAUGCAGCGGAUAUCAUUAUUUUCUCACCUUCAAUGAUGAUUUGAGUAGGUAUGGAUAUAUCUACUUGAUGAAGCACAAGUCUGAAACGUUUGAGAAGUUCAAGCAAUUUCAGAGUGAAGUUGAAAAUCAUCGUAACAAGAAGAUCAAGUUCCUAUGAUCUGAUCGAGGGGGCGAAUAUCUGAGUUUCGAGUUUGGUGCUCACUUAAGACAAUGUGAAUCGUUUCACAAUUGACACCGCCUGGAACACCACAUCGUAAUGGUGUGUCCGAACAUCGUAAUCGUACUUUGUUAGAUAUGGUGCGAUCUAUGAUGUCUCUUACCGAUUAGCUGUUAUCGUUUUGGGGUUAUGCAUUAGAGACAGCUGCAUUCACUUUAAAUAGGGCACCGUCAAAAUCCGUUGAGACGACAUCAUAUGAGCUAUGGUAUGGCAAGAGGCCAAAGUUGUCGUUUCUUAAAGUUUGGGGAUGAGAUGCUUAUGUCAAAAAGCUUCAGCCUAAAAAACUGGAACCCAUUGCGGAAAAGUGCGUCUUCAUAGGUUACCCAAAGGAGACAGUUGGGUACACCUUCUAUCUCAGAUCUGAGGGCAAAGUAUUUGUUGCUAAGAACGGAGCUUUUAUUGAGAAGGAGUUUCUCUCGAAAGAAUUGAGUAGGAGGAAGAUAGUGUUGGAAUUAUGCCCUAGAGGCAAUAAUAAAUGUGUAGUUAUUAUUAUAAUUCCUGUAUCAAGACAAUAGUUUAUUAUCCAUGCUAUAAUUGUAUUGAAUGAAGACUCAUUUACAUGUGUGGAUACAUAGACAAAACACCGUCCCUAGCAUGCCUCUAGUUGGCUAGCCAGUUGAUCGAUGAUAGUCAGUGUCUUCUGAUUAUGAACAAGGUGUUGUUGCUUGAUGACUGAAUCACGUCAUUGGGAGAAUCACGUGAUGGACUAGACCCAAACUAAUAGACGUAGCAUGUUGAUCGUGUCAUUUUGUUGCUACUGUUUUCUGCGUGUCAAGUAUUUAUUCCUAUGACCAUGAGAUCAUAUAACUCACUGACACCGGAGGAAUGCUUUGUGUGUAUCAAACGUCGCAACAUAACUGGGUGACUAUAAAGAUGCUCUACAGGUAUCUCCGAAGGUGUUAGUUGAGUUAGUAUGGAUCAAGACUGGGAUUUGUCACUCCGUGUGACGGAGAGGUAUCUCGGGGCCCACUCGGUAAUACAACAUCACACACAAGCCUUGCAAGCAAUGUAACUUAGUGUAAGUUGCGGGAUCUUGUAUUACGGAACGAGUAAAGAGACUUGCCGGUAAACGAGAUUGAAAUAGGUAUGCGGAUACUGACGAUCGAAUCUCGGGCAAGUAACAUACCGAAGGACAAAGGGAAUGACAUACGGGAUUAUACGAAUCCUUGGCACUGAGGUUCAAACGAUAAGAUCUUCGUAGAAUAUGUAGGAUCCAAUAUGGGCAUCCAGGUCCCGCUAUUGGAUAUUGACCGAGGAACCUCUCGGGUCAUGUCUACAUAGUUCUCGAACCCGCAGGGUGUGCACACUUAAGGUUCGACGUUGUUUUAUGCGUAUUUGAGUUAUAUGGUUGGUUACCGAAUGUUGUUCGGAGUCCCGGAUGAGAUCACGGACGUCACGAGGGUUUCCGGAAUGGUCCGGAAACGAAGAUUGAUAUAUAGGAUGACCUCAUUUGAUUACCGGAAGGUUUUCGGAGUUACCGGGAAUGUACCGGGAAUGACGAAUGGGUUCCGGGAGUUCACCGGGGGGGCAACCCGACCCCGGGGGAAGCCCAUAGGCUUUGGGGAGACACACCAGCCCUUAGUGGGCUGGUGGGACAGCCCCAAGGGGGCCUAUGCGCCAAGAGAAAGAAAUCAAAGGAAAAUAAAAAAAAAGAGGGAAGAAGUGGGAAGGGAGGGGGACUCCUCCCACCAAACCAAGUCCAACUCGGUUUGGGGGGGAGUCCUCCCCCCCUUGGCUCGGCCGACCCCUUGGGAGUCCCUUGGACCCCAAGGCAAGGUUCCCCUCCCUCCUCCUAUAUAUAUGGGGCUUUUAGGGCAGAUUUGAGACGACUCUCUCACGGCUGCCCGACCACAUACCUCCAUAGUUUUUCCUCUAGAUCGCGUUUCUGCGGAGCUCGGGCGGAGCCUUGCUGAGACGAGAUCAUCACCAACCUCCGGAGCGUCAUCACGCUGCCGGAGAACUAUUCUACCUCUCCGUCUCUCUUGCUGGAUCAAGAAGGCCGAGAUCAUCGUCGAGUUGUACGUGUGCUGAACGCGGAGGUGCCGUCCGUUCGGUACUAGAUCGUGGGACUGAUCGCGGGAUUGUUCGCGGGGCGGAUCGAGGGACGUGAGGACGUUCCACUACAUCAACCGCGUUCUCUAACGCUUCUGCUGUACGAUCUACAAGGGUACGUAGAUCACUCAUCCCCUCUCGUAGAUGGACAUCACCAUGAUAGGUCUUCGUGCGCGUAGGAAAAUUUUUGUUUCCCAUGCGACGUUCCCCAACAGAUAGAACUUGAAGAGGUUGUAGAAACCUCUAGCGAGGUGACACCGGUUGAGGAGGAAGCUAAUGAUGAUUAUCAUGAAGCUUCAGAUCAAGUUACAAUCGGACCUCCCAGGUCGACAAGAUCACGUACUGCUCCUAUGUGGUACGGUAAUCCUGUCUUAUCUAUCGUGUUGUUAGACAACAAUGAACCUGCGAAUUGUGAAGAAGCAAUGGUGGGCCCGGAUUCCAACAAAUGGCUGGAGGCCAUGAAGUCCGAGAUAGGAUCUAUGUAUGAAACAAAGUGUGGACUUUGGAAGUAUUACCUGAAGGUCGAAAGGCUAUUCAGAACAAAAUUGAUCUUUAGGAAGAAGACAGACGCGUAUGGUAAUGUGACCGUUUAUAAAGCUCGACUUGUGGCAAAGGGUUUUUCACAAGUUCAAGGAGUUGACUACGAUGAGACAUUCUCACCGGUAGCGAUGCUUAAGUUCGUCCAAAUCAUGUUAGCAAUAGCUGCAUUUUUCAAUUAUGAAAUCUCUCAGAUGGGUGUCAAAACAGCGUUCAUUAACGGUUUUCUUAAGGAAGAGUUGUAUAUGAUACAACCCGAAGGUUUUGUCGAUCCAAANNNNNNNNNNNNNNNNNNNNNNNNNNNNNNNNNNNNNNNNNNNNNNNNNNNNNNNNNNNNNNNNNNNNNNNNNNNNNNNNNNNNNNNNNNNNNNNNNNNNGUGGCAUCAUGAGCUAGGUUCAUGCGUAGAUGUCUUCUUGAGUAGAACACAAAAGUUUUGUGGGCGGUGAUGUGCGUUUUCCUGCCCUCCUUAGUCUUUUCUUGAUUCCGCGGUAUUGUUGGAUUGAAGCGGCUCGGACCGACAUUACUCGUACGCUUACGAGAGACUGGUUUCAUCGCUACGAGUAACUCCGUUGCUCAAAGAUGACUGGCGGGUGUCAGUUUCUCCAACUUUAGUUGAAUCAGAAUUGACCGAGGAGGUCCUUGGAUGAGGUUAAAUAGCAACUCAUAUAUCUCCGUUGUGGUGUUUACGUAAGUAAAAUGCGAUCCUACUAGAUACCCAUGGUCACCACGUAAAACAUGCAACAACAAAAUUAGAGGACGUCUAACUUGUUUUUGCAGGGUAUGCUUGUGAUGUGAUAUGGCCAACGAUGUGAUGUGAUAUAUUGGAUGUAUGAGAUGAUCAUGUUGUAAUAGAAAAUAUCGACUUGCACGUCGAUGGUACGGCAACCGGCAGGAGCCAUAGGGUUGUCUUUAUAACUAACGUUUGUGCUUGCAGAUGCGUUCACUAUUUUGCUAGGAUGUAGCUUUAGUAGUAAUAGCAUGAGUAGCACGCCAACCCCGAUGGCGACACGUUGAUGGAGAUCAUGGUGUGGCGCUGGUGACAAGAAGAUCGUGCCGGUGCUUUGGUGAUGGAGAUCAAGAAGCACGUGAUGAUGGCCAUAUCAUGUCACUUAUGAAUUGCAUGUGAUGUUAAUCCUUUUAUGCACCUUAUUUUGCUUAGAACGACGGAAGCAUUAUGAGGUGAUCUCUCACUAAAAUUUCAAGACGAAAUUGUGUUCUCCCCGACUGUGCACCGUUGCUACAGUUCGUCAUUUCGAGACACCACGUGAUGAUCGGGUGUGAUAGACUCAACGUUCACAUACAACGGGUGCAAAACAGUUGCGCACGCGGAACACUCGGGUUAAGCUUGACGAGCCUAGCAUGUGCAGACAUGGCCUCGGAACACAUGAGACCGAAAGGUCGAUCAUGAAUCAUAUAGAUGAUAUGAUUAGCAUAGGGAUGCUUACCACUGAAACUAUACUCAACUCACGUGAUGAUCAGACUUGAGCUAGUGUAAGUGGAUCAUGAACCACUCAAAUGACUAGAGAGAUGUACUUUUUGAGUGGGAGUUUAGCGAAUAAUUUAAUUAAGUUAAACUCUAAUUAUCUUGAACAUAGUCUAAGUCCACUUUGAAUAUAUUUGUGUUGUAGAUCAUGGCUCACGCGACAGUCACCCUGAAUUUUAAUACGUUCCUAGAGAAAGCUAAGUUGAAAGAUGAUGGAAGCAACUUUGUAGACUGGGCUCAUAAUCUUAAGCUAAUAUUACAAGCUGGGAAGAAGGAUUAUGUCCUUAAUGCUGCGCUAGGAGAUGAACCACCCUCUACGGCUGAUCAGGAUGUUAAGAAUGCUUGGUUAGCACGUAAGGAGGACUACUCAAUAGUUCAAUGUGCAGUCUUGUAUGGCUUAGAACCGGGACUUCAACGUCGCUUUGAGCGUCAUGGAGCAUUUGAGAUGUUCCAGGAGUUGAAGUUUAUCUUUCAGAAGAACGCCCGGAUCGAGAGGUAUGAGACCUCCGAUAAAUUCUAUGCUUGCAAGAUGGAGGAGAACUCGUCUGUCAGUGAACAUGUGCUCAAAAUGUCUGGGUACUCAAACCGUCUAGCUGAGCUGGGGAUUGAACUCCCGCAAGAAGCUAUCACUGACAGAAUCCUUCAAUCACUGCCGCCAAGCUAUAAAGGCUUUGUGUUGAACUACAACAUGCAAGGGAUGAACAAGUCUCCCGGCGAGUUGUUUGCGAUGCUGAAAGUCGCAGAGUCUGAACUCCGUAAAGAGCAUCAAGUGUUGAUGGUGAAUAAGACCACUAGUUUCAAGAGAAACGGCAAAGUCAAGAAGGGUAAUUCGAAGAAGAACGGCAAGCAUGUUGCCAAUCCGACGAAGAAACCCAAAGCUGGACCUAAGCCUGAAACAGAGUGUUACUAUUGCAAGGGUAUGGGUCACUGGAAGCGCAAUUGCCCCAAGUAUCUGGCUGAUAAGAAGGCGGCCAAAGAAACAUCAGGUAUAUUUGAUAUACAUUUAUUGAUGUGUACUUAACCGGCUCUCAUAGUAGUGCUUGGGUAUUCGAUACCGGUUCUGUUGCUCAUAUUUGCAACUCGAAACAGGAACUGCGGAAUAGACGAAGGCUGGCGAAAGACGAAGUGACGAUGCGCGUGGGAAAUGGUUCCAAGGUUGAUGCAAUCGCCGUCGGCACAGUCUCACUUCAGUUACCAUCAGGAUUAGUUAUGAACUUAAAUCAUUGUUAUUUAGUGCAUGCGUUGAGCAUGAACAUUACAUCUGGAUCUUGUUUAUUGCGAGACAGUUACUCUUUUAAGUCAGAGAAUAAUGGUUGUUCUAUUUCUAUGAGUAACAUCUUUUAUGGUCAUGCACCCAAUGUGAGAGGAUUGUUCAUAUUGAAUCUUGAUAGUGAUACACACAUACAUAACAUUGAGACCAAAAGAGUUAGAGUUAACAAUGAUAGCGCCAUAUUUUUGUGGCACUGCCGCUUAGGUCAUAUUGGUGUAAAGCGCAUGAAGAAACUCCAUGCCGAUGGACUUUUGGACUCACUUGACUUUGAUUCACUUGACACGUGCGAACCAUGCCUCAUGGGCAAGAUGACUAAGACUCCGUUCUCUGGAACAAUGGAGCGUGCAAGUGACUUGUUGGAAAUCAUACAUACCGAUGUGUGUGGUCCGAUGUGCGUAGAGGCACGCGACGGAUAUCGUUAUUUUCUCACCUUCACUGACGAUUUGAGUAGAUAUGGUUAUGUCUACUUAAUGAAGCACAAGUCUGAAACAUUUGAAAAGUUCAAGCAAUUUCAGAGUGAAGUUGAAAACCAUCAUAACAAGAAGAUCAAGUUCCUACGGUCUGAUCGUGGGGGUGAAUAUCUGAGUUUCGAGUUUGGUGCUCACUUAAGACAAUGUGGAAUUGUUUCACAAUUGACACCGCGUGGAACACCACAGCGUAAUGGUGUGUCCGAACGUUGUAAUCGUACUUUAUUAGAGAUGGUGCGAUCUGUGAUGUCUCUUACCCAUUUGCCAUUAUCAUUUUGGGGUUAUGCAUUAGAAACAGCUGCAUUCACUUUAAAUAGGGCACCAUCAAAAUCCGUUGAGACGACACCAUACGAACUGUGGUAUGGCAAAAGGCCAAAGUUGUCGUUUCUUAAAGUUUGGGGAUGUGAUGCUUAUGUCAAAAAGCUUCAGCCUGAAAAGCUGGAACCCAAAGCGGAAAAGUGCAUCUUCAUAGGUUACCCAAAAGAGACAGUUGGGUACACCUUCUAUCUCAAAUCCGAGGGCAAAGUGUUUGUUGCUAAAAACGGAGCUUUUCUCGAGAAGGAGUUUCUCUCGAGAGAAUUGAGUGGGAGGAAGAUAGAACUUGACGAGGUUGUCGAACCUCUCAUCCCUCUGGAUGGUGGCGCAGGGCAAGGGGAAACCUCUGUCGUUGUGACGCCGGUUGAGGAGGAACUUAAUGAUGAUGAUCAUGAAACUCUGCUUCAAAUUUCUGUCGAACCACGCAGGUCGACGAGACCACGUGCUGCUCCAGAGUGGUACGGUAAUCCCGUCUUGUCAAUCAUGUUGUUAGACAAGAAUGAACCUGCAAAUUAUGAAGAAGCAAUGGUGGGCCCAGAUUCCAACAAAUGGCUAGAAGCCAUGAAGUCCGAGAUAGGAUCCAUGUAUGAGAACAAAGUGUGGACUUUGGAAGUAUUACCUGAGGUCCGCAAGGCUAUUCAGAACAAAUGGAUCUUUAAGAGGAAGACGGACGCUGACGGUAAUGUGACCGUUUAUAAAGCUCGACUUGUGGCAAAGCGUUUUUCACAAGUUCAAGGAGUUGACUACGAUGAGACAUUCUCACCCGUAGCGAUGCUUAAGUCCGUCAGAAUCAUGUUAGCAAUAGCUGCUUUUUUCGAUUAUGAAAUCUGGCAGAUGGAUGUCAAAACGGCGUUCCUUAACGGUUUCCUUAAGGAAGAGUUGUAUAUGAUGCAACCCGAAGGUUUUGUCGAUCCUAAGAAUGCUAACAAGGUGUGCAAGCUCCAGCGAUCCAUUUAUGGACUGGUGCAAGCAUCUCGGAGUUGGAACAAACGCUUUAAUGAGGUGAUCAAAGCAUUUGGGUUUAUACAAGUGGUUGGAGAAUCCUGUAUUUACAAGAAAGUGAGUGGGAGCUUUGUGGUGUUUCUAAUAUUAUAUGUGGAUGACAUAUUGCUGAUUGGAAACAACGUGGAGUUCUUGGAGAGCAUAAAGGAUUACUUGAAUAAAAGUUUCUCUAUGAAGGACCUAGGAGAAGCUGCUUACAUUCUAGGCAUUAAGAUCUACAGGGAUAGAUCAAAACGCCUGAUAGGACUUUCACAAAGCACAUACCUUGAUAAAGUUUUGAAGAGGUUCAAAAUGGAACAGUCCAAGAAAGGGUUCUUGCCGGUUUUACAAGGUACGAGAUUGAGUAAGACUCAGUGCCCAGCAACUGAUGAAGAUAGAGAGCAUAUGCGCUCCAUCCCCUAUGCUUCAGCCAUAGGUUCUAUCAUGUAUGCAAUGUUGUGCACUAGACCGGACGUCAGCCUGGCCAUAAGUAUGGCAGGUAGGUUCCAGAGUAAUCCAGGAGUGGAUCACUGGACGGCGGUCAAGAAUAUCCUGAAGUACCUGAAAAGGACUAAGGAGAUGUUUCUCGUGUAUGGAGGUGACGAAGAGCUCGCCGUAAAAGGUUACGUCGAUGCAAGCUUUGACACAGAUCCAGACGACUCUAAGUCGCAAACUGGAUACGUAUUUAUUCUUAAUGGGGGUGCGGUAAGCUGGUGCAGUUCCAAGCAGAGCGUCGUAGCAGAUUCUACAUGUGAAGCGGAGUACAUGGCUGCCUCGGAGACGGCUAAGUAGGGUGUCUGGAUGAAGCAAUUCAUGACGGAUCUUGGAGUGGUGCCAAGCGCACUGAAUCCAAUAACCUUGUUCUGUGACAACACGGGUGCCAUUGCCCUAGCAAAGGAACCACGGUUUCACAAGAAGUCCAGACACAUCAAACGACGCUUCAACCUCAUCCACGACUACGUCGAAGGGGAGGACGUAAAUAUAUGCAAAGUGCACACGGAUCUGAAUGUAGCAGACCCGCUGACUAAACCUCUUCCACGGGCAAAGCAUGAUCAACACCAGAACUGUAUGGGUGUUAGAUUUAUUACAAUGUAAUUCGCAUGAUGAUGUGAGGGCUAGAUUAUUGACUCUAGUGCAAGUGGGAGACNNNNNNNNNNNNNNNNNNNNNNNNNNNNNNNNNNNNNNNNNNNNNNNNNNNNNNNNNNNNNNNNNNNNNNNNNNNNNNNNNNNNNNNNNNNNNNNNNNNNGCCCUANNNNNNNNNNNNNNNNNNNNNNNNNNNNNNNNNNNNNNNNNNNNNNNNNNNNNNNNNNNNNNNNNNNNNNNNNNNNNNNNNNNNNNNNNNNNNNNNNNNNNNNNNNNNNNNNNNNNNNNNNNNNNNNNNNNNNNNNNNNNNNNNNNNNNNNNNNNNNNNNNNNNNNNNNNNNNNNNNNNNNNNNNNNNNNNNNNNNNNNNNNNNNNNNNNNNNNNNNNNNNNNNNNNNNNNNNNNNNNNNNNNNNNNNNNNNNNNNNNNNNNNNNNNNNNNNNNNNNNNNNNNNNNNNNNNNNNNNNNNNNNNNNNNNNNNNNNNNNNNNNNNNNNNNNNNNNNNNNNNNNNNNNNNNNNNNNNNNNNNNNNNNNNNNNNNNNNNNNNNNNNNNNNNNNNNNNNNNNNNNNNNNNNNNNNNNNNNNNNNNNNNNNNNNNNNNNNNNNNNNNNNNNNNNNNNNNNNNNNNNNNNNNNNNNNNNNNNNNNNNNNNNNNNNNNNNNNNNNNNNNNNNNNNNNNNNNNNNNNNNNNNNNNNNNNNNNNNNNNNNNNNNNNNNNNNNNNNNNNNNNNNNNNNNNNNNNNNNNNNNNNNNNNNNNNNNNNNNNNNNNNNNNNNNNNNNNNNNNNNNNNNNNNNNNNNNNNNNNNNNNNNNNNNNNNNNNNNNNNNNNNNNNNNNNNNNNNNNNNNNNNNNNNNNNNNNNNNNNNNNNNNNNNNNNNNNNNNNNNNNNNNNNNNNNNNNNNNNNNNNNNNNNNNNNNNNNNNNNNNNNNNNNNNNNNNNNNNNNNNNNNNNNNNNNNNNNNNNNNNNNNNNNNNNNNNNNNNNNNNNNNNNNNNNNNNNNNNNNNNNNNNNNNNNNNNNNNNNNNNNNNNNNNNNNNNNNNNNNNNNNNNNNNNNNNNNNNNNNNNNNNNNNNNNNNNNNNNNNNNNNNNNNNNNNNNNNNNNNNNNNNNNNNNNNNNNNNNNNNNNNNNNNNNNNNNNNNNNNNNNNNNNNNNNNNNNNNNNNNNNNNNNNNNNNNNNNNNNNNNNNNNNNNNNNNNNNNNNNNNNNNNNNNNNNNNNNNNNNNNNNNNNNNNNNNNNNNNNNNNNNNNNNNNNNNNNNNNNNNNNNNNNNNNNNNNNNNNNNNNNNNNNNNNNNNNNNNNNNNNNNNNNNNNNNNNNNNNNNNNNNNNNNNNNNNNNNNNNNNNNNNNNNNNNNNNNNNNNNNNNNNNNNNNNNNNNNNNNNNNNNNNNNNNNNNNNNNNNNNNNNNNNNNNNNNNNNNNNNNNNNNNNNNNNNNNNNNNNNNNNNNNNNNNNNNNNNNNNNNNNNNNNNNNNNNNNNNNNNNNNNNNNNNNNNNNNNNNNNNNNNNNNNNNNNNNNNNNNNNNNNNNNNNNNNNNNNNNNNNNNNNNNNNNNNNNNNNNNNNNNNNNNNNNNNNNNNNNNNNNNNNNNNNNNNNNNNNNNNNNNNNNNNNNNNNNNNNNNNNNNNNNNNNNNNNNNNNNNNNNNNNNNNNNNNNNNNNNNNNNNNNNNNNNNNNNNNNNNNNNNNNNNNNNNNNNNNNNNNNNNNNNNNNNNNNNNNNNNNNNNNNNNNNNNNNNNNNNNNNNNNNNNNNNNNNNNNNNNNNNNNNNNNNNNNNNNNNNNNNNNNNNNNNNNNNNNNNNNNNNNNNNNNNNNNNNNNNNNNNNNNNNNNNNNNNNNNNNNNNNNNNNNNNNNNNNNNNNNNNNNNNNNNNNNNNNNNNNNNNNNNNNNNNNNNNNNNNNNNNNNNNNNNNNNNNNNNNNNNNNNNNNNNNNNNNNNNNNNNNNNNNNNNNNNNNNNNNNNNNNNNNNNNNNNNNNNNNNNNNNNNNNNNNNNNNNNNNNNNNNNNNNNNNNNNNNNNNNNNNNNNNNNNNNNNNNNNNNNNNNNNNNNNNNNNNNNNNNNNNNNNNNNNNNNNNNNNNNNNNNNNNNNNNNNNNNNNNNNNNNNNNNNNNNNNNNNNNNNNNNNNNNNNNNNNNNNNNNNNNNNNNNNNNNNNNNNNNNNNNNNNNNNNNNNNNNNNNNNNNNNNNNNNNNNNNNNNNNNNNNNNNNNNNNNNNNNNNNNNNNNNNNNNNNNNNNNNNNNNNNNNNNNNNNNNNNNNNNNNNNNNNNNNNNNNNNNNNNNNNNNNNNNNNNNNNNNNNNNNNNNNNNNNNNNNNNNNNNNNNNNNNNNNNNNNNNNNNNNNNNNNNNNNNNNNNNNNNNNNNNNNNNNNNNNNNNNNNNNNNNNNNNNNNNNNNNNNNNNNNNNNNNNNNNNNNNNNNNNNNNNNNNNNNNNNNNNNNNNNNNNNNNNNNNNNNNNNNNNNNNNNNNNNNNNNNNNNNNNNNNNNNNNNNNNNNNNNNNNNNNNNNNNNNNNNNNNNNNNNNNNNNNNNNNNNNNNNNNNNNNNNNNNNNNNNNNNNNNNNNNNNNNNNNNNNNNNNNNNNNNNNNNNNNNNNNNNNNNNNNNNNNNNNNNNNNNNNNNNNNNNNNNNNNNNNNNNNNNNNNNNNNNNNNNNNNNNNNNNNNNNNNNNNNNNNNNNNNNNNNNNNNNNNNNNNNNNNNNNNNNNNNNNNNNNNNNNNNNNNNNNNNNNNNNNNNNNNNNNNNNNNNNNNNNNNNNNNNNNNNNNNNNNNNNNNNNNNNNNNNNNNNNNNNNNNNNNNNNNNNNNNNNNNNNNNNNNNNNNNNNNNNNNNNNNNNNNNNNNNNNNNNNNNNNNNNNNNNNNNNNNNNNNNNNNNNNNNNNNNNNNNNNNNNNNNNNNNNNNNNNNNNNNNNNNNNNNNNNNNNNNNNNNNNNNNNNNNNNNNNNNNNNNNNNNNNNNNNNNNNNNNNNNNNNNNNNNNNNNNNNNNNNNNNNNNNNNNNNNNNNNNNNNNNNNNNNNNNNNNNNNNNNNNNNNNNNNNNNNNNNNNNNNNNNNNNNNNNNNNNNNNNNNNNNNNNNNNNNNNNNNNNNNNNNNNNNNNNNNNNNNNNNNNNNNNNNNNNNNNNNNNNNNNNNNNNNNNNNNNNNNNNNNNNNNNNNNNNNNNNNNNNNNNNNNNNNNNNNNNNNNNNNNNNNNNNNNNNNNNNNNNNNNNNNNNNNNNNNNNNNNNNNNNNNNNNNNNNNNNNNNNNNNNNNNNNNNNNNNNNNNNNNNNNNNNNNNNNNNNNNNNNNNNNNNNNNNNNNNNNNNNNNNNNNNNNNNNNNNNNNNNNNNNNNNNNNNNNNNNNNNNNNNNNNNNNNNNNNNNNNNNNNNNNNNNNNNNNNNNNNNNNNNNNNNNNNNNNNNNNNNNNNNNNNNNNNNNNNNNNNNNNNNNNNNNNNNNNNNNNNNNNNNNNNNNNNNNNNNNNNNNNNNNNNNNNNNNNNNNNNNNNNNNNNNNNNNNNNNNNNNNNNNNNNNNNNNNNNNNGAAUUCUCUAUCGACCCUGAGUUAAUCACUCUGGUCAAAUCUGAUCCUUUUCAUGGUUAUGAGUCUGAAACGGUUGUAGCCCAUCUUAGCAAACUGCAUGAUAUAGCCACCCUAUUCACUAGUGAGGAAAAGAUCCGCCACUACUACAUGCUCAAGCUAUUUCCUUUAUCGCUAAAGGAUGAUGCUAAGACCUGGUUCACUUCUCUUGCUCCUGGUUGUGUGUGUAGCCCCCAGGAUAUGGUCUACUACUUCUCUGAAAAAUAUUUCCCUACCCAUAAGAAGCAAGCUGCCUUGCGGGAAAUAUACAAUUUUGCUCAAGCUGAAGAAGAGAGUCUCCCACAAGCUUGGGGGAGGCUUAUCCAGCUACUGAAUGCUUUGCCUGAUCACCCUCUUGAGAAGAAUGAAAUACUUGAUAUAUUCUAUAAUGGACUUGCCGAUGCUUCCAAAGACCACUUAGAUAGUUGUGCCGGUAGUGUUUUUAUGGAACGAACCGUAGAACAAGUUGAGAUUCUACUGAACAACAUCUUGUGCAAUGAGAAUGCUUGGACUAUUCCCGAACCACCUCCUAAGCCAACUCUGAAGAAAAGAGGUAUUCUAUUCCUCAGUCCUGAAGAUAUGCAAGAAGCCAAGAAAUCUAUGCGAGAGAAAGGCAUUAAAUCUGAAGAUGUCAAAAAUCUACCACCUAUCGAAGAGAUCCAUGGUCUCGAUAACCCGAUACAGGUAGUAGAAGGAAAUUCUCUGCGUAGGUUUGAUGAGAGUGAUAUUCCUUUUGAUAAACCUGCUAGCUUAUGCAUGGAUGAAUUUGAUAACUUUGUUGUCAAACAACAGAGUUUCAAUGAUUAUGUUAGCAAACAAUUGGAACAGAAUGCUCGUAUGCUUAGUCAUUUAAGUGCUUGUGUGGAUAGAAAUGUCAAUGAUCUUAAACUUGUGAGUAAACAUGCUUCUAUGGUUACUACUCAGAUAGAACAAGUACUUAAAGCUCAGAAUGACUUGCUCAAUGAGUUGAAUGACAAUUCCGUCAGAGUCGUCACUAGAGGCGGUAGAAUGACCCAGGAACCUCUGUAUCCUGAGGGUCAUCCGAAGAGAAUUGAACAAGAUUCUCAAGCAGUUAGCACUAGCAACCCAGUUGCUACUACACCUGAAAGUACAAACGAUGCCUCUGUCUCUGAUGCUGAAACGCAAUCUGGUGAUGAACAUGAGCAUAAUGAUAAUAUCAAUAGUGAUGUUCAUGUUGAUGCUCAACCUAGCAAUGAAAAGGAUGUAGAGAUUGAACCUAGUGUUGAUCUUGAUAACCCACAGCCUAAGAAUAGAAGAUACAAUAAGAAUGACUUCGCCGCUAGGAAGCAUGGUAAAUAAAGGGAGCCAUGGUUUCAGAAACGUGUGCCCUUUCCUCCCAAACCAUCCAAGAAAAAGGAUGAUGCGGAUUUUGAGCGAUUCGUUGAAAUGAUCAGAUCUGUCUUUCUGCAAAUGCGUUUGACGGAUAUGCUCAAGAUGUCUCCGUAUUCUAAGUACAUGAAAGAUAUUGUGACUAAUAAGAGGAGGAUACCUGAGAUUGAGAUUUCCACCAUGCUCGCUAAUUAUACCUUCAAGGGUGGAACUCCCAAGAAACUAGGUGAUCCCGGUGUGCCCACUAUACCUUGCUCCAUUAAAGGCAACUACGUUAGAACUGCGUUAUGCGACCUUGGAGCCGGUGUUAGUGUUAUGCCUCUCUCUCUUUAUCGUAGGCUUGAACUGGAUAAGUUGACACCCACUGAAAUCUCUCUGCAAAUGCUCGACAAACCAACUUCUUUCUCUAUCGGCAUUUGCGAGGAUGUGCAUGUUGUGGUUGCUAACACCACUAUCUUAACAGACUUUGUUAUCUUGGAUAUUCGUGAGGACGAUGCCAUGACUGCCAUCCUCGGAAGACCCUUUUUAAACGCUACAGGGGCUGUUAUAGAUUGCAACAAAGGCAAUGUCACUUUCCAUGUCAAUGGUAAUGAGCAUACGGUACACUUUCCGAAGAAACAAUAUCGAGUACAUUGCAUCAAUGCUAUCGAAAAAACUUCAUCUAUUCUUAUUGGGAGCUUUGAAUGCCCUAUUCCUCGUGUCAAGAUGAAGUAUGAUUUGCUUGUUGGGGAGAUACACAUCCCCAUUGAGGUGACCUAGUGACUAUUCUAAAAUUCUCCGUCUUCUUUAUCGAUUCGAAAAGGUUUUGUCGAGGGGAUUUGAUCAACCCCAUUGACGGAUUUCUUUCGAUGACCAUGUAGCGACCCGACUCAAAACGAGUCAAGCCUCUGUGUUUCUGUGCCAUCCCUGGAUCAGUAUGCUGGCACACACAGUACAUCAAUGUAUAUAUCAAAGUGCAAUCACAUGUAAAUAGCGUAAAACUGAUAUAUACCUUUAAUAUUUCAGCGGAAGCAGUCAAGGGAGUGGAGUCCCAAUAAACACCAACGGCAAGUUGAGUGUAGACCGUAACCCUGAAUCGUACUCUUACUCGUCUAAGAAAAAAUAUCUGCAACAUAAGAUGUUGCAGCCGUGUAGGUCAGCAUAUUGAAUAUGCCGGCAAGUCACAUAAGAGAGGGGUGAAAAGUAAUCAUCUAUACUAUAUGCAUAUAUGGCAGGUGGGGCUAUAAGAUUUUAGCGAAAAGCAAGUUUUCUCCUACAUCAAGAGAGGGCUAAAAGCAAAAUGUUACUACAUUGUUGGUUGUUAACGAGAUGGUUCCACCAACCAGUUCUCGCACCCAUGUUGUCAAUAAUACCCACAUCAAUAUUAUUAUUUGUGUUGAGAAUUUCAGAUAACUUCAGUUCUUUUGGCUCAAGUUGUCCAUGACCGUGGACACGGCUAAUCGAUUAGGUUUGAGUACUCUGGGUCCUCGCACUUCAGGGUGUUUGAAGACCGGAUGAUCAAAACAUGGUCUUUCAACGGGUCCCUCUGAAUCCCUGUCGGUGCCCAUCCAUUCCUACCGUUCUUCUACAUCUGCUAGCACCGCCUGUCCAGAGUCACCGCAUUGUCCAACCAAGCCAGAGCCCAUAAUGACUUGUGAUUGUGCACGUAAGCCUUGGGUCUUGAAAAUAUCCGUCCGUCUCUUUGAGCCUGGGUGAAGCUUUCCGCAGGAUGUCAUGGCUGUCUCCAGCAUCCCGGGUCAUCCGCUGGGUUCUCCAGGGAGCCGAUCAACCGUCCUUCACCCAGAGUUGCAUUGCGUCCGAGGUCUUGAAAAUAUUGUCUUAACCGGUCUUGAUUAUUUAAUCAACCUCGCAUCACUCGUGUUAUGCACUCAACCGAAAUCCCGUCUACUCAAGCAUAGCAAUAUGAAAUUUGUCGUCCCGGGGCCAAGUAUCGGGGUUGUUGGGUGCCUACCACAUGAUACUACAACCUAUACUAAAAUUUCCAAGUACCUAAGCAGCAUGCAAUUUGGGCAUAGGAUGGUAGAACUACGAUGCAUAAAACAUAGGUGAUAGUAUGAUCAAAGUGACUUGCCUGGUGAUGUUGACGAAGAAGAAUUUCUCGAGAAAUAACUUGAUAGACUACUCGUCACUCUCCGAUAAAAUCAAUAUAACAAACAUAUCAUUCACAUAAGCACUCAUACUAGCAAUCAUUCUAGCAAUCAAAACAAAAGAGAGAGCGAAUAGGAAUGCGAAGGAAACUUCAAAUAAGACUAGGGAGUCUUCUACUACAUCAAACACUAAAUAGUUUUUGUCCAACGGAAAAUAAUAAAAGGGAACUAAGAUAUAAGUUUAACUAAGAUAAAAUAAAGUAUUUUUCACAAAACUAUUUGAAAGUAUUUCCAAACGGGAUUUGAAACGGUGGAGAAACCCAUUGCAAGUUAUUAGGGAACUAGAAUUGAUUUCAUGAUAACAUAUACAAAUAAAAUCAAAACUUGUUGCAAACCUACUAUUAACUAACAGAAACUAAACAUAAUCUUCGUGAAAUAAUAAAGAAAAUAAUUUAAAAACAAUUAUAGAAAAGGAAAUAGCCAAAAUCCUAAAAGAGGUGAAACAGAAAUUGUUUCCCAAGAAACAAUGAGCUAAGAUACUCAAAUAAUUCUGAAAUUUUUACCACUGAUAACUAAGAUCACUAGUGAUCAGUAGGAAAAAGAAUCAAAUUAAAAUCUAUUCUUAAACUCCUGGAAUAGGCAAAACAAGAUUUAAACUAAAUCUGAUCUAAUUCAAAUUCGCAAAUUUCAAACAAAUUAUAUGUUUUUAAAAACUACAGAAACAUUUUGAUCUACUGGAAAAAGAAUCAACUCCAUUGGACUUAAGGAUCAAAAGUUUUGGGCUAAACAAAAUUGGAACUUUCUCUGUUUUUGAAUUAAACAGAAAAAGGAAAAUCUGAAUUCUAUCAAACACUUGUACACGUGGCGCUCACUGAUUGGAUGAGGAGGUGUGUGCUGCGAGAAGUACUAGCACAUGGCCGAAAUCUAAUAAAAUCUCCCUCGGCUGAUAUUAACUAAUUGAAAACCGGCUCAGUUUUGUUAAAAAGACCGAAAGGGUAUCCUUACUCUAAUCUAUACCGUCGACUAAGAUCUAACGGAUGAAAACAAGGGGGGAGAGCUCACCGUGGCAGGAGGUUCUCCGGCGAUGGCCGAGGCGGAGAGGAGUCGGGGAAGCGGCUCCGGUGACCCUCCGGCGGUGGCGACGGGUCGGAGAGGCGGCGGCGAGUCCCCUCCGGCGUUUGGUGGCGGUGGCUAGGCCAGGGAGGCGACGGUGUGACCCGGGGAGGCUCGGGGUGGCCGGGUGGAGCUCGGCUCCGGUGAGGUGGCGGGGCGAUGCUGCGGUGGCGGGGAGCUCGGGUUGGUUGGGGAAACGAGGUGCGGCGGAGCUCCCGCGUCCGGUGGUGGUGGCGGCGAGGCGAAACGGGGUCGGGGUGAGUUGCGGGGCAAUGGGCAGCUUUGGCUCCGGCGAGGGCUCGGCAGGGGCGGCGGAGCUUGGGCAGGGGCGGCGAGGAUGGGGAACGGGGCGAGGGGAGGGGUCCAGGGUGUGGCCUUUAUAGGGGAGAGGGGGCGCCGAGGAUGGAAGGAGAUCGGGGGAGGGGGAUCGGCUCCGGCGAACUUGGAAGGAGCUACCGCUCGGGAAGGUAAGAGAGGGAGGGAAAGGAAGGGGGUGACCGAGCGGGAUUCGGUCGGCCAGGGGGGUCCCAUGCGGCAGGGAGAGGGGUUCUAGGGGGGGCUCGGUCGGUCGGCCGAUCCGAAGGGAUUUCGGAUCCCGGGUCAGGUGGGAUUCGGCCCAACUCUUAAAUGCCUCCCCCGCCGGUUUCCUUUUAAAAAAAAAAUUCAUGUUUUAGUUUUUUUCAGAAACAGAAACUGUAACAAAUAAAAAGGCAACGAACAAAAAUAAUUAAUAUAGGGUAUUAUAUACCAAAAAAAUCAGAAAAAUAUCCUCUACUCGAUUAACAUUUUUCCAAGGCAAAAAUAAAAACUUUUAAAAAAUGUUUUUUCAGAAAAUCCCCUAAAUGCUUUAUUUUCUUUUGGCAAAAUAUUUUCCCCAUAAACUUGGGUUUUUCUUGGCUCAAAUAUUUUCAAAAGUGCCUCACAUUUUGGAGGGUCAUUUUCCUCCGCUCUUUCUUGCUUGCAAGAAAUUAUUUCCCGGCACUUCUUGCAAGAAGAAAAUAAAUAGAAAUGCAAAAGAAAAUUUUGAAAGAAUUCAAAUGCAAAUCUCCGUUCAAAUUCUUUAUAGUUGAAGAAGUCACGUCAUCUUCUCUCUUUGCUUUUAACUGAUUGAAUUUGAAUUCACCGGAGAAGGGGAAAGUCAUUUUAUUCCCUCUCAUUCAAAAGUUUUGAAAAGUUUCAAAUUUCACUCAAGUUUCAAUCACUCAAUCAAACAAACAAUCAUUCUAAUAAUUAUUUUAACAUUCCAAAAUUUGGGAUGUUACAAACCUACCACACUUAAAAUGAAUCUCGUCCUCGAGAUUCGAAGAGGCUAGAAAGAAAUGUUAGGGUUUGGGGGUCUUCUAGCAAUUCCAACUUCCGGCAAGGUGGGAUGCUACCACACUUAAAAUGAAGAUUACUGGUCCCUUAAGGUUUUAACAAUCCUCUGGGGUUUUGGCAUCUGACUCCUCACAGUCUUCAUAUUAAAUCCUUUGGUGAUGCUCUCCCGUUAUAUUCAUAACGAUUUCCAUCAAAAUCGUGUGCUCUUCUGUUGAUAUAAGCUUCUUCCGUCACUGGGUCUUCUUAACUGACAGUCUCGUCGUCAAUUCUAAAUAACAUAUCGAUGGUUCUCAUGGUGGUCUACCAUUUGUGGUUAUCCUGCAGAGAGAGGGGUCUUGGUUUCAUCCUCACCGUAAAAUUUCUUACGCGUGACAACAAAUGCCAUGCACAUGGGGCUUUCAUUAUACCAUUCUAAGGCUUAAACAAAAGCUUCAAAGAACGUCUUCUCUCACUAUGGGUAAGUCUCUCAGAUUUAACAUUCUGAAUAGCAAGAGAUGAUAAUAGUAAGUCGUCAUGGUGGCCAAGCCAUGUCGCACUGAAAUCAUUACCUUGUAUAAGGCUUAGCGAAUCUCGCAUUCUAACACUUGGGCAUCCUCACAAGCGUUGCAGAGUUUCUUGUCCACGAACGAAGUUCGGAUAAUCCAUUGGUUCUGCAAGCUGAACGAAACAUCUAUUGUAUCUUCACAACUCUCAGGUUUUCGUAUGCUCCUAAGAAAACGUUUCCUGAUCCAUCAUAGCUUCUUCCAUAAAUCAUAUUCAUUUCAUAAAUCAUAGAAUCACUAAAAAUUUCAGAAAGUUUCAGAGAUAGAAAAGGGAAAGAUGAGGAGGUUCUGAAGAGGCUCGUCAAGCCGUGACCCCAAGGAUGAUGGGAUUGAGAAGAAGCCCAAGUAUUUGGUCCCUCGAGUCGCAGAAGUUCGAGCGUGCGAGUGGCCAAGCGAUGUGUUCUUACGCGCCGCUGGAAUAUAUGGGGACUUUUAUCACUUGGUGGAGAACGCAGGCCUUACCGCCUUCGUUGAAGAUAAGUGUCCGCAAUACCUCCUCCUCACUAAUAUGUUUGUACAAAGCUUUAACUUCUAUCCGAGAAAGAAUCCUCCUAUGGUUGAGUUUAAACUUUAUGAUAUCCCCCAGCGCAUGUCACUCCAGGAUUUUUGCAAUGUCUGCAAAUUACCUUACGUUGGGGAUAUUCAUGAACCUCGUCCACGGGAUCUGGAAGCUUUCAUCGGUACUAUUGUGGUAGGAGAGGAGAGAGAGGAGUGUCUUGUGCUAGAGCUGCUAGCAUACAUUUUCCUGUGCUUCGGUACUUCUCACUAUUUGUGGGAAAAUGUUUGAUUGGCCGUGGGAAGGCUGGGUCACUUAGUUCCCCAGAUCUUGCGGUCUUGCAUGAAGCCCUUUAUAACGAUAAAACUUAUAGCUUGGGUGCUAUAGUAGCUCAACGGUUGAACCUGAACCAUUCUAAGUGUGUUGUCUAUGGAGGUAUCUAUGCUACUCGUCUUGCUAGACACUUUGAGAUACCUAUUAGACUAGAGGAGGAAGAAGAGAUUCUUCUUCCCGAAAGAUAUCUAGAUUACGAUAGCAUGGUUCGCCAUGACUUUCUUGAUAGAGAUAUAAGUAGAAGGAUGAUUUAUAACCUGGUAUUUAGUCAGGGUACUCGUGAGACUAUUACUUUGCCUGUUCCUUAUUUGUUCAAUCUUCAUGUAGGCAGGUACAUUAUUAUGCCCUCGGACAUCUACGUAUAUUGGGGCUUAGCCCAACCACAGGUGCCCAUGCCCGAGCCGCCAAUUGAGUACCAGACGCCAGUUUAUCAGUGGGAGCCAGAGGAGCUGACACAGCAGUGGCAUCCUCAAUCCACUCCGGAGUACCCCGGAGAUGGUUAUUUCACUCCUUGGGAGUAGACCAACUUAGGCCAAAAGCCUAAGCUUGGGGGAGUACGUGUUCUCACCGACUUUACAUUCUUGCUUAUGCUUUCACUUUGUUAGCCUGUGUUCACACUUUGCCACUGUAUCAUCCAUGCUAGUUUAUUUUCUUUUUCUCGUUUUCUUUUCGUGUGUCUGUCUAGUUUGAGAAAAAAAAGAUUUUCUUUUUCUUCUUUUGCUUGUUGGGAGCUUUCCCAUGUAGAUAGUUUUCUUUUUCCUUGGGUCAAGGUAGAAGAUAUUGGUUACAAUGUUUAGGGGCUCUUGAAUACGUACCUGUUUAGCUUUCAAAGAGCCAUAUUACUUUGUCUUAUCAUUUGUGUUUGCCUGCAGAUUCUAGCAUAGUCCAAUGCACGUGCACGCUUAUUAUUGUUCACAUCGUUCGGUCAUGCAACUGAAAGGCAAUAAUGACGAUAUGUGAUGAAGUGACUGAGCCUGGAAAAGCUGGUAGGAACUGAUGACCAACAAGUAUAGGGGAUCAAUCGUAGUCCUUUCGAUAAGUAAGAGUGUCGAACCGAACGAGGACCAGAAGGAUCUGACAACUGGUUUUCAGCAAGGUAAUAACUGCAAGCACUGAAAUUAGCGGUAACAAGUGAUGGUGUGGUGAGGUGAAACGUAGCAGGUGAAAAGUAACAAGUAACAAGUAAUAGCAACGGUGCAGCAAAGUGGCCCAAUCCUUUUUUUAGCAAGGGACAAGCCUGGACAAAGUCUUAUAGGACGAAAAACGCUCCCGAGGACACACGGGAAUUUCUGUCAUGCUAGUUUCAUCAUGUUCAUAUGAUUCGCGUUCGUUACUUUGAUAGUUUGAUAUGUGGGUGGACCGGCGCUUGGGUACUGCCCUUACUUGGACAAGCAUCCCACUUAUGAUUAACCCCUCUCGCAAGCAUCCGCAACUAUGAAAGAAGAAUUAAGACAACGUCUAACCAUAGCAUUAAACUAGUGGAUCCAAAUCAGCCCCUUACGAAGCAACGCAUAGACUGGGGUUUAAGCUUCUGUCACUCUAGCAACCCAUCAUCUACUUACUACUCCCCAAUGCCUUCCUCUAGGCCCAAAUAUGGUGAAGUGUUAUGUGGUCAACGUUCACAUAACACCACUAGAGGAAAAGACAACAUACAACAUAUCAAAAUACCGAACGAAUACCAAAUUCACAUGACUAUUAAUAGUAAGACUUAUCCCAUGUCCUCAGGAACAAAAGUAACUACUCACAAAGCAUGGAUAUAUUCAUGACCAGAGAAGUAAUGAAUAUCAAAAUGGAUCUGAACAUAUAAUCUUCGACCAAGUAAAUCAACUAGCAUCAACUACAAAGAGUAAUCAACACUACUAGCAACCUUACGGGUACCAAUCGGCGUCGCGAGACGGCGAUUGGUUACAAGAGAUAGACUAGGGUUUGGAUAGGAGAUGAUGUUGAUGAAGAUGUUGAUGGAGAUGACUCCCCUCCGACGAGAGGAGUGUUGGUGAUGACGAUGGCGAUGAUUUCCCCCUCCGGGAGGGAAGUUUCCCUGGCACGAUCGUCCUACGGGAGCUCUAGAUUGGUUCUGCUCAAGUUCCGCCUCGUGGCGGCGGCGCCUCCUCGAAAAAGCUCCGCCCUGAUUUUUUUCCGGAUGAAACCCUUCAUAUAGAAGAAGAGGGGGGCCAGUGGGCCACCAGGGUGCCCACAAGCCUUGUAGCCGCGGCCAGGGGCCAGGCCGCGGCUACCAGGCUUGUGGGCCCCUGGCAGCUCCUCUCUGGCACUUCUUUCACCCAGUAUUUUUUAUAUAUUCCCAAAAAAUUCCACGUUGAUUUUCAGGGCAUUUGGAGUUGCGUACACUUGCUCCUUUUCCAGUCCAGAAUUCCAGCUGCCGGUAUUCUCCCUCUUCAAAUAAACCUUGCAAAAUAAGAGAGAAAAGGCAUAAGUAUGGUACCACAAAUUAUAAUAACAGUCCAUAAAGCGAUAAAUAUCAACAUGAAAGCAUGAUGCAAAAUGGACGUAUCAACUCCUCCAAGCUUAGACCUCGCUUGUCCUCAAGCGAAAACCAACAUCCUUAAACAUGUCCACAUGUUUAGGGAUGAAGGUGUCAAUAAAACAUAAUACGGACAUGAGGGCAUCAUGAUCACACAUAAAACAGCAAUAAAUCAUAAAGACUCUUAUGGGAAAGUAACAAUUCCUUCAGAAAGCAAAGUAUGAAUCAAAAACCUUACCGAGAAGUAGCCAACAACAGUCCAUAGCCAUUGAAGCAAUUGCAAUUUAUCAUAACAUCAGAAAGAGUCAAAUAAGAGCAUGUAAAGCAAAUCCACAUACUCAAUCAUCUCUUUUGUUUUCCACAAUUGUUACUACUCACGUGGUACUCAUGGUAUCAAAGUUUCAGUUGGACACAGAGAAAGAUAGGGGCUUAUAAUUUUGCCUCCCAACCAUUUACCUCAAGGGUAAAUUCAACAAUAAUAAAGCAUAAGUACGCAUCUCCAAGUUGAUAUAUGAAUAUAGAUCUUUCCCUAGCAUAUGACGUUCACCAAGAUGAAGACGGAAUAGGGAAUUGGUGUUGAUCACCAUGACUUUCACAAGGACAAAAGUAAAGGUACAAGAUAGGUCAUUCGCAGAGGGAAGCAGAGGUUGUCAUGCGCUUUUAAGGUUUGGAUAUACGACCUCUUAGUAUAAAGGAAUGUCACUUUAUAUUGCCCCCUGUGAUAAAGAACUUUAUUAUGCAGUCUGUCGCUUUUAUGUCUUCCUCAGCACAGGUUCGUACAAAGCUUAUUUUCCACACACUAAUAAAUCAUACAUACUUUAGGUAGCAAUUUUUUAUUGCUUGCACCAAUGACAACUUACUUGAAGGAUCUUACGCAAUCCAUAGGUAGGUAUGGUGGACUCUUGCGGCAAAACUGGGUUGAAGGUUUAUGGAUGCACAAGUAGUGUUUCUACUUAGUACGGAAGUUUUGGCUAAUAUGAGGUGGAAGCAAUCGUCACCUGCUAAGGGAUAUCUACACAUAUAACAUUGUUUGGAAUCAAGCAAACACAAUUCAUUAUGUUGUCUUCCUUGUCCAACAUCUACUUCUAAGCAUGUAAUAGUUUGGUGAGUGUUCACAAUUAUAGAAAGUGUCUAAGAUGAUAUAUUUAUAUGUGAACCUCUCUUUCCUUAUUACUUCUUAUUAAUUGCAACAAUGACUGGGGUCUAUGUUGGUCUAUUCUCAACAAGUUUCAAACAUCAUACUUGUUAUAUGUGAAGCUAUCACUUUCCAUAAGAUCAUCUCAUGAUCUUUCAUGCUAUCGUUCUUUUCAUACUUUUGAUCACGGCAUAAAACAAAGCCCUUGACUAAGAUACCCUUUAUUAUAUAGCUCGCAAGCUCGAAUACAUCGGGGGAGACACAAGGCAAAAGAACCAAACUAAACACUAAAGACUUAUUCCACUAAGAGAAGAAAUAAAAACUGAAAAUGAAAGAACUAAAACAAAGGUAAAAGCAAAAGAUAUAAAGGUGAUACGAUACCAGGGCAACUCCCCCAAGCUUGGCACAAGCCAAGGGAGUUGCCCAUACCAAUGCUUAGUUAUCUUCCUUUGGUGGUGAUGGUGGAGGAGUUGCAACAUGAGUUUGAUCCUCCGUCUUCCAAGGCAUAGGUGCUCCAUCAUGGCAGGAUGAACGAGUCGUCGGAAUCCUCAAAUCUGCAGCCAACCGUAUUGAUUUAAAUCUAUACUCAUACUCACAGUUUUGGUUCUGCUGGUCAUAGAUCUGGCCCUGGAGUUGAUCAACCCUGUCAUAGAGCCUGGGGAGGUGCUUCCCAAUGUCAUUGGCAUCCAUCUUGUGCUUGUUGGUGAACUCUGUGAUCAUCAUGUGGUUGGCGUUGAGUCCACGCUCCACCAUCCCUUGGCACUUGAAAACUUGUUGCUCCCUUGCUUCGAGCCUCGUCUCCACGCUUCCGGUCUUCUUAGGCCCCUCAACAUCAUAGAUUGAGGGUGUUGCAGCACUUCCAUGAGGUAGGGAUUGAUGACCUUCUCGAAGAUCUUGUCCUUUUGAGCUUUUGGGGAAGUCAUGACGAUCUAGAUCUACAACAGAAACAGGCUCGAAACGAAAAACAGAGGAAAUUUCCGUAAUACAGGGUCAGACCAAACGGAAGUAUAUAUAAUGAUUUUUUUUCUCGACCAGAAGGAGUGCUCUGCAAGAAUACGGAGUCCGGGAGGCACACGAGGUGCCCACAAGCCCUGUAGCCGCGGCCAGGGGCGAGGCCGCGGCUAGCAAGCUUUUCCAUUUUUCCAUAAAUUCCAUAAAUUCUCCGGACUGCUUUUUAAUUUCCUAUUUUUCCAUAAAUUCCAAAACGGAGAAAAUUUCCUACUAGAAAAGUUUUGGAGUCCAAUUACUUACCGAAACACAUACCUCUUCGUUUUCAUAGUCUGAAACAGGCUGAUAAACAUCCCUUAUGUACUCCUCUGGAGUUAUGAUAUUGAUGAUAUUGCUCUCAACAUUUAUGGGAGUACUAGAGAUAUAAUGCUUGAUUCUUUGCCCAUUUACCACUCUAGGAAAAUUACCUUCCGUGUUAUUGAUUUUGAUGGCACCAGAACGAUAUACUUCCUCGACAACGUAGGGACCUUCCCAUUUAGAGAGAAGCUUGCCUGCGAAGAAUCUUAAGCGAGAAUUGUAUAGCAGGACAUAAUCACCUACAUUGAACUCACGUUUUUGUAUUCUUUUAUCGUGCCAUCGCUUAACCUUUUCCUUGAACAACUUGGCAUUCUCAUAUGCCUGGGCCCUCCAUUCAUCUAAUUAGCUGAUAUCAAACAACCGCUUCUCACCGGCAAGUUUGAAAUCGAAGUUGAGCUCUUUGAUUGCCCAAUAAGCUUUGUGUUCUAGCUCGAGAGGUAAAUGACAGGCCUUACCGUAAACCAUUUUAUACGGCGACAUGCCCAUGGGAUUCUUAUAAGCAGUCAUAUAAGCCCAUAGUGCAUCGUCAAGUUUGCUAGACAAAUUCUUUCGAGAUCUAUUGACAGUCUUUUGUAAGAUCAAUUUGAUCUCCCUAUUACUCAACUCCACUUGGCCACUAGACUGAGGAUGAUAAGGAGAUGCAACUCUAUGGUUGACAUCAUACUUAGCGAGCAUCUUGCGGAAAACACCAUGAAUGAAGUGUGAACCGCCAUCACUCAUCAUAUAUCUAGGGACUCCAAAUCUUGGGAAAAUGGCUUCUUUAAGCAUCUUAAUAGAGGUGUGGUGAUCAGCAUUUCUAGUGGGGAUAGCUUCUGCCCACUUAGUGACGUGAUCAACAGCAACUAAGAUGUGAGUAUACCCAUUGGAACUCGGGAAGGGUCCCAUAUAAUCAAAGCCCCAGACAUCAAAUGGUUCAAUGACAAGUGAAUAGUUCAUAGGCAUUUCCUGACGUUUACUGAUGUUCCCUAUUCUUUGGCACAAGUCACAAGACAAGACAAACUUAUGGGCAUUGAUACAUCUCCAUCGUAACUACUUUUCCAAACUCUUUUGCCCUUGUUUUGGACUCUAAUUUGCAUGAUUUGAAUGGAACUAACCCGGACUGACGUUGUUUUCAGCAGAAUUGCCAUGGUGUUGUUUUUGUGCAGAAAUGAAAGUUCUCGGAACAUCCUGAAAAUUUACGGAGAAUAUUUUUGGAAAAUAUGAAAAAUACAUGCGCAAAGAUCCACCGGAGGGGAUGGGCCAGUGGGCCACAAGCCCUGUUGCCGCCCCCCUGGCCGCGGCAACCAAGCUUGUGUGGCCCACGUGGCUCUGCCGCCCCCAAACUCAGCUCUAUAAAUUCCCUUUCGUCCCGGAAAAAAUCAGAAGAGAAGAUUUCAUCGCGUUUGCGAUACGGUGGCGCCACCACAUCCUGUUCUUCAUCUGGAGGGCAGAUCUGGAGUCCGUUUUGGGCUCCGGAGAGGGGAAAUCGUCGCCAUCGUCAUCAUCAACCUUCUUCCCUCUCCAAUUCCAUGAAGCUCUUCAUCGUUCGUGAGUAAUCUAUUCGUAGGCUCACUGGGCGGUGAUGAGUACGAUGAGAUCUAUCAUGUAAUCGAGUUAGUUUUGACGGGAAUUGAUCCCUAGUAUCCACUAUGUUCUGAGAUUGAUGUUGCUACUACUUUGCCAUGCUUAAUGCUUGUCACUAGGGCCCGAGUGCCAUGAUUUCAGAUCUGAAUUUAUUAUGUUGUCACCAAUAUAUGUGUGUUUUAGAUCCGAUCUUUCAAGUUGUAGUUACCUACUAUGUGUUAUGACCCGGCAACCCCGGAGUGACAAUAACCGGAACCAAUCCCGGUGAUGACCAUAGUUUGAGGAGUUCAUGUGUUCACCAAGUGCUAAUGCGUUGUUCCGGUUCUUUAUUAAAAGGAGAACCUUAAUAUCUCGUAGUAUCCUUUUGGACCCCGCUGCCACGGGAGGGAUGGACAAUAGAUGUCAUGCAAGUUCUUUUCCCUAAGCACGUAUGACGACACACGGAAUGCAUGCCUACAUCACAUUGACGAACGGGAGCUAGCCACAUAUCUCUUCGUGUUAUAACUGUUGCAUGAUGAAUGUCAUCCGACGAAUCACCGACCCAUUGCCUACGAGUGUGUCCCACUGCUACUGUUACUUGCUCUGCUGCUGCUACUAUUACUUGCUACUGCUGUUACUUGCUUUGCUCUGCUGCUGUUACUACUGUUGCUGCUACUGUUACUUGCUCUGCUGCUGCUACUGUUACUUGCUACUGUUGUUACUUGCUUUGCUCUGCUGCUGUUACUACUGUUGCUACUACUGUUACUUGCUGCCACUGUUACUUGCUUUGUCCUGUUGCUACCGUUACUACUGUUGCUGCUGUUCCUUGCCACUGCUGUUACUCGUUACACUGCUGCUACCUGCUACAAUACUUUUCUGGCACCAUUGAUACAACCGUUAGGAAUAGUUUGCUGUCAACAGAUCGUUUCUGGCACCGUUGCUAUCAUACUACUUUGCUAUUGAUACUUUGCUUGCAGAUACUAAUCUUUCAGGUGUGGUUGAAUCUGACACAUUCAACUCCUAAUACUUGAGAAUAUUCUUUCACUUCCCGUUGGGAGAACCAACAAAUUGGGUUGAAUACUCUACCCUCAAAAACUGCCGCGAUCCCACGCGCUGGUGGGCGAUUGCAAGACAAUUUAAUUGUUGAGCAAUUGGGACGAGCUCUUUUCUGACUCCGUUGCCGUAGAGGUAUCAAGUCAGGAAUAGUUGCACGUCAUUAACAUUUUUCUGGCGCCGUUGGCGGGGAAGGUAUUGCUAUAUUCUCUGAGUCACUUGGGAUUUAUAUCUGCUGAUCACUAUGAAGAAUCUGAAGGAUCCAAAAACCAAAGUCUUGCCCUCAACUACGAGGGGAGGUAAGGAACUACAAUCUAGCUCUGCACUUGAUUCACCUUCAGUUAUGAGUAAGUUUGCGACACCACCUCCUGCUAGAAAUCUUGAUAUGUCGCGUGUGCUUGAUGAUACUAUGCCUGAUAAUGCUAGAGAUGCUAUGCCUGAUACUGCUAGAGAUGCUAUGUCUGAUAAUGCUAGAGACGCUAUUUUGCCUUAUGAUGCUAUGCUUAAUACUGCUAGAGAUGCUAUGCUUGAUACUGCUUUGCCUGAUGAUGCUAGAGAGGCUAUUUUGCCUCAUGAUGCUAUGCUUGAUACUGCUAGAGAUACUACUUUGCCUGAUAUGCCACUAGGGGUAUUCCUUGAUGCUCAUAUUGCUAGAGUUACUGCCAAUGCUCGUGAUGCUUCUGAAACUGCCGAUACUAUUGAGAUAGAACCUGCCUUUACCCCUGAUAGAUCUCGCUCUCCUAGAUAUGAAUUUCGUGAUAUACCUGAGGGUUACGUUAUGGAGGGAGAGAUAGCUGAGGAUUUUCUUGCAUGUAAGGAUGCCUAUGACGCUGAGAAAUUACUUCUCGAGUGGAAGGAAAAAUCUCUGAAAGCUAGGAUGAAAUACGACCCGAAGUUUGCCACUUCACCUAUCUUUAUCACCGAUAAGGAUUAUGAAUUCUCUGUCGAUCCUGAGAUAAUCUCUCUAGUCGAAUCUGAUCCUUUCCACGGUUAUGAGUCUGAGACGGUCGUAGCCCAUCUUACCAAACUACACGAUAUAGCCACCCUUUUCACUAGUGAGGAGAAGAUCUGCUACUAUUAUAUCCUUAAGUUCUUUCCUUUCUCUCUAAAGGAUGACGCUAAAGCCUGGUUCACUUCUCUUGCUCCUGGAUGUGUGAGCAGUCCACGGGAUAUGGCCUAUUACUUCUGUGAAAAAUAUUUCCCUGUCCAUAAGAAGCAAGCUGCCUUGCAGGAAGUAUACAACUUUUCUCAACUCAAAGAAGAGAGUCUCCCACAAGCUUGGGGGAGGCUCGUCCAGCUACAGAAUGCUUUGCCUGAUCACCCUCUUAAGAAGAACGAGAUACUUGAUAUCUUCUAUAACGGACUUACUGAUGGUUUUAGAGACCACCUAGAUAGUUGUGUCGAUUGUGUUUUUAGGGAACGAACUAUAGAACAAGCUGAGACUCUACUGAAUAACAUCUUGAUCAACGAUAAUGCUUGGACUAUUCCUGAACCACCUCCUAAGCCAACUCCUAAGAAAAGAGGUAUUCUAUUCCUCAGUCCCGAAGAUAUGCAAGAAGCCAAGAAAUCUAUGCAAGAGAAGGGCAUUAGAUCUGAAGAUGUGAAAAAUCUACCACCUAUCGAAGAGAUCCAUGGUCUCGAUAACCCGAUACAGGUAGCAGAAGUAAAUUCUCUGUGUAGGUUUGAUGAGAGUGAUAUUCCUUUUGACAAACCUGCUAGCCUAUGCUUUGAUGAAUUUGACAACUUUGUUGCCAAACAACAGAGUUUCAAUGAUUAUGUUCGCGGACAUUUGGAACAAAGUACUCGUAUGCUUAGUCAUUUAAGUGCUUGUGUAGACAGAAAUGUCAAUGAUGUGAAGCUUCUGAGUAAACAUGCCUCUAUGAUUACUACUCAGGUAGAACAAGUACUUAAAGCUCAAAAUGACUUGCUCAAUGAAUUAAAUGACAACUCUAUCAGAGUCAUUACUAGCGGAGGCAAAAUGACUCAGGAACCUUUGUAUCCUGGAGGCCAUCCUAAGAGAAUUGAUCAAGAUUCUCAAGGAAUUAAUGUUGAUACACCUAGUCAUCCUAAGGAGAAGAAGAAGGAUGAUAGAAACCUACAUGUCAGUUCACCAAAUACUAUCACACCUGAAGAACUAAAUGAUAUUUCUGCGUCUGAUGCAGAAACACAAUCCGGUGAUGAACAUGAACCUGGUGACAAUAUGGACAGCAAUGUUCAUAAUGAUGCUCAACCUAGCAGUGAUAAGGAUGUGGAGAUUAUACCUACGGUUAAUCCUGAUAACCCACAACCUAAGAGAUACGAUAAGAAUGACUUCACUGCUAGGAAGCAUGGUAAAGAAAGGGAGCCAUGGGUUCAGAGUCCUAUGCCCUUUCCUCCUAAGCCAUCCAAGAAAAAGGAUGAUGAGGAUUUUGAGUGCUUUAUUGAAAUGAUAAGACCCGUCUUUCUGCAGAUGCGGUUAGUUGAUAUGCUCAAAAUGUCUCCAUAUGCCAAGUACAUGAAAGAUAUCGUGACCAAUAAACGGAAGAUACCAGAUCUUGAGAUCUCCACCAUGCUUGCCAAUUACACUUUGAAAGGUGGAACUCCUAAGAAACUUGGUGAUCCCGGAGUGCCCACUAUACCUUGCUCCAUUAAAGGAAACUACGUAAAAAAAGCCUUAUGUAACCUUGGAGCCGGUGUUAGUGUUAUGCCGCUCUCUCUUUAUCGUAGACUUGAACUGGAUAAGUUGACACCCACUAAAAUCUCUCUGCAAAUGGCCGACAAAUCAACUGCUUUCCCUGUCGGUAUUUGCGAGGAUGUGCUUGUUGUGGUUGCUAACACCACUAUCUUAACAGACUUUGUUAUCUUGGAUAUUCCCGAGGACGAUGCCAUGGCUGUCAUCCUCGGAAGACCCUUUUAAAACACUGCAGGGGCUGUUAUAGAUUGCAACAAAGGCAAUGUCACUUUCCAUGUCAACGGUAAUGAGCAUACCGUGCACUUUCCGAAGAAAUGAUAUCAAGUACAUUGCAUCAAUGCUAUCGAAAAAACUUCAUCGAUUCUUAUUGGGAGCUUUGAAUGCCCUAUUCCUCGUGUUAAGAUGAAGUAUGAUUAGCUUGUUGGGGAGAUACAUAUCCCCAUUGAGGUGACUUAGUGGCUAUUCAAAAAUUCUCUGUUCUCUUUUGCGAUUCGAGAAGGUUUUGUCAUGAGGAUUUGAUCAACCCCAUUGACGGAUUUCUUUCGAUGACCAUGAAACGGAUGAAUCAAAGAGUCACAUACCUCUGUUUUAAGCUUUCACUUUCUGUUGCUUAGAAGAAAAAUGAUAGAUUUAGUUUAGUUUUCCCUGUUUCUUGUUUUAGCGUCCGGUAGAAAAAUACCCCGAAAAUAAAAGUUCUCCGAUGGUCCUGAAAAUCUAGUAUGAUUUUUCUGGAAUAUUUGAAAAAUACUGGGACUAAGAGCUGGCCUGGGGGCCACACCAGUGGGCCACAAGCCCUGUCACCGCGACCACCCCCUGGCCGCGACAAGCAAGCUUUUCGGGCCCACAGGGACCCCUCCACUCAUUCUAGCCCCUAUCCUCUUCUUCUUCCUCCAGAAAAAAUUGUUUCGCAGCUCAAACCCGUGUUCUUGCUCAUUUGGCUGUGAUUUUCGAUCUCCUUGCUCAAAGCACCAUUCUCCGAACCGUUUUGGGGUAAUUACUCCUUAGUAAGUGACUCCUCCAUUGGUCCAAUUAGUUUUUGCUCUAGUGCUUUAUCCUUCGCGUAUUCUUGCUACCUUGGUGACCCUAUUCUUGAGCUUGAAAUGUUGAUUUUAGCUGGUCCCAAGUAGUUGUAGCGCAUGAUACGGUCGCUAAGCACUAGUAGGAGUAGUUACUACAAGGUAUGGUUGGUAUUUAUUCACUCUUCUCUUGAACUUCAAAAAUUUCAGCAAAAAGAAAUUAUGUUCAGGAGGAAGUUUCAUGGUGGUUCCUCAAGUAAGAAGGGUCCCCGUCUUUCUAGUCGGGAGCCCGAACCUUAUCAACUAAGGGACGCACCGGUGCAACCAUGUGAAUGGCCUUCCUAUGAGUUCAUGAUCGAAGCAGGGUUCAAGGAUGAGUUUGAUACACUUGUCCGCAAUGUCGGGUUAGAAGAAUUCCUCUCAGAUAAAUGUGAACAGUAUGCUUUGCUCACUGCUUCUUUCGUGCGUAGAUUUAAAUUUUCAGUUGGCCGUGACUCAUCCAUACUGUUUGAUCCAUAUGAUAAAUCUGUUGGAAUUAUGCCCUAGAGGCAAUAAUAAAUAUAGUUAUUAUUAUAAUUCCUGUAUCAAGAUAAUCGUUUAUUAUCCAUGCUAUAAUUGUAUUGAAUGAAGACUCAUUUACAUGUGUGCAUACAUAGACAAAACAUCGUCCCUAGCAAGCCUCUAGUUGGCUAGCCAGUUGAUCAAAGAUAGUCAGUGUCUUCUGAUUAUGAACAAAGUGUUGUUGCUUGAUAAUUGGAUCACGUCAUUAGGAGAAUCACGUGAUGGACUAGACCCAAACUAAUAGACGUAGCAUGUUGAUCGCGUCAUUUUGUUGCUACUGUUUUCUGCGUGUCAAGUAUUUAUUCCUAUGACCAUGAGAUCAUAUAACUCACUGACACCGGAGGAAUGCUUUGUGUGUAUCAAACGUCGCAACGUAAACUGGGUGACUAUAAAUAUGCUCUACAGGUAUCUCCGAAGGUGUUAGUUGAGUCAGUAUGGAUCAAGACUGGGAUUUGUCACUCCGUGUGACGGAGAGGUAUCUCGGGGCCCACUCGGUAAUACAACAUCACACACAAGCCUUGCAAGCAAUGUAACUUAGUGUAAGUUGCGGGAUCUUUUAUUACGGAACGAGUAAAGAGACUUGCCGGUAAACGAGAUUGAAAUAGGUAUGCAGAUACUGACGAUCGAAUCUCGGGCAAGUAACAUACCGAAGGACAAAGGGAAUGACAUAUGGGAUUAUAUGAAUCCUUGGCACUGAGGUUCAAACGAUAAGAUCUUCGUAGAAUAUGUAGGAUCCAAUAUGGGCAUCCAGGUCCCGCUAUUGGAUAUUGACCGAGGAGUCUCUCGGGUCAUGUCUACAUAGUUCUCGAACCCGCAGGGUCUGCACACUUAAGGUUCGACGUUGUUUUAUGCGUAUUUGAGUUAUAUGGUUGGUUAACGAAUGUUGUUCGGAGUCCUGGAUGAGAUCACGGACGUCACGAGGGUUUCCGAAAUGGUCCGGAAACGAAGAUUGAUAUGUAGGAUGACCUCAUUUGAUUACCGGAAGGUUUUCGGAGUUACCGGGAAUGACGAAUGGGUUUUGGGAGUUCACCGAAGGGGCAACCCACCCCGGGGAAGCCCAUAGGCCUUGAGGGUGGCACACCAGCCCUUAGUGGGCUGGUGGGACAGCCCAAAAGGGCCCUAUGCGCCUAGGAAAGAAAAUCAAAGAGAAAAGAAAAAAAAGGAGGUGGGAAGGGAAGGAAGGACUCUCACCCACCAAACCAAGUCCAACUCGGUUUGGGGGGGGAGCCUUCCCCCUUGGACUCGGCCGACCCCCUUGGGGCAUCUUGAGCCCCAAGGCAAGGUCCCCUCCCUCCCACCUAUAUAUACGGAGGUUUUAGGGCUGAUUUGAGACGACUUUUCCACGGCAGCCCGACCACAUACCUCCACGGUUUUUCCUCUAGAUCGCGUUUCUGCGGAGCUCGGGCGGAGCCUUGCUGAGACAAGGUCAUCACCAACCUCCGGAGCGCUGUCACGCUGCCGGAGAACUCUUCUACCUCUCCGUCUCUCUUGCUGGAUCAAGAAGGCCGAGAUCAUCGUCGAGCUGUACGUGUGCUGAACGCGGAGGUGCCGUCCGUUCGGUACUAGAUCGUGGGACUGAUCGCGGGAUUGUUCGCGGCGCGUAUCGAGGGACGUGAGGACGUUCCACUACAUCAACCGCGUUCUCUAACGCUUCUGCUGUACGAUCUACAAGGGUACGUAGAUCACUCAUCCCCUCUCGUAGAUGGACUUCACCAUGAUAGGUCUUCGUGCGCGUAGGAAAUUUUUUGUUUCCCAUGCGACGUUCCCCAACUGUGGCAUCAUGAGCUAGGUUCAUGCGUAGAUGUCUUCUUGAGUAGAACACAAAAAAUUUUGUGGGCGGUGAUGUGCGUUUUGCUGCCCUCCUUAGUCUUUUCUUGAUUCCGCGGUAUUGUUGGAUUGAAGCGGCUUGGACGUACAUUACUCGUACGCUUACGAGAGACUAGUUUCAUCGCUACGAGUAACCCCGUUGCUCAAAGAUGACUGGCAAGUGUCGGUUUCUCCAACUUUAGUUGAAUCGGAUUUGACCGAGGAGGUCCUUGGAUGAGGUUAAAUAGCAACUCAUAUAUCUCCGUUGUGGUGUUUGCAUAAGUAAGAUGCGAUCCUACUAGAUACCCAUGGUCACCACGUAAAACAUGCAACAACAAAAUUAGAGGACGUCUAACUUGUUUUUGCAGGGUAUGCUUGUGAUGUGUUAUGGCCAACGAUGUGAUGUGAUAUAUUGGAUGUAUGAGAUGAUCAUGUUGUAAUAGUAAAUAUCGACUUGCACGUCGAUGGUACGGCAACCGACAGGAGCCAUAGGGUUGUCUUUAUACUAGCGUUUGUGCUUGCAGAUGCGUUUACUAUUUUGCUAGGAUGUAGCUUUAGUAGUAAUAGCAUGAGUAGCAUGACAACCCCGAUGGCAACACGUUGAUGGAGAUCAUGGUGUGGCCCCGGUUACAAGAAGAUCGUGCCGGUGCUUUGGUGAUGGAGAUCAAGAAGCACGUGAUGAUGGCCAUAUCAUGUCACUUAUGAAUUGCAUGUGAUGUUAAUCCUUUUAUGCACCUUAUUUUGCUUAGAACGACGGUAGCAUUAUGAGGUGAUCUCUCACUAAAAUUUCAAGACAAAAUUGUGUUCUCCCCGACUGUGCACCGUUGCUACAGUUCGUCGUUUCGAGACACCACGUGAUGAUCGGGUGUGAUAGACUCAACGUUCACAUACAACGGGUGUAAAACAGUUGCGCACGCGGAACACUCGGGUUAAGCUUGACGAGCCUAGCAUGUGCAGACAUGGGCUCGGAACACAUGAGACCGAAAGGUCGAUCAUGAAUCAUAUAGAUGAUAUGAUUAGCAUAGGGAUGCUUACCACUGAAACUAUACUCAACUCACGUGAUGAUCGGACUUGAGCUAGUGUAAGUGUAUCAUGAACCACUCAAAUGACUAGAGAGAUGUACUUUUUGAGUGGGAGUUUAGCGAAUAAUUUGAUUAAGUUAAACUCUAAUUAUCUUGAACAUAGUCUAAGUCCACUUUGAAUAUAUUUGUGUUGUAGAUCAUGGCUCAUGCUACAGUCAUCCUGAAUUUUAAUACGUUCCUAGAGAAAGCUAAGUUGAAAGAUAACGGAAGCAACUUUGUAGAAUGGGCUCGUAAUCUUAAGCUAAUCUUACAAGCUGGGAAGAAGGAUUAUGUCCUUAAUGCUGCGCUAGGAGAUGAACCACCCGCUACGGCUGAUCGGGAUGUUAAGAACGCUUGGUUAGCACGUAAGGAGGACUACUCAAUAGUUCAAUGUGCAGUCUUGUAUGGCUUAGAACCGGGACUUCAACGUCGCUUUGAGCGUCAUGGAGCAUUUGAGAUGUUCCAGGAGUUGAAGUUUAUCUUUCAGAAGAACGCCCGGAUCGAGAGGUGUGAGACCUCCGAUAAAUUCUAUGCUUGCAAGAUGGAGGAGAACUCGUCUGUCAGUGAACAUGUGCUCAAAAUGUCUGGGUACUCAAACCGUCUAGCUGAGCUGGGGAUUGAACUCCCGCAAGAAGCUAUCACUGACAGAAUCCUUCAAUCACUGCCGCCAAGCUAUAAAGGCUUUGUGUUGAACUACAGCAUGCAAGGGAUGAACAAGUCUCCCGGCGAGUUGUUUGCGAUGCUGAAAGUCACAGAGUCUGAACUCCGUAAAGAGCAUCAAGUGUUGAUGGUGAAUAAGACCACUAGUUUCAAGAGAAACGGCAAAGGCAAGAAGGGUAAUUCGAAGAAGAGCGGCAAGCCUGUUGCCAAUCUGACGAAGAAACCCAAAGCUGGACCUAAGCCUGAAACGGAGUGUUACUAUUGCAAGGGUAUGGGUCACUGGAAGCGCAAUUGCCCCAUGUAUCUGGCAGAUAAGAAGGCGGCCAAAGAAAAAUCAGGUAUAUUUGAUAUACAUGUUAUUGAUGUGUACAACCGGCUCUCGUAGUAGUGCCUGGGUAUUCGAUACCGGUUCUGUUGCUCAUAUUUGCAACUUCGAAACAGGAACUGCGGAAUAGAUGAAGGCUGGCGAAAGAUGAAGUGACGAUGCGCGUAGGAAAUGGUUCCAAGGUUGAUGCAAUCGCCGUCGGCACAGUUUCACUUCAGUUACCAUCAGGAUUAGUGAUGAACUUAAAUCAUUGUUAUUUAGUGCCUGCGUUGAGCAUGAACAUUAUAUCUGGAUCUUGUUUAUUGCGAGACGGUUACUCUUUUAAGUCAGAGAAUAAUCGUUGUUCUAUUUCUAUGAGUAACAUCUUUUAUGGUCAUGCACCUAAUGUGAGAGGAUUGUUCAUAUUGAAUCUUGAUAGCGAUACGCAUAUACAUAACAUUGAGACCAAAAGAGUUAGAGUUAACAAUGAUAGCGCCAUAUUUUUGUGACACUACCGCUUAGGUCAUAUUGGUGUAAAGCGCGUGAAGAAACUCCAUGCUGAUGGACUUUUGGAGUCACUUGACUUUGAUUCACUUGACAUGUGCAAACCAUGCCUCAUGGGCAAGAUGACUAAGACUCCGUUCUCCGGAACAAUGGAGCGUGUAAGUGACUUGUUGGAAAUCAUACAUACCGAUGUGUGUGGUCCGAUGAGCGUGGAGGCACGCGGCGGAUAUCGUUAUUUUCUCACCUUCACUGACGAUUUGAGUAGAUAUGGUUAUGUCUACUUGAUGAAGCACAAGUCUGAAACAUUUGAAAAGUUCAAGCAAUUUCAGAGUGAAGUGGAAAAUCAUCGUAACAAGAAGAUCAAGUUCCAACGGUCUGAUCGUGGGGGUGAAUAUCUGAGUUUCGAGUUUGGUGCUCACUUAAGACAAUGUGGAAUUGUUUCACAGUUAACACCGCCUGGAACACCACAGCGUAAUGGUGUGUCCGAACGUCGUAAUCGUACUCUAUUAGAGAUGGUGCGAUCUAUGAUGUCUCUUACUGAUUUGCCGUUAUCGUUUUGGGGUUAUGCAUUAGAAACAGCUGCAUUCACUUUAAAUAGGGCACCAUCAAAAUCCGUUUAGACGACACCAUACGAACUGUGGUAUGGCAAAAGGCCAAAGUUGUCGUUUCUUAAAGUUUGGGGAUGUGAUGCUUAUGUCAAAAAGCUUCAGCCUAAAAAGCUGGAACCCAAAACGGAAAAGUGCGUCUUCAUAGGUUACCCAAAAGAGACAGUUGGGUACACCUUCUAUCUCAAAUCCGAGGGCAAAGUGUUUGUUGCUAAAAACGGAGCUUUUCUCGAGAAGGAGUUUCUCUCGAGAGAAUUGAGUGGGAGGAAGAUAGAACUUGACGAGGUUGUCGAACCUCUCAUCCCUCUGGAUGGUGGCACAGGGCAAGGGGAAACCUCUGUCGUUGCGACGCCGGUUGAGGAGGAAGUUAAUGAUGAUGAUCAUGAAACUCCAGUUCAAGUUUCUGUCAAACCACGCAGGUCGACGAGACCACGUGCUGCUCCAGAGUGGUACGGUAAUCCCGUCUUAUCAAUCAUGUUGUUAGACAACAAUGAACCUGCAAAUUAUGAAGAAGCAAUGGUGGGCCCAAAUUCCAACAAAUGGCUAGAAGCCAUGAAGUCCGAGAUAGGAUCCGUGUAUGAGAACAAAGUGUGGAGUUUGGAGGUACUACCUGAGGGCCGCAAGGCUAUUCAGAACAAAUGGAUCUUUAAGAGGAAGACGGACGCUGACGGCAAUGUGACCGUUUAUAAAGCUCGACUUGUGGCAAAGGGUUUUUCACAAGUUCAAGGAGUUGACUACGAUGAGACAUUCUCACCCGUAGCGAUGCUUAAGUCCGUCAGAAUCAUGUUAGCAAUAGCUACAUUUUUCGAUUAUGAAAUCUGGCAGAUGGAUGUCAAAACGGCAUUCCUUAACGGUUUCCUUAAAGAAGAAUUGUAUAUGAUGCAACCCGAAGGUUUUGUUGAUCCUAAGAAUGCUAACAAGGUGUGCAAGCUCCAGCGAUCCAUUUAUGGACUGGUGCAAGCAUCUCGGAGUUGGAACAAACGCUUUGAUGAGGUGAUCAAAGCAUUUGGAUUUAUACAAGUGGUUGGAGAAUCUUGUAUUUACAAGAAAGUGAGUGGGAGCUCUGUGACGUUUCUAAUAUUAUAUGUGGAUGACAUAUUGCUGAUUGGAAACAACGUAGAGCUUUUAGAGAGCAUAAAGGAUUACUUGAAUAAGAGUUUCUCUAUGAAGGACCUAGGAGAAGCUGCUUACAUUCUAGGGAUUAAGAUCUAUAGGGAUAGAUCAAAACGCCUGAUAGGACUUUCACAAAGCACAUACCUUGAUAGAGUUUUGAAGAAGUUCAAAAUGGAACAGUCCAAGAAAGGGUUCUUGCCAGUUUUACAAGGUACGAGAUUGAGUAAGACUCAGUGCCCAGCAACUGAUGAAGAUAGAGAGCAUAUGCGCUCCGUCCCCUAUGCUUCAGCCAUAGGUUCUAUCAUGUAUGCAAUGCUGUGCACUAGACCGGAUGUUAGCCUGGCCAUAAGUAUGGUAGGUAGGUUCCAGAGUAAUCCUGGAGUGGAUCACUGGACAGCGGUCAAGAAUAUCCUGAAGUACCUGAAAAGGACUAAGGAGAUGUUUCUCGUGUAUGGAGGUGACGAAGAGCUCGCCGUAAAAGGUUACGUCGAUGCAAGCUUUGACACAGAUCCGGACGACUCUAAGUCGCAAACCGGAUACGUAUUUAUUCUUAAUGGGGGUGCGGUAAGCUGGUGCAGUUCCAAGCAGAGCGUCGUAGCAGAUUCUACAUGUGAAGCGGAGUACAUGGCUGCCUCGGAGGCAGCUAAGGAGGGUGUCUGGAUGAAGCAAUUCAUGACGGAUCUUGGAGUGGUGCCAAGCGCAGUGAAUCCAAUAACCUUGUUCUGUGACAACACGGGUGCCAUUCCCUUAACAAAGGAACCACGGUUUCACAAGAAGACCAGACACAUCAAACGACGCUUCAACCUCAUCCGCGACUACGUCGAGGGAGAGGACGUGAAUAUAUGCAAAGUGCACACGGAUCUGAAUGUAGCAGACCCGCUGACUAAACCUCUUUCACGGCCAAAGCAUGAUCAACACCAGAACUGUAUGGGUUUUGUAUUAUUACAAUGUAAUUCACAUGGUGAUGUGAGGGCUAGAUUAUUGACUCUAGUGCAAGUGGGAGACUGUUGGAAUUAUGCCCUAGAGGCAAUAAUAAAUAUAGUUAUUAUUAUAAUUCCUGUAUCAAGAUAAUCGUUUAUUAUCCAUGCUAUAAUUGUAUUGAAUGAAGACUCAUUUACAUGUGUGGAUACAUAGACAAAACACCGUCCCUAGCAAGCCUCUAGUUGGCUAGCCAGUUGAUCAAAGAUAGUCAGUGUCUUCUGAUUAUGAACAAAGUGUUGUUGCUUGAUAACUGGAUCACGUCAUUAGGAGAAUCACGUGAUGGACUAGACCCAAACUAAUAGACGUAGCAUGUUGAUCGUGUCAUUUUGUUGCUACUGUUUUCUGCGUGUCAAGUAUUUAUUCCUAUGACCAUGAGAUCAUAUAACUCACUAACACCGGAGGAAUGCUUUGUGUGUAUCAAACGUCGCAACGUAACUGGGUGACUAUAAAGAUGCUCUACAGGUAUCUCCGAAGGUGUUAGUUGAGUUAGUAUGGAUCAAGACUAGGAUUUGUCACUCCGUGUGAACGGAGAGGUAUCUCAGGGCCCACUCGGUAAUACAACAUCACACACAAGCCUUGCAAGCAAUGUAACUUAGUGUAAGUUGCGGGAUCUUGUAUUACGGAACGAGUAAAGAGACUUGCCGGUAAACGAGAUUGAAAUAGGUAUACGGAUACUGACGAUCGAAUCUCGGGCAAGUAACAUACCGAAGGACAAAGGGAAUGACAUACGGGAUUAUAUGAAUCCUUGGCACUGAGGUUCAAACGAUAAGAUCUUCGUAGAAUAUGUAGGAUCCAAUAUGGGCAUCCAGGUCCCGCUAUUGGAUAUUGACCGAGGAGUCUCUCGGGUCAUGUCUACAUAGUUCUCGAACCCGCAGGGUCUGCGCACUUAAGGUUCGACAUUGUUUUAUGCGUAUUUGAGUUAUAUGGUUGGUUACCGAAUGUUGUUCGGAGUCCCGGAUGAGAUCACGGACGUCACGAGGGUUUCCGGAAUGGUCCGGAAACGAAGAUUGAUAUAUAGGAUGACCUCAUUUGAUUACCGGAAGGUUUUCAGAGUUACCGGGAAUGACGAAUGGGUUCCGGGAGUUCACCGGGGGGGGCAACCCACCCCGGGGAAGCCCAUAGGCCUUGAGGGUGGCACACCAGCCCUCAGUGGGCUGGUGGGACAGCCCAAAAGGGCUCUAUGCGCCAAGCAAAGAAAAUCAAGAGAAAAGAAAAAAAAAGGAGGAGGUGGGAAGGAAGGGGGACUCCCUCCCACCAAACCAAGUCCAACUCGGUUUGGGGAGGGAGUCCUCCCCCCUUGGACUUGGCCGACCCCCUUGGGGCUCCUUGAGCCCCAAGGCAAGGUCCCCUCCCUCCCACCUAUAUAUACGGAGGUUUUAGGGCUGAUUUGAGACGACUUUUCCACGGCAGCCCGACCACAUACCUCCACGGUUUUUCCUUUAGAUCGCGUUUCUGCGGAGCUCGGGCGGAGCCCUGCUGAGACAAGGUCAUCACCAUCCUCCGGAGCUCCGUCAUGCUGCCGGAGAACUCUUCUACCUCUCCGUCUCUCUUGCUGGAUCAAGAAGGCCGAGAUCAUCGUCGAGCUGUACGUGUGCUGAACGCGGAGGUGCCAUCCGUUCGGUACUAGAUCGUGGGACUGAUCGCGGGAUUGUUCGCGGGGCGGAUCGAGGGACGUGAGGAUGUUCCACUACAUCAACCGCGUUCUCUAACGCUUCUGUUGUACGGUCUACAAGGGUACGUAGCUCACUCAUCCCCUCUCGUAGAUGGACAUCACCAUGAUAGGUCUUCGUGCGCGUAGGAAAAUUUUUGUUUCCCAUGCGACGUUCCCCAUCAACCAGUGGGGGUACGCAGAGUGCACCCACUUGGUGUAGUCUCCAAGAGUAGUGUUGCUCAUAGUGUUGUUGGUUUGCUAUGGAGCUCAAUGGGACCGACCUGUUCGAGCUUCAUACCAGUGGGGUCACUCUCAGUGAACCCACUGGGUGUAGUCCCCGAGACCGCUGUCGGUUUCUUGCAUCGGCACGGGUCUGAAAAAUUUUGAGUUUUUAUUGGUUUGUCAUAUCUGUCGAGACUUUUUCCUUGUUGAAUGUGCCUGAUCCUCCCUUUGUGUCUCUUUGGCAGAAGACUUGUGAAAUGGGAUCGGCCUAUAAUGCUGUGAAGGCCGAGAAGACUCAACUUGCUGCGGACUUGGAGGUGGCUGUGAAUGAUAUGACUGGCAUGAAGAAGGCUCUCGCUGAACGAGAGAAAUCUUUGGAGGAAUCUCGGGAGGCUAACAAGGCACUGCUAGCCGAAGUAGAAAAAUGAAGAGGGAGAGAUCCGAAUGGAUGGGCCAACUGAAGGUAAUGAACACUCGGUGCAGAGCGCAGGAGAACUACGUCGGCAACUGGGCGAAGAAGAUGGUCGCACUGCUUGGUGGUAAGUUCUUGCCGAGUGCUUUUUGACUUUGGAGUUCACUCCGCGCUUAUUUUCUUCUUGUCUUUUCUUUGCAGAUUUCUAUCGGGACGUUGAGGCCGAAACCGCCGAAAUUGAACGGUCGCUUGUUCCGAAUGUUCCACUCGGCGAUGAAGCUAACCGGGACAUGUUCCGAGUGAAUUCGCGCCUUAACAAGGUGGGUCCUUUCAUUGGUUGCCUGAGAGGAGUUGUCGGCCGAAUUGACAAGGAGCUGUGGCCUGAAGAUGACUCCCGGAACGAGAUAGAGGGGUUGAUGACCCGACUGGAGGACGUCCCAAGCAGAGUGCAAACAUGGAAGAAGUCUGUCGCUCGGUGUGGCGCGGACGUGGCACUAUCUCUGGUCCGAGUGCACUUCAAGGAAGCCCGUGAAGACAAGCUGAAGACGUUGCAGGUCGCCAACACCAAGAAGCUUCGAUUUGAAGAUUUCAUGGAGACCUUCCUUGACACAGCCACUCGGAGUGCAGAUGGAAUCGACCUCGACACCUUUGUGGAGCCUGCCAGUCCCGGCGACGCUUGAUAAACUUUAUGCUGAACGCACAUUUACCUCGGUAUGCCGAUUGGAGUCUGUAUUAAACUUUGGCCACUGCUGUUGGCCGGUACAUUCGUGGCUCGGUGUGGAUAAACUUGAUUCACACCGAGCCGACUGAUCAUAGAACCAAUUUGAAUUCGAAUCGGAUCUUUUGCUCUUCUUUCGCUGAAUUUUUUUUUGACACGAUUUUGGCUCGUGGUUUUUGUUUGGGCGUCUCUUGGUGAAGCCAAUGGCAACUAUGCGGAGCAUGUAGUUGUCAGUUGUCUUCACAUCCACAUGAGCCUCAAUGAGGGUCUGAUAAGCCUCCGAGUGUAUCUCGAGUGCCCGCUCGGAGGAAGCUUUUUACUUAGGUGACUCUGGUUUGCAUCUAAGUCUCCGAGUGUGACUUGGAAUGCACACUCGGAGCAAGUUGUUUACUUAGGCGACUCUGAGUCGCGGCUAAGUCCCCGAGUGUGACCUUUGGUGCACACUCGGAACGAGUUUUUACUUAGCCGACUCUGGGUCACAGCUAAGUCCCCGAUUGUGACUUUUAGUGCACACUCGGAGCGGGUUGUUACUCAUGUAGUUGNNNNNNNNNNNNNNNNNNNNNNNNNNNNNNNNNNNNNNNNNNNNNNNNNNNNNNNNNNNNNNNNNNNNNNNNNNNNNNNNNNNNNNNNNNNNNNNNNNNNAAAGGACCCCGGGGGAGGUCACAAGCCCCUAGGCGCGGCCUGGGGGGCCAUGCCUAGCAGGCUUGUGGGCCCCCUGUGGCUCCUCUGCCCUACUUCUUCCUCCUGUAAAUCCCCGAAAAAUCCAAAACCACGGGAGAGAGCCACGAAAAUACUUUUCCGCUGUCGCAAGCUUCUGUCUCCGCAAAAUCCCAUCUGGGGCACGUUCUAGUGCCCUGCCGGAGGGGGGAUUCGGACACGGAGGGCUUCUUCAUCAACACCAUUGCCUCUCCGAUGAUGCGUGAGUAGUUCACCAUAGACCUUCGGGUCCUUAGCUAGUAGCUAGAUGGCUUCUUCUCUCUCUUGGAUCUUCAAUACAAAGUUCUCCAUGAUCUUCAUGGAGAUCUAUCCGAUGUAAUCUUCUUUUGCGGUGUGUUUGUCGAGAUCCGAUGAAUUGUGGAUUUAUGAUCAGAUUGUCUAUGAGUCUUAUUUGAGUUUCUUCUGAUCUCUCUUAUGCGUGAUUUCAUAUCCUUGUAAUUCUCUUCGAGUUGUGGGUUUUGUUUGGCCAACUAGAUCUAUGAUUCUUGCAAUGGGAGAAGUGCUUGGUUUUGGGUUCAUACCGUGCGGCGACCUCACCCAGUGACAGAAGUGGUGGCGAGGCACGCAUCGCGUUGUUGCCAUCAAGGGUAAAAAUAUGGGGUUUUCAUCAUUGGUUUGAGGUUAUCCCUCUACAUCAUGUCAUCUUGCUUAAGGCGUUACUCUGUUCGUCAUGAGCUCAAUACACUAGAUGCAUGCUCGAUAUCGGUCGAUGUGUGGAGUAAUAGUAGUAGAUGCAGAAAUUAUCGGUCUACUUGUCUCGGACGUGAUGCCUAUAUGUAUGAUCAUUACCUUAGAUAUCGUCAUGACUUUGCGCGGUUGUAUCAAUUGCUCGACGGUAAUAUGUUCACCCACAGUAAUACUUGCUAUUUUGAGAGAAGCCUCUAGUGAACACUAUGGCCCCCGGGUCUACUCCACACCAUAUUUUCAGCCUUACACUUUUACUUCGUUGCACUUUCCGCCUUCAGAUCUCACUUUGCAAUCAAUCUUGAAGGGAUUGACAAUCCCUUUAUAGCGUUGGGUGCAAGCUCUUUUGUGUUUGCGCAGAUACUCUAGACUUGACGAGAUUCUCCUACUGGAUUGAUACCUUGGUUCUCAAACUGAGAGAAAUACUUACUGCUCCUGUGCUGCAUCGCCCUUUCCUCUUCAAGGGAAAAACCAACGCAAGCUCAAGAGACGACAGAAGGUUUCUGUCGCCGUAGUCGAAGGAUUUCUGGCGCCGUUGCCAGGGAUAGCAGAAGAAUUUCUGGCGCCGUUGCCGGGGAGGAUCAAGUCAAGAACUCAUCCAAGUAAGUGUCGCAAACUCAUCCCUUGUAUUUACUUUUUUGCCUCUCGUUUUCCUCUCCCCCACUUCUUAAAAACAAAAAAUUACAAAAAAAUAUUUGCCUUUUUGGUUCGUCCUUUUCUUUCGCUUGCUUUCUGUUCGCUUGUGUGCUAUGUGCCUUCAAUAUGCUUGCAUCUUCGCUUGCUGAAAAUCUAUUGAUAUGGAUCCUCAUCCACUUGCUAAUCUCUUUAAGAGAUCCAAUUAUGUUGAUCCAAUUGCUAGUGAGUUGAGUGCACUUGACUUUUUCUAUGGAGUUUUGCUUGAGAUGCGUGAAUCUGAAAAUUGCGAGGAAAAAAUAUAUGAAGUGAUUCACGAGGGCUCCUUGGAUGAAAAACAUGAUUGCAAUGGUUUCAUUAUAAAUUCUAUUUGACAAUCAUGUUAAAAAUAUACAAAACCCUAAGCUUGGGGAUGCUAGUUUUGUUAUGUCCACUACUGGUUGCAAUGAUCAUUAUUGGGGUGAUGAUUUUUCUUAUGAUCUUGAAAAAAAAAUUAAGCCUCAUGAUGAAUAUGAUGUUUGCAAUAACAUUGAAAGUGGGAUUGGAGAAGUCAUGACUUUAGUUGAUGAUAAUCCCACUAUUUUUGAAGAGUGUCAACUUUGCAUGCAUGUGGAUCACGAAAAGAAUAUCCUAUGGGAUAGCUAUAUUGUUGAAUUUGAAUAUGAUCCCACAUGUAAUGAGAGAGAAAAAUAUUGUGGUAAAAUCUUUCAUGUUACUAAACCACCCUUUCGUUAUGUUGAGAUUGCUAUUAUCUCAUUCUUCUUCCUUGCAUAUGAUAACUAUUGAUUGUCAAGACAAUCUGUUUUUCUAUAAAAUGCCUAUGCAUAGGAAGUAUGUCAGACUUAGAUAUGUUUGUCACAUGUUUCAUGAUGUUUUCUUCGUGUCCGAUUGCUAUCCUUUAUGUGAGCAUCAUUGAAUUGUCAAUGCCUGGCUAAAGACGUUAAACAAUAACGCUUGUUGGGAGCCCAACGAAUUUUUGGUCGCGUCGCUCGUGCACGAGGAGGAAGUUUUUCGAGGGGAAGGGCUGGUUUACCUUAGUUUGCAGUACCACGCAUUCCCAGUUGCAUACCAACGGUUUUGUGAUCCGCGUUGGAGAUUUCAUAAUGCACUGUACAACAUAGGUGUUUAUGCUGGUGCCUCAGGUAAAAAAAAAUUGGUUUUAUUUAAGCUUCGGCUUGCAUAGAAAGACAAGAAGGAAACAAAGAUUGGCUUCCGGUGCUUGUCGUAGUUGGAUGGUUAGGAGGACUGUGGUAUUCCCUGCCUAUCAGAGUUCAAGUUUCAGACUUGACGUUGGUGCUUGUAUUUUUCUAAAUUUAUUACAGAUCUUCCGUCGAUGUGCUUUUAAUGGGAGGAGACGUUCCCAUCAACAACGAAGGCGUCGGUGACGACUUCGUCAAUCUUAAGAUAAUGUGCCGGCUUAUUCUUUUAAAAGUGCUCAUAGGGGUAGGAUGUGAGUGCGUGCGUUCAUACGGAUGAGUAUGUGCUCAUAUGUGAGCAACUUUGAUUGUACUCUGCUAAAAAAAAAGCGAAAAAUGCUCUCCUCACUUCAUGGGUCAAAAUUUAUUUAAAGACGCGUACUCUCCCUGUUUUAGGCCCCGUGCGGAAGCUCUGCGCGAGCCAGCUUCCUGGAACUGCCGCAUGAAGCAGGACGAACGCCCUUGCUCCGAGAAUCCGGCGAAGACAUAAAUCCUUCAGUGAAAAAUUCUCGGAGACGCGAGACGUAAGCACGCAGUUUGUGUAAGUGAAAGAGUUGCGAUAAUUUUGCACGUAUUUUGUAGACGUGUUUCCAUAACGUUGACUCACUACACUAGUGUAUUUUACGUGUACAAAACACCCACUUUAUCUGUGAGCCGACUUCCGUGAUGGUUUCUACGUCCACUCGUGGUAACAUAGAGGAGGGCAAUGAAAGUAGUAACAUAUACUGAUGCAUAUAAGGUAAUCCUUUUAGUAACGCAUAGAUCGCAUUUGCACAACCUUCUACUGGCUACAAUCAAGAAAUAAGUGAUACUUUACUCAAGUACCAUAAGUUGCUCAAAACAUCACCGGGUGAAACUCAAGUAUGUCAGCUGCAGUUUAUUGUUAAGAGAAGAACCAAACAAGGAAAGAAAUGAAUUGAUGAAACUCGAGCCAACUGAACUGAAGCUGGAUCUGCAGCUUCAGGAUUGUCUGAAAGAGCAGAUAGCAAUGUCGUGCCACUGAAGUUCGGCUAGCAGACAGAAGCUCAAAGGGAGUAGAUAAAGAAAAUUCCGUUAAUGCUAGUGCUUGUUUGGAUGUUUAUCUAAAUUCUUGUUUUAUAUUUAUCUAAAUAAGUAUGUAUCUAGUCAAAUCUAAGACAAGGUAAUAUCAAGCUGCUAAUUACCUCAUAUUCAGACAGGCUUUACUUCAAGUAAAUUAAAUUUUACAAAUAGAUGGAAAUAAUCACUGAGGUGCAAGUCUAUGAAGAUUCUUCAAUACAUCUAAGAUUCACAGAACCACGUCACUAGCAGACUAUCCUGGGAGCGAAUCAACCACACAACAAAAACGCCCUACCUGUUCUCCAAAGCAAAAUCCAAAGCUUACAGCAGUGAUCCACCGGCUGAAUACCAUGUGGAAUGUAAGCAUUAGAUCAAAAAAGGAAAAAUAAUAUAUGGUGAAACCAGUCACCAUAAUAGCAAAGCAUUGCAUAAUCAUAAUAGAUCGGCACUCACCUGUAAUAACAUCUCAAACAUAUCAGCAUUUGGAGGUUAUCCAGCUGCCUCUAAGGAAAAAUUCACACAACAUAGAUCAAUCACUUUUGACAAACAAACAUCCGACCAACACUGGAAUAAGACAAUGGAACAGAAGUCCAGGGAAAGCAGACAACCUACCUUACGCUCUCCUGUAUGAGUACAAGUCCAGAGAGAACAUGAAUAUAAAUGGUUUCUUGCAGAUGACAAUCUUAGUAAUUAUAUGACUGUUUUCAGUAUGGUCGCGAUCGUGAACCACCGCCCUGGUUUCUGUUAGGCCCGCCAUAGCCUCCUCCAUCUCUGCGUCUAUCCCCGCCAUAGCCGCCUCCACCACCACGUCCACCUCUGCACAACAAGUAAUGCGGCAAACAGGUUAUAUGUUAGCAUCAUACAACCAAUCAUGAUUUUAGUAAUGCUCAAUUGGAGAUACAUCAGAUAUAUGCUAAUUUAAAGGCUCAGCUGCUUAAAAGAAAAACCGCAUAUUGGUCAACUGUACUUAGCAAUGACUCCAGACUUUAUCUGGUCAUCAAAGGCAUAUGCAGCAUGCCAACAAUGUCUGAUACAUAAUUUGAAUCAGGUUAACUUGGUUUGGUUCUAUUCUGUACUCUUCAGGCCAAAAUGCAACAACCAGACAAGUCAUGGAAUACUAUCAUAUCCGCAAAAUAGUUUGAAGAGGCCUGUAAAAUAACACAAUGACACGGGACAAAAUAAUAUGACAAUGCUAGGAAAAUGCAAAUUGAGAUAUCAAACUGUAGCAGGGGCCAAAGGGUAUAAUUGGCCCAGAGUAGACAUUAGAUUACAGAAUUUGUGUUUAUCAGAUAAACAAGCAAGAUGUACUUACCCAUGACCAGAUGUAGGAGCUCUAGGUGCUGAUUUCUCAGCCAUCACAACACUAAUUUUACGGCCUCUCAUGUCAUAAUCUGAAAUGGAAGAAGAUUAUAUGCAUUAUGAAGUGGAAAGCAGUGUUAGAUAGAAAAAUGUGAUGCAUCGCUGCAACCCCAGCACUAAACAUACCAUUGUAGAAUCCACCAGCUGAAUGAGCAGCAGAAGGAUCUUCAUAAGCAAGGCAAGCAUCUCCUUUGGCUUUUCCAGAAUCAUCAGUGUAGAUUUUUAUGUUCCAGGGCCACUGGUCUUUGUAGCCACGUUUUUGCUUGAUCCUUCCAACCUUUAAAAAAGUAGUUGCAAGUAUUGAAAGAACAAAAUAAAAUGACCAACAAGUGCUCGACAUAAUUGAAAAAUAACAGUAUUCUAUUCUCUAAGAUUAGCAACAGCAAUGGGUGUGCCAUCUCGCGAGUUCUUGGGCAAAGAUAUGUGGCAAAGAUAUUUUACCUGACCGACUCAGGAUGUCUAUAAAGUUUUGAAGUAGAAAACUACAACAUAUAUUUAGGUAACAGAGAUAAAAAAAAUUGGCCUAUUUUGGAGUAGAACUAUGUGAGCAGAGUCAAGCUGAUUAUUACGAACUAUGCAAGUUGUUCAUGCACUUGGAUGAACAACACAUGUUUUCAUAUUUAAUCAGUGGAAAAAAGUUUAUCUGGUACAAUUACCCUCGCUAUGAUCUCACCACACAUAAACUUAACAUUUGGUUAGUAAGCACCUUAUCUUAAAAGAACGAUAGAUGGGGUCCAACCAUGCAUUACAGAAUAGAUUAUUACUAGUAUCAAUAAGUGCAGCUUACACACUUAAAAUGAAGUAUGAAUUGAUGAAAACAGAACACAACUUGAAAUCAUAGGGCACAGGUAUUAACAGCCCAAGUUGAAAAUGAGAUACUUUAAGAGGAACACAAACACGGAAUUCAGGCAAUAAAGAACUGAUACAUACAGUUCAAAUUAAGCAGCACUUCACAAAAUAUGUUUUUAGAGGCCGCACAGAUGCACAGCAUGUGGAGCUCUAGGCUAUUACAGAUUGAUAAAGAAUUCAAGAGAAGGUAAAUUAUACCUGGCCAAUUCCUCCAAAAAGCUCUUGCAGUUCCUCAACAGUCACAUCAGGAGGCAGGUUUGAGAUGUAAAUCCUUGCAUUGUCGCAGGAAUCAUCACAGUUUGCAUCACACUGCUUAACCUUUGUAGUAGGUUCAGGGGCAGCAUUUGCAGAAUAACCGCCGCCACCACCUUGAUAAGGUGGUGGAGCACCACCUGCGCCUCCACCCCCAGGCACAGACCGAGCACCAUAACCACCAUCAUAUGUAGGUGGCAAGCCUCCUUGCCCACCUGGGGCACCGCCACUAUAUGGGUUCGGAGGUGGGGCACCAUAGCUUGGUGGGUAAGAGCCUCGACCGCCGCCAUAGCUGUUAGGGGGUGGCACUGCAGACUCUGAACUGUACACAUUGUUGCCUCCAUAGGAACUUGGGGGCGGUGCGUAGUCACCUGGAGGACCGCCAUAGGAUGGAGGGCCUUUAGGGGGAGCCUGUCCAUAGCCACCGUCACCUUGGUUGUUCUCUUGGCCUCUUCCCCCAUAACUGCCACCGCUCCCACCACGGUGGUCAUCAAAACCACGGCCACUCCCACCAUCACGAUUAUACCCUCCUCUUGCUCCUCCGGCACCACCAUCACGACCACCAGAGUUGUAAUCUCCAUCACCUCUGCUGUAGCCACCGCCUCCUGAACCAUGAUCACCACCACCACGAUUGUACCCUCCACCUCCACCAGACCUAUCGUACCCACCGCCGCCGCCACCACCUCCACCUCCACUUGGGUUAACUGCCCCACACUUAUUGCACUCAGUCCUCCUUGCAAAGUUCACAUUAAGGCAGCUGCAACAAGAAUUCAUAUACGUUUAGUCUCAACGAUUGCAUAGAAGAUAAUACACUCAGCAUGAAAACACCUGGUAGUGUUUACAAAACUAGAGCCCACCGAUGUUUCCAAUAACUGAACAACAUCGCAAAGAAAUACAAUGGUAAAUUAAAUGUAUAUGCUCUGGUGUAACAACCAAUAAAAUAUAUAUAUAACAGAGUAAAUAACCAGGGCAAAUAAUGCUAGUAUAUCAACAUAUAGCCCGGCAAUAAUCUCAAAUGUAAAUUACAGACAUGAAUAUCAAGGAUCAUAAGUUAUGAUUUUAAGGCCAUAGGGCAUCUAGCAGAAGUUGAAACUAAACCAUCAGAAUGGUGUGAUGUUUGAAAUUCCAGUGACCGCGCUACGGCAUAAGCUCCCAACAAUAAAAUGUCAUGAAAGUUCUGCCUAGCCUAAAUCCCCACGACAGUUGAGAAGAUCCCAACACCAAAUCCUAGAGCGAGAUAGCGANNNNNNNNNNNNNNNNNNNNNNNNNNNNNNNNNNNNNNNNNNNNNNNNNNNNNNNNNNNNNNNNNNNNNNNNNNNNNNNNNNNNNNNNNNNNNNNNNNNNGCAACCCGAAGGUUUUGUCGAUCCUAAAAAUGCUGACAAGGUGUGCAAGCUCCAGCGAUCCAUUUAUGGACUGGUGCAAGCAUCUCGGAGUNNNNNNNNNNGCUGCUUUUUUCGAUUAUGAAAUCUGGCAGAUGGAUGUCAAAACGGCGUUCCUUAACGGUUUCCUUAAGGAAGAGUUGUAUAUGAUACAACCCAAAGGUUUUGUCGAUCCUAUGAAUGCUAACAAGGUGUGCAAGCUCCAGCGAUCCAUUUAUGGACUAGUGCAAGCAUCUCGGAGUUGGAACAAACGCUUUGAUGAGGUGAUCAAAGCAUUUGGGUUUAUACAAGUGGUUGGAGAAUCUUGUAUUUACAAGAAAGUGAGUGGGAGCUCUGUGGCAUUUCUAAUAUUAUAUGUGGAUGACAUAUUGCUGAUUGGAAACAACGUGNNNNNNNNNNAAUGAGGUGAUCAAAGCAUUUGGGUUUAUACAAGUGGUUGGAGAAUCCUGUAUUUACAAGAAAGUGAGUGGGAGCUUUGUGGUGUUUCUAAUAUUAUAUGUGGAUGACAUAUUGCUGAUUGGAAACAACGUGGAGUUCUUGGAGAGCAUAAAGGAUUACUUGAAUAAAAGUUUCUCUAUGAAGGACCUAGGAGAAGCUGCUUANNNNNNNNNNAAGUGAGUGGGAGCUCUGUGGCGUUUCUAAUAUUAUAUGUGGAUGACAUAUUACUGAUUGGAAACAACGUAGAGCUUUUGGAGAGCAUAAAAGGUUACUUGAAUAAAAGUUUCUCUAUGAAGGACCUAGGAGAAGCUGCUUACAUUCUAGGCAUUAAGAUCUAUAGGGAUAGAUCUAAACACCUGAUAGGACUUUCACAAAGCACAUACCUUGAUAAAGUUUUGAAGAGGUUCAAAAUGGAACAGUCCAAGAAAGGGUUCUUGCCAGUUUUACAAGGUACGAGAUUGAGUAAGACUCAGUGCCCAGCAGCUGAUGAAGAUAGAGAGCAUAUGCGCUCCGUCCCCUAUGCUUCAGCCAUAGGUUCUAUCAUGUAUGCAAUGAUGUGCACUAGACCGGAUGUUAGCCUGGCCAUAAGUAUGGCAGGUAGGUUCCAGAGUAAUCCAGGAGUGNNNNNNNNNNAUCCCCUAUGCUUCAGCCAUAGGUUCUAUCAUGUAUGCAAUGUUGUGCACUAGACCGGACGUCAGCCUGGCCAUAAGUAUGGCAGGUAGGUUCCAGAGUAAUCCAGGAGUGGAUCACUGGACGGCGGUCAAGAAUAUCCUGAAGUACCUGAAAAGGACUAAGGAGAUGUUUCUCGUGUAUGGAGGUGAUGAAGAGCUCGCCGUAAAAGGUUACGUCGAUGCGAGCUUUGACACAGAUCCGGACGACUCUAGGUCGCAAACCGGAUAUGUAUUUAUUCUUAAUGGGGGUGCUGUAAGCUGGUGCAGUUCCAAGCAAAGCGUCGUAGCAGAUUCUACAUGUGAAGCGGAGUACAUGGCUGCCUCGNNNNNNNNNNGUCGAUGCAAGCUUUGACACAGAUCCAGACGACUCUAAGUCGCAAACUGGAUACGUAUUUAUUCUUAAUGGGGGUGCGGUAAGCUGGUGCAGUUCCAAGCAGAGCGUCGUAGCAGAUUCUACAUGUGAAGCGGAGUACAUGGCUGCCUCGNNNNNNNNNNACGGCUAAGUAGGGUGUCUGGAUGAAGCAAUUCAUGACGGAUCUUGGAGUGGUGCCAAGCGCACUGAAUCCAAUAACCUUGUUCUGUGACAACACGGGUGCCAUUGCCCUAGCAAAGGAACCACGGUUUCACAAGAAGUCCAGACACAUCAAACGACGCUUCAACCUCAUCCACGACUACGUCGAAGGGGAGGACGUAAAUAUAUGCAAAGUGCACACGGAUCUGAAUGUAGCAGACCCGCUGACUAAACCUCUUCCACGGGCAAAGCAUGAUCAACACCAGAACUGUAUGGGUGUUAGAUUUAUUACAAUGUAAUCCACAUGAUGAUGUGAGGGCUAGAUUAUUGACUCUAGUGCAAGUGGGAGACUGUUGGAAUUAUGCCCUAGAGGNNNNNNNNNNNNNNNNNNNNNNNNNNNNNNNNNNNNNNNNNNNNNNNNNNNNNNNNNNNNNNNNNNNNNNNNNNNNNNNNNNNNNNNNNNNNNNNNNNNNCGGUAUGUUACUUGCCCGAGAUUCGAUCGUCAGUAUCCGUAUACCUAUUUCAAUCUCGUUUACUGGCAAGUCUCUUUACUCGUUCCGUAAUACAAGAUCCCGCAACUUACACUUAGUCACAUUGCUUGCAAGGCUUGUGUGUGAUGUUGUAUUACCGAGUGGGCCCCGAGAUACCUCUCCGUCACACGGAGUGACAAAUCCCAGUCUCGAUCCAUACUGACUUAACGAACACCUUCGGAGAUACCUGUAGAGCAUCUUUAUAGUCACCCAGUUACGUUGCGACGUUUGAUACACACAAAGUAUUCCUCCAGUGUUAGUAAGUUAUAUGAUCUCAUGGUCAUAGGAAUAAAUACUUGACACGCAGAAAACAGUAGCAACAAAAUGACACGAUCAACAUGCUACGUCUAUUAGUUUGGGUCUAGUCCAUCACGUGAUUCUCCCAAUGACGUGAUUCAGUCAUCAAGCAACAACACCUUGUUCAUAAUCAGAAGACACUGACUAUCAUCGAUCAACUGGCUAGCCAACUAGAGGCAUGCUAGGGACGGUGUUUUGUCUAUGUAUCCACACAUGUAAAUGAGUCUUCAUUCAAUACAAUUAUAGCAUGGAUAAUAAACNNNNNNNNNNNNNNNNNNNNNNNNNNNNNNNNNNNNNNNNNNNNNNNNNNNNNNNNNNNNNNNNNNNNNNNNNNNNNNNNNNNNNNNNNNNNNNNNNNNNCAUGUAAAUGAGUCUUCAUUCAAUACAAUUAUAGCAUGGAUAAUAAACUAUUAUCUUGAUACAGGAAUUAUAAUAAUAACUAUACAUUUAUUAUUGCCUCUAGGGCAUAAUUCCAACAGUCUCCCACUUGCACUAGAGUCAAUAAUCUAGCCCUGACAUCACCAUGUGAAUUACAUUGUAAUAAAUCUAACACCCAUACAGUUCUGGUGUCGAUCAUGUUUUGGCCGUGGAAGAGGUUUAGUCAGCGGGUCUGCUACAUUCAGACCCGUGUGCACCUUGCAUAUAUUUACGUCCUCCUCCUCGACGUAGUCGCGGAUGAGGUUGAAGCGUCGUUUGAUGUGUCUGGUCUUCUUGUGAAACCUUGGUUCCUUUGCUAAGGCAAUGGCACCAGUGUUGUCACAGAACAAGGUUAUUGGAUCCAGUGCACUUGGCACUACUCCAAGAUCCGUCAUGAACUGCUUCAUCCAGACACCCUCCUUAGCCGCCUCCGAGGCAGCCAUGUACUCCGCUUCACAUGUAGAAUCUGCUACGACGGUUUGCUUGGAACUGCACCAGCUUACUGCACCCCCAUUAAGAAUAAAUACGUAUCCGGUUUGCGACUUAGAGUCGUUCGGAUCUGUGUCAAAGCUUGCAUCGAUGUAACCUUUUACGGCGAGCUCUUCGUCACCUCCAUACACGAGAAACAUCUCCUUAGUCCUUUUCAGGUACUUCNNNNNNNNNNNNNNNNNNNNNNNNNNNNNNNNNNNNNNNNNNNNNNNNNNNNNNNNNNNNNNNNNNNNNNNNNNNNNNNNNNNNNNNNNNNNNNNNNNNNCAAAUAUUACGGUGGGUGAAUGAAUUACUGUCGAGCAAUUGAUAGAACCGCGCAAAGUCAUGACGAUAUCUAAGGCAAUGAUCAUACAUAUAGGCAUCACGUCCGAGACAAGUAGCCCGAUACUUUCUGCAUCUACUACUAUUACUCCACACAUCGACAGCUAUCUGGCAUGCAUCUAGUGUAUUGAGUUCAUAACAAACAGAGUAACACCUUAAGCAAGAUGACAUGAUGUAGAGGGAUAAAUUCGUGCAAUAGAUAUAAACCCCAUCUUUUUACCCUUGAUGGCAACAACACGNNNNNNNNNNACCGAUACUUUCUGCAUCUACUACUACUACUCCACACAUCGACCGCUAUCGAGCAUGCAUCUAGUGUAUUGAGUUCAUGACAAACAGAGUAACGCCUUAAGCAAGAUGACAUGAUGUAGAGGGAUAAAUUCAUGCAAUAGAUAUAAACCCCAUCUUUUUACCCUUGAUGGCAACAACACGAUACGUGCCUGGCUACCCCUUCUGUCACUGGGUGAGGUCACCGCACGAUAUGAACCCAAAACCAAGCACUUCUCCCAUUGCAAGAAUCAUAGAUCAAGNNNNNNNNNNCGAUAACGACAAAUCAGUAAGAGACAUCAUAGAUCGCACCAUCUCUAAUAGAGUACGAUUACGACGUUCGGACACACCAUUACGCUGUGGUGUUCCAGGCGGUGUUAACUGUGAAACAAUUCCACAUUGUCUUAAGUGAGUACGAAACUCAGAUAUUCACCCCCNNNNNNNNNNUGAUAAUGGCAAAUGGGUAAGAGACAUCACAGAUCGCACCAUCUCUAAUAAAGUACGAUUACAACGUUCGGACACACCAUUACGCUGUGGUGUUCCACGCGGUGUCAAUUGUGAAACAAUUCCACAUUGUCUUAAGUGAGCACCAAACUCGAAACUCAGAUAUUCACCCCCACGAUCAGACCGUAGGAACUUGAUCUUCUUGUUAUGAUGGUUUUCAACUUUACUCUGAAAUUGCUUGAACUUUUCAAAUGUUUCAGACUUGUGUUUCAUCAAGUAGACAUAACCAUAUCUACUCAAAUCGUCAGUGAAGGUGAGAAAAUAACGAUAUCCGUCGCGUGCCUCUACGCACAUCGGACCACACACAUCGGUAUGUAUGAUUUCCAACAAGUCACUUGCNNNNNNNNNNCAAAUAACGAUAUCCGCCGCGUGCCUCCACGCUCAUCGGACCACACACAUCGGUAUGUAUGAUUUCCAACAAGUCACUUGCNNNNNNNNNNCAAGUAGACAUAACCAUAUCUACUUAAAUCGUCAGUGAAGGUGAGGAAAUAACGAUAUCCGCCGCGUGCCUCUACGCUCAUUGGACCACACACAUCGGUAUGUAUGAUUUCCAACAAGUCACUUGCACGCNNNNNNNNNNGCGCUAUCAUUGUUAACUCUAACUCUUUUGGUCUCAAUGUUAUGUAUGUGUGUAUCACUAUCAAGAUUCAAUAUGAACAAUCCUCUCACAUUGGGUGCAUGACCAUAAAAGAUGUUACUCAUAGAAAUAGAACAACCAUUANNNNNNNNNNACGCUAUCAUUGUUAACUCUAACUCUUUUGGUCUCAAUAUUAUGUAUAUGCGUGUUGCCAUCAAGAUUCAAUAUGAACAAUCCUCUCACAUUAGGUGCAUGACCAUAAAAGAUGUUACUCAUAGAAAUAGAACAACCAUUANNNNNNNNNNAUCAAAGUCAAGUGACUCCAAAAGUCCAUCAGCAUGGAGUUUCUUCAUGCGCUUUACACCAAUAUGACCUAGGCGGCAGUGCCACAAAAAUAUGGCACUAUCAUUGUUUACUCUAACUCUUUUGGUCUCAAUGUUAUGUAUAUGCGUAUCGCUAUCAAGAUUCGAUAUGAACAAUCCGCUCACAUUCGGUGCAUGACCAUAAAAGAUGUUACUCAUAGAAAUAGAACAACCAUUAUUCUCUGACUUAAAAGAGUAACCGUCUCGCUAUAAACAAGAUCCAGAUAUAAUGUUCAUGCUCAACGCAGGCACUAAAUAACAAUGAUUUAAGUUCAUCACUAAUCCUGAUGGUAACUGAAGUGAAACUGUGCCGACGACGAUUGCAUCAACCUUGGAACCAUUUCCUACGCGCAUCGUCACUUCAUCUUUCGCCAGCCUUCGUCUAUUCCGCUGUUCCUGUUUCGAGUUGCAAAUAUGAGCAACAGAACCUGUAUCGAAUACCCAGGCACUACUACGAGAGCCGGUUAAGUACACAUCAAUAACAUGUAUAUCAAAUAUACCUGAUUUGUCUUUGGCCGCCUUCUUAUCUGCCAGAUAUUUGGGGCAAUUGCGCUUCCAGUGACCCAUACCCUUGCAAUAGUAACACNNNNNNNNNNNNNNNNNNNNNNNNNNNNNNNNNNNNNNNNNNNNNNNNNNNNNNNNNNNNNNNNNNNNNNNNNNNNNNNNNNNNNNNNNNNNNNNNNNNNAGCGCCACACCAUGAUCUCCAUCAACGUGUCGCCAUCGGGGUUGGCGUGCUACUCAUGCUAUUACUACUAAAGCUACAUCCUAGCAAAAUAGUGAACGCAUCUGCAAGCACAAACGUUAGUUAUAAAGACAACCCUAUGGCUCCUGCCGGUUGCCGUACCAUCGACGUGCAAGUCGAUAUUUUCUAUUACAACAUGAUCAUCUCAUACAUCCAAUAUAUCACAUCACAUCGUUGGCCAUAUCACAUCACAAGCAUACAAUGCAAAAACAAGUUAGACGUCCUCUAAUUUUGUUGUUGCAUGUUUUACGUGGUGACCAUGGGUAUCUAGUAGGAUCGCAUUUUACUUACGUAAACACCACAACGGAGAUAUAUGAGUUGCUAUUUAACCUCAUCCAAGGACCUCCUCGGUCAAAUCCGAUUCAACUAAAGUUGGAGAAACUGACACUUGCCAGUCAUCUUUGAGCAACGGGGUUACUCGUAGCGAUGAAACCAGUCUCUCAUAAGCGUAUGAGUAAUGUCGGUCCAAGGCUUCAAUCCAACAAUACCGCCGGAAUCAAGAAAAGACUAAGGAGGGCAGCAAAACGCACACCACCGCCCACAAAAACUUUUGUGUUCUACUCGAGAAGACAUCUACGCAUGAACCUAGCUCUGAUACCACUGUUGGGGAACGUCGCAUGGGAAACAAAAAUUUUCCUACGCGCACGAAGACCUAUCAUGGUGAUGUCCAUCUACGAGAGGGGAUGUGUGAUCUACGUACCCUUGUAGACCGUACAGCAGAAGCGUUAGUGAACGCGGUUGAUGUAGUGGAACGUCCUCACGUCCCUCGAUCCGCCCCGUGAACCGUCCCGCGAUAAGUCCCACAAUCUAGAGCCGAACGGACGGCACCUCCGCGUUCAGCACACGUACAGCUCGACGAUGNNNNNNNNNNCGAACAAUCCCGCGAUCAAUCCCACGAUCUAGUACCGAACGGACGGCACCUCCGCGUUCAGCACACGUACAAAUCGACGAUGAUCUCGGCCUUCUUGAUCUAGCAAGAGAGACAGAGAGGUAGAAGAGUUCUCCGGCAGCGUGACGGCGCUCUGGAGGUUGGUGAUGACCUUGUCUCAGCAGGGCUCCGCCCGAGCUCCGCAGAAACGCGAUCUAGAGGAAAAAGCGUGUAGGUAUGUGGUCGGGCUGCCGUGGAAAAGUCGUCUCAAAUCAGCCCUAAAACCUCCGUAUAUAUAGGUGGGAGGGAGGGGACCUUGCCUUGGGGCUCAAGGAGCCCCAAGGGGGUCGGCCGAGUCCAAGGGGGAAGCCUCCCCCCCAAACCGAGUUGGACUUGGUUUGGUGGGUGGGAGUNNNNNNNNNNUAGUUCUCCGGCAGCGUGAUGACGCUCCGGAGGUUGGUGAUGAUCUCGUCUCAGCAAGGCUCCGCCCGAGCUCCGCAGAAACGCGAUCUAGAGGAAAAACUAUGGAGGUAUGUGGUCGGGCAGCCGUGAGAGAGUCGUCUCAAAUCUGCCCUAAAAGCCCCAUAUAUAUAGGAGGAGGGAGGGGAACCUUGCCUUGGGGUCCAAGGGACUCCCAAGGGGUUGGCCGAGCCAAGGGGGGAGGACACCCCCCCAAACCGAGUUGGACUUGGUUUGGUGGGAGGAGUCUCCCUCCCUUCCCACUUCUUCCCUCUUUUUUUUUAUUUUCCUUUGAUUUCUUUCUCUUGGCGCAUAGGCCCCCUUGGGGCUGUNNNNNNNNNNGAGUUCUCCGGCAGCGUGACGGCGCUCCGGAGGUUGGUGAUGAUCUCGUCUCAGCAGGGCUCCGCCCGAGCUCCGCAGAAACACGAUCUAGAGGUAAAACCGUGGAGAUAUGUGGUCGGGCUGCCGUGGCAAAGUUGUCUCAAAUCAGCCCUAAAACCCCACUAUAUAUAGGAGAGAGAGGGGGAGCCUUGCCUUGGGGUCCAAGAACCCCCAAGGGGGCGGCCGAGCCAAGGGGGGAAGGAUUCCCCUCCCAAACCGAGUCCUACUUGGUUUGGAAGGUGGAGUCCUUCUUCCCUUUCCCACCUCCUCCUUUUUUUUCUCUUUGAUUUUCUUCUCAAUGCGCAUAGGCCCCUUUUGGGCUGUCCCACCAGCCCACUAAGGGCUGGUGCGGCACCCCCAACACCUAUGGGCUUCCCCGGGGUGGGUGGCCCCCCNNNNNNNNNNUCUUCCUUCCCUUCCCACCUCCUUUUUUUUCUUUUCUCUUUGAUUUUCUUUCCUAGGCGCAUAGGGCCCUUUUGGGCUGNNNNNNNNNNCGGCCGAGCCAAGGGGGGGAGGACUCCCCCCCCAAACCGAGUUGGACUUGGUUUGGUGGGAGGAGUCCCCCUCCCUUCCCACUUCUUCCCUCUUUUUUUUUCUUUUCCUUUGAUUUCUUUCUCUUGGCGCAUAGGCCCCCUUGGGGCUGUCCCACCAGCCCACUAAGGGCUGGUGUGUCUCCCGAAAGCCUAUGGGAUUCCCCCGGGGUGGGUUGGCCCCCCGGUGAACUCCCGGAACCCAUUCGUCAUUCCCGGUACAUUCCCGGUAACUCGGAAAACCUUCCGGUAAUCAAAUGAGGUCAUCCUAUAUAUCAAUCUUCGUUUCCGGACCAUUCCGGAAANNNNNNNNNNUGGUAAUCAAUCUUCGUUUCCGGACCAUUCCGGAAACCCUCGUGACGUCCGUGNNNNNNNNNNGCCUCGUGACGUCCGUGAUCUCAUCCGGGACUCCAAACAACAUUCGGUAACCAACCAUAUAACUCAAAUACGCAUAAAACAACGUCGAACCUUAAGUGUGCAGACCCUACGGGUUCGAGAACUAUGUAGACAUGACCCGAGAGACUCCUCGGUCAAUAUCCAAUAGCGGGACCUGGAUGCCCAUAUUGGAUCCUACAUAUUCUACGAAGAUCUUAUCGUUUGAACGUCAGUGCCAAGGAUUCAUAUAAUCCCGUAUGUCAUUCCCUUUGUCCUUCGGUAUGUUACUUGCCCGAGAUUCGAUCGUCAGUAUCCGNNNNNNNNNNNNNNNNNNNNNNNNNNNNNNNNNNNNNNNNNNNNNNNNNNNNNNNNNNNNNNNNNNNNNNNNNNNNNNNNNNNNNNNNNNNNNNNNNNNNUAUUGCUAACAUGAUUCUGACGGACUUAAGCAUCGCUACGGGUGAGAAGGUCUCAUCAUAGUCAACUCCUGGAACUUGUGAAAAACCCUUUGCCACAAGUCGAGCUUUAUAAACGGUCACAUUACCGCCAGCGUCCGUCUUCUUCUUAAAGAUCCAUUUGUUCUGAAUAGCCUUGCGGCCCUCAGGUAGUAUCUCCAAAGUCCACACUUUGUUCUCAUACAUGUAUCCUAUCUCGGAUUUCAUGGCUUCCAGCCAUUUGUUGGAAUCUGGGCCCACCAUUGCUUCUUCAUAAUUUGCAGGUUCAUUCUUGUCUAACAACAUGAUUGACAAGACGGGAUUACCGUACCACUCUGGAGCAGCGCGUGAUCUCGUCGACCUGCGUGGUUCAACAGAAACUUGAACUGGAGUUUCAUGAUCAUCAUCAUUAACUUCUUGCUCAACCGGCGUCGCAACGACAGAGGUUUCCCCUUGCCCUGCGCCACCAUUUAGAGGGAUGAGAGGUUCGACAACCUCGUCAAGUUCUAUCUUCCUCCCACUCAAUUCUCUCGAGAGAAACUCCUUCUCAAGAAAAGUUCCGUUCUUAGCAACAAACACUUUGCCCUCGGUUUUGAGAUAGAAGGUGUACCCAACUGUCUCUUUUGGGUAACCUAUGAANNNNNNNNNNNNNNNNNNNNNNNNNNNNNNNNNNNNNNNNNNNNNNNNNNNNNNNNNNNNNNNNNNNNNNNNNNNNNNNNNNNNNNNNNNNNNNNNNNNNAUAACCCUUAUCGGUCACAAAGAUAGGUGAAGUGGCAAACUUCGGGUCGUAUUUCAGCCUAGCGUUCAAAGUUUUUUCUUUCCACUUGCGCAGAAGUUUCUCAACAUCAUAGCUAUCCUCACACGCAAGAAAAUCCUCAGCUAUCUCUCCCUCCAUAACAUAGCGCAUAUCAGGCAUAACAGGCAAUUCAGGCAUAGUAGCAGUUUCUACUUCAAUAGUAUCAGCAGUUUCAGAAUUAUCAUCACAUCUAGCAGCAAUUCUAGCAAGUUGUGCAUCAAGGAAUGCACCAAGUGGCAAAGCAAUAUCAAGCAUAGCAUCAUCAGGCAUAGUAUCAAGCAUAGCAUCAUCAGGCAUAGUAUCAAGCAUAGCAUCAUCAUAAGCAUCAUGGGCAACAGAAGUAGCAUCAUCAAGCACAUGCGACAUAUCAAGAUUUCUAGCAGGAGGUGAUGUUGCAAACUUACUCAAAACUGAAGGUGAAUCAAGUGUAGAGCUAGAUGGCAGUUCCUUACCUCUCCUUGUAGUGGAAGGCAGUAUUUUAGUUCUUGGAUCUUUCGGAUUCCUCAUAGUGAUCAGCAGACGUCAAUCCCAAGUGAUUCAGAGAAUAUAAUUGUGCUUCCCCGGCAACGGCGCCAGAAAAAGCCUUGACAACCCACAAGCGUAUGGGAUCGCAGCAGUUUUCGAGGGUAGAGUAUUCAACCCAAAUUUGUUGGUUCACACAAGGGAAGCGAAAAAAUAUUCUCGAGUCUUAGCAGCUGAGUGUGUUAGAUUCAACCACACCUGAAAGAUUAGUGUCUGCAAGCAAAGUAUCAGUAGCAAAGUAUUAUGAUAGUAAUGGUGCCAGAAACGAUCUGUUGACGACAGACUAUUCCUAACUGUUGUAUCAAUGGCGCAGUAAACAACACGUUGACGGGGGACUAUUCUUCCCCAGCAACUGCUCCAGAAAAGGUCUUGCACUAAGUAGCGGGGUAGCAAGGAACAUCAGUAGCAGCAGCAAAGUGACAGCAGUAGCAACAAAGUGGCCCAAUCCCUUUUGUAGCAAGGGACAAGCCUAGACAAAGUAACGUAGCGAGGAGCAGUAGUAAAAGACUCGUAGGCAGUGGAUUGGUGAUGGAUGAGUGUGACGGAUGUGAUUCAUCAUGUAACAGCUAUAACACAGAGAGAUAUGUAACUAGCUCCCGUUCAUCAAUCUAAUGCAGACAUGUAUUCCAUAUGUAGUCAUACGUGCUUAGGGAAAAGAACUUGCAUGACAUCUAUUGUCCAUCCCUCCCGUGGUAGCGGGGUCCUAAUGAAAACUACGGGAUAUUAAGGUUCUCCUUUUAAUAAAGAACCAGACCAAUGCAUUAACACGCGGUGAAUACAUGAACUCCUCAUACUAUGGUCAUCUCCGGGAGUGGUUUCGGCUAUUGUCACUCCGGGGUUGCCGGGUCAUAACACAUAGUAGGUGACUACAACUUGCAAGAUAGGAUCUAAAACACACAUAUAUUGGCGAUAACAUAAUAGGUUCAGAUCUGAAAUAUGGCACUUGGGCCCUAGUGACAAGCAUUAAGCAUAGCCAAGUAGUAGCAACAUCAAUCUAGAACAUAGUGGAUACUAGGGAUCAAUCCCCGUCAAGAACUAACUCGAUUACAUGAUAGAUCUCAGCCAACUCAUCACCGUCCAGCAAGCCUACGAUGAGAUUACUCACGAACGAUGAAGAGCAUCAUGGAAUUGUCGAUGGAGAAAGGUUGAUGAUGUCGAUGGCGACGAUUUCCCCUCCCCGGAGCCCGAAACGGACUCCAGAUCUGCCCUCCAGAUGAAGAACAAGAUGUGGCGGCGCCUCCGUAUCGCAAAACGCGAUGAAACCUUCUCCCUGAUUUUUUUCCAGGCGAAAUGGAAGGUAUAGAGCUGAAUUGGGGGGUGGUGGUGCCACGUGGGCCCCACAAGCCUGCACGGCACGGCCUAGGGGGUGGCCGCGGCCUGUGGGCUUGUGGCCCACUCGCACGCCCACUCAGGUGGAUCUUUGUGCAGAUAUUUUUCUUUUAUUCCAGAAAAAAUCUUCGUAAAUUUUCAGGACAUUCCAAGAACUUUUAUUUCUACACAAAAACAACACCAUGGCAAUUCUGUUGAAAUUAUGCAAAUUAGAGUUCAAAACAAGGGCAAAAGAGUUCGGAAAAGUAGAUACGACGGAGAUGUAUCACCUCCCAACAAGCGCUAUUGUUUAACGCCCUUAGAUAGGCAUUGAUAAUGAAAUGAUGCUCACACAAAAGACCAGAAUUGAAGCACAACGAGAGCAUCAUAAUGCAUGUGAAAAUCACAUCUAAGUCUAACAUACUUCCUAUGCAUAGGCAUUUUAUAGGAAAACCGAUUGUCAAGACAACCAAUAGUUACCAAAUGCAAGGAAGAAGAAAGAGACAAGAGCAAUCUGAACAUAACGAGAGGUGAUUUAGUGAUAUGAAAGUUUCUACCACCAUAUUUUCCUCUCUCAUAAUAAUUACAUGUGGGAUCAUAUUCGAAUUCAACAAUGUAACUAUCACAUAGGAUAUUCUUUUCAUGAUCCACAUGCAUGCAAAGUUGACGCACUUCGAAAAUAGUGGGAUUAUCAUCAACUGAAGUCAUGACUUCUCCAAACCCACUUUCAAUCUUAAUGCAAAUAUCAUAUUCACCAUGAGGCUUAAACAAAUUUUCAAGAUCAUAAGAAAAAUCAUUACCCCCAAUCAUGAUCAUUGCAACAAGUAGUGGACAUAGCAAAACUAGCAUCCCCAAGCUUAGGGUUUUGCAUUUUUUAGCAUGAUUGACACUAAUAGGAUUUAUAGUGAAACCAUUGCAAUCCUGCUUUUCAGUCAAGGAGCCCCCGUGAAUCACUUCAUAAAUUUCUUCAUCACGAUUUUCAGAUUCACGCAUUUCAAGCAAAACUCCAAAGAGAAAGUUAAGUGCACUCAACUCACUAGCAAUUGGAUCAACAUAAUUGGAUCUCUUAAAGAGAUUAGCAAGUGGAUGAGGAUCCAUAUCAAUAGAUUUUCAACAUGCGAAGUGCAAGAAUAUUGACGACACAUAGCACACAAGCGAACAGAAAGCAAGCGAAGGAAAAGGGCAAACGAAAAAGGCAAAUAUAUUUUUGUAAUUUUUUGUUUUUCAGAAGUGGGGGAGAGGAAAACGAGAGGCAAAAAAGUAAAUGCAAGAGAUGAGUUAGCGAGAGUUACUUGAAUGAGUUCUUGACUUGAUACUCCCCGGCAACGGUGCCAGAAAUCCUUCUGCUACUUCUCAAACAACAGCGCCACAAAUUGACACGUUGACGGAGACUUGCUUGCGUUGGUUUUUCCCUUGAAGAGGAAAGGGUGAUGCAGCACACGAGCAGUAAGUAUUUCCCUCAGUUUGAGAACCAAGGUAUCAAUCCAGUAGGAGAAUCUCUUCAAGUCUAGAAUACCUGCACAAACACAAAAGAGCUUGCACCCAACGCUAUAAAGGGGUUGUCAAUCCCUUCAAGAUUGAUUGCAAAGUGAGAUCUGAAGGAGGAAAGUGCAACGAAGAGAAAGAGUAAGGCUGAAAAUAUGGUGUGGAGUAGACCCGGGGGCCAUAGUGUUCACUAGAGGCUUCUCUCAAAAUAGCAAAUAUUAUAGUGGGUGAACAAAUUACUGUCGAUCAAUUGAUAGAAUCGCGCAAAGUCAUGACGAUAUCUAAGGCAAUGAUCAUACAUAUAGGCAUCACGUCCGAGAAAAGUAGACCGAUACUUUUGCAUCUACUACUAUUACUCCACACAUCGACCGCUAUCUAGCAUGCAUCUAGUGUAUUGAGUUCAUGACGAACAGAGUAACGCCUUAAGAAAGAUGACAUGAUGUAGAGGGAUAAACUCAAACAAAUGAUGAAAACCCCAUCUUUUUACCCUUGAUGGAAACAACACGAUGCGUGCCUCGCUACCCCUUCUGUCACUGGGUGAGGUCACCGCACGGUAUGAACCCAAAACCAAGCACUUCUACCAUUGCAAGAAUCAUAGAUCAAGCUGGCCAAACAAAACCCAUAACUUGAAGAGAAUUACAAGGAUAUGAAAUCAUGCCUAAGAGAGAUCAGAAGAAACUCGAAUAAGAUUCAUAGAUAAUCUGAUCAUAAAUCCACAAUUCAUCGGAUCUCGACAAACACACCGCAAAAUAAGAUUACAUCGGAUAGAUCUCCAUGAGGAUCAUGGAGAACUUUGUAUUGAAGAUCCAAGAGAGAGAAGAAGCCAUCUAGCUACUAGCUAUGGACCCGUAGGUCUAUGGUGAACUACUCAUGCAUGAUCGGAGAGGUCAUGGUGUUGAUGAAGAAGCCCUCCGUAUCUGAAUCCCCUCUCCGAUAGGGCACCAGAACGUGCCCCAGAUGGGAUCUUGCGGAGAGAGAAGCUUGCGGCGGCGGAAAAGUACUUUCGAUGAUCUCCUGUUUUUUCUGGAUUUAUGGGAAUUAAUAGGCGAAAGACCUAGGGCAGAGGUGGCCCAGGGAGCCCACAAGCCUGGGAGGCGCGGCCCCCUGGCCGCGGCUAAGGGGCUUGAGGGGUCCCUGGUGGCUCCCUGCCUUGGUUCUCAAGCUUCCCGAUCUUCUUCUGUUUCGGAAAAAAUCUUUUCGGAAGUUUUAUUCUAUUUGGACUCCAUUUAAAAUCCUCUUCUGAAAAGGGUCAAAACACGGAAAAAACAGGAACUGGCACUUGGCACUGAGUUAAUAGGUUAGUCCCAAAAAAGAUAUAAAAGGCAUACAAAACAUCCAAAGUUUGAUAAGAUAAUAGCAUGAAACCAUCAAAAAUUAUAGAUACGUUGGAGACGUAUCACCAAGUCAAGAAUAUUCUCUCGUCAACGUGCUUUUUCUGGCGCCGUUGCCGAGGAAGCACAACUAUAUUCUCUGAGUCACUUUGGAUUUAUGUCUGCUGGUCACUAUGAGUAAUCCGAUAGAUCCAAGAACUAAAGUCUUGCCCUCCACUACGAGGACAUGUAAGGAACUGCCAGCUAGCUCUGCACUUGAUUCACCUUCAGUUAUGAGUAAGUUUGCGACAACACCUCGUGCUAGAAAUCUUGAUAUGUCGCCUGUGCUUCAUGAUGCUACUUCUGCUGCCCAUGAUGCUUAUGAUGAUGCUAUGCUUGAUACUGCUUUGCCUGAUGAUGUUAUGCUGGAUACUGCUUUUCCACUAGGUGCAUUCCUUGAUGCACAAAUUGCUAGAGUUGCUGCUAGAUGUGAUGAUACUUCUGAAGUUGCUGAUACUAUUGAAGCAGAACCUGCUACCUUGCCUGCUAGAACUAGCUAUCCUAGACAUGAAUUGCCUGAUAUGCCUGAGUGUUAUGUUAUGGAGGGAGAGAUAGCUGAGGACUUUCUUGCUUGUAAGGAUAGCUAUGAUGUUGAGAAAUUACUGCUCAAGUGGAAAGAAAAAUCUCUGAACGCUAGGAUGAAAUAUGACUCGAACUUUGCUACUUCGCCUAUCUUUGUGACCGAUAAGGAUUAUGAAUUCUGUGUCGACCCUGAAUUAAUCACUCUGGUCGAAUCUGAUCCUUUUCACGGUUAUGAGUCUGAAACGGUUGUAGCUCAUCUUACCAAACUGCACGAUAUAGCCACCCUAUUCACUAGUGAGGAAAAGAUCCGCCACUACUAUAUUCUCAAGUUGUUUCCUUUCUCGCUAAAGGAUGAUGCUAAGACUUGGUUCACUUCUCUUGCUCCUGGUUGUGUGCGUAGCCCCCAGGAUAUGGUCUACUAAUUCUCUGAAAAAUAUUUUCCUGCCCAUAAGAAGCAAGCUGCCUUGCAGGAAAUAUACAACUUUGCUCAAGCUCGAGAAGAGAGUCUCCCACAAGCUUGGGAGAGGCUCGUCCAUCUACUGAACGCUUUGCCUGAUCUCCCUAUUGAGAAGAAUGAAGUACUUGAUAUCUUCUAUAAUUGACUUACCAAUGCUUCUAGAGACCACCUAGAUAGUUGUGCCGGUUGUGUUUUUAGAGAACGAACUGUAGAACAUGUUGAGAUCCUGUUGAAUAACAUCUUGUGCAAUGAGAAUUCUUGGACUAUUCCCGAAUCACCUCCUAAGCCAAUUCCGAAGAAAAGAGGUAUUCUAUUCCUCAAUCCUGAAGAUAUGCAAGAAGCUAAGAAAUCUAUGAAAGAGAAAGGCAUUAAAUCUGAAGAUGUCAAAAAUCUACCACCUAUCGAAGAGAUCCAUGGUCUUGAUAACCCGAUACAGGUAGUAGAAGUAAAUUCUCUGCGUAGGUUUGAUGAGAGUGAUAUUCCUUUUGAUAAACCUGCUAGCCUAUGCCUGGAUGAAUUUGAUAACUUUUGCCAAACAACGGAGUUUCAAUGAUUAUGUUAGCAGACAAUUGGAACAGAAUGCUCGUAUUCUUAGUCAUUUAAGUGCUUGUGUGGACAGAAACGUCAAUGAUCUUAAGCUUCUGAGUAAACAUGCCUCUAUGGUUACUGCUCAAGUAGAACAAGUACUUAAAGCUCAGAAUGACUUGCUCAAUGAGUUGAAUGACAAUUCUGCCAGAGUCGUUACUAGAGGCGGUAGAAUGGCCCAGGAACCUUUGUAUCCUGAGGGUCAUCCAAAUAUAAUUGAACAAGAUUCUCAAGGAGUUAGCACUGAUGCACCUAGUCAUCCUAGAAAGAAGAAGAAAGAUGAUAGGAACUUGCACGCUAGCAACCCAGAUGUUGAUAUACCUGAGAAUCCAAAUGAUGUCUCUGUCUCUGAUGAUGAAACACAAUUUGGUGAUGAACAUGAGCCUAAUGAUAAUAUCAAUAGUGAUGUUCAUGUUGAUGCUCAACCUAGCAAUGAUAAGGAUGUGGAGAUUGAACCUGAUCUUGAUAAUCCACAACCUAAGAAUAAGAGAUACGAUAAGAAUGACUUUGCUGCUAGGAAGCAUGGUAAAGAAAGGGAACCAUGGGUCCAGAAACCCACGCCCUUUCCUCCCAAACCAUCCAAGAAAAAGGAUGAUGAGGAUUUUGAGCGAUUUGUUGAAAUGACUAGACCUAUCUUUCUGCAAAUGCGUUUGACAGAUAUGCUCAAAAUGUCUCCGUAUGCUAAGUACAUGAAGGAUAUUGUGACUAAUAAGAGGAGGAUACCCGAGGUUGAGAAUUCCCCCAUGCUUGCUAACUAUACCUUCAAGGGUGGAACUCCUAAGAAACUAGGUGAUCCCUGAUACAUCCAUUUUGCAUCAUGCUUUCAUGUUGAUAUUUAUUGCUUUAUGGGCUGUUAUAUUACUUUGUGGUGCCAUAUUUAUGCCUUUUCUCUCUUAUUUUGCAAGGUUUUAUUUGAAGAGGGAUAAUUCACGCAGCUGGAAUUCUGGACUUGAAAAGGAGCAAAUCUUAGUCCACUAUUCUGCACAUCUCCAAAUGCCGUGAAAAGUUACGUGGAAUUGUUUGGGAUUAUAUAAAAAAUACUGGGCGAAAGAAGUACCAGAGGGGGCUGCCAGGGCGCCACAAGCCCUGCCACCACCACCCCCUGGUGGCGGAGGGCAAGCUUGUGGGCUCCCUGAUGGCCCACUAGCCCCCCUCUUUUGCUAUAUGAAGGGUUUCGUUCCAGAAAAAAUCAUUCGGGAUCUUUUUCGUGGUUUCGCCACCGCCACGAGGCGGAACUUGAGCAUAUCCAAUCUAGAGCUCCGGCAGGACGAUCCUGCCGGGGAAACUUCCCUCUCGGAGGGGGAAAUCAUCGCCAUCGUCAUCACCAACACUCCUCUCAUCGGAGGGGAGGCAUCUUCAUCAGCACCAUCUCCUCUCCAAUCCCUAGUUCAUCUCUUGUAACCAAUCUUCGUCUCGCGACUCCGAUUGGUACUUGUAAGGUUACUAGUAGUGUUGAUUACUCUUUGUAGUUGAUGCGAGUUGGAUUACUUGGUGGAAGAGUUUAUGUUCAGAUCCUCGAUGCUAUUCAUUACACCUCUGAUCAUGAUUAUGAUUAUGCUUUGUGAGUAGUUACUUUUGUUCCUGAGGACAUGGGAUAAGUCAUGCUGAUAAUAGUCAUGUGAAUUUGAUGUUCAUUUGGUAUUUUGAUAUGGUGUAUGUUGUCUUUUCCUCUAGUGGUUUUAUGUGAACGUCGACUACAUAACACUUCACCAUACUUGGGCCUAGAGGAAGGCAUUGGGGAGUAGUAAGUAGAUGAUGGGUUGCUGGAGUGACAGAAGCUUAAACCCCAGUCUAUGCGUUGCUUCAUGAGAGGCUGAUUUGGAUCCACUAGUUUAAUGUUAUGGUUAGACGUUGUCUUAAUUCUUCUUUUGUAGUUGCGUAUGCUUGAGAGAGAGGUUAAUCAUAAGUGGGAUGCUUGUCCAAGUAAGGGAAGUACCCAAGCGCCGGUCCACCCACAUAUCAAGCUAUCAAAGUAACGAACGUGAAUCAUAUGAACAUGAUGAAACUAGCAUGACAGAAAUUCCCGUGUGUCCUCGGGAGCGUUUUUCCUCCUAUAAGACUUUGUUCAGGCUUGUCCCUUGCUACAAAAAGGGAUUGAUCCACUUGCUGCACCAUUGCUACUACUUGUUACUUGUUACUUCUCGCUUGCUACGUUUCACCUCACUACAGCAUCACUUGUUACCGCUACUUUCAGUGCUUGCAGUUAUUACCUUGCUGAAAACUGUUUAUCACAGCCUUCUGCUCCUCGUUGGGUUCGACACUAUUACUUAUCGAAAGGACUACGAUUGAUCCCCUAUACUUGUGGGUCAUCAAGACUCUUUUCUGGCACCAUUGCCGGGGAGUGAAGCGCCUUUGGUAAGGGGAAAUUGGUAAGGAAACAUUUUUAUACUGUGCUGAAAUUUAUUAUCACUUGUCACUAUGGAAACUGUUCCUUUGAGGAAAUUGUUCGGGGUAUCUUCACCACGAACGGAAGCAUGAGGAGUUGUUCCUCAACCUGAGGUACCUACUGAAAAUAUCUUUUAUGAAAUUCCUUCGGGUAUGCUUGAGAAACUGCUUGCUAAUCCUUUUACAGGAGAUGGAUCUUCACAUCCAGACUUGCACCUGAUCUAUGUAGAUGAAGUUUGUGGUUUAUUUAAGCUUGCAGGUUUGCCCGAGGAUGAGGUAAAGAAUAAAGUCUUUCCUUUAUCUUUGAAGGAUAAGGCGUUGACAUGGUAUAGGGUGUGUGAUGAUGCUGGAUCAUGGGACUACAAUCGGUUGAAAUUGGAAUUUCAUCAAAAGUUCUAUCCUAUGCAUUUAGUACAUCGUGAUCGGAACUUUAUUUAUAACUUUUGGCCUCGUGACAGGGAAAGCAUAGCUCAAGCUUGGAGGAGGCUUAAAUCAAUGCUAUAUUCAUGCCCCAAUCAUGAGCUCUCGAGAGAAAUCAUCACUCAAAACUUUUAUGCUCGGCUUUCUCAUGAAGAUCGUACCAUGCUUGACACUUAUUGUACCGGUUCUUUUAUGAAGAAGGAUAUUGAUCACAAGUGGAAUUUAUUGCAGAGAAUCAAACGCAACUCUGAAGAUUGGGGGCUGGAGGAAGGUAAGGAGUUAGGUAUGAAUUUCCAGUUUGAUUGCGUUAAAUCUUUUGUUGAGAUAAACACUUCUAGAGAUUUUAGCACUAAGUAUGGACUUGACUCUGAGAUAGUAGCUUCUCUAUGUGAAUCUUUUGCUGCUCAUGUUGAUCUUCCCAAAGAGAAGUGGUUUAAAUAUCAUCCUCCUGUAGAAAGCAACAUAGCCAAAAGCAAUCUAGUUGAGGAGAAAGUCAUUGCUUUUAGUGAUCCUGUUGUUUCUUGUGCUUACACUGAGAAACCACCAUACCCUGCUAGGAUAAAGGAUUAUUCUAAAGCUCCAAUUGUGAUACGUAGGGGUUACAUUAGACCACUUGGACCCCCUGAGGAGAUUAGAGUUGAACCUAGUGUUUCUAUUAUCAAAGAUCUCUUAGCUGAAGACGUAGACGGGCAUGUUAUCAAAUUCUGCGAGGACUCUGCUAGAAUUGCUAAACCUCACGCGAAAGACAAACACAGACCUGUAGUUGGCCUGCCCGUUGUUUUUGUCAAGAUAGGAGAUCACUAUUACCAUGGUUUAUGUGAUAUGGGAGCUAGUGUUAGUGCAAUACCCCGUUCCUUAUAUGAUGAAAUCAAAGAUGAGAUUGCACCUGCUGAGUUAGAACCCAUUGAUGUCACUAUUACGCCAGCUAAUAGAGACACUAUCUGCCCUCUGGGAAUUGUGAGAGACGUAGAAGUCUUGUGUGGUAAGACGAAGUAUCCUACUGAUUUCCUCGUCCUUGGUACUGGACAAGAUAGCUUUUGUCCCAUCAUAUUUGGUAGACCCUUUCUCAACACUGUCAAUGCUCACAUUGAUUGCAUUAAGCAGACCGUCACUGUUAGUUUCGAGGGUGUGUCUCAUGAAUUUAACUUCUCCAAGUUUGGAAGACAACCACAUGAAAAAGAGUCAUCUGGUAGGGAUGAAAUCAUUGCUCUUGCCUCUAUUGUUGUACCUCCUACUGAUCCUUUAGAGCAAUAUCUGCUUGAGCAUGAAAAUGAUAUGCAUAUGGAGGAGAGAGAUGGCAUAGAUAAAAUUGUCUUAGAACAAUAUCCUAUUCUCAAGAAUAAUCUGCCUGUUGAACUGCUUGGGGAUCCUCCCCCACCAAAGGGUGAUCCUGUGUUCAAGCUUAAACAGUUGCCUGAUACUCUUAAGUAUGCAUAUCUUGAUGAGAAGGAUAUAUAUCCUGUUAUUAUUAGUGCUCUCCUCUCAGAGCACGAAGAGAAGAAGUUACUAAGAACUCUGAGGAAGCACCAUGCUGCUAUUGGAUAUACUCUUGAUCAUCUUAAGGGUAUUAGUCCCACUCUAUGUCAGCACAAGAUUAAAACCGAUCCUCACUUUAAACCAGUUGUUGAUCAUCAAAGGAGAUUAAAUCCUAAGAUGAUAGAGGUCGUUAGAAAAGAAAUAUUAAAGCUUCUGGAAGCAGGAAUCAUUUAUCCUGUUGCUCAUAUUUGAUUGGGUAAGUCCAGUACAUUGCGUACCUAAGAAGGGAGGUAUCACCAUCGUUCCUAAUGAUAAGGAUGAACUAAUCCCACAAAGGAUUAUUACCGGCUGUAGGAUGGUGAUAGACUUUCGGAAAUUGAACAAGGCAACGAGGAAACACCAUUAUCCUUUGCCGUUUAUCGACCAAAUGCUAGAAAGGCUAUCAAAACACACACACUUCUGCUUUCUAGACGGUUAUUCGAUUUCUCGCAAAUACCCGUUGCACAAUCUGAUCAGGAGAAAACCACUUUCACCUGCCCCUUCGGUACCUUUGCUUAUAGACGUAUGCCUUUUGGCUUAUGCAAUGCACCUGCCACCUUUCAAAGAUGUAUGAUGGCUAUAUUCUGUGACUUCUGUAAAAAGAUUGUUGAGGUUUUCGUGGAUGACUUCUCCGUUUACGGGUCUUCCUUUGAUGAUUGCCUCAGCAACCUUGAUCGAGUCUUACAUAGAUGCGAAGAUAUGAACCUUGUCUUGAAUUGGGAGAAGUGUAACUUUAUGGUUAAUGAAGGUAUCGUCUUAGGACACAAAAUCUUUGAAAGAGGCAUUGAAGUUGAUAAGGCUAAGGUUCAUGCAAUUGAGAAAAUGCCUUGCCCCACAGAUAUCAGAGGUAUACGAAGUUUCCUAGGUCAUGCUUGUUUUUAUAGAAGGUUCAUUAAAGACUUCUCUAAGAUUUCUAGGCCUCUUACCAACCUCUUGCAGAAGGAUGUUCCUUUUGUUUUUCAUGAGGAUUGUGAGGAAGCUUUCGAAAUACUUAAGAAGGCUUUGAUAACCGCACCUAUUGUUCAAUCACCUGACUGGAACUUGCCCUUUGAAAUCAUGUGCGAUGCUAGUGAUUAUGCUGUUGGUGCUGUUCUAGGACAAAGAGUUGACAAGAAGUUGAAUGUCAUUCACUACGCUAGUAAAACUCUAGACAGUGCCCAAAGAAACUAUGCCACUACGGAAAAGGAGUUUUUAGCAGUCGUGUUUGCAUGUGAAAACUUCAGAUCUUAUAUAGUUGACUCCAAAGUCACUAUUCACUCUGAUCAUGCUGCUAUUAAGUACCUUAUGGAGAAUAAGGAUGCUAAGCUUAGGCUGAUCAGAUGGGUUCUCCUGCUACAGGAAUUUGAUUUGCACAUCGUUGACCGAAAGGGUGCUGAUAACCCUAUAGCAGAUAACUUGUCUAGGCUAGAGAAUGUCCUUGAUGACCCACUACCUAUUGAUGACAACUUUCCUGAUGAGCAAUUGAAUGUCAUCCGCACUUCACAUAGUGCAUCGUGGUAUGCCGAUUAUGCAAAUUAUAUCAUAGCCAAAUACAUACCACCCAGUUUCACUUAUCAUUAAAAGAAGAAAUUCUUCUUUGAUUUGACACACUACUUUUGGGAUGAUCCUCACCUUUAUAAGUAUGGAGUAGAUGGUGUUAUUAGACGUUGUGUGCCUGAACAUGAACAUGGACAGAUCUUGCAGAAGUGUCAUUCCGAAGCCUACGGAGGACACCAUGCUGGAGAUAGAACUGCCCAUAAGGUAUUGCAAUCAGGUUUCUAUUGGCCCACUCUCUUUAAGGAUUCUCGUAAGUUUGUCUUGUCUUGUGACGAAUGCCAAAGAAUAGGGAAUAUCACUAAGCGUCAAGAAAUGCCUAUGAACUAUUCACUGGUCAUUGAACCAUUUGAUGUCUGGGGCUUUGAUUAUAUGGGACCCUUCUCGAAUUCCAAUGGGUGCACUCACAUCUUAGUUGCUAUGGAUUACAUUAAUAAGUGGGUAGAAGUUAUCCCCACUAAAAAUGUUGAUCACCACACCUCUAGUAAGAUGCUUAAAGAAGUCGUUUUCCCAUGAUUUCGAGUCCCUAGAUAUUUGAUGACUGAUGGCGGUUCACACUUCAUUCAUGGUGUUUUCCGCAAGAUGCUCGCUAAGUAUGAUGUCAACCAUAUAGUUGCAUCUACUUAUCAUCCUCAGUCUAGUGGUCAAGUGGAUUUGAGUAAUAGGGAGAUAAAAUUGAUCCUACAAAAGACCGUCAAUAGAUCUCGAAAGAAUUGGUCUAGCAAACUUGACGAUGCACUAUGGGCUUAUAGGACCGCUUAUAAGAAUCCCAUGGGCAUGUCACCAUAUAAAAUUGUUUACGGUUAGGCCUGCCAUUGACCUCUUGAGCUGGAACACAAAGCUUACUAGACAAUCAAAGAGCUCAACUUUGAUUUCAAACUGGCCGGUGAGAAGCGGUUGUUUGAUAUCAGCUCGUUAGAUGAAUGGAGGGCCCAGGCAUAUGAGAAUGCCAAGUUGUUCAAGGAAAAGGUUAAGAGAUGGCACGACAAACGAAUAUAGAAACGAGAGUUCAAUGUAGGUGAUUAUGUCCUGCUAUACAAUUCUCGUUUAAGAUUCUUUGCAGGCAAGCUUCUCUCUAAAUGGGAAGGUCCUUAUGUUAUCGAGGAAGUAUAUCGUUCCGGUGCCAUCAAAAUCAAUAACACGGAAGGAAAAUUUCCUAGAGUGGUAAAUGGGCAAAUAAUCAAGAAUUACAUCUCUCGUACUCCCACAAAUGUUGAGACUAAUAUCAUCAAUGUCAUAACUCCAGAGGAGUACAUAAGGGAUGUUUAUCAACUUGUUUCAGACCCUGAAAACGAAGAGGUAUAUGUUUCGGUAAGAAAUUGGACUCUGAUGCUUUUCCAAUAGGAAAUUUCCUCCGUUUUGGAUUUUUUGGAAAAUUAGAAAAAUAAAAAGUAGUCCGAAGAGCGCACAAGGCGGCCACAAGCUUGGCCACCGCCACCCCCUGGUGGCGGAGAGAGGGCUUGUGGGCACCUCGUGUGCCUCCCGGACUCCUUUUUCUUGCGGAGCACUCCUUCUGGUCCAGAAAAAAUCAAUAUAUAUUCGCCUGAAGGUUUUGAUCUCCGUAUCGCGCAGUUUUCCUCUGUUUUCAUUUCGAGCCUGUUUUUGUGGCAGAUCUAGAUCAUCAUGACUUCCCCAAACGCUCCUAAGGACAAGAUCUUCGAGAAGGUCAUCAAUCCCUACCUCACGAAAGUGCUGAAACACUCUCAAUCUAUCAAGAUGAGCGAGGGGAUGUUGCACAUCCGUGAUGUUGAGGGGCCUAAGAAGAUCGGAAGCAUGGAGACGAGGCUCGAAGCAAUGGAGCAACAAGUCUUCAAGUGCCAAGGGAUGGUGGAUCGUGGACUUAACGCCAACCACAUGAUGAUCACGGAGUUCACUAGCAAUCACAAGAUCGAUGCCAUUGACAUUGGGAAACACCUCUAUAGGCUCUAUGACACGGUUGAUCAACUUCAGGGUCAGAUCUAUGACCUGCAGAACCAAAACUGUGAGUAUGAGUACAGAUUUAAAUCAAUAAGGUUGGCUGCAGAUUUGAGGAUUCCGGCGACUUGUUCAUCCUGCCAUGAUGGGGCACCUAUGCCUUGGAAGAUGGAGGAUCAGACUACUCCAACAACUCCACCACCAUCACCACCAAAGGAAGACAACUAAGCAUUGGUAUGGGCAAUCCCCUUGGCUUCUGCCAAGCUUGGGGGAGUUGCCCUGGUAUCGUAUCACCUUUAUAUCUUUUUCUUUUACCUUUGUUUUAGUUCUUUCCUUUUCAGCUUUUAUUUCUUCUCUUAGAGGAAUAAGUCUUUAGUGUUUAGUUUGAGUCUUUUGCUUUUGUCUCUCCCCCGAUGUAUUCGGGCUUGCGAGCUAUAUAAUAAAGAGUAUCUUAGUCAAGGGCUUUGCUUUGUGCCAUGAUCAAAAGUAUGAAAAGAAUGAUAGCAUGAAAGAUCAUGAGACGAUCUUAUGGAAAGUGAUAACUUCAGAUAUGACACGUAUGAUGAUUGGAACUUGUUGAGAAUAAAACAACAUAGACCUCAGUCAUUGUUGCAAUUAAUAAGAAGUAAUAAGGAAAGAGAGGUUCACACAUAAAUAUAUCAUCUUAGACACUUUUUAAAAUUGUGAGCACUCACCAAACUAUUACAUGCUUAAGAGUAGAUGUUGGACAAGGAAGACAACAUAAUGAAUUGUGUUUGCCUGGUUCCAAACAAUGUUAUAUGAUUAGAGAUACCUUAGCAUGUGACGAUUGCUUCCACAUCACAUUAGCCAGAACUCCCGUGACAGGUGGAGAUACUACUUGUGCAUCCAUAAACCUCCAACCCAGUUUUGCCAUGAGAGUCCACCAUACCUACCUAUGGAUUGAAUAAGAUCCUUCAAGUAAGUUGUCAUCGGUGCAAGCAAUAAAAAUUGCUCUCUAAUAUGUAUGAUCUAUUAGUGUGUGGAAAAUAAGCUUUGUACGAACCUGUGAUGAGGAAGACAUAAAACUGACAGACUGCAUAAUAAAGUUCUUUAUUACAGGAGGCAAUAUAAAGUGACGUUCCUCCGCACUAAGAGGACACACAUUCAAACCUCAAAAGCGCAUGACAACCUGUGCUUCCCUCUGCGAAGAGUCAUGGUGAUCUUCACCAUUUCCCUAUUUUGCCUUUGUCUUGGCUACCGUCACAUGCUUGGGAAAGAUCUAUAUUCAUAUAUCAACUUGGAGUUGAGUACUUAUGCUUUAUUAUUGUUGACUCUACCCUUGAGGUAAAUCGUUGGGAGGCAAAACUAUAAGCCCCUAUCUUCCUCUGUGUCCAGCUGAAACUUUGACACCAUGAGUAACUCGUGAGUUGUAACAAUUGUGGAAAACAAAAGAAAUGAUUGAGUAUGUGGAUUUGCCUUACAAGCUCUUACUUGACUCUUUCUGAUGUUGUGAUAAAUUGCAAUUUGCUUCAAUGACUUUGGACUGUUGUUGGUUACUUCUCGGUAAGGUUUUUGCUUCAUGCUUUGCUUUGUGAAGUAAUUGUUACUUUCCCAUAACAAUCUUUAUGAUGUAUUGUUGUUCUAUGUGUGAUCAUGAUGCGCUCAUGUCUGUAUUAUGUUUUAUCGACACCUUCGUCCCUAAACAUGUGGACAUGUUUAUGGAACUUGGUUUUCGCUUCAGGACAAGCGAGGUCUAAACUUGGGGGAGUUGAUACGUCCAUUUUGCAUCAUGCUUUCAUGUUGAUAUUUAUUGCUUUAUGGGCUGUUAUAUUACUUUGUGGUACCAUAUUUAUGCUUUUCUCUCUUAUUUUGCAAGGUUUUAUCUGAAGAGGGAUAAUUCAGGCAGCUAGAAUUUUGGACUGGAAAAGGAGCAAAUCUUAGUCCACUAUUCUGCACAUCUCCAAAUGCCUUGAAAAGUUACGUGGAAUUUUUUGGGAUUAUAUAAAAAAUACUGGGCGAAAGAAGUGCCAGAGGGGGGCUGCCAGGGCGCCACAAGCCCUGCCACCGCCACCCCCUGGUGGCGGAGGGCAAGCUUGUGGGCUCCCUGACGGCCCACUAGCCCCCCUCUUUUGCUAUAUGAAGGGUUUCAUUCUAGAAAAAAAUCAUUCGGGAGCUUUUUCGUGGUUUCGUCGCCGCCACAAGGCGGAACUUGAGCAGAUCCAAUCUAGAUCUCCGGCAGGACGAUCCUGCCGGGGAAACUUCACUCCCGGAGGGGUAAAUCGUCACCAUCGUCAUCACCAACACUCCUCUCGUCAAAGGGGAGGCAUCUUCAUCAACAUCUUCAUCAGCACCAUCUCCUCUCCAAUCCUUAGUUCAUCUCUUGUAACCAAUCUUCGUCUCGCGACUCCGAUUGGUACUUGUAAGGUUCCUAGUAGUGUUGAUUACUCUUUGUAGUUGAUGCUAGUUGGAUUAUUUGGUGGAUGAGUUUAUGUUCAGAUCCUCGAUGCUAUUCAUUACACCUCUGAUCAUGAUUAUGAUUAUGCUUUGUGAGUAGUUACUUUUGUUCCUAAGGACAUGGGAUAAGUCAUGCUGAUAAUAGUCAUGUGAAUUUCAUGUUCGUUCGGUAUUUUGAUACGUUGUAUGUUGUCUUUUCCUCUAGUGGUGUUAUGUGAACAUCGACUACAUAACACUUCACCAUAUUUGGGCCUAGAGGAAGGCAUUGGGGAGUAGUAAGUAGAUGAUGGGUUGCUGGAGUGACAGAAGCUUAAACCCCAGUCCAUGCAUAGCUUCGUGAGGGGCUGAUUUGGAUCCACUAAUUUAAUGCUAUGGUUAGACGUUGUCUUAAUUCUUCUUUUGUAGUUGCGGAUGCUUGAGAGAGAGGUUAAUCAUAAGUGGGAUGCUUGUCCAAGUAAGGGCAGUACCCAAGCGCCGGUCCACCCACAUAUCAAACUAUCAAAGUAACGAAGGCGAAUCAUAUGAACAUGAUGAAAUUAGCAUGACAGAAAUUCCCGUGUGUCCUCGGUAGCGUUUUUCCUCCUAUAAGACUUUGUUCAGGCUUGUCCCUUUCUACAAAAAGGGGUUGGGCCACAUGCUGCACCAUUGCUACUACUUGUUACUUGUUACUUCUCGCUUGCUACGUUUCACCUCACUACACCAUCACUUGUUACCGCUACUUUCAGUGCUUGCAGUUAUUACCUUGCUGAAAACCGUUUAUCAGAGCCUUCUGCUCCUCGUUGGGUUCGACACUCUUACUUAUCGAAAGGACUACGAUUGAUCCCCUAUACUUGUGGGUCAUCAAUCCCGGAGUGACCACUAUACCUUGCUCCAUUAAAGGAAACUAUGUUAGAACUGCUUUAUGCGACCUUCGAGCCGGUGUUAGUGUUAUGCCGUUUUCUCUUUAUUGUAGGCUUGAACUGGAUAACUUGACACCCACUGAAGCCUCUCUGCAAAUGGCCGACAGAUCAACUGCUUUUCCUAUUGGCAUUUACGAGGAUGUGCCUAUUGUGGUUGCCAACGUUACUAUCUUAACAGACUUUGUUAUCUUGGAUAUUCCCGAGGACGAUGCCAUGGCGGUCAUCCUCGGAAGACCCUUUUAAACACUACAGGGGCUAUUAUACAUUGCAACAAAGGCAAUGUCACUUUCCAUGUCAACGGUAAUGAGCAUACGGUGCACUUUACGAAGAAACAAUAUUGAGUACAUUGCAUCAAUGCUAUCGAAAAAACUUCAUCGAUUCUUAUUGAGAGCUUUGAAUGCCCUAUACCUCCUGUCAAGAUGAAGUAUGAUUUGAUUCUUGGGGAUAUGCACAUGGCUACUUCUCAAACAACAGUGCUGGAAAUUGCCACGUUGACGGAGACUUGCUUGCGUUGGUUUUUCCCUUGAAUAGGAAAGGAUGAUGCAGCACAUCAGCAGUAAGUAUUUCCCUUAGUUUGAGAACCAAGGUAUCAAUCCAGUAGGAGAAUCUCGUCAAGUCUAGAGUACCUGCACAAACACAAAAGAGCUUGCACCCAAUGCUAUAAAGGGGUUGUCAAUCCCUUCAAGAUUGAUUUCAAAGUGAGAUCUGAAGGCGGAAAGUGCAACGAAGAAAAAGAGUAAGGCUGAAAAUAUGGUGUGGAGUAGACCCAGGGGCCAUAGUGUUCACUAGAGGCUUCUCUCAAAAUAGCAAAUAUUACGGUGGGUGAACAGAUUACUGUCGAGAAAUUGAUAGAACCGCGCAAAGUCAUGAUGAUAUCUAAGGCAAUGAUCAUACAUAUAGGCAUCACGUCCGAGACAAGUAGAUCGAUACUUUAUGCAUCUACUACUAUUACUCCACACAUCGACCGCUAUCCAGCAUGCAUCUAGUGUAUUGAGUUCAUGACGAACAGAGUAACGCCUUAAGCAAGAUGACAUGAUGUAGAGGGAUAAACUCAAACCAAUGAUGAAAACCCCAUCUUUUUACCCUUGAUGGCAACAACAUGAUGCGUGCCUCGCUACCCCUUCUGUCACUUGGUGAGGUCACCGCACGGUAUGAACCCAAGACCAAGCACUUCUGCCAUUGCAAGAAUCAUAGAUCAAGCUGGCCAAACAAAACCCACAACUCGAAGAGAAUUACAAGGAUAUGAAAUCAUGCAUAAGAGAGAUCAGAAGAAACUCAAAUAAGAUUCAUAGAUAAUCUGAUCAUAAAUCCACAAUUCAUAGGAUCUCGACAAACACACCGCAAAAGAAGAUUACAUCGGAUAGAUCUCCAUGAAGAUCAUGGAGAACUUUGUAUUGAAGAUCCAAGAGAGAGAAGAAGCCAUCUAGCUACUAGCUAUGGACCCGUAGGUCUAUGGUGAACUACUCACGCAUCAUCAGAGAUGUCAUGGUGUUGAUGAAGAAGCCCUCCGUAUCCGAAUCCCCCUCCGGCAGGGUACCAGAACGUGCCCCAGAUGGGAUCUUGCGGAGACAGAAGCUUGCGGCGGCGGAAAAGUACUUUCGAUGAUCUCCUGAUUUUUUUUGGAAUUUAUGAGAAUUUAUAGGCGAAAGACCUAGGGCAGAGGUGGCCCAGGAAGCCCACAAGCCUGGGAGGCGCGGCCCCCUGGCCGCGGCUAGGGGGCUUGUGGGGUCCCUAGUGGCCUCCUGCCUUGGUUCUCAAGCUUCCCGAUCUUCCUCUAUUUUGUAAAAAAUCUUUUCGGAAGUUUUAUUCCGUUUGGACUCCGUUUAAAAUCCUCCUGUGAAAAGGGUCAAAAACACGGAAAAAACAGGAACUGGCACUUGCACUGAGUUAAUAGGUUAGUCCCAAAAAAGAUAUAAAAGGCAUACAAAACAUCCAAAGUUUGACAACAUAAUAUCAUGAAACCAUCAAAAAUUAUAGAUACGUUGGACACGUAUCAAGCAUCCCCAAGCUUAACUCCUGCUCGUCCUCGAGUAGGGAAGUGAUAAAGACUGAAUUUUUGAUGUGGAAUGCUACCUAGCAUAAUUGUCCUUUGCAACCUCUUUCGUGUGACAUUAAUGUUCAGAUCCGUAAGAUUCAAAACAAUAGUUUUCUAUUGACAUGAAAACAAUAAUAUUGCAAGCAAACUAGCAAGGUAAUCAUGAACUUUCGAAAUAACAAGGCCAAAGAAAGUUAUCCCUACAAAAUCAUAUAGUCUGGCUAUGCUCCAUCAACCUGACACAACUAAUUUAAAGCAUGCACAACCCCGGUAUUGGCCAAGUAAUUGUUUUUGCACUCUUACUUUCUCAAACCUUUCAUAACUAUCACGCAAUACAUGAGCGUGAGCCAUGGAUAUAGCACUAUAGGUGGAAUAGAGUGUGUGGUGGUUGUGAGACAAAAAAGGAGGAGAUGGUCACAUUGACUCAGCGUAUCAAAGGGCUACGGAGAUGCCCAUUAAUAUAUAUCAAUGUGAAUGAGUAGGGAUUGCCAUACAAAGGAUGCACUAGAGCUAUAAGUAUGUGAAAUCUCAAAAGGAGAACUAGUGGGUGUGCAUCCAACUUGCUUGCUCAUGAAGACCUAGGGCAAUUUUGAGGAAGACCAUCAUUGGAAUAUACAAGCCAAGUUAUAUAAUGAAGAUUCCCACUAGCAUAUGGUGGUGAAGAAACGAGAGGCUCUCAAUCAUGAAGAACAUGGUGCUUUUAUGAAGCACAAGUGUGGAAAAAAGAUAGUAGCAUUGUCCCUUCUCUCUUUUUCUCUCCGUUUUUUUUAUUUGGGCUCUUGGGCCUCUGUUUUUUGGGAUCUUUGGCAUAUUUUUUUCCUCACAUGGGACAAUGCUCUAAUAAUGAUGAUCAUCACACUUUUAUUUACUCACAGCUCAAAGCUCAGAACGAUUAUGACUCUAUAGGAAAUGCCUCCGGCAGUGUACUGAGAUGUGCAACGAUCUAGCUUGGCGUAUGACGUUGGAACAUCUCGCUAGCUAUCUUACGAUCAUGCAAUGGCAAUAUGAGAGUGACGACACAAGUCAUGAGACGGAACGGUGGGAGUUGCAUGGCAAUAUAUCUUGGAAUGGCUAUGAAAAUGCCAUAGUAGGUAGGUAUGGUGGCUGUUUUGAGGAAGCCAUAUGGUGGGUUUGUGCACCGGCGAGAAUUGCGCGGCACUAGAGAGGCUAGCAAUGGUGGAAGGUGAAAGUGCAUCUAUACCGUGGACUCACAUUAGUCAUGAAGAACUCACAUACUUGUUGCAAUAGUUUUUAUUAGUAAUCGAAACAAAGUGCUAAAUGCAUACUCCUAGGGGAAGGGUUGGUAGGUGUUAACCAUCACGCGAUCCCGACCGCAACACAAAGGAAGAAAAUCAAUAGAUCAAUUUUGCUCCGACUUCCUAACAUAGCGGUUCGCCAUACGUGCAUGCUACGGGAAUCACUAACUUCAACACAAGUAUUUCUAGAUUCACAACACCCUACUAACAUAACUCUUAAUAUUACCAAAUCCACGUCUCAAAACUAAUUGAGAGGAAUCAAAACUUCUCUUUCUACUCAACGCACAUGAAGAUGGAGGUUUUUGUAUCCUCUUUGGGUACCUAUCACCUUUGGGACUACUUUCAUAGCACAAGCCAACUACCAAGUUACGCACCGCCGUGCUCUAAAAGAUCUAAGUGAAGCACAUAGAGCAAAAUUAUCUAGCUAAAAAGAUAUAAGUGAAGCACGAUGAGCAUUCUAGCAAAAUCACAAUGAGUGAAUGUCUCUCUCAAAAUUUGUGCAACAAGGAUGAUUGUGACACAACAAAAGAGAAAAGACUCCUACGAUACAAGAUGCUCCAAGCAAAACACAUAUCAUGUGGUGAAUAAAAAUAUAGCUCCAAGUAAUGUUACCCAUGGAUUGAAGACGAAAGAGGGGAUGCCUUCCCAGGGCAUCCCCAAGCUUAUGCUUUUUGGUGUCCUUGAAUUUGGCUUGGGAUGCCUUGGGCAUCCCCAAUCUCGAGGUCUUUCCACUCUUUAUCUCUUUUUCCAUGAGAACAUCACCGAAAACUUGAAAACUUCACAACACAAAACUUAACAGAAACUCAUGAUAACAUUAGCACAAGAAAACAAACUACCACCUCUUUAGGUACUGUAGAAAGCUUAAUUUCUAUUUAUAUUGGUGUUAGAUUACUGUAUUCUCACUUUUGCAUGACUAGUACCCCCCGAUACUAUCCAUAGUUUCAUCAAAACAAGCAACCAACUCAACAAAAACAGAAUCUGUCAAAAACAGACCAGUCUGUAGCAAUCUGUAUACUUCGUAAACUUAUGGUACCUCAAAAAUUCUGAAAAAUUACGACUGCCUGGGCAAAAGUCAUAUCAACCGGCAGCAAAGAGAAUCAACUCAAAAUCUCUUUCUAAAUAAAAAUAAAAAAUAAUCUCGUGAGCGAAAAGUUUCUGUCUUUUUCCAGCAGGAUCAAACAACCAUCACCAAGACUAGUCAUAAAGGUUUUGCUUGGCUCAAACACAAAAAGAAACACAAAAAACACAAUCAUAACAGAAUUAUGAUGGUGUGGACGCAACAAAACAGAAAGAAAAAGAUAGAUUCAUUGGAUGGCCUCCCAACAAGCGCUAUUGUUUAACGCCCUUAGCUAGGCAUUCAUAAUUCAAUGAUGCUCACACAAAAGACAAGAAUUGAAGCACAACGAGAGCAUAAGCAUUUUAUAGGAAAACAUAUUGUCAAGACAGCCAAUAGUCACCAUAUGGAAGGAAGAAGAAAGAGACAAUAGCAAUCUCCACAUAAUGAGAGGUAAUUGGGUAACAUGAAAGUUUCUACCACAAUAUUUUCCUCUCUCAUAGCAAUUACAUGUGGGAUCAAAAUCAAAUUCAACAAUAUAGCUAUCACAAAGGAUAUUCUUUUCAUGAUCCACAUGUAUGCAAAGUUGACGCUCUUCAAAAAUAGUGGGAUUAUCAUCAACUAAAGUCAUGACUUCUCCAAACCCACUUUCAAUAUUAUUGCAAAUAUCAUAUUCAUCAUGAGGCUUAAACAAAUUUUCAAGAUCAUAAUAAAAAUCAUCACCCCAAUCAUGAUCAUUGCAACAAGUAGUGGACAUAGCAAAACUAGCAUCCCCAAGCUUAGGGUUUUGCAUAUUUCUAGCAUGAUUGACACUGAUAGGAUUUAUAGUUAAACCAUUGCAAUCAUGCUUUUCAUUCAAGGAGCCCUCGUGAAUCACUUCAUAAAUUUCGUCUUCACGAUUUUCAGAUUCACGCAUCUCAACCAAAACUCCAUAGAGGAAGUCAAGUGCACUCAACUCACUAGCAAUUGGAUCAACAUAAUUGGAUCUCUUAAAGACAGUAGCAAGUGGAUGAGGAUCCAUAUCGAUAGAUUUUCAGCAAGCGAAGAUGCAAGCAUAUUGAAGGCACAUGGCAACACAAGCAAACAGAAAGCAAGCGAAAGAAAAGGGCGAACCAAAAAGGAAAAUUAAAACGGCAAAUAUAUUUUUUUGUAAAUUUUUGUUUUUCAGAAGUCGGGGAGAGGAAAACGAGAGGAAAAAAAGUAAAUGCAAGAGACGAGUUUGCGACACUUACGUGGAUGAGUUCUUGACUUGAUCCUCCCGGGCAACGGUGCCAGAAAUCCUUCUGCUACUUCUCAAACAACAACGCCAGAAAUUGACAUGUUGACAGAGACUUGCUUGCGUUGUUUUUUACCUUGAAGAGGAAAGGGUGAUGUAGCACACGAGUAAUAAGUAUUUCCCUCAGUUUGAGAACCAAGGUAUCAAUCCAGUUGGAGAAUCUCGUCAAGUCCAGAGUACCUGCACAAACACAAAAGAGCUUGCACCCAACACUAUAAAGUGGUUGUCAAUCCCUUCAAGAUUGAUUGCAAAGUGAGAUCUGAAGGCGGAAAGUGCAACGAAGAAAAAGAGUAAGGCUGAAAAUAUGGUGUGGAGUAGACCCGGGGGCCAUAGUGUCCACUAGAGGCUUCUCUCAAAAUAGCAAAUAUUACAGUGGGUGAACAAAUUACUGUCGAGGAAUUGAUAGAACCGCGCAAAGUCAUGACGAUAUAUAAGGCAAUGAUCAUACAUAUAGGCAUCACGUCCGAGACAAGUAGACCGAUACUUUCUGCAUCUACUACUAUUACUCCACACAUCGAACGCCAUCCAGCAUGCAUCUAGUGUAUUGAGUUCAUGACGAACAAAGUAACGCCUUAAGCAAGAUGACAUCAUGUAGAGGAAUAAACUCAAACCAAUGAUGAAAACCCCAUAUUUUUACCCUUGAUGGCAACAACACGAUGCGUGCCUCGCUACCCCUUCUGUCACUGGGUGAGGUCAUCGCACGGUAUGAACCGAAAACCAAGCACUUCUCCCAGUGCAAGAAUCAUAGAUCAAGCUGGCCAAACAAAACCCACAACUCGAAGAGAAUUACAAGGAUAUGAACUCAUGCAUAAGAGAGAGUAGAAGAAACUCAAAUAAGAUUCAUAGAUAAUCUGAUCAUAAAUCCACAAUUCAUCGGAUGUCGACAAACACACUACAAAAAAAGAUUACAUCGAAUAGAUCUCCAUGAAGAUGAUGGAGAACUUUGUAUUGAAGAUCCAAGAGAGAGAAGAAGCCAUCUAGCUACUAGCUAUGGACCCGUAGGUCUACGGUGAACUACUCUCGCAUCAUCGGAAAGGUCAUGGUGUUGAUGAAGAAGCCCUCCGUAUCCGAAUCCCCCCUCCGGCAGGGCACCAGAACAUGCCCCAGAUGGGAUCUUGCGGAGACAGAAGCUUGCGGCGGCGGAAAAGUACUUUCGAUGAUCUCCUGAGUUUUUUCUGGAAUUUAUGGGAAUUUAUAGGCGAAAGACCUAGGGCAGAGGUGGCCCAGGGAGCCCACAAGCCUGGGAGGCGCGGCCCCCCUGGCCGCGGCUAGGGGGCUUGUGGGGUCCCUGGUGGCCCCCUGCCUGGGUUCUCAAGCUUCCCGAUCUUCUUCUGUUUUGGAAAAAAAAUCUUUUUGGAAGUUUUAUUCCGUUUGGACUCCGUUUAAAAUCCUCCUUUGAAAAGGGUCAAAAACACGAAAAAAAAACAGGAACUGGCACUUGGCACUGAGUUAAUAGGUUAGUCCCAAGAAGAUAUAAAAGGCAUACAAAACAUCCAAAGUUUGACAAGAUAAUAGCAUGAAACCAUCAAAAAUUAUAGAUACUUGGAGACGUAUCACACAUCCCCUUUGAGGUAACCUAGUGACUAUUCGAAAAUUCUCCGCUUCCUUUUGCGAUUCGAAAAAGUUUGUCAAGGAGACUUGAUCAACCUCAUUGACGGAUUUCUUUCGAUGACCAUGAGAUGGAUGAAUUGAGGAGUCACAAUCCUCUGUUCCAAGCUUUCACCUUCGGUUGCUUAAAAGAAAAAUGAUAGGUUUAGUUUGGUUUUCCCUGUUUUCUGCAUUUAGCGUCCCGUAGAAAAGUACCCCGAAAAUAAAAAAUUUCCGAACUUCCUGAAAAUCAAGUAUGAUUUUUUCUGGAAUUUUUGAAAAAUACUGAGACGAAGAGCUAGUCUGGGGGAUGCGCUAGUGGGUCACAAGCCCAGGAGGCCCGACCACCCCCCCUGGCCGGGCCUGGCAGGCUUGUGGGGACCACGUGUACCCCCUCCACUCAUUCUAUCUCUCAUCUUCUUCUCCUACCUCCAGAAAAAAUCGUUUCGCAGCUCUAACCCGUGUUCUUGCACCUCUUGCUGAGAUUCUCGAUCUCCUUUCUCAAAGCACUAUUCUCCGAACUGUUUUGGGGAAAUUUCUCCUUGGUAAGUGACUCUCCAUUGGUCCAAUUAGUUUUUCCUCUACUGCCUUAUACUUCGCGUAUAUUUGCUGCCUUAGUGACCAUGUUCUUGAGCUUUGCAUGCUAAUUUUAGCUGGUCCCAAGUAGUUUUGAUGCGUAAUAUGGCCUCUAGGCACUUGUGGGAGUAGUUGCUACGAGUUUAGUUGAGCCUUGUUCACUUUUGCUUAGAAUUACUAAAAUUUGAGAAAUUUUCAGAGAUAGAAAAGGGAAAAGAUGAGGAGGUUCUUAAGAGGCUCUUCAAGCCGUGACCCCAAGGAUGAUGGAAGUGAGAAGAAACCCAAGUAUCCGGUCCCUCGAGUUGCAGAAGUUCGAGCGUGCGAGUGACCAAGCGAUGUGUUCUUACGCACCGCUGGACUUUAUGAGGACUUUUACUACUUGGUGGAGAAUGCAGGCCUUACCGCCUUCGUUGAAGAGAAGUGUCCGCAAUACCUCCUCCUCACUAAUAUCUUCGUACAUAGCUUUAACUUCUAUCCGAGGAAGAAUCCUCCUAUGGUUGAGUUCAAACUUUAUGAUAUCCCCCAGCGCAUGUCACUCCAGGAUUUUUGCAAUGUUUGCAAAUUACCUUACGCUGGGGAUAUGCAUGAACCACGUCCACGGGACUUGGAAGCUUUCAUCGACACUAUUGAUGUAGGAGAGGAGAGAGGAGUGUCUUGCGCUAGAGCUGCUAGCAUACAUUUUCCCGUGUUUCGGUACUUCUCAUUAUUUGUGGGAAAAUGUUUGAUUGGCCAUGGGAAAGCUGGGUCCCUUAGCUUUAACUCCUAUCCAAGAAAGAAUCCUCCUAUGGUUGAGUUUAAACUUUAUGAUAUCCGCAGCGCAUGUCACUCGAGGAUUUUUGCAAUGUCUGCAAAUUACCUUACGUUGGGGAUAUUCAUGAACCUCGUCCACGAGAUCUGGAAGCUUUCAUCGGUACUAUUGUUGUAGGAGAGGAGAGAGGAGUGUCUUGCGCUAGAGCUGCUAGCAUACAUUUUCCCGUGCUUCGGUACUUCUCACUAUUUAUGGGAAAAUGUUUGAUUGGCCAUGGGAAGGCUGGGUCACUUAUUUCCCCAGAUCUUGCGGUCUUGCGCGAAGCCCUUUAUAAUUAUAAAACUUAUUGCUUGGGCGCUAUAGUAGCUCAACGGUUGAACACGAACCGUUCUAAAGGUGUUGUCUAUGGAGGUAUCUAUGCUACUCGUCUUGCUAGACAUUUUGAGAUACCUAUUAGACUAGACGAGAAGAAGAGAUUCUUCUUCCUGAGAGAUAUCUAGAUUAUGAUAGCAUGGUUCACCAUGACUUUCUUGAUAGAGAUAUAAAUAGAAGGUUGAUUUAUAACCUGGUAUUUAGUUAGGGUACUCGUGAGACUAUUACUUUGCCUGCUCCUUUUUUGUUCAAUCUUCAUGCAUGCAGGUACAUUAUUAUGCCCUCAGACAUCUACGCAUAUUGGGGCUUAGCCCAACCACAGUUGCCCGUGCCCGAGCCACCAGUCGAGUACCAGACGCCGGUUUAUCAGUGGGAGCCAGAGGAGCUCACACAGCAGUGGCAUCCUCAGUCCACUCCGGAGUACCCCGGAGCUGGUUAUUUCCCUCCAUGGGAGUAGACCAACUUAGGCCAAAAGCCUAAGCUUGGGGGAGUACGUGUUUCUCAUCGACUUUAUAUUCUUGCUUAUGCUUUCACUCUGUUAGUCGGUGUACACACUUUGCCACUGUUUCAUCCAUGCUAGUUUAUUUCUUUUUCUCGUUAUCUUUUCGUGUGUUUGUCUAGUUUGAGAAAACCCAAAAAGAUUUUCUUUUGCUUCUUUUGUUUGUUGGGAGCUUUCUCGUGAAAAUAGUUUUCUUUUUCUUUGGGUCAAGGUAGAAGACCAUCGUUACAAUGUUUAGUGGCUCUCGCAUGCAUAUCUGCUUAUCUGUUAAAGAACCAUAUUACUUUGUCUUCUCCUUUGUGUUUGCAUGCAGAUUCCAGCUUAGUCCAAUGCACGAGCACUCUUAUUAUUGUUCACAUCAUUCGGUUGUGCAAGUGAAAGGCAAUAAUGACGAUAUAUGAUGAAGUGUGUGAGCCUGGAAAAGCUGGUAUGGAUUCGAUCUAUUUUGUUUUUGUAAAUAUGACUAGCUCAUCAUUCCUGAUUCAGGUUUGUUGUGAGAGAAACAUGUUUGCAAUGACAACUUAGAGAUCAUAGUUCACGAUGCCAUGCUUAAUUAGCUAGGAGCUUAUAAUGGUUUGUCUUGGAUGCCCACAUGAUUAUUGAGAUGACUAUGAUGUAGUAUGAUAGGAUGGUAUCCUCCUUUGAAUGAUUCAAGUGGCUUGACUUGGCACAUGUUCAUGCAUGUAGUUGAAACAAAAUCAACAUAGCCUCUAUGAUAUUCAUGUUCGUGGUGAUUUAUGUCCUACUCAUGCUUGAACUCAAUGUUAGUUAAUCUCAAUGCAUUUUGAUGACUGUUGUCGCUCUCUAGUUGGUCGCUUCCCAGUCUUUUGCUAGCCUUCACUUGUACUAAGCGGGAAUACUGCUUGUGCAUCCACUUCCCUAAACCUAAAGUUGUUCCAUAUGAAUCCACUAUACCUACCUAUAUGUGCUAUCUACCUGCCAUUCCAAGUAAAUUUUCAUGUGCCACUCUCUAAACCUUCAAGAAAUAAUCUGUUUUGCAUGCCCGAACCGCUCAUGUGGUGACAGGGGGCUAUCAGUAUCUUCCAUGCUAGGAGUGUUAUCCUUGAUAUGUGUUUAUUCACUAUCAUUCAAGAGAAAGGGGUCGGUAAUUGGAAUGCCUAGUUCCAUGCUGAAAUCGAAAAGACAAUUGCAGAACAAAACUCCCCCUGGAUUGAUGUUGGUAUGGACGGCACCCGAGUAUUCGGCUAGUCGUGGAGUUGAUUGAUUGGUGGUGGGGGAGUCAAAACUUUACUUUUCUGUUUGGGAACCGCCUAUAGCAUGUGUAGCGUGGAAGAUGGUGAGAACUCUUAGUCAAUGCGUUGACAAUGAAAGCAUGCCACCCAAAAUUAUUAUCUCUGUUUUCAAAGCUUGAGCUCUGGCACCUGUGCAAAUCAAUGCUUCCGUCUGCGAAGGGACUGUCUAUUUAUGUUCCUGUUGAGUCAUCCUCUUCUUAUCAAAGCACCAAUUAGAGAGCACCUUUCUCAUUUUUAUGCUUUACUUUUAACUGUGUUGAGUAUGACUGUGACUCGAUCUUCUUUGCCAUGAAUUACAAUGUUUAGUCAGCCUUUGGUCUUUGAAGGUGCUCUGCAUUUAUGUUUUGCAGUCUCAGAAAGAGCUAGCGAGAUACCAUCUGUUCACACUGCUUCAUGAUUGUUUUGAUUGAAGUGUUGACGUUUGAAACUUAUUAUUAUUGCUUGCUAGUUGAUUAUGCCAUUGAUAUGAGUUUACCGUCAGACCUAGAUGUCAUUUGCUUUUGUGGUUUGCUUAUGAUCUUGCUAAAAUUCUGGAUAUGAGUUAGGCAUAAUUGCAACAACAAGAUCAAACAGAGUUUGUAAAAGUUUUUAUUUUGUCUCUUUCAGUUUGUCAACUGAAUUUCUUGAGGACAAGCAAGGCUUUAAGCUUGGGGGAGUUGAUACGUCUCCGUCGUAUCUACUUUUUCAAACUCUUUUGCCCUUGUUUUAGACUCUAAUUUGCAUGAUUUGAAUGGAACUAACCCGGAUUGCCGCUGUUUUCAGCAGAAUUGCCAUGGUGUUGUUUUUGUGCAGAAAGAAAACUUCUCGGAAUGACCUGGAAAUUUACGAGGAUUUUUUGUGGAAUAUAUAAAAAAUACUGGCGCAAGAAUCACCUGGAGGGACGGAGCCAGGAGCUCACAAGUCCACCAGGCCCACCCCCCCUGGCCGGGCCUGGCAGGCUUGUGAGCCCCUCAGGGCUCCGCCACCUCCAAUUCCAGAUCUAUGUAUCCUCCUUCGACCGGACAAAAUUCAAGGAGAAGGGUUCAUCAUGUUUUACGAUACGGAGGCGCCGCCACCUCGUGUUCUUCCUGUGGAGGGAAGAUCUGGAGUUCGUUCUGGGCUCCGGAGAGGGGAGAUCGUCGCCAUCGUCAUCACCAACCUUCCUUCAUCGCCAAUUCCAUGAUGCUCUUCACCGUUCGUGAGUAAUCUCACCGUAGGCUUGCUGGACGGUGAUGGGUUGGAUGAGAUCUAUCAUGUAAUCGAGUUAGUUUUGACGGGGAUUGAUCCCUAGUAUCCACUAUGUUCUCAGAUUGAUAUUGCUACUACUUUGCUAUGCUUAAUGCUUGUCACUAGGGCCCGAGUGCCAUGAUUUCAGAUCUGAACCUAUUAUGUUGUCCCCAAUAUAUGUGUGUUCUUGGUCCUAUCUUGCAAGUUGUAGUCACCUACUAUGUGUUAUGACCCGGCAACCCCGGAGUGACAAUAGCCGGAACCACUCCCGGAGAUGACCAUAGUAUGAGGAGUUCAUGUAUUCACCAAGUGUUAAUGCAUUGGUCCGAUUCUUUAUUAAACGGAGAACCUUAAUAUCCCAUAGUUUCCAUAAGGACCCCUCUACCACGGGAGGGAUGGACAAUAGAUGUCAUGCAAGUUCUUUUCCCUAAGCACGUAUGACUACAUACGAAAUACAUGCAUACAUUAGAUUGACGAACUGGAGCUAGUUACAUAUCUCUCCGUGUUAUAACUGUUGCAUGAUGAAUAGCAUCCGGCAUAAUCAUCCAUCACCGAUCCAAUGCCUACGAGUUUUUCCUACUGGUCCUUGCUACAUUACUUUGCCGCUACUGCUGUCACUUCUGCUACUGUUACUCUGUUGCUACUACUGUUACUUUGCUACUACUGCUGUCACUUUGCUGCUACUCGUUACUGUUGUUACUGCUGCUAUCAUACUGCCUUGCUACUGAUACUUUGUUGCAGACACUAAAUCUUUCAGGUGUGGUUGAAUUGACAACUCAACUGCUAAUACUUGAGAAUAUUCUUUGGAUUCCCCCUGAGUCGAAUCAAUAAAUCUGGGUUGAAUACUCUACCCUCGAAAACUGUUGUGAUCCCCUAUACUUGUGGGUUAUUGCUACUGCGACAACAGACCUUCCCUGGUACGGCGCCAGGAAUCUUGCUGCUACGGCUACGCCUUUAGGGACUUCCUUGGCAAAUAUGCAAAGGAUUUCCCCGUGGCCUUGGAGCCUUGCAUUGGUGUUCCCUUGAAGAGGAAAGGGUGAUGUAGCACAGCGGCGGUAAGUAUUUCCCUCAGUUUUGAGAACCAAGGUAUCCAACCAAUGGAGGAUCUUGUCAAGUCACAAGUACCUGCACAAACACAAAGAGCUUGCACAAAACGCAAUGAAGGGGUUGUCAAUCCCUUAUAGAUUGUUUCCAAAGUGAGAACUGAAAGCAACAAAGAGUAAACAAAGCAAAGUAAAAGUGAAAGUGGAAACGAUAGGUGUGAAUAGACCCCGCGGCCGUAGUGUUCACUAGUGGCUUCUCUCAUGAAAGCAAGUAGACAGUGGGUGAACGAAUUACUGUUGAGCAAUCUAUAGAACCGCGCAAAGUCGUGACGUAAUCUAAGGGAAUGAUUAUAUCUAUAGGCAUCACGUCCAAAACAAGUAGACCAAUACUUUCUGUCUCUACUACUAUUACUCCACAAGUUGACCGCUAUCCAGCAUGCAUCUAGUGUAUUAAGUCCAAAAGAACAGAGUAACACCUUAAGCAAGAUGAGAUGAUGUAGAUGGACAAUCUCAUAUCUACGAUAAAAGCCCAUCUUGUUACCCUUGAUGGCAACUACAUGAUGCGUGCCUUGCUACCCCUUCCGUCACUGGGAAAUGUCACCACACGGUAUGAACCCAAAACCAAGCACUUCUCCCAUUGCAAGAAUCAUAGAUCUAGUUGGCCAAACAAAACCCAAGACUCGGAGAGACUUACAAGGAUAUCAACUCAUGCAUAUAAGAAAUCAGCAAAGACUCAAAUAUAAUUCAUAGAUAAUCUGAUCACAAAUCCACAAUUCAUCGGAUCUCGACAAACACACCGCCAAAGAGGAUUACAUCGGAUAGAUCUCCAUGAAGAUCAUGGAGAACUUUGUAUUGAAGAUUCAAGAGAGAGAAUAAGCCAUCUAGCUACUAACUAUGGACCCGUAGGUCUGAAGUGCACUACUCACAAGUCACUGGAGGGGCGAUGAUGUUGAUGAAGAAGCCCUCCAACUCCAAAGUCCCCUCCGGCAGGGCACCGGGAAGGGUCUCCAGAUGAUAUCUCACGGAAACGGAAGCUUGCGGCGGCGGAAAAGUGUUUUCGUGGAUGCCCUCAUUUUUUUCUAGAUUUUACGGAAUAUAUAGGCUAAAGAGCUAGGUCAGGGGGGCGCCAGGGAGGCCACAAGCCUGGUAGCCGCCGCCCCCUGGUGGCGGCUACAGGGCUUGUGGGCCCCGUGUGGCUCUCCUGCCUUGGCCCUCAAGUCCCAUGAUCUUCUUCCGUUCUGGAAAAAUCAAUUUCGGGGAUUUUAUUCCAUUUGGACUCCGUUCCAAAAUCAGACCUGAAAAGAGUCAAAAACACAGAAAAAACAGGAACUGGCACUUGGCACUGAAUUAAUAAGUUAGUCCCAAAAAAGAUAUAAAAGGUAAACAAAACAUCCAAAGUUGACAAGAUAACAGCGUGAAACCAUCAAAAAUUGUAGAUACGUUUGAGACGUAUGAAGCAUCUCCAAGCUUAACUCAUGUUCGUCCUCGAGUAGGGAAGUGAUAAAAAUGAAUUUUUGAUGCUUUUAUGCUCCCUAGCAUAGAUGUCCUUUGUAACUCCUCUUAUGUGACGUGAAUGUUCAGAUCCAUUAGAUUCAAAACAAUAGUUUGCUAUUGAUGUGGAAACAAUAAUAAUUCAAGCAAACUAGCAAGGUAACCAUGAAAUUUUAAAAUAACAAGGCCAAAAGAAAGUUAUCCCUACAAAAUCAUAUAGUCUGGCUAUGCUCUAUCAUCAUUGCGCAACGAAUUUAAAUCAUGCACAACCCAGGUAUUGGCCAAGUAAUUGUUUUCACACCUUUACUUUCUCAAACUUUUUCAACUCUCACGCAAUACAUGAGCAUGAGCCAUGGUUUUAGCACUAUAAGUGGUGUGGAGUGUGGUGGAGGUUGCAAGACAAAUAAGGAGAAGAUGGUCACAUUAACUAGGCAUAUCAAUUAGCUGUGGAUAUGCUCAUCAAUAGAUAUCAAUGUGAGUGAGUAGGGAUUGCCAUACAAAUGAUGCACUAGAGCUAAGAGUAUGUGAAAGCUCUUAAGGAAAACUAGUGUGUGUGCAUCCAACUUGCUUGCUCACGAAGACCUAAGGCAAAUUUGAGGAAGCCUAUCAUUGGAAUAUACAAGCCAAGUUAUGUAAUGAAAAUUUCCCACUAGCUAUAUGGUGGAGACAAAACGAGAGACUCUCAAUCAUGAAGAUCAUGGUGCUUAAUAAGCACAAGUGUGGAAGGAUAGUAGCAUUGUCCCUUCUCUCUUUUUCUCUCAUUUUUUGGUGGACUCUUUGGCCUCUUUUUUUAUAUUUUUUUAUUUUGGUGGGCAUCUUUGGCCUCUUUUUGUAUAUGGGCUUCGCUGGCUUCUUUUAUUUCCUCACAUGGGACAAUGCUCCAUCAAUGAUGAUCAUCACACUUACAACUCAAAACUUAGAACAAUGAUGACUCUACAUGGAAUGCCUUCGGUAGUGUACCGUGACAAUGAUCUAGCAUGGCAUAGACAUUAAAGGAAACAUCAUGUUAGCUAUAUUACGAUCAUGCAAUGGCAAUGUUGAAGUGGUGAGACAUGUCAUGGUGGUAGUCGUAUGGCAAUAUAUCUCGGAAUGACUUUGAAAAAGCCAUAGUAGGUAGGUAUGGUGGCUGUUUUGAGGGAGGCUAAUGGUGGGUUUUGUGCACCGACGAAAGUUGCGCGACACUAAAGACGAUAGUGAUGGUGGAAGGUGAAAGUGCAUCUAAACCAUGGUCUCAACAUUNAAAAAGUUUUAGUAGUAAUCGAAACAAAAGCAUUCAACACAUACUCCUAGGGGAAGGGUUGGUAGGUAUAAAUCAUCGCGCGAUCCCGACCGCCACACAAAGGAUGACAAUCAAUAUACUAAUCAUGCUCAGACUUCAUCACAUAGCGGUUCACCAUACGUGCAUGCUACAAGAAUCACUAACUUCAACACAAUUAUUUCUAGAUUCACAACACCUUACUAAUAUAACUUCAAUAUUACCAUAACCACAACUCAAAACUAAUUGAGAUGAAUCAAACUUCCCUAACUAUUCAAUGCACAUGAAGGUGGAAGUUUUCAUAUCCCUUUGGAUAACUACCCCUUUUGAGACUACAUUCAAAGCAUAGAUCAACUACCAAGCCACACACCGUCAUGCUCUAAAAGAUAUAAGUGAAGCACAUAGAGAAAAAUCAACUAGCUUAAAAGAUAUAAGUGAAGCACAUAUGAGCUGGAUUGUCUAACCAAAGGAUAUAAGUGAAGCUCGACAAAAUCACGGUGAGUGCAUGUAUCUCUCUCUAGGUGUGCAGCAAGGAUGAUUGUGACACAACAAAAAUAAAAGACACCUACGAUACAAGACGCUCAAAGCAAAACACAUAACAUGUGGUGAAUAAAAAUAUAGCCCCAAGUAACGUUACCGAUGGAUUGAAGACGAAAGAGGGGAUGCCUUCCCAGGGCAUCCCCAAGCUUAGGCUUUUACGGCAUCCUUGAAUCAUCUUGGGGUGCCUUGGGCAUCCCAAUCUUGAUCUCUUUCCACUCUUUAUCUUUUUGUCCAUAAGAACUUCACCCAAAACUUGAAAACUUCACAACACGAAACUUAAACAGAAACUCGUGAUAACAUUAGUAUAAGAAAGCAAACCAUCACUUCCUUAGGUACUGUAGCAAACUUAAAUUCUACUUAUGUUGAUGUUGGGUUACUGUAUUUUCAAUCUUCCAUGGCUAAUACCCCCCGAUACUAUCCAUAGUUUCAUCAAAAUAAGCAACCAACACAACAAAAAGAGAAUCUGUUAACAGCAGACCACUCUGUAGCAAUCUGUAUACUUCGUAUACUUCUGGUACUUCAAAAAUUCUGAAAAAUUACUACAGUCUGAAGAAUUUGCGUAGCAAUCAGCAGAAAAAUGAAUCAACUCAAAAGCUCUUACAGAAAAAAAAAAUGAAAAUUCUUUUCUUGAGCAGAAAGUUUCUGUCUUUUCCACCAUGACCAAACGAUCAUCCCCAAGACUAAUAAUAACGGUUUUGCUUGGCACAGACACAAAAAGAAACACAAAAAAACACAAUUAUAACAGAAUUAUGAAAGUGUGGAAAACACAAAACAGAAAGAAAAAGGAUAGAUUUGUUGGGUUGCCUCCCAACAAGCGCUAUUGUUUAACGCCCUUAGCUAGGCAAAAGGUGAUGGAAUCACGUAUAGUCAUCUUUGGUGCUCAAACCAUAAGUAGCCCUCAUCAUAGAUUCAUAAGGCAAUCUUAUUUUCUUUCUAGGAAAAUGCUCCAUGCCCUUCUUUAGGGGAAAUUGAAAUCUAAUAUUUCCUUCCUUCAUAUCGAUGAUAGCACCAAUCGUCCUUAGGAAAGGUCUACCAAGAAUAAUGGGACAUGAAGGAUUGCAAUCUAUGUCAAGUACAAUGAAAUCCAUGGGUACAUAGUUCUUAUUUGCAACAAUAAGAACGUCAUCUAUCCUUCCCAUGGGUUUCUUGACAGUAGAAUCCGCAAGAUGCAAAUUAAGAGAACACUCUUCAAUCUCAUGAAAACCAAGAAUAUCACAUAAAGACAUUGGAAUCACGAAAACACUAGCACCCAAGUCACACAAAGCAUUGCAUUCAUAGUUUUUGAUCUUGAUUUUUAUAGUAGGUUCCCACUCAUCAUGAAGUUUUCUAGGUAUAGAGACUUCUAAUUCGAGCUUCUCUUCAAGAUAUUUCAUCAUAGCAUCUACGAUAUGAGCAGUAAAAGCUUUGCUUUGGCUAUAAUCAUGUGGAGAGUUUGCAAUGGAUUGCAUCAAGGAAAUGCAUUCAAACAAGGAGCAACUAUCAUAAUUGAAUUCCUUGAAAUCCAAAGUGGGAGUUUUAUUACUACCCAAAAUUUUGAUUUCUUCUACUACACUCUCCACACCUUUAUCAUCAAGAUAGGUGGACUCCGAAUCAUUGGGGCGUUUUUCAACCAAAGUGGAUUCAUAUCUAGACCCUUCAUCAAUAGGUUUGACACGAGAAAACAAAGAUUCAAGAGGAGUCACACCAAGCAAUUUAAGAUCUUCGUGAUUUGCAUCACUAGAACGCACCCUUUUACACCAUUCAUGCCUAGCGCGAAUUUGGGCGGUUCUUUCUUUGCUCUCAUUCAUGGAGAGACACAUAGAUUUUAAAGUUUCAUCCAAGUUGACCUUGGGAGGAGCACAUCUAACUUUCAAAGCAUCAAUAUCACAAGACAUCCUAUCAACGCUCUUAGCCAAGUCGUCAAUUUUGAGUAGUUUUUCCUCUAUGGACGAAUUGAAAAUCUUUUGAGAGUUGAUGAACUCUUUGAUAUUACUCUCUGAAUCAGAGGGUAAUUUGUUGUGAUUUCCAUAAGUGUUGUUGUAGGAAUUUCCAUAAUUGUUAGAGGAGUUACUAGGAAAAGGCCUAGGAACGUAGUUUCCUCUAAAAGCAUUGUUGUUGCCAAAAUUGUUCCUACCAACAAAAUUAACGUCCAAACUAGCGUUGCUACUCUCAAUCAAGGAAGAUAGUGGCAUGUCAUUAGGAUCUAAAGGAGCAUUUAUACUAGCAACCAAAUUCAUCAAAUUGUCCAUCUUAGCACUAAGCGAGUUAAUUUCUUUUAUAGCGUGUACCUUUUUGCUAGCAGGUGACCUUUCAGUGUGCCACUGAGAGUAGUUGGUCAUGAUAUUGUCUAGGAGUUUUGUAGCGUCUUCUAACGUGAUUUCCAUGAACGUUCCACCUAAGGCGGAGUCCAAGAUAUUGCAAGAAGAAAAAUUCAAACCAGCGUAAAAGAUUUGUAUAAUCAUCCACAAACUCAAGCCAUGAGCGGGACAAUUUCUAAUCAUUAACUUCAUCCUCUCCCAAGAUUGUGCAACGUGUUCAUGAUCAAGUUGCUUGAAAUUCAUGAUAUCGUUACCUAAGGAGAUAAUCUUAGCCGGCGGAAAAUACUUGGAUAUGUAAGCAUCUUUGCACUUAUCCCAAGAAUCGAUACUAUUUUUAGGCAAAGAAGAAAACCAAGUUUUUGCGCAAUCUCGCAACGAGAAAGGAAAAAGCUUCAACUUAAUCACGUCAUUAUCCACAUCUCUUUUCUUUUGCAUAUUGCAAAGCUUAAUGAAGGUAUUGAGAUGGGACGCGGCAUCUUCACUAGGAAGUCCAGAGAAUUGCUCUUUCAUAACAAGAUUCAGCAAAGCUGUGUUGAUUUCAUAUGAUUCCGCACUAGUGGCGGGAGCAAUCGGAGUACUAAUAAAAUCAUUAUUAUUGGUACUCGAGAAGUCACAAAGUUUGGUGUUUUCAGCCAUGAUGACUUCAACAAACAAACAAGCACACAAGCAAGCAAGAAAGCCAGCAAAGGAAAACGGCAACAAGGCAAAAGGAAAAGGCAAAAAGGCAAAAGAAAAAGGCAAAGGAAAACGGCAAAUGUGAAGUGGGGGAGAGGAAAACGAGAGGCAACUCGCAAAAAAGGUAAAUGCAAGAGAUGAGUUUGUGACACCUACUUGGAUAGAUGACUUGAUCUCUCCUCCUUGCUCCAGAAAUCAGCACGUUGAAGAGAGACUAUUCUUGACUUGAUCCUCCCCGGCAACAGCGCCAGAAAUCCUUCUGCUACUGCGACAACAGACCUUCCCUGGUACGGCGCCAGGAAUCCUGCUUCUACGGCUACGCCUUUAGGGACUUCCUUGGAAAAUAUGCAAAGGAUUUCCCUGUGGCCUUGGAGCCUUGCGUUGGUGUUCCCUUGAAGAGGAAAGGGUGAUGUAGCACAACGGUGGUAAGUAUUUCCCUCAGUUUUGAGAACCAAGGUAUCGAACCAAUGGAGGAUCUCGUCAAGUCACAAGUACCUGCACAAACACAAAGAGCUUGCACCCAACGCUAUGAAGGGGUUGUCAAUCCCUUAUAGAUUUUUGGCAAAGUGAGAACUGAAAGCAACAAAGAGUAAACAGAGCAAAGUAAAAGUGAAAGUGGAAACGAUAGAUGUGAAUAGAUCUGAGGGCCAUAGUGUUCACUAGUGGCUUCUCUCAUGAAAGCAAGUAGACGAUGGGUGAACGGAUUACUGUCGAGCAAUUGAUAGAACCGCGCAAAGUCGUGACGUUAUCUAAGGCAAUGAUUAUAUCUAUAGGCAUCACGUCCAAAACAAGUAGACCGAUACUUUGUGCAUCUACUACUAUUACUCCACACGUCGACCGGUAUCCAGCAUGCAUCUAGUGUAUUAAGUCCAAAAGAACAGAGUAACGCCUUAAGCAAGAUGACAUGAUGUAGAUGGACAAUCUCAUAUCUACGAUAAAAUCCCAUCUUGUUACCCUUGAUGGCAACAACAUGAUGCGUGCCUUGCUGCCCCUUCUGUCACUGGGAAAGGUCACCACACGGUAUGAACCCAAAACCAAGCACUUCUCCCAUUGCAAGAAUCAUAGAUCUAGUUGGCCAAACAAAACCCAAGACUCAGAAAGACUUACAAGGAUAUCAAAUCAUGCAUAUAAGAAAUCAUCAAAGACUCAAAUAUAAUUCAUAGAUAAUCUGAUCACAAAUCCACAAUUCAUCGGAUCUCGACAAACACACCGCCAAAGAGGAUUACAUCGGAUAGAUCUCCAUGAAGAUCAUGGAGAACUUUGUAUUGAAGAUCAAAGAGAGAGAAGAAGCCAUGUAGCUACUAACUACGGACCCAUAGGUCUGAAGUGAACUACUCACGAGUCAUUGGAGGGGCGAUGAUGUUGAUGAAGAAGCCCUCCAACUCCAAAGUCCCCUCCAGCAUGGCACCGGGAAGGGUCUCCACAUGAGAUCUCGCGGAAACGGAAGCUUGCGGCGGCGGAAAAGUGUUUUCGUGGAUUCCCUCAUUUUUUUCUGGAUUUUAGGGAAUAUAUAGGCGAAAGAGCUAGGUCAGGGGGCGCCAGGGAGGCCACAAGCCUGGUAGCCACCGCCCCCUGGUGGCGGCUACAGGGCUUGUGGGCCCCCUGUGGCUCUCCUGCCUUGCCCUCAAGUCCCCUGAUCUUCUUCCGUUCUGGAAAAAUCAAUUUCGGGGAUUUUAUUCCGUUUGGACUCCGUUCCAAAAUCAGAUCUGAAAAGAGUCAAAAACACACAAAAAACAGGAACUGGCACUUGGCACUGAAUUAAUAAGUUAGUCCCAAAAAAGAUAUAAAAGGUAAACAAAGCAUCCAAAGUUGAGAUGUAACAUCCCAAAAUUAUAAAUUUUUGGAAUGUUAAUAUAAUUAUUAGAUUGAUCAUUUGUUGGUUGCCUGAGUGAUUGAAACUUGUGUGAAAUUUGAAACUUUUCGAAACUUUUGAAAGAGAGGGAAUAAAAUGACUUUCCCCUUCUCCGGUGAAUUCAAAUUCAAUCUUUUAAAAGCAACGAGAGAAGAUGACAUGACUUCUUCAACCACAAAGAAUUUGAACGGAGAUAUUUGCAUUGAAUUCUUUUGCAUUUCCAUUUCUUCCUCCUCGCACGAAAAGCCCGGAAAAUACUCUCUUGCACGCAAGAGAGAGAGCGGAGGAAAAUGACCCUCCAACGCACGGGAAUUUUUGAAAUGUUGGAGCCAAGAAAAUCCAGGGAUUAUUUGCAAAAAUAUUUGCAAAGAGAAAUAAAGCAAUUUAGUGAAUUUCUGGAAAAAAAACAUUUUUUAGAAGUUUUUAUUUUGGCUUUAAAAAAAUGUUAUUCGGGUAGAGAUUCUUUUUCUGAUUUUUUUUGGUAUAUAAUACCAUAUAUAAAUUUUUUUAUUUACUUUCUUUUUUUAGCUUUUAUUUUUCUGUUUUGGAAAGGUUAGAUAAUAGGAAAGAUUUAUUUUUUUUCUUGCAGCCGCCGUCGGGCGCUAGAUAGCCAAGCUCGGCCGAAUCCCACUUACCAGGGAUCCCAAAUCCUUUAAAUCGGCCACUGCCCCCCUGUCUUUUCCCUCCCUCCUCCUCACUGCCAGUGGCCCCCCACCACCCGAGCAUCUCCCUCCACGUCACCUUCUCCUUCCCUCCCUCUCUUUCCUUCUUCUCCCAGACCGAGCCGCACCACCAGCGAUCUCCUUCCCCACUGCCUCCCUCUCCUUUCCAUAGCCCACCCCCUCCGAAGCCUAUAUAUACCCCCCCACCUCAGCCGACCCCUUACCCAACCCUAGCCGCCGCCCCACUCCCCUAGCCACCGCCCCAUCCCCUAGCCACCGCCACCACGAGCUGCCGCCGGAGUAGCAGCAGCAGCAAGCUACUGCCUCUCCUCGGCCCGCCCCUGGGAGCAGCCCCCNNNNNNNNNNNNNNNNNNNNNNNNNNNNNNNNNNNNNNNNNNNNNNNNNNNNNNNNNNNNNNNNNNNNNNNNNNNNNNNNNNNNNNNNNNNNNNNNNNNNGUUAAUUAUUUAGUUCACUCCCGGUUAUCUACACGGCAAUAUUAAUGUUGUCAAACAUGCAAGAGGUGACGCGAAAAUUAAACUACCUAUCUAGGCAUUUUAAGUGAGGUCGGAAAUGACAUAUAGCACCUCUGAAACGCCUCACAUGUUAAAUUACAAUUCUGUACAGAUCUGAAUUAACGCAUUUAAUUAGUUGUUAAACAGCAAAACAAAGAGGUUCACGUGAUUCUACGCGUCAAGGCAAGCAACCUACAUGUGAAGAACAUCUCCAAUGGAGCUACGGAUCAAAAGAUACAAGCACCGCAAGAUAUGAUGGCAUGAAUGCAAAAUGUGUGCAACGACGGUCACGAGCACUUCAAAACAAACAACCAGCAAGAGAAAAAGAAACUACACAAGAUUCUAAGCAAGUUUCAUGUAGGACACGAUCUAAUCGGAGCUACGGUUCAAAAACUACGAGCAAAACAAGAAAUCACUCCAAUCUGCCAAAAUCAGCCACAUAGCAUAUUCUACGCCUCACAACUACGGCUACACAACUCCGAUAAACUCAAUCAAGGCAUGGCAUGGAAGAGGGCAAGAAGCACUACUACAAACAACUAACAACAACUAGCAUGGCAGCAAGGAGCACUAGGGAAAGAAGACACAAAAUGGCAUCUCAUGCACUAUUUCAGACUUAGUGAAAAUUACACCUCAUGAAAGUGCAGUUUUCAGCCUGAAGGCAUAUUGACAGCAGCAAAAACCUAAGCUACAGGACUCCAAAUGGCAUGAAACUUAACAGCAUGCUAGAGAAACAUGAGGGGUACGACUAACUCCAUUGGACCAACCCCAAAAGAGCUACAGAUCACAAGAUGCAAGCAAGACAAGACAGCAACAAAAUAUAACAGAUUCCAGACUUAGAAAUAUUUCAGCUCCUCUAAAACAGCACUAUUUCUAGCAACUUGAGAGCAAGAAAACAACACCUAAACAUGCAUUUCUAUUGCAACUAAAAAUACCAGGGGCUAAACAAAACAUCCAAGAUCAACUCUCCAGUUGACAACUCCGUCAAACGACGCACGGAAUAAAUCCUACGAAUUAAACAAAAGGGCAACACGGCAAAAUAUCGCGCGAACUAACUUCCUCAAAAGCUAAAAGUAAUUGCACAGAAAAAACAUAUAAAAUAUGUGGGGUUUGCAGCACGAAAUAAUGCCACACAUUAAUGCGAGAGAAUAACCUAUAUACGGGAAAAUAAACUAGAGGCAAUUUCCUACACGUAAAAAUACAAUUGACCGCUCUAAAAUACAUGGAAAAUAGCUCCCUAGAGCAUGGACAUUUAUCCUACGUCAUACGAACAACCCGGACACGCGCGAAAAAUAACUACGGAUCGGAACCUAUUGUAACAGCACGCAAAACAAAGCAUUAGGCACCCUAAACAGCGUUAAACAAUUAUGCAUGUUUCAAAUUCGUAUUCUACGCGCGAAACUACCACAAAACCAUAUAUAACACGUCUCGAACCGGCUUACGGUUUAAAAGUUACGGGGGUUUUAAUACAACUAUAUUCCUAAAAAUAUUAAAUCGCGGAUAAAAUCUCUAAAAUUCCAGUCGGGCCGAACUGGGCCAAAAGGGCNCUCGACGGGCAACUGGGUCGUCGGCCAGCGCGAGGUCAAGCUCCCACCGAUCCGGUACGGGAGCGGCGACUGGAUCGCGGAGACGCAGGGGCGUGAGCUCGCGUUGGCAGCUGCAGGAGCGGUUCGGGCCUGGCGGGCCUCGCGUGGGCUGGAGGGGUGCUUAAAUAGGAAAAAGGGGCUAGGGUGCAGGGUAUCUGGGGGUUUUUCGACCCUCCGGUCGCGUUCGUGCGAUCCGAUCGGAGGGGCGGGUUAGGGUUAGGUGUGCAGAGUGGCGUUGGCUAAGAUGAGAGGGAUGUGGUGCAGCGCGGCAUCGACUUUUAAAACACCGACAGACGUCCGAUGAAUAACCGAAGACGGUGCCGCUACGGGCGACCGUUCGGGUACCAGACGGCCUCCGAUCGUGACGAAAUUCGACAGGCGGCCUGGCUCUAUCUAAUCGCGACCGCGUGCCAAGUUUCACCUCGAUCAGAGAAAGUUUUAAACACACUUUAAAAACAGGGUUUCGACGGUGCCGCGGGCGCAUCCGAGUGCGGUCGGACUCAGGACGGACGACGUCGAGAACCGGCAACUACUAACGAAUGCAAGUUUUGAAAACUGACAGCAACGGAGAUGCCGAUGCAAUGCAGAUGAUGCGCAUGAUGCGAUGAUGAUGCAACAAAAUAAAACAGACACGCGACGAAAACGGAAAGAAAGGGGAAUCUUCUGGAACGUCGGCAUCGGGCUGUCACACCUAGGUCUUCGCUCUAGUAUUUUUUAUAUUUUCCAAAAAUAUUCUACGUAAAUUUUCAGUCCAUUCCGAGGACUUUUAUUUCUACACAAAAAUGACGCCAUGGUAGUUCUAGUGAAAACAACGUUAGUCUGGGUUAGUUCUAAUAAAAUCAUAUAAUUUUUUUGUAAACAUGGCAUGAAUACUUCACAAGUUAUAGAUACGUUGGAGAUAUAUCACCAUCGCCAAGCUUAAUUCCAUCUUGUCCUAAUAUAUGAAGUGUGAAUGCUAGCAAGUGCACAAGUUUGAUCAAUGAUACUUCCAAUUACUUUUUCUAGAAUCAAUAUAAACCAUAAAUAGUAGCUCAUCUCAUAAAACUUCUCAUGAUCAAGUAACAAGCUAUUCACAUGUUAAAGUAUAGACCAAAAAGUUUCUUCAAAACUAACAAACCAUAAUCCUAGUUAUCGAACAAUUGCAAUUCAUGUUAUUUUCAAGAAGGGUCUAUGUAAGAGCUUUGAUUUAGCAAAUUCCACAUACUCAACUAUCAUAUAGUCUUCCAUGAUUGCUAACACUCAAAGCAUACUUUUAGAGCAAAUGGCAUCCGUCGAACACACAGAAAGAUAGGGGCUUAAAGUUUCGCCUCCCAACUUAUUUAUCAUAUAGAUAAUUGUCAACCAUAAUAAUUCAUGGUCACAUAUAUUUGAAUAGCCAUAUAUGCUUGGAUCUUUCCACACUACAUGAUGCUUGCCAAGAGAAAAAGGCAAAAUAUAGGAAGUGGUGAAGAUCACCAUGACUCUUGUAUAAAGGUAAUCCCUUCGCAGAGGGAAGCAUUAAUUUGCAGAGGUGCCAAAGCUCAAGCUUUUAAAUCAGAGACGAACAAUAAUUUUGAGUGGUAUGCUUUCAUUGUCCACAUAACAAUCGAGAGAUCUCGGUAUCUUCCAUGCUAGAUACAUUAUAGGCGGUUCCAAACAGAAUGGUAAAGUUUUUUACUCCGCCUCCACCAAUCAAUCACACUCCACGGCGAGCCGAAUCCACGGGUACCGUCCAUACAAACAACAAUCCUGGGGGAGUUUUGUUUCAUUACAUUUUGAUUUGAUUUUUUUAGCGUGGGACUGGGCAUCCCGAAUACCAGCCACAUUCUCGAGAAUGAUAGUGAAUCAACACAUAUCCUAAGGAUAACUCACCUAGCAUGGAAGAUACUGACAUCACCUAGUCACUAUAUUGAGCGAUUCGGACAUACAAAACAGAAUAUUAUUUGAAGGUUUAGAGUUUGGCACAUGCAAAUUUACUUGGAACGGCAGGUAAAUACCGCAUAUAGGUAGGUAUGAUGGACUCAUAUGGAACAACUUUGGGUUUAAGGGUGUUUGGAUGCACAAGUAGUAUUUCCACUUGGUGCAGAAAUUUUGGCUAGUAUGAGGUGGAAGCAAGCACCACAUGUUGGAGGAUCCAUAACAAUAUAACUUCUAUACAAAUAUACCCAAGCAUAACUCAUUACUUUGUCUUCCUUGUCCAACUUCAACUAAUUUGCUCAAGUUUGAAAAUAAUUAACGGGUAUUCACUGUCAUAGAAUAUUUCCAAGAUAGUAUAUUUAUAUGUUAAAUCUCUCUUCCUUCAUUAUUCUUUCAUGAAUUGUUCAAGUGACCAAUGCGGUGUUUGCUAACUUUCAAUAAAUUUUACCACCUAUACUUCUUAUAUGCGAAGUCAUUACUCCACAUGUGAUAAGCAUAUAAAACAUAUAUAAUUUCAGAUUUAUGAUAUUCAAUUCAUUCAACCAUUUAGUCAUAGGAUAUAAGUGAAGCACGAGAGUAAAUGAGAAAACUACUCCAAAACAUAUACGUGAAGAUUAAUGAGUAGUCAAACAAUUAAGUAGCUAUGUGAGGACUUUCUAUCUCUCUCUUAAUAAAUAUUUUCGGAUCUGAGUAUUUAAUUUAAACAUCAAUCAAAAUAAAAAUAGCACUCCAGGAAUAGGACGCAUCAUGUGAACAAAUAAAAAUUUAGGCUCAGCAUAGGCUAACCCAUAGUCGACGAAGAGAGGUGGGAUGCGUAGCAUCCCCAAGCUUAGAUGUUUGACGCUUCUUGAAAUGUUUACUUGGGGUGCCUUGGGCAUACCCAAUCUUGAGAUUUUGUAUCUCGUUCAAUCCUCUCAUGUCGUGGUUUCACCUAUUCUCAAAAACAUCUUCCACACAAAACUUGAAAAGAACUCAUGAGAUAGGUUAGUACACAUAAGAAUAAAUCAACUCUUUAUGUACUUCCAAGACAAGUUCCAUAAUAAUUGAAAACAUCAUCCACUGUUUACUAUCAUUUCCACUAUUUAUAUCUAUCAAUAUAGGCUAUGGAAACUAUAGGAUAAGUGGAUAACCAAACUAUGACAACAAUCUGUCCAAACAGAACAGUCCGUAGAAAUUUAUGAAAACAGUGUACUUAUAUAACUCAAAAAAAUAUAAAAAUUUAGAAAAUGCUAUAAUAUUUAUAUUACAGCACUGUGUAAAAAUUUCAUAAAAUUUCAUGUUCGAGUAAAAUAAGAAAAUUCAAACACUACAACACCAAUUUCUAUUUUUACACAUCACCAAUCAAAGCAUGCAAUGCAAGCAUCCUAAUGCAAUUCUUGGAAAUUUUUAUUGAAAAACAAGAUUAUAAAUAACACCUAACAGAGAACAACAAUAUAAAAUGACGCUCCAAGGAAAACUCAUACUAUGUGACGAAUAAAAACAUAGCUCCAAGUAAGAUAUACCGAUAAUGUUGAAGACGAAAGAGGGGAUGCCUUCCGGGGCAUCCCCAAGCUUAGGCGCUUGAGUCUUCCUUGGAUAUUACCUUAGGGGUUCCUUGGGCAUACCCGAUCUUAGGUUCUUGUCACUCCUUAUUCUCCUCAUGUCGGUAUCUCACCCAAAACUUGAAAACUUCAAUCACACAAAACAUAACGGAACUUCAUGAGAAGGGUUAAUAUAAUAAAUAACGAUCAUUCGCUUAGGUACUGUGAAGACAAGAUUCAUAAUUGUUCCGAAAUGAUACCUACUGUAUUCUACUAUUCCCAUAAUUUAUAUGACUGAAUAUAAGCUAUGGGAACAUUAAAACAAGCAAACUAUGCAUGCAAAACAGAAUCUGUCAAAAAACAGAACAACCUCUGCAAAUCUGUAGUGUAACCAUACUUACCUGUCUCCCAAAAUUCUAAACAAUUAGUAAAAUCCAGUCAAUUUGUAUAUAAAUCACGUGUAAAAAAUUCAGAUCAAAAUCACGUUCCAGUGAAUUUACAUGAUUCCUGGACUUAGAGCAAAUGUUUCUGUUUUUGCACAGAAUCAAGUCAACUAUCAUCCACACUAUCCCAAAGGCUUUACUUGGCACUUUAUUGAAAUAAAAGGCAUAAAACAUGAUUACUACAGUAUUUUAAUCAUGUUAAAACCAAAAAACGAAAAGUAAAAGGGUUGGGUUGUCUCCCAACAAGCGCUUUUCUUUGAAGCCUUUUAGCUAGGCAUGAUGAUUUGAAUGAUGGUCACAUAGGAAUAAUAAUUAUAACAUACAAAAGAGCAUCAUGAAUCUCAUAACAAGCACAUUUAAGUCUAACCCACUUCCUAUGCAUAGGGAUUUGGUGAACAAGCAAUUUAUGGGAGCAGAAAUCAACUAGCAUAGGAAGGCAAAACAAGCAUAACUUCAAAACUUUGAACACAUAGAGAGGAAACUUGAUAUUAUUGCAAUUCCUACAAGCAUAUGUUCCUACCUCAUAAAAUUUUUCAGUAGCAUCAUGAAGGAAUUCCACAAUAUAACCAGCACAUAAAGCAUUAUUUUCAUGAUCUACAAGCAUAGAAAAUUUAUCACUCUCCACAUAAGCAAACUUCUUGUCAUUCAUAAUAGUGGGAGUAAACUCAACGAAAUAACUAUCAUGAGGUACUUGAUUGACAUAACCACUUUGAAUAUUAAAAUCAUGAUAAAAAGUUUCAUGAUUACUGUCACUCUUUAUAGCAUACAUGUCAUCGCAAUAAUCAUCAUACAUAGGAGGCAUGCUAUCAUCAUAAUAGUUUUGCUCAUCAAAACUUGGGGGAUUAAAAAUAUAAUAUUCAUCAAGCAUAGCAUCCCCAAGCUUGUGGCUUUGCAUAUCAUUAGCAUCAUGAAUAUUCACAGAAUUCAUACUAAAAAUAUUACUAUCUUUCUCAUGACUCAAAGAUAUAGUGCCAAACAUUUUAAUAACUUCUUCGUCUAACACUUGAGCACAAUUUUCCUUUCCAUCAUUUUCACGAAAGACAUUGAAAAGAUGAAGCAUAUGAGGCAACCUCAAUUCCAUUAUUUUGUAGUUUUCUUUUACAAAACCAAACUAGUGAAAAACAAGAAUCUAAAAGAUUUAAUUGCAAGAUCUGAAGAUAUACCUUCAAGCAGUCACCUCCCUCGCAAUCGCGCCAGAAAAGAGCUUGAUGUCUACUACACAACCUUCUUCUUGUAGACUCGUGUUGGGCCUCCAAGCGCAGAGUUUUGUAGGACAAUAGAAAGUUUCCCUCAAGUGGAUGACCUAAGGUUUAUAAAUCCAUGGGAGGCGUAGGAUGAAGAUGGUCUCUCUCAAGCAACCCUGCAAUCAAAUAACAAAGAGUCUCUUGUGUCCCCAACACACCCAAAACAAUGGUAAAUUGUAUAGGUGCACUAGUUUGGCGAAGAGAUGGUGAUACAAGUGUAAUAUGGAUGGUAGAUAUAGGUUUUUUAAUCUGAAAAUAUAAAAACGACAAGGUAUCAAAUGAUAAAAGUGAGCACAAACGGUAGUGCAAUGCUUAGAAACAAGGCCUAAGGUUUAUACUUUCAGUAGUGCAAGUUCUCUCAACAAUACUAACAUAGUUGAAUCAUAUGUAAAUACCUCUCGUGCGAAAAAGAGUUCACUCCAAAGUCAAAAAUAGUGGAGAAAUAACGAAGAAAUUAUUGUAGGGUACGAAACCACCUCAAAGUUAUCUUUUCUGAUCAAUCUUUUGAGCUAUCCCUAUAAGUGUCACGAACAUCCCUAGAGUUCGUACUAAAAUAGCACCUUAAGACACACAUCAACCAAAACCCUAAUGUCACCUAUAUACUCCAAUGUCACCACAAGUACCCAUGGGCUUGAUUAUACGAUAUACAUCAGACAAUUUCAGAUUCAUCAUGUUCAAUCCAACACAUAGAACUUCAAAGAGUGCCCCGAAGUUUCUAUCGGAGAGUCGAGACGACAACAUGCGCCAACCCCUAUGCAUAGAUUCCCAAGGUCAUGGAACCCGUGAUGACCCACAAGUAUAGGAGAUCAAUCGUAGUCCUUCCAAUAAGUAAGAGUGUCGAACCCAACGAGGAGCAGGAGGCUCUGAUAAACGGAUUUAAGCAAGGUAAUAACUGCAAGCACUGAAAGUAGCGGUAACAAGUGAUUUUGUAGCGAGGUGAAACGUAGCAAGCAAAGAGUAACAAGUAACAAGUAGUAGAAACGGUGCAGAAAGUGUCCCAAUCCCUUUUGUAGCAAGGGACAAGCCUGAACAAAGUCUUAUAGGAGGAAAAAUGCUCCCGAGGACACACGGGAAUUUCUGUCAUGCUAGUUUCAUCAUGUUCAUAUGAUUCACGUUCGUUACUUUGAUAGUUUGAUAUGUGGGUGGACCGGUGCUUGGGUACUGCCCUUACUUGAACAAGCAUCCCAUUUAUGAUUAACCUCUCUCGCAAGCAUCCGCAACUACAAAAUAAUAAUUAAGACAAAGUCUAACCAUAGCAUUAAACUAGUGGAUCCAAAUCAGCCCCUUACGAAGCAACGCAUAGACUCGGGUUUAAGCUUCUGUCACUCCAGCAACCCAUCAUCUACUUACUACUUCCCAAUGCCUUCCUCUAGGCCCAAAUAUUGUGAAGUGUUAUGUAGUCGACGUUCACAUAACACCACUAGAGGAAAAGAUAACAUACAACAUAUCAAAAUACCGAACGAAUAUCAAAUUCACAUGACUAUUAUUAACAUGACUUAUCCCAUGUCCUGAGGAACAAAAGUAACUACUCACAAAGCAUAAUCAUAAUCAUGAUCAGAGGUGUAAUGAAUAGCAUCAAGGAUCUGAACAUAAACUCUUCCACCAAGUAAUCCAACUAGCAUCAACUACAAAGAGUAAUCAACACUACUAGCAACCUUACAAGUACCAAUCGUAGUUGCGAGACGAAGAUUGGUUACAAGAGAUGAACUAGGGGUUGGAGAGGAGAUGGUGUUGAUGAAGAUGUUGAUGAAGAUGCCUCCCCUCCCACGAGAGGAGUGUUGGUGAUGACGAUGGCAACAAUUCCCCCCUCCGGGAGGGAAGUUUCCCCGGCAGGAUCGUCCUGCGGGAGCUCUAGAUUGGAUCUGCUCAAGUUCCGCCUCGUUGCGGCGGCGAAACCACGAAAAAGUUCCCUCUUGAUUUGUUCUAGACCAGGAUGCCUCAUAUAGAAAAAGAGGGGGGCUAGUGGGCCGUCAGGGAGCCCACAAGCCCCCACUCCACCACCAGGGGGGUGGCAGUGUCAGGGCUUGUGGUGCCCUGGAAGCCCCCCUCCGGUAGUUCUUUCGCCCAGUAUUUUUUAUAUAAUCCAGAAAAAAUCCACGUAACUUUUGACGGCAUUUGGAGAUGUGCAGAAUAGUGGACUAGGAUUUGCUCCUUUUCAAGUCCAGAAUUCUUGCUGCCUGAAUUCUCCCUCUUCAAAUAAACCUUGCAGAAUAAGAGAGAAAAGGCAUAAAUAUGGUACCACAAGUAAUAUAACAGCCCAAAAAGCAAUAAAUAUCAACAUGAAAGCAUGAUGCAAAAUGGACGUAUCAACUCCCCCAAGCUUAGACCUCGCUUGUCCUCAAGCGAAAACCAAGUUCCAUAAACAUGUCCACAUGUUGAGGGACGAAGGUGUCGAUAAAACAUAAUACGGACAUGAGGGCAUCAUGAUCACACAUAGGACAGCAAUACAUCAUAAAGAUUCUUAUGGGAAAGAAACAAUUCCUUCACAAAGCAAAGCACGAAGCAAAAACCUUACCAAGAAGUAACCAACAAUAGUCCAUAGUCACUGAAGCAAUUGCAAUUUAUCACAAAAUCAGAAAGAGUCAAAAAGAGCUUGUAAUGCAAACCCACAUACUCAAUCAUCUCUUUUGUUUUCCACAAUUGUUACAACUCACGUGGUACUCAUGGUGUCAAAGUUUCAGCUGGACACAGAGGAAGAUAGGGGCUUAUAGUUUUGCCUCCCAACGGUUUACCUCAAGGGUAAAGUCAACAACAAUAAAGCAUAAGUACUCAACUCCAAGUUGAUAUAUGAAUAUAGAUCUUUCCCAAGCAUGUGACGGUAGCCAAGACAAAGGCAAAAAGCGAAUUGGUGAAGAUCACCAUGACUCUUACAAAGGGUAAAAAGUAAAGGUACAAGAUAGGCCCUUCGCAGACGGAAGCAGAGGUUGUCAUGCGCUUUUGAGGUUUGAAUGCGUGUCCUCUUAGUGCGGAGGAACGUCACUUUAUAUUGCCUCCUGUGAUAAAGAACUUUAUUAUGCAGUCUGUCGCUUUUAUGUCUUCCUCAUCACAGGUUCGUACAAAGCUUAUUUUCCACACACUAAUAGAUCAUACAUAUUAGAGAGAAAUUUUUAUUGCUUGCACCGACGACAACUUACUUGAAGGAUCUUAUUCAAUCCAUAGGUAGGUAUGGUGGACUCUCAUGGCAAAACUGGGUUGGAGGUUUAUGGAUGCACAAGUAGUAUCUCUACUUGGUGCGGGAGUUUUGGCUAUUAUGACGUGGAAGCAAUCGUCACAUGCUAAGGGAUCUCUAAUCAUAUAACAUUGUUUGGAACCAAGCAAACACAAUUCAUUAUGUUGUCUUCCUUGUCCAACAUCUACUCCUAAGCAUGUAAUAGUUUGGUGAGUGCUCACAAUUGCAAAAAGUGUCUAAGAUGAUAUAUUUAUAUGUGAACCUCUCUUUCCUUAUUACUCCUUAUUAAUUGCAACAAUGACUGAGGUCUAUGUUGAUUUAUUCUCAACAAGUUUCAAUCAUCAUACAUGUCAUAAGUGAAGUUAUCACUUUCCAUAAGAUCGUCUCAUGAUCUUUCAUGCUAUCGUUCUUUUCAUACUUUUGAUCAUGGCACAAAGCAAAGCCCUUGACUAAGAAACUCUUUAUUAUAUAGCUCGUAAGCUCGAAUACAUCGAAGAAGACAAAAGAAAAAUACUCAAACUAAAAACUAAAGACUUAUUCCUCUAAAAGAAGAAAUAAAAAACUGAAAAGGAAAGAACUAAAACAAAGGUAAAAGGUGAUACGAUACCAGGGCAACUCCCCGAAGCAUGGCAGAAGCCAAGGGGAUUGCCUAUACCAAUGCUUAGUUGUCUUCCUUUGGUGGUGAAGGUGGUGUUGUUGUCGCCUUUGAUUCCAAAAGAGCUAUCAAUCUUUGAUUUAUACCUUUGAGAUCUGUGACAUGGUUUUCCAGCAAAACAACUUCACGAGAAAGGGAAAUAUUGCGAGCACGAGUUGUUUCGCAAAACCUCAAGAGUUCAAUCAAGGAUGGAGACAACAUGUGGAGGAAGGGUUGGAGAAAGUCUACCCCUUCAACGUCUUCAAUGUUGAACAUAGGUUGAACUUCCUCCCUAACUUGGGUUUUCUCCCUAGCUUGGUCCCUGGCUUCUGUGACUUCUACUCUUUUCAUAUCAUAAUCUACUUCCUCAUGAAUUUGGUGAAGAUCAUUCUCCCCAACAGAUUCCUGAGACAUCUUUGCUCUAAAUCUGCAGCAGACAACAAGCUCGAAACGAAAACAGAGGAAAACUACAUGAUACCGAGAUCAAAACCUUCGGGCAACUAUAUAUGGAUUUUUUCUGGGCUAGAAGGAGUCCUUCGCAAGAAAACGGAGUCCGGGAGGCACACGAGGUGCCCACAAGCUUGCCCUCCGCCACCAGGGGGGUAGGGGGGCAGUGGCAGGGCUUGUGGCUGCCUCGUUCGCUCUCCGGACUGCUUCUUAUUUUUCUAAUUUUCCAAAAAUUCCAAAACGGAAGAAAUUUCCUAUUGGAAAAGUAUCGGAGUCCAAUUUCUUACCUAAACAGAUACAUCUUCGUUUUCAAGGUCCUAAACAGGCUGAUAAACAUCCCUUAUAUACUCCUCUGGAGUUAUGACAUUGAUGAUAUUGGUCUCUACAUUUAUGGGAGUACCAGAGAUGUAAUGCUUGAUUUUUUUCCCAUUUACCACUCUAGGAAAAUUUCCUUCCGUGUUAUUGAUUUUGAUGGCACCGGAAUGAUAUACUUCCUCGACAACAUAGGGACCUUCCCAUUUAGAGAGAAGCUUGCCUACAAAGAAUCUCAAAUGAGAAUUGUAUAGCAAGACAUAAUCACCUACAUUGAACUCUCUUUUCUGUAUUCGUUUGUCGUGCCAUCUCUUAACCUUUUCCUUGAACAACCUCACAUUCUCGUAUGCCUCGGCUCUCCAUUCAUCUAACGAGCUGAUAUCAAACAACCGCUUCUCACCGACAAGUUUGAAAUCAAAGUUGAGCUCUUUGAUUUGCCCCUAAAAAAGCUUUUGUGUUCCAGCUCAAGAGGUAAAAUGACAGGCCUUACCAUAAACCAUUUUAUACAGUGACAUGCCCAUGGGAUUCUUAUAAGCAGUUCUAUAGGCCCAUAGUGCAUCGUCAAGUUUGCUAGACCAGUUCUUUCAAGAUCUAUUGACGGUCUUUUGUAGGAUCAACUUGAUCUCCCUAUUACUCAACUCCACUUGACCACUAGACUGAGGAUGAUAAGGAGAUGCAACUCUAUGGUUGACAUCAUACUUAGCUAGCAUCUUGCGGAAAACACCAUGAAUGAAGGGUGAACCGCCAUCAGUCAUCAAGUAUCUAGGGACUCCAAAUCUUGGGAAUAUGACUUCUUUAAGAAUCUUAAUAGAGGUGUGGUGAUCAGCAGUUUUAGUGGGGAUAGCUUCUACCCACUUAGUAACGUAAUCUACAACAACUAAGAUGUGAGUGUACCCAUUGGAACUCGGGAAGGGUCCCAUAUAAUCAAAGCCCCAGACAUCAAAUGGUUCAAUGACAAGUGAAUAGUUCAUAGGCAUCUCUUGAUGCUUACUGAUGUUCCCUAUCCUUUGGCAUUCGUCUCAAGACAAAACAAACUUACGGGCAUCCUUGAAGAGAGUGGACCAAUAGAAACCUGAUUGCAAUACCUUAUGGGCAGUUCUAUCUCUAGCAUGGUGUCCUUCGUAGGCUUUGGAAUGACACUUCUGCAGGAUCUGUCCCUAUUCAUGCUCAGGCACACAACGUCUAAUAACACCAUCUACUCCUCCCUUAUAAAGGUGAGGAUCAUCCCAAAAGUAGUGUCUCAAAUCAAAGAAUAAUUUCUUCUUUUGUUGAUAGGUGAAACUGGGUGGUAUAUAUUUGGCUACGAUAUAGUUUGCAUAAUCGGCAUACCACGGUGCACUAUGUGAAGUGCGGAUGACAUUUAGUUUCUCAUCAGGAAAGCUAUCAUCAAUAGGUAGUUGGUCAUCAAGGACAUUCUCUAGCCUAGACAAGUUAUCUGCUACAGGGUUAUCAGCACCCUUUCGGUCAACGACGUGCAAAUCAAAUUCUUGUAGCAGGAGAACCCAUCUAAUCAGCCUAGGCUUAGCGUCCUUCUUUUCCAUGAGGUACUUAAUAGCAGCAUGAUCAGUGUGAAUAGUGACUUUGGAGUCAACUAUGUAAGAUCUGAACUUUUCACAUGCAAACAGGACUGCUAAAAAUUCCUUCUCCGUAGUGGCAUAGUUUCUUUGGGCAUUGUCUAGAGUUUUACUAGCAUCAACUUCUUGUCAACUCUUUGUCCUAGAACAGCACCAACAACAUAAUCACUAGCGUCGCACAUGAUUUCAAAGGGCAAGUUCCAGUCAGGUGGUUGAACAAUAGGUGCGGUUAUCAAAGCGUUCUUAAUUAUUUCAAAGGCUUCCUCACAAUCCUCAUCAAAAACAAAAGGAACAUCCUUCUGCAAGAGGUUGGUAACAGGCCUAGAAAUCUUAGAGAAGUCUUUAAUGAACCUUCUAUAGAAACCAGUAUGACCUAGGAAACUUCGUAUACCUCUGAUAUCUGUGGGGCAAGGCAUUUUCUCAAUUGCAUCAACCUUAGCCUUAUCAACUUCAAUGCCUCUUUCAGAGAUUUUGUGUCCUAAGACGAUACCUUCAUUAACCAUAAAGUGGCACUUCUCCCAAUUCAAGAUGAGGUUGGUUUCUGCGCGUCUCUGUAAGACUCGAUCAAGGUUGCUGAGGCAAUCAUCAAAGGAAGACCCAUAAACGGAGAAGUCAUCCAUGAAAACCUCGACGAUCUUUUCACAUAAGUCAGAGAAUAUAGCCAUCAUACAUCUUUGGAAGGUGGCAGGUGCAUUACAUAAGCCAAAAGGCAUACGUCUAUAGGCAAAGGUACCGAAAGGGCAGGUGAAAGUGGUUUUCUCUUGAUCAGAUUGUGCAACAGGUAUCUGUGAGAAACUUGAAUAACCGUCUAGAAAGCAUAAGUGAGUGUGCUUUGAUAGCCUUUCUAGCAUUUGGUCGAUAAACAGCAAAGGAUAAUGAUCUUUCCUGGUUGCCAUGUUCAGUUUCCGGAAGUCUAUCACCAUUCUAUAGCCGGUAAUAAUCCUUUGCGGGAUUAGUUCAUCCUUAUCAUUAGGAACGACGGUGAUACCUCCCUUCUUAGGUACGCAAUGUACUAGACUUACCCAAUCACUAUGAGCAACAGGAUAAAUAAUUCCUGCUUCCAGAAGGUUUAAUAUUUCUUUUCUAACAACCUCUUUCAUCUUAGGAUUUAAUCUCCUUUGAUGGUCAGCAACUGGUUUAAAGUCAGGAUCGGUUUUAAUCUUGUGCUGACAUAGAGUAGGACUAAUACACUUAAGAUCAUCAAGAGUAUAUCCAAUAGCAGCGCGGUGCGUGCUCAGAGUUUUUAGUAACUUCUUCUCUUCACGCUCUAAGAGGAGAGCACUAAUAAUGACAGGAUAUAUCUCCUUCUCAUCAAGAUAGGCAUACUUAAGAGUAUGAGGCAACUCUUUAAGCUCGAACAUAGGAUCUCCCUUUGGUGGGGGAGGAUCCCCAAGCAGUUCAACAGGCACAUUAUUCUUGAGAAUAGGAUAUUGUUCUAAGACAAUUUUAUCUAUCUCAUCUCUCUCCUCCAUAUGCAUAUCAUUUCCAUGCUCAAGCAGAUAUUGCUCUAAAGGAUCCGUAGGUACGACAAUAGAGGCAAGAGCAAUGAUUUCAUCUCUACCAGACGACUCUCUUUCAUGGGUUUGUCUUCCAAACUUGGAGAAGUUAAAUUCAUGAGACACACCCUCGAAACUUACUGUGACAGUCUGCUUAAUGCAAUCAAUGUGAGCAUUGAUAGUGUUGAGAAAGGGUGUACCGAAUAUGAUGGGACAAGAGCUAUCUUGUCCAGUACCAAGGACGAGGAAAUCAGUAGGAUACUUCGUCUUACCACACAGGACUUCUACGUCUCUCACAAUUCCCAGAGGGCAGAUAGUGUCUCUAUUAGCUAGCGUGAUAGUGACAUCAAUGGGUUCUAUCUCAGCAGGUGCAAUCUCAUCUUUAAUUUCAUCAUAUAGAGAACGGGGUAAUGCACUAACACUAGCUCCCAUAUCACAUAAACCAUGGUAACAGUGAUCUCCUAUCUUAACAGAAACAACGGGCAGGCCAACUACAGGUCCAUGUUUGUCUUUUGCGUGAGGUUUAGCAAUUCUAGCGGAGUCCUCACAGAAUUUGAUAACAUGCCCGUCUAUGUCUUCGGCUAAGAGAUCUUUGAGAAUCGCAACACUAGGUUCAACUCUAAUUUCCUCAGGGGGUGCAAGUGGUCUAAUGUAACCCCUACGUAUCAUAGUUGGAGCUUUAAAAUAAUCAUUUAUCCUAGCAGGGUAUGGUGGUUUCUCAGUGUAAGCACAAGGAACAACAGGAUCACUAAAAGCAAUGACUUUCUCCUCAACUAGAUUGGUUUUGGCUAUGUUGCUUUCUACAGGAGGAUGAUAUUUAAAUCACUUCUCUUUGGGAAGACCAACAUGAGCAGCAAAAGAUUCACAUAGAGAAGCUACUAUCUCAUAGUCAAGUCCAUACUUAGCGCUAAAAUCUCUAGAAGUGUUUGUCUCAACAAAAGAUUUAACGCAAUCAAACUGGAAAUUCAUACCUGACUCCUUACCUUCCUCCAGCUCCCAAUCUUCAGAGUUGCAUUUUAUUCUCUCCAAUAAAUUCCACUUGUGAUCAAUAUCCUUCUUCAUAAAAGAACCGGCACAAGAAGUGUCAAGCAUGGUACGAUCUUCAUGAGAAAGCCGAGCAUAAAAGUUUUGAGUGAUGAUUUCUCUCGAGAGCUCAUGAUUGGGGCAUGAAUAUAGCAUUGAUUUAAGCCUCCCCCAAGCUUGAGCUAUGCUCUCCCUGUCACGAGGCCAAAAGUUAUAAUAAAGUUCCGAUCACGAUGUACUAAACGCAUAGGAUAAAACUUUUGAUGAAAUUCCAACUUCAACCGAUUGUAGCCCCAUGAUCCAGUAUCAUCACAUAGCCAAUACCAUGUCAACGCCUUAUCCUUCAAAGAUAAAGGAAAUACUUUCUUCUUUACCUCAUCCUCGGGCAAACCUGCAAGCUUAAAUAAACCACAAACUUCAUCUACAUAGAUCAGAUCCAAGUCUGGAUGUGAAGAUCCAUCUCCUGUGAAAGGAUUAGCCAGCAGUUUCUCAAGCAUACCCGAAGGAAUUUCAUAAAAGAUAUUUUCAGUAGGUACCUCAGGUUGAGGAGAAACUCCUCGUGCUUCCGUUCGUGGUGAAGAUACCCCGAACAAACUCCUCAGUGGAACAGUUUCCAUAGUGACAAGUGAAUAAAUUUCAGCACAGUAUGAAAAUGUUUCCUUACCAAUUUCCACUUACCAUAGGCGCUUCACUCCCCGGCAACGGCGCCAGAAAAGAGUCUUGAUGACCCACAAGUAUAGGUGAUCAAUCGUAGUCCUUUCAAUAAGUAAGAGUGUUGAACCCAACGAGGAGCAGGAGGCUCUGAUAAACGGAUUUCAGCAAGGUAAUAACUGCAAGCACUGAAAGUAGCGGUAACAAGUGAUUGUGUAGCAAGGUGAAACGUAGCAUGCAAAGAGUAAAAAGUAACAAGUAGUAGCAACGGUGAAGCAAGUGGCCCAAUCCCUUUUUUAGCAAGGGACAAGCCUGAACAAAGUCUUAUAGGAGGAAAAACGCUCCCGAGGACACAUGGGAAUUUCUGUCAUGCUAGUUUCAUCAUGUUCAUAUGAUUCGCGUUUGUUACUUUGAUAGUUUGAUAUGUGGGUGGACCGGCGCUUGGGUACUGCCCUUACUUGGACAAGCAUCCCAUUUAUGAUUAACCUCUCUCGCAAGCUUCCACAACUACAAAAUAAGAAUUAAGAAAAAGUCUAACCAUAGCAUUAAACUAGUGGAUCCAAAUCAGCCCCUCACGAAGCAACACAUAGACUGGGGUUUAAGCUUCUGUCACUCCAGCAACCCAUCAUCUACUUACUACUUACCAAUGCCUUCCUCUAGGCCCAAAUAUGGUGAAGUCUUAUGUAGUCGACGUUCACAUAACACCACUAGAGGAAAAGACAACACACAACAUAUCAAAAUACCGAACGAAUAUCAAAUUCACAUGACUAUUAUUAACAUGACUUAUCCCAUGUCCUCAGGAACAAAAGUAACUACUCACAAAGCAUAAUCAUAAUCAUGAUCAGAGGUGUAAUGAAUAACAUCAAGGAUCUGAACAUAAACUCUUCCACCAAGUAAUCAACUAGCAUCAACUACAAAGAGUAAUCAACACUACUAGCAACCUUACAAGUACCAAUCGGAGUUGCGAGACGAAGAUUGGUUACAAGAGAGGAACUAGGGGUUGGAGAGGAGAUGGUGCUGAUGAAGAUGUUGAUGAAGAUGCCUCCCCUCCGACGAGAGGAGUGUUCGUGAUGACGAUGGCGACGAUUCCCCCCUCCGGGAGGGAAGUUUCCCCGGCAGGAUCGUCCUGCCGGAGCUCUAGAUUGGAUAUGCUCAAGUUCUGCCUCGUGGCGGCGGCGAAAUGACAAAAAAGCUCCCUCUUGACUUUUUCUAGACCAGGACGCUUCAUAUAGAAAAAGAGGGGGGCUAGUGGGCCAUUAGAGAGCCCAGAAGCCCCCACUCCGCCACCAGGGUGCUGGCGGUGUCAGGGCUUGUGGCGCCCUGGCAGCCCCCUCCGGUAGUUCUUUCGCCCAGUAUUUUUUAUAUAAUCCAGAAAAAUCCACGUAACUUUUCAGGGCAUUUGGAGAUGUGCAGAAUAGUGGACUAGGAUUUGCCCCUUUUCCAGUCCAGAAUUCUAGCUGCUUGAAUUCUCCCUCUUCAAAUAAACCUUGGAAAAUAAGAGAGAAAAGGCAUAAAUAUGGUACCACAAGUAAUAUAAUAGCCCAAAAAGCAAUAAAUAUCAACAUGAAAGCAUGAUGCAAAAUGGACGUAUCAACCCGCAAGUUGACAACCAAAACAUACAUAAAGUGGAUCAAUAGAACACCCCGUUGUCACCAUGGAUUUCCCAUCGCAAGACAUCCAUCAAGUGUUCUCAAAUCCUUAAAGACUCAAUCCGAUAAGAAAAUUUCAAAGGGAAAACUCAAUUCAUCACAAGAAGAUAGAGAGGGGUAAACUCAAUAUGAUUCAUCUAUAUUAAUAAAGCUCGCGAUACAUCAAGAGCGUGCCAUCUCAAGAACACAAGCGAGAGAGAUCAAACACAUACCUACUGGUACAUACCCUCGGCCCCGAGGGUGAAAUACUCCCUCCUCGUCAUGGGGACCGCCGGGAUGAUGAAGAUGGCCUCCGGUGAUGGUUUCCCCCUCCGACAGGGUGCCGAAAUGGGCUCCCGAUUGGUUUUUCGUGGCUUUGGAGGCUUGUGGCGGCGGAACUCCCGAUCUAGGUUUCUUUUUGGAGGUUUGGGUAUUUAUAGGAGUACUUAGCAUUGGAAUCAUGUGAGGAAGGUUCCUGAGGAGGUCACAAACCACACGGCUGCGACCAGGGGGCAAGCCGCGCCUGACAGGCUUGUGACCUCCUCGUCCACUUCCUGGCCCAGCUCUUCACUCUAGUAUUUUUUAUAUUUUCCAAAAAUAUUCUCCGUAAAUUUUCAGCCCAUUCUGGGAACUUUUAUUUCUGCACAAAAACGACAUCAUGGUAGUUCUGCUGAAAACAACGUGAGUCCGGGUUAGUUCUAAUAAAAUCAUACCAAAAUCAUAUAAAAUUGUUGUAAACAUGGCAUGAAUACUUCAUAAAUUAUAGAUACGUUGGAGACGUAUCACCGGCUCGUCAUCUUGGUUGUAGGUAAUGAGUGUGUUUGACCAGGGGUUUGUCUCCACUACAUGGUUGAUUUGAUUGAGCUUUCGAAAGGCCCUCUUUCGCCAGUUUGCCAAGGGGAAUGUUUCAUAGAUCGUUAGGAUCUGCGCAUUAUUGCUUGGUGGUUCCCCAGGCCCUUCGUGUCUUGAUAUCUAGAGGAUUACUUCCCCACUUUCUGCGACUUGUCACACAACUCAACAAGCUCGAAGGUUGUGUGUGGAAAGUGUGUCCGACAGGACAAAGUGUAUGGGGGCAUGGCUUGUCCAGUAGUGUGUCGAGAAUCGACUUGUCCCUUGAUUUUGACUUAUUUCUCUUUUCCGCAUGCUCGGAGGUAGCCUGUCACGUAAACGGGGGUGACUGCUUUAUCCGAAUUCGCCUGCCAUGCUCGAUGUGAUUAGGCUCGAUGCACAUCUUUUGCAUUUGCGAGGUGCUCUCCAUGGCACAUUACUUGAACACAAGGUUCGAUAGUUCCACGAAGGUUUGAACCCGGCAACAGGCUAGGGCGUUGAGAAUGACCUCGUCCCCACAAUUUGUCCGGAAGGCAGUCUUGAUAACUGAUACGUUUCAAACGUAUCUAUAAUUUUGAUGGUUUCACGCUCUUAUCUUCUCAUGUAGCGACCCGACUCAAGACGAGUCAAGCCUCUGUGUUUCUGUGCCAUCCCUGGAUCAGUAUGCUGGCACACACAGUACAUCGAUGUAUAUAUCAAAGUGCAAUCACAUGUAAAUAGCGUAAAACUGAUAUAUACCUUAAAUAUCUCAGCGGAAGCAGUCGAGGGAGUGGAGUCCCAAUAAACACCAACGGCAAGUUGAGUGUAGACCGUAACCCUGAAUCGUACUCUUACUCGUCGAAGAAAAAUAUCUGCAACAUAAGACGUUGCAGCCGUGUAGGUCAGCAUACUGAAUAUGCCGGCAAGUCACAUAAGAGAGGGGUGAAAAGCAAUCAUCUAUAUUAUAUGCAUAUAGGGCAGGUGGGGCUAUAAGUUUUUGCAUAAAGCCAAUUUUAUCUACAACAAGAGGGGCUGAAAGCAAAAUAUUACUACAUUGUUGGUUGUUAACGAGAUGGUUCCACCAACCAGUUCUCGUACCCGAGUUGUCAAUAAUUACCCUCAUCAAAUAUAUAUAAUGGUGUUGAGAAAUCCAGAUAACUUUAGUUCCUUUGGCUCAAGUUGUCCAUGACCGUAGACACGGCUAAUCGAUUAGGUCUGAGUACUCUGCAGAGUUUUGCACACGUUCCCCACAAGAUUUGAUCGCCUUCGAGUAUGUCCUCGCACUUCAGGGUGUUUGAAGACCGGAUGAUCAAAACAUGGUCUUUCAACGGGUCCCUCUGAAUCCCUUUCGGUGCCCAUCCAUUCCUACCGUUCGUCUACAUCUGCUAGCACCGCCUGUCCAGAGUCGCCGCGUUGUCCAACCAAGCCAGAGCCCAUAAUGACUUGUGGCUGUGCAGGUAAGCCUUGGGUCUUGAAAAUAUCCGUCCAUCUCUUUGAGCCUGGGUGAAGCUUUCCGCAGGAUGACAUGGCCUCUCCAGCAUCCCGGGAUCCACUGGGUUUUCCAGGGAGCCGAUCAACCGUCCUUCACCCAGAGUUGCAUUGCGUCCGAGGUCUUGAAAAUCUUGUCUUAGUCUAGUCUUGAUUAUUAUAUCAACCUCGCAUCACUCGUGGUAUACACUCAACCGAUAACCCGUCUACUCAAGCAUAGCAUUAAGAAUUUGUCGUCCCGGGGCCAAGUAUCGGGGUUGUUGUGUGCCUACCACAUGAUACUACAAUCUAUACUAAAGUUUCCAAGUACCUAGGCAGCAUGCAAAUGGGCAUAGGAUGGUAGAACUACGAUGCAUAAAAACAUAGGUGAUAGUAUGAUCAAAGUGACUUGCCUGUGAUGUUGACGAAGAAGAAUUUCUCGAGAAAAUAACUUGAUAGACUACUCAUCACUCUCUGAUGAAAUCUAUAUAACAAACAUAUCAUUUACAUAAGCACUCAUACUAGCAAUCAUUCUAGCAAUCAAAACAAAAGAGAGAGCGAAAAGAAAUCCGAAAGAAACUUCAAAUAAGACUAGGGAGUUUUCUACUACGUCAAACACUAAAUAGUUUUGUCUAGUAGAAAAUACUAACAAGGAACUAAGAUAUAAAUCUAACUCAGAUAAAAUAAAGUAUUUUUCACAAAACUUUUUGAAAGUAUUCCCAAACGGGAUUUGAAACAACGGUGAAACCAAUUGCAAGUUACUAAGGAACUAGAAUUGAUUUCAUGAAAAUAAAUAAAAAUAAAAUAAAAGCUUGUUGCAAAACUACUGUUUAUCUAACAGAAACAAAACAUAAUAUUACUGAAAUAAUAAAUAAAGUAUUUUAAAACAAAGAUAGAAAAGGAACUAGCCGAAAUCCUAAAAGAGGUGAAACAGAAAUUGUUUCACAUGAAACAGUGAGCUAAAAUAUUCAAACAAAUCUGAACUUUUUACCACUUAUAUAUAAGAUCACUAGUGAUCAGUACCAAAAGGAAUCAAAUUAAAAGCUAUUUUUAAACUCCUGGAAUAGGCAAAACAAGGUUUAAACUAAAUCUGCUCUAACUUCUAUUUGCAAAAUUCAAACAUAGACACAUUAUAUGUUUUUAAAAACUACAGGAAAUUUGAGAGCUACUGGAAAAAGAAUCAAUGUCAUUGGACUUCGGGAUCAAAAGUUGUGGCCAAAACACGAUUGAAAGUUGCUGUUUUUGCUAUUUUUGACAGAAAAACUGCAGCUAGCUAGUACUAACAAAGGGGUACACUUGUCCUGAUGCUAUUGGCUGCGGUGGUGUUUGUUGCAUGGCUUCGGGCAAACGGCCUACGGCUAGCAAAGAUGGCUGGUUAAUUCCUAAGUGAAAAUAAAACCCACUGGUUUUCUAAGAUAAACCGAAGGGGUAUCUAGUGAUUUAAUCCAGGCCGUUGCAUGAAGAUCUAAGGGCUAAAAAGAAUGCAUGCNGUGGCGAGGCCGAGGGGUGGUGCAGCCUUGCACCGGCGAGGGAUGUCGCGGUCGGCGAGGGAGGAGCUUCGGGGCGGGGUUGGACUUCGGGGGGAGGCGGCGGCGGAGUGCUCCUCCUCGGGGGGAGAGGGGGCGACGGGAGCUGCUCCCAGGGGCGGGCCGAGGAGAGGCAGUAGCUUGCUGCUGCUGCUGCUGCUCCGACGGCAGCUCGUGGCGGCAUCGGCUAGGGGAUGGGGCGGCGGCGGCUAGGGUUGGGAAGGGGUCGGCUGAGGUGGGGGGUAUAUAUAGGCUUCGGAGGGGGUGGGCUAUGGAAAGGAGAGGGAGGCAGUGGGGAAGGAGAUCGCUGGUGGUGAUGCUCGGUCUGGGAGAAGAAGGAAACAGAGGGAGGGAAGGAGAAGGUGACGUGGAGGGAGAUGCUCGGGUGGUGGGGGGCCACUGGCAGUGAGGAGGAGGGAGGGAAAAGGCACGGGGGCGGUGGCCGAUUUAAAGGAUUUGGGAUCCUUGGUAAGUGGGAUUCGGCCCACCUUGGCUAUCUAGCGCCCGGUGGCGGCUGCAAGAAAAAAAAAAUCUUUCCUAUUAUCUAAUCUUUCCAAAACAGAAAAAUAAAAGCUAAAAAAAGAAAGUAAAUAAAAAUAUUUAUAUAUGGUAUUAUAUACCAAAAAAAUCAGAAAAAGAAUCUCUAACCGAAUAACAUUUUUUUAAAGCCACAAUAAAAACUUUUAAAAAAUGUUUUUUCAAAAAUUCACUAAAUUGCUUUAUUUCUCUUUGCAAAUAUUUUUGCAAAUAAUCCCUGGAUUUUCUUGGCUCCAACAUUUCAAAAAUUCCCGUGCGUUGGAGGGUCAUUUUCCUCCGCUCUCUCUCUUGCGUGCAAGAGAGUAUUUUUUGGGCUUUUCGUGCGAGGAGGAAGAAAUGGAAAUGCAAAAGAAUUCAAUGCAAAUAUCUCCGUUCAAAUUCUUUGUGGUUGAAGAAGUUAUGUCAUCUUCUCUCGAUGCUUUUAAAAGAUUGAAUUUGAAUUCACCGGAGAAGGGGAAAGUCAUUUUAUUCCCUCUCUUUCAAAAGUUUCGAAAAGUUUCAAAUUUCACGCAAGUUUCAAUCACUCACGCAACCAACAAACAAUCAAUCUAAUAAUUAUAUUAACAUUCCAAAAAUUUAUAAUUUUGGGAUGUUACAAACUACCACACUUAAAAUGAAUCUCGUCCUCGAGAUUCGAAGAGGCUAGAAAGAAAGGUUAGGGUUUGGGGGUCUUCUAGCAAUCCAAUCUCCUGCCGAGUGGGAUGCUACCACACUUAAAAUGAGAGAUACUUGUCCCUCAAAAUGCUUUAACGAUCUUCUGGGGUUUUGGCAUCUGACAUCACACAGUCUUCAUAUUAAAUCCUUUGGUGAUGCUCUCCCGUGGAUAUAAGCUUCUUUCGUCACUGGGUCUUCUUAACUGACAGUCUCGUGGUCAAUUCUAAAUAACAUAUCGAUGGUUGUCAUGGUGGUCUACCAUUUGUGGUUAUCCUGCAGAGUGAGAGGUCUUGGUUUCAUCCUCACCGUAAAAUUUCCUACGUGUGACAACAAGUGCCAUGUACAUGGGCUUUUCUUAUACCACUCUAAGGCUUAAACAAAAGCUUCAAAGAACGUCGUCUCUCUAUAUGGGUAAGUCUCUCAGAUUUACCAUUCCAAAUAGCAAGAUAAAUGAUAAGAGUAAGUCGUCAUGGUGAUCAAUCCAUUCCGCACCCAAAUCAUUUCUCUGUAUAAGGUUUAGCAAAUCUCGCAUUCUAACACUUGGGCAUCCUCACAAGCGUUGCAGAAUUUCUCUUGUCCACGAACGAAGUUCAGAUAAAUCCAAUGAUUCUGCAAGCUGAACAAACAUCUAUCGUUUCUUCACAACUCUCAGGUUUUCUUAUGCUCCUAAGAAAACGUUUGCUGAAACAAGUUUCCUUCUCCAAAAAGAUAGUACUUGAUCCUUGUUAGUUCCGGGGUCUCUGGGUUUCAGGCAUACUUGGGGUAAAUGUGACAUUGAGCUGGGUAGUGGGUGGUCCCUUCACAAAGGAAACAAGUCACCUGACUACUUGGGCACUCCUCAGCUGGGUGAUUUUCUUCACAAUGAGUGCAUCCAUCCUUGUGUUCUUCCUGGGUGUGUCCUAUUUCUCCAUAGAUCUUGCAUGCACAAGUCUUCUCCUUCGGAUUAUCAUAGCACUUUCGAAUGAGAUGGGAUCUUAACAGAGUCCUUGAAUUCUUCCCAACUUUCUGCUCCGCUAAAUCCUUGUAUGGCAUGGUGCAUUUUCCACCAGAUAGCAGCACUUUGGGUAAAGUACUGGAGAGCGUGUUCCACUUCGUACUUCCUUGAGAUCAAGUUGCUCCCGAAGUGGUUCUCCAUGUUCUGAAUCCAUGUUUCAGCUUCCAGCUGGGUCAUUGGUCCAGAGACUACAAGUCCAGCUUCAUACUCCAUCUAGUAGGGUUGAGGUUUUGGGGAUGAGACAGGUAAGAGUGGGAGGAAGAUACAAAGAAUAUUUUUGAGAAUAGGUUUUAUUUGUGGCCAUCGGAAAACACACACCAAUGACGGCUCACAAAUCAUCGUAUCUAACGUGGGUACAUAAAAGGGGUUUGGACAUCUAAUGGUCAUAUAAUUAUUCGAACACUUCAGGGUCUUCGAGUUCUUCGAGUCUUGAGAGUCUUCAAUUGGUGCACCUUCAAUUCUUCAAAUGCAUGUUGAAAUCCUCUUUACUUUGAAGUAGAGCUCCGUUGAUUCUUCAUGAGGUCAAAGGGGUAAGGGCAUUGUCUAAUUAUGUGAGGUGAGAGAGAACGUUUGAUGAAAUCAGAAGAGAUGAGAAGUGAAAGGUGUUUUCGAAAAUAAGAUUUUUGAGAGGUCCUAUCCUAAGAAAUUUUCCAGUUUCUAGGGGUCACGUCCUACAGUCAACAUGUGCUCUGAUACCAUCUCUGUAGCGACCCGACUCAAGACGAGUCAAGCCUCUAUGUUUCUGUGCCAUCCCUGGAUCAGUAUGCUGGCACACACAGUACAUCGAUGUAUAUAUCAAAGUGCAAUCACAUGUAAAUAGCGUAAAACUGAUAUAUACCUUAAAUAUCUCAGCGGAAGCAGUCAAGGGAGUGGAGUCCCAAUAAACACCAACGGCAAGUUGAGUGUAGACCGUAACCCUGAAUCGUACUCUUACUCGUCAAAGAAAAAUAUCUGCAACAUAAGACGUUGCAGCCGUGUAGGUCAGCAUAUUGAAUAUGCCGGCAAGUCACAUAAGAGAGGGGUGAAAAGCAAUCAUCUAUAUUAUAUGCAUAUAGGGCAGGUGGGGCUAUAAGUUUUUGCAUAAAGCCAAUUUUAUCUACAACAAGAGGGGCUGAAAGCAAAAUAUUACUACAUUGUUGGUUGUUAACGAGAUGGUUCCACCAACCAGUUCUCGUACCCGAGUUGUCAAUAAUUACCCUCAUCAAAUAUAUAUAAUGGUGUUGAGAACUCCAGAUAACUUUAAUUCCUUUGGCUCACGUUGUCCAUGACCGUAGACACGGCUAAUCGAUUAGGUCUGAGUACUCUGCAGAGUUUUGCACACGUUCCCCACAAGAUUUGAUCGCCUUCGAGUAUGUCCUCGCACUUCAGGGUGUUUGAAGACCGGAUGAUCAAAACAUGGUCUUUCAACGGGUCCCUCUGAAUCCCUGUCGGUGCCCAUCCAUUCCUACCGUUCGUCUACAUCUGCUAGCACCGCCUGUCCAGAGUCGCCGCGUUGUCCAACCAAGCCAAAGCCCAUAAUGACUUGUGGCUGUGCAGGUAAGCCUUGGGUCUUGAAAAUAUCCGUCCAUCUCUUUGAGCCUGGGUGAAGCUUUCCGCAGGAUGACAUGGCCUCUCCAGCAUCCCGGGAUCCACUGGGUUUUCCAGGGAGCCGAUCAACCGUCCUUCACCCAGAGUUGCAUUGCGUCCGAGGUCUUGAAAAUCUUGUCUUAGUCUAGUCUUGAUUAUUAUAUCAACCUCGCAUCACUCGUGGUAUACACUCAACCGAUAACCCGUCUACUCAAGCAUAGCAUUAAGAUUUGUCGUCCGGGGCCAAGUAUCGGGGUUGUUGUGUGCCUACACAUGAUACUACAAUCUAUACUAAAGUUUCCWAAGUACCUAGGCGAGCAUGCAAAUAGGGCGAUAGGAUGGUAGAACUACGAAUGCAUAAAAACACGNUAGGUGAUAGUAUGAUCAAAGUGACUUGCCUGUGAUGNNNNNNNNNNNNNNNNNNNNNNNNNNNNNNNNNNNNNNNNNNNNNNNNNNNNNNNNNNNNNNNNNNNNNNNNNNNNNNNNNNNNNNNNNNNNNNNNNNNNCGGCCUCACAAGUGAUUGAUCGAUCUGAUAGAGCUAUUAAUUCGGYYUGACAAGUUAACACGAUGAAUAGGCACUAAUCGAUUCGGUCACCCAACGAGUAGCGAUUAACUGGCAAGUUAACUGAUUAAUCGGGCGAAUUCUUGAAUAGUGCAUAAUGUUGGGGAACGUCGCAUGGGAAACAAAAAUUUUCCUACGCGCACGAAGACCUAUCAUGGUGAUGUCCAUCUACGAGAGGGGAUGAGUGAUCUACGUACCCUUGUAGAUCGUACAGCAGAAGCGAUUAGAGAUCGCGGUUGAUGUAGUGGAACGUCCUCACGUCCCUCGAUCCGCCCCGCGAACAAUCCCGCGAUCAGUCCCACGAUCUAGUACCGAACGGACGGCACCUCCGCGUUCAGCACACGUACAGCUCGACGAUGAUCUCGGCCUUCUUGAUCCAUCAAGAGAGACGGAGAGGUAGAAGAGUUCUCCGGCAGCGUGACGGCGCUCCGGAGGUUGGUGAUGAUCUUGUCUCAACAGGGCUCCGCCCGAGCUCCGCAGAAACACGAUCUAGAGGAAAAACUAUGGAGGUAUGUGGUCGGGCAGCCGUGAGAAAGUCGUCUCAAAUCUGCCCUAAAAGCCCCAUAUAUAUAGGAGGAGGGAGGGGGACCUUGCCUUGGGGUCCAAGGGAACCCCAAGGGGUCGGCCGAGCCAGGGGGGAGGACUCUCCCCCCAAACCGAGUCCUACUUGGUUUGGUGGGAGGGAGUCCUUCCCCCUUCCCACUUCUUCCUCCUUUUUUUUUCUUCCUUUGAUUUUUUCUUCCUUGGCGCAUAGGAUUUGGUGGGCUGUCCCACCAGCCCACUAAGGGCUGGUGUGACCCCCACAAAUACCUAUGGGCUUCCCCGGAGUGGGUUGCCCCCCUCCGGUGAACUCCCGGAACCCAUUCGUCAUUCCCGGUACAUUCCCGGUAACUCCGAAAAACCUUCCGGUAAUCAAAUGAGGUCAUCCUAUAUAUCAAUCUUCGUUUCUGGACCAUUCCGGAAACCCUCGUGACGUCCGUGAUCUCAUCCGGGACUCCGAACAACAUUCGGUAACCAACCAUAUAACUCAAAUACGCAUAAAACAACGUCGAACCUUAAGUGUGCAGACCCUGCGGGUUCGAGAACUAUGUAGACAUGACCCGAGAGACUCCUCGGUCAAUAUCCAAUAGCGGGACCUGGAUGCCCAUAUUGGAUCCUACAUAUUCUACGAAGAUCUUAUCGUUUGAACCUCAGUGCCAAGGAUUCGUAUAAUCCCGUAUGUCAUUCCCUUUGUCCUUCGGUAUGUUACUUGCCCGAGAUUCGAUCGUCAGUAUCCGCAUACCUAUUUCAAUCUCGUUUACCGGCAAGUCUCUUUACUCGUUCCGUAAUACAAGAUCCCGCAACUUACACUAAGUUACAUUGCUUGCAAGGCUUGUGUGUGAUGUUGUAUUACCGAGUGGGCCCUGAGAUACCUCUCCGUCACACGGAGUGACAAAUCCCAGUCUCGAUCCAUACUAACUCAACUACCACCUUCGGAGAUACCUGUAGAGCAUCUUUAUAGUCACCCAGUUACGUUGCGACGUUUGAUACACACAAAGCAUUCCUCCGGUGUCAGUGAGUUAUAUGAUAUCAUGGUCAUAGGAAUAAAUACUUGACACGCAGAAAACAGUAGCAACAAAAUGACACGAUCAACAUGCUACGUCUAUUAGUUUGGGUCUAGUCCAUCACAUGAUUCUCCUAAUGAUGUGAUCCCGUUAUCAAGUGACAACACUUGCCUAUGGCCAGGAAACCUUGACCAUCUUUGAUCAACGAGCUAGUCAACUAGAGGCUUACUAGGGACAGUGUUUUGUCUAUGUAUCCACACAAGUAUUGUGUUUCCAAUCAAUACAAUUAUAGCAUGGAUAAUAAACGAUUAUCAUGAACUAAGAAAUAUAAUAAUAACUAAUUUAUUAUUGCCUCUAGGGCAUAUUUCCAACAGUCUCCCACUUGCACUAGAGUCAAUAAUCUAGUUCACAUCACCAUGUGAUUCCUACGAAUCCAACACCCAUAUAGUUCUGGGGUCUGAUCACGUCUUGCUCGUGAGAGAGGUUUUAGUCAACGGUUUUGAAACUUUCAGAUCCGUGCGUUCUUUACAAAUCUUUAUGUCAUCUUAUAGAUGCUGCUACUACGUGCUAUUCGGAAAUGCUCCAAAUAUCUACUCUACUAUACGAAUCCGUUUCACUACUCAUAGUUAUUCGGAUUAGUGUCAAAGCUUGCAUCAACGUAACCCUUUACGACGAACUCUUUAACCACCUCCAUAAUCGAGAAAAAUUCCUUAGUCCAUUAGUUACUAAGGAUAAAUUUUGACCGCUGCUAGCGAUUCAAUCAUGGAUCACUCUCUGUACCUCUCAACAUACUUUGAGUCAAGGCACACAUCAGGUGCGGUACACAGCAUGGCAUACUUUAGAUUCUACGGCUAAGGCAUAGAAGACGACCUUCGUCUAUUCUCUUUAUUCUGCCGUGGUCGGGUUUUGAGUCGUACUCAAAUUCACACCUCAUAACGCAACCAAGAACUCCUUCUUUGCCAGUCUAUUUUGAACUCUUUCAAAAACUUGUCAAGGCAUGCAUCUUGUUGAAACUUCUAUUAAGCGCUUUCGAUCUAUCUCCAUAGAUCUUUGAUGCUCAACGUUCAAGUAGCGUAAUCCAGGUACUCCUUUGAAAACUUCUUUCAAACAACCUUGUAUGCUUUACAGAAAUUCUACAUUACUUCUGAUCCACAAUAUGUCAACCACAUAUACCUAUCAGAAAUUCUAUAGUGCUCCCACUCACUUCUUUGGAAAUACAAGUUUCUCAUAAACCUUGUACAAACCCAAAAUCUUUGAUCAUCUCAUCAAAGUAUAUAUAUUCCAACUCCGAGAUGCUUGCACCAGUCCAUUGAAGGAUCGCUGGAGCUUGCAUACUUGCUAGUAUCUUUAGGAUCGACAAAACCUUCUGGUUGUAUCACAUACAAUGUUUGCUCAAGGAAACCGUCGAGAAAACAAUGUUUUGACGUCCUACGUGCAAUAUUUCAUAAAUAAUGCAUCAACAACUAACAUAAUUCUAACAGACUUUUAGCAUCGCUACGAGUGAGAAAGUCUCAUCAUAGUCAACUGUUUGAUCUUAUCGAAAACAUCUUUGCGACAAGUCGAGCUUUUCUUAAUAGUGACUUAUCACCAUCAUCAUCUGUCUUCCUUUAAAAAUCCAUCUUUACUCAAUAGUCCUAUGACCAUCAAGUAAUUCUUCCAAAGUCUACACUUUGUUUUCAUCCAUGGACCCUCUCUCGGAUUUCAUGGCUUCCAGCCAUUUGUCGGAAUCUGGGCCCACCAUCGCUUUCUCCAUAACUCGUAGGUUCACUGUUGCUCAACAACAUGACCUCCAAGACAGGGUUACCGUACUACUCUGCAGUAGUACGCGACCUUGUCGACCUACGAGGUUUGCAGUAACUUGAUUCGAAGCUCAAUGAUCACCAUCAUCAGCUUCCACUUCAAUUGGUGUAGGCGCCACAGGAACAACUUCCUGCGCCCUGCUACACACUGGUUGAAGUGAUGGUUCAAUAACCUCAUCAAGUUCUACUACCCUCCCACUCAAUUCUUUCGAGAGAAACCUUUCCUCGAGAAAGGAUCCGUUUCUAGAAACAAACACUUUGCUUUCGGAUCUGAGAUAGGAGAUGUACCCAACUGUUUUGGAUAUCCUAUGAAGAUGCAUUUAUCCGCUUCGGGUUCGAGUUUAUCAGACUGAAACUUUUUCACAUAAGUGUCGAAACCCCAAACUUUCAAGAAACGACAGUUUAGAUUUCUCUAAACCUCAGUCUAUACUGUGUCAUCUCAACGGAAAUACGUGGCGCCCUAUUUAAAGUGAGUGCGGUUGUCUCCAAUGCAUAACCCAUAAACGAUAUUGGUAAUUCGAUAAGAGACAUCAUAGUAUGCAUCAUACCAAAUAGUGCGUGGCUAUGAUGUUCAGACACAUCAUCACACUAUGAUGUUCCAGGUGGCAUGAACUGCGAAACAACUUCCACAUUGUCUUAACUGCGUACCAAAACUCGUAACUCAGAUAUUCAUUUCUAUGAUCAUAUCGUAGACAGUUUAUCUUCUUGUUACGACGAACUUCACUCUGAUACAGAAUUGAACUUUUCAAUAUUUCAGACUUGUGAUUCAUUAAGUAAAUACUCUAGUAUCUACUCAAAUCGUCAGUGAAGUAAGAACAUAAUGAUAUCCACUGCGUGCCUCAGCACCCAUUGGACUGCAUACAUCAAAAUGUAUCACUUCCAACAAGUUACUAUCUUAUUUCAUCUCAAUGAAAACAAGGCCUUGCUCAUGUGGUAUGAUUUGCAUGUCACUAGUGAUUCGAAAUCAGGUGAGUACAAAGAUCCAUCAGCAUGGAGCCUCUUCAUGCAAUUUAUACUAACAUGACUCAAGCGGCAGUGCCACAAGUAAGUGGUACUAUCAUCAUCAACUCGUAUCUUUUGGCACCAAUAUCAUGAACAUGUGUAACACUACGAUCGAGAUUCAAUAAACCAUUGAAGGUGAUUAUUCAAGAAAAUAGAGUACCCAUUAUUCUCUUUAAAUGAACAAUCGUAUUGCAAUAAACACGAUCCAAUCAUGUUCACGCUUAACGCAAACACCAAAUAACAAUUAUUUAGGUUCAACACCAAUCCCGAUGGUAGAGGGAGCGUGCGACGUUUGAUUAUAUCAACCUUGGAAACACUUCCAACACUUAUCGUCACCUCGCCUUUAGCUAGUCUCCGUUUAUGCCGUAGCUUUCAUUUCGCGUUACUAAUCACUUAGCAACCGAACCGGUAUCCAAUACCCUCGUGCUACUAGGAGUACUAGUAAAGUACACAUCAACAUCAUGUAUAUCACAUAUAUACUUCUCUCGACUUUUGCCAGCCUUCUUAUCCACCAAGUAUCUAGAGUUGCUCCGCCUCAGUGACUGUUCCCCUUAUUACAGAAGCACUUAGUCUCGGGUUUGGGUUUUAAUCUUGGGUCUCUUCAUUAGUGCAGCAACUAUUUUGCCGUUUCACGAAGUAUCCCUUUUAGCCCUUGCCUUUCUUGAAACUUAGUGGUUUUACUAACCAUCAACCAUUGAUGCUCCUUCUUGAUUUCUACUUUCGCAGUGUCAAACAUUGCGAAUCACUCAAAAGAUCAUAGUAUCUAUCCUUGAUAUGUUAUAGUUCAUCACGAAGCUCUCAUAGCUUGGUGGCAGUGACUUUGGAGAACCAUCACUAUCUCAUCUGGAAGAUUAACUCCCACUUGAUUCAAGCGAUUGUCGUACUCAGACAAUUUGAGUACACGCUCAACGAUUGAGCUUUUCUCCUUUACUUUGUGGACAAAGAAUCUUGUUUGGAGGUCUCGUACCUCUUAACAAGGGCACAGGCAUGAAAUCACAAUUUCAUCUCUUCGGAACAUCACUUAUGUUCCGUGACGUUUUACAACGUUUUCGGCGCCUUGCUUCUAAGCCAUCAAGUAUCUUGCACUGAACUAUCGUGUAGUCAUCAAUGACGUGUAUGUAGGAUGUUCAUAGCAUCCACAGACGACGCUCGAGGUGCAGCACACCGAGUGGUGCAUUAAGGACACAAGCCUUCUGCGUAGCAACGAGGACAAUCCUCGGUUUUACAGACUCAGUCUGCAAAGGUUGCUACUAUCAAUUUUCAACUAAAUUUUCUCUAGGAACAUAUAAAAACAGUAGAGCUAUAGCGCAAGCUACAUCGUAAUUCGCAAAGACCAUUAGACUAUGUUCAUGACAAUUAGUUCAAUUAAUCAUAUUACUUAAGAACUCCCACUCAAAAAGUACAUCUCUCUAGUCAUUUGGGUGGUACAUGAUCCAAAUCCGCUAUCUCAAGUCCGAUCAUCACGUGAGUCGAGAAUAGUUUCAGUGGUAAGCAUCUCUAUGCUAAUCAUAUCAGCUAUAUGAUUCAUGCUCGACCUUUCGGUCUCAUGUGUUCCGAGGCCAUGUCUGCACAUGCUAGGCUCGUCAAGCUUAACCCGAGUGUUCCGCGUGCGCAACUGUUUUGCACCCGUUGUAUGUGAACGUUGAGUCUAUCACACCCGAUCAUCACGUGGUGUCUCGAAACGACGAACUGUAGCAACGGUGCACAGUCGGGGAGAACACAAUUUCGUCUUGAAAUUUUAGUGAGAGAUCACCUCAUAAUGCUACCGUCGUUCUAAGCAAAAUAAGGUGCAUAAAAGGAUUAACAUCACAUGCAAUUCAUAAGUGACAUGAUAUGGCCAUCGUCACGUGCUUCUUGAUCUCCAUCACCAAAGCACCGGCACGAUCUUCUUGUCACCGGCGCCACACCAUGAUCUCCAUCAUCAUGAUCUCCAUCAACGUGUCGCCAUCGGGGUUGUCGUGCUACUUAUGCUAUCACUACUAAAGCUACAUCCUAGCAAAAUAGUAAACGCAUCUGCAAGCACAUAUGUUAGUAUAAAGACAACCCUAUGGCUCCUGCCGGUUGCCGUACCAUCGACGUGCAAGUCGAUAUUUCUAUUACAACAUGAUCAUCUCAUACAUCCAAUAUAUCACAUCACAUCAUUGGCCAUAUCACAUCACAAUCAUACCCUGCAAAAACAAGUUAGACGUCCUCUAAUUUUGUUGUUGCAUGUUUUACGUGGUGACCAAGGGUAUCUAGUAGGAUCGCAUCUUACUUACGCAAAUACCACAACGGAGAUAUAUGAGUUGCUAUUUAACCUCAUCCAAGGACCUCCUUGGUCAAAUCCGAUUCAACUAAAGUUGGAGAAACCGUCACUUGCCAGUCAUCUUUGAGCAAAGGGGGUUACUCGUAACGAUGAAACCAGUCUCUCGUAAGCGUACGAGUAAUGUCGGUCCAAGCCGCUUCAAUCCAACAAUACCGCAGAAUCAAGAAAAAACUAAGGAGGGCAGCAAAACGCACAUCACCGCCCACAAAACCUUUUGUGUUCUACUCGAGAAGACAUCUACGCAUGAACCUAGCUCAUGAUGCCACUGUUGGGGAACGUCGCAUGGGAAACAAAAAUUUUCCUACGCGCACGAAGAACUAUCAUGGUGAUGUCCAUCUACGAGAGGGGAUGAGUGAUCUACAUACCCUUGUAGAUCGUACAGCAGAAGCGAUUAGAGAUCACGGUUGAUGUAGUGGAACGUCCUCACGUCCCUCGAUCCGCCCCGCGAACAAUCCUGCGAUCAGUCCCACGAUCUAGUACCGAACGGACGACACCUCCGCGUUCAGCACACGUACAGCUCGACGAUGAUCUCGGCCUUCUUGAUCCAGCAAGAGAGACGGAGAGGUAGAAGAGUUCUCCGGCAGCGUGACGGCGCUCCGGAGGUUGGUGAUGAUCUUGUCUCAACAGGGCUCCGCCCGAGCUCCGCAGAAACACGAUCUAGAGGAAAAACUAUGGAGGUAUGUGGUCGGGCAGCCGUGAGAAAGUCGUCUCAAAUCUGCCCUAAAAGCCCCAUAUAUAUAGGAGGAGGGAGGGGGACCUUGCCUUGGGGUCCAAGGGAACCCCAAGGGGUUGGCCGAGCCAGGGGGGAGGACUCUCCCCCCCAAACCGAGUCCUACUUGGUUUGGUGGGAGGGAGUCCUUCCCCCUUCCCACUUCUUCCUCCUUUUUAUUUUCUUCCUUUGAUUUUUUCUUCCUUGGCGCAUAGGAUUUGGUGGGCUGUCCCACCAGCCCACUAAGGGCUGGUGUGACCCCCACAAAUACCUAUGGGCUUCCCCGGAGUGGGUUGCCCCCCUCCGGUGAACUCCCGGAACCCAUUCGUCAUUCCCGAUACAUUCCCGGUAACUCCGAAAAACCUUCCGGUAAUCAAAUGAGGUCAUCCUAUAUAUCAAUCUUCGUUUCUGGACCAUUCCGGAAACCCUCGUGACGUCCGUGAUCUCAUCCGGGACUCCGAACAACAUUCGGUAACCAACCAUAUAACUCAAAUACGCAUAAAACAACGUCGAACCUUAAGUGUGCAGACCCUGCGGGUUCGAGAACUAUGUAGACAUGACCCGAGAGACUCCUCGGUCAAUAUCCAAUAGCGGGACAUGGAUGCCCAUAUUGGAUCCUACAUAUUCUACGAAGAUCUUAUCGUUUGAACCUCAGUGCCAAGGAUUCGUAUAAUCCCGUAUGUCAUUCCCUUUGUCCUUCGGUAUGUUACUUGCCCGAGAUUCGAUCGUCAGUAUCCGCAUACCUAUUUCAAUCUCGUUUACCGGCAAGUCUCUUUACUCGUUCCGUAAUACAAGAUCCCGCAACUUACACUAAGUUACAUUGCUUGCAAGGCUUGUGUGUGAUGUUGUAUUACCGAGUGGGCCCUGAGAUACCUCUCCGUCACACGGAGUGACAAAUCCCAGUCUCGAUCCAUACUAACUCAACUACCACCUUCGGAGAUACCUGUAGAGCAUCUUUAUAGUCACCCAGUUACGUUGCGACGUUUGAUACACACAAAGCAUUCCUCCGGUGUCAGUGAGUUAUAUGAUCUCAUGGUCAUAGGAAUAAAUACUUGACACGCAGAAAACAGUAGCAACAAAAUGACACGAUCAACAUGCUACGUCUAUUAGUUUGGGUCUAGUCCAUCACAUGAUUCUCCUAAUGAUGUGAUCCCGUUAUCAAGUGACAACACUUGCCUAUGGCCAGGAAACCUUGACCAUCUUUGAUCAACGAGCUAGUCAACUAGAGGCUUACUAGGGACAGUGUUUUGUCUAUGUAUCCACACAAGUAUUGUGUUUCCAAUCAAUACAAUUAUAGCAUGGAUAAUAAACGAUUAUCAUGAACUAAGAAAUAUAAUAAUAAGUAAUUUAUUAUUGCCUCUAGGGCAUAUUUCCAACACAUAAAACAUCCAAAGAUGACAAGAUAACAUCAUGAAACCAUCAAAAAUUAUAGAUACGCUUGAGACGUAUCAUUGACCUAAAAGACCCCAACCCGCGACGCCAGUGACCCUCGACCCCCAACGAUACUGACCCACAUAGUUAUGAGUUAGGUCACAUAGUUAUGUUAAUUAUAAAAACAUCAUAUUUGUGUUGAUCUUGUGAUUUUCAAUGUGCAGUUGUUCGACAACCUCGACGUGCGUUGGACGAGCUCCGCCCUUGCAUUUGUUGGUGAACACAAAUGACUUCUCCUCCUACCCCCUUAAUUUUCUCUAUCCCGGUCUUCGUGCCGAUGAAACUUGCUAGCUAUAGGUUUCUUCAAUCAUGAGUAUGCGUGACCAGCAUGCGUCUCCCGUUCGAAAGGGCGACAUCUAUAAAUAUGCAUUUCUUUGCAUAUUUAUAACCACCAUCCUUUCGAAUUGUCCAACAUUAUCCAUGGACAGCUCGAGUAUGUGUAGAUUGAGUUCGUUUUCCCAUAUGCUGUGCUCUGGAUCCGGUGCAGAAUUUUGUCAGUGCCUCCCUGUUGUUCUCUGGGUACACAUCCUCUCUGCUUAUUGCCGAGAUGUGUAUCAGGAGAACAUCGGGGAGGUGCUGCCGAAAUUCUGCGUCGCAUCUGGAGCAGAGCAUGGGAAAACGAACCCAAUCUACACAUACUCGGGUGGGAUUAGGACCUAUCUUUACCUAUUAGCGUGUAGGUUGCAUGGACGUAAUAAAACUGACAAACUUGAUUAACGUAUGAAUAUAGAGGAUGAGUUAUAUAUUUAUUUCUUGUGCCCCAUAGGUAGCUCGACAACAUGAGUGAUCGUGCUUGGAUGUACACUGGUCACCCUAGUCAGAAAGACAUGACCCAUGAAUAGUUAACAAAAACCAGGGGGUUUGUGAGAGCCGCAUUUGCAAAUGGCCAGCAAAAAACAUGGUGCCCCUGUCCCAACUGCGACAACUGGAAAAAGCAGACAGAGUUUGAAAUGGGUAAACACCUACAUAAGUGGGGUUUUACGCCUAAUUAUAUGGUGUGGACUUUUCAUGGUGAGUAUGACCAACGUGCUAGAGCUGAGGUGAUUCGUCAUCGCACCGAUGAGCAUGGGACCGGGAUUGAAGACAUGGUGCAAGACUUUGAUGAUGCUCCGAAUUCGGACGAUGAGAUGGAGGAAUCUGCAAAGGCCUUCUAUGAAAUGUUGGAGUCUUAAAAACGUCCUCUCCACGAGCAGACUGAGCUGUGUCAGCUAGAUGCCAUCGCGCAAGUAAUGGCUCUGAAGGCUCAAUUCAACCUAGGCAGAGAAUGCUACGACGCGAUGAUGAUGAUAUUUGGACGCUUUCUACCCAAAGGCCAUGUACUGCCUGCAAACCUGUACCAGUCAGAGAAAAUCCUCCAUGUACUUAAGAUGCCCUAUGAGAAGAUACAUGCAUGUGAGAAUGGAUGUGCCUUAUUUAGGCUUGAGUAUGCGGCCUUGAACUAUUGCCCCAUUUGCAAUUCUUCCACGUAUAUUGUGGUAGACAACGGUAUGGGUGAGAAGAAUCAGACCAAAAUCCUCAUUAGUGUUCUUCGGUAUCUGCCAAUCGUACCAAGACUUCAACGUCUUUUCAUGGUCGAAGAGACGGCCAGACAGAUGACAUGGCACAAAUUGGGCAAAAGAACCGAACUAGAUGCGGAUGGGAACAAGAUGCUGGUACACACUUCAGAUGGUUUUGCAUGGAGGCACUUCGAUGCAUUACAUAAGGAUAAAUCGGAAGAUCCCAGGCAACCUAGAGUUGCCAUCGGCAUGGAUGGGUUCAAUGUGUAUGGUAUGACGGCAACACAAUACAGUUGUUGGCCUGUAUUUGUCAUUCCAUUAAAUUUGCCACCCGGAGAGAUUAUGAAAAGAAAGAACAUUUUCUUGACGUUGAUAAUUCCAGGGCCCAACUAUCCGGGGAAGAAUAUGAAUGUGUACAUGCAGCCGCUUAAGGAUGAGUUGCAAGAAGCCGGGGAUAAUGGGAUCAAGACCUACGACGCGGCUACCAAAACAAAUUCCAAAAUGCAUGUGUGGUACAUGUACUCGACGCAUGAUUAUCCAGCGUUUGCACUAUUCGCUGGCUGGUGUGUGCAUGGAAGGUUCCCGUGCACCACAUGCAAGGCAGCUCUUCAGUUCUGUUGGCUGCAGGCUGGUUGCAAGUAUUCCUGCUUCAACAUGCAUAGACAAUUCCUGGAUCCCGACCAUAAGUUCAGAAAAGACAAGAAUAAUUUCAUCAAAGGUAGAGUUGUCAAAAACACUGCACCAGCUGCGUUGACAGGCCAACAGACCCUUGAUCAGUUAAACGCUCUCGAGCCUGAUCCUUUGCGUCCAGGAUACUUCAAAGGGUAUAAGACAAAACACGCCUGGACUCACAAGUCAUGCUUAUGGGAUCUGCCUUACUUCAAAGACCUCCUUUGCCCACACAACAUCGACAUGAUGCAUAGUGAAAAGAAUAUUGCGGAGGCCAUUUUGGUACAUUGUUCAACAUAGAGGGGAAGUCAAAAGACAAUCCUAAGGCUAGAAUCGACCUGGAGGCUCUAUGUGAUAGACCAUUGCAAAACUUGCGACAACGGAAAGGAAAGCAAAGCAUAGCGAAGCCAAAGGCAUGGUUCAAUCUUGAAAGGCCAACUAUGAGGGAAAUGCUAUUGUGGGUGAAAAUGCGUUUGAUGUUCCCCGAUGGGUAUGCUGCGAAUCUAAAGAGGGGAGCAAGUCAUGAGAAAUUGAAAAUAUUUGGUCUCAAGAGUCAUGAUUGGCACAUAUGGAUUGAGCGGGUAAUGCCGGUGAUGUUGCGUGGCUUUAUCCCUAAGGAUGAAUGGCUAGUACUGGCAGAGCUGAGCUAUUUCUUCCAUUCUCUUUGUGCGAAAGAACUAUCGACUGGCGUUCUAGAUGAAAUGGAAGAGUUGGCGCCGGAGUUGAUCUGCAAAUUAGAAAAGAUCUUUCCACCGGGCUUCUUUAAUAAAUGCAACAUUUGAUUUUGCAUCUCCCGACCGAGGCAAGAAUGGGGGGGGGGGCUUUAAAAUCGAUGGUGCUACUCAACUGAGAGGAUGCAGAAGACGCUUCGAGCUAAGUGUAAAAAUUAACGUAGAAUUGAAGCAUCGAUGGUCGAGGCAUUCAUUACUGACGAAGCGGCAAACUUCGGGACAACACACUACGAAGCCAAAAAUCAUCAUUUGCAUAACCCGGAGCCUCGGUACAAUGCUGGCGACCCAAAAAAAGUUCAAUCCAACCUCAGCCUAUUCAAAGGUAAGCUCGCACAAUCCGGUGCUUCGAAAGGGAAAUCGUUGGAUGUCGAAGAAUGGAGGACCAUUUAAUUGUAUAUCUUCACCAACCUAAUGCUACUUCUCAAACAACAGCGCCAGAAAUUGACACGUUGACGGAGAUGGGCUUGCGUUGGUUUUUCCCUUGAAGAGGAAAGGGUGAUGCAGCACAGGAGCAGUAAGUAUUUCCCUCAAUUUGAGAACCAAGGUAUUGAUCCGGAAGGAGGGUCUCGUCAAGUCCAGAGUACCUGCGCAAACACAAACAAGCUUGCACCCAAGGCUUCAAAGGGGUUGUCAAUCCCUUCAAGAUUGUUUGCAAAGUGAGAUCUGAAGGUGGAAAGUGCAACGAAGUAAAAAGUGUAAGGCUGAAAAUAUGGUGUGGAGUAGACCCUGGGGGCCAUAGUGUUCACUAGAGGCUUCUCUCAAAAUAGCAAGUAAUACGGUGGGUGAACAAAUUACUGUCGAGCAAUUGAUAGAACCGCGCAAAGUCAUGACGAUAUCUAAGGCAAUGAUCUAGCAUAUAGGCAUCACGUUCGAGACAAGUAGACCGAUACUUUCUACAUCUACUACUAUUACUCCACACAUCGACCGUUAUCCAGCAUGCAUCUAGUGUAUUGAGUUCAUGGCGAAGAGAGUAACGCUUUAAGCAAGAUGACAUGAUGUAGAGGGAUAAUCUCAAACCAAUGAUGAAACCCCCAUCUUAUUACCCUUGAUGGAAACAACACGAUACGUGCCUCGCUACCCCUUCUGUCACUGGGUGAGGUCACCGCACGGUAUGAACCAAAACCAAGCACUUCUCCCAUUGCAAGAAUCAUAGAUCUAGUUGGCCAGACAAAACCCACAACUCGGAGAGAAUUACAAGGAUAUGAAAUCAUGCAUAAGAGAGAUCAGAAGAAACUGAAAUAAGAUUCAUAGAUAAUCUGAUCAUAAAUCCACAAUUCAUCAGAUCUCGACAAACACACCGCAAAAGAAGAUUACAUCGGAUAGAUCUCCAUGAAGAUCAUGGAGAAAUUUGUAUUGAAGAUCCAAGAGAGACAAGAAGCCAUCCAGUUACUAGCUAUGGACCCGUAGGUCUAUGGUGAACUACUCACACAUCAUCGGAGAGGUCAUGGUGUUGAUGAAGAAGCCCUCCAUGUCCGAAUCCCCCCUCUGGCAGGGCACCAGAACGUGCCCCAGAUGGGAUCUUGCGGAGACAGAAGUUUGCGGCGGCGGAAAAGUAAUUACGAUGCUCCCCUGAAUUUUUUGGGAACAUUUGGGAAUUUAUAGGCGCAAGAUCUAGGUCAGGGGACCUCCAGGGGGCCCACAAGCCUGCAUGGCUAGCCCCCCUAGCCGCGGGGUGGAGGCUUGUUGGGCCGCUAGGGCUCUUCUGGCUUGGCUCCCAAGUCCCCCAAUCUUCUUCCGUUCAGAAAAAAUAUUUUCGGGGAUUUUCUUCCGUUUGGACUCCAUUUCAAAAUCUCCUCUGAAAGGGGUAAAAAACAUGGAAAAAACAGGAACUGGCACUUGGCACUGGAUUAAUAAGUUAGUCCCAAAAAAUAAGUAAAAGGCAUGCAAAACAUCAAAAGUUUGACAAGAUAAUAGCAUGAAACCAUCAAAAAUUAUAGAUACGUUGGAGACGUAUCACCUAACAGAAGUGUGGCCGUACAUCGAGUAAGUUCUCGGUGAAUUAUUGUUCCGCAACUUCUAAUUGCUUUGAACUACUCUUAUUCCCGGAUAUUUGAUGUAGUCAAUAAGUCGCCGAAUUCUCGGAUGGAGCGGUCAUCGAAAAGGAUUCCGUCGAAGAGUAUGAGCUUCUCGCAAAGCAUGGAGGCGACUAUCCCGGUUUCAUCUCUUGCUUCAAACAAAGGGUAAUUAAUUACCAUUAAGGGCCCAUUUGAUUUCUUGGUCUAAUUUGCGGCUAAUGCAUUCAUUCUUUCGUAUUAAACUUGUAGGCUGAUGCAGAUUCUAUGGACGCCGAGUUGAGACAAGUCGCUAAUGGUUUUGACUAUAAGGUCCGUUCAUUUGACAAAUACAACAUCAAUGGGUAUCAGUUUCGUACCUUUGGCAAAGAGCUAUCUAUGCCCGACCUAAAGACUACAAAUUGUUCUGUCUCUGCUAUUGGCGUAGGAGGUACCGAGUAUUAUGGAAGAGUUGAAGCAAUUUAUGAACUUCUAUUCUAUGGUGAAAACCCACCGACCGUCGUAGUCUUCAAAUGUUAUUGGUUUGAGCCGAGGGAGACUAGAAGGACUCAUGAACAUAUAGGACUAGUCGAAAUCAACCAGAACACCCACUUAGAUGUUCCCGAUGUUUAUAUAACGUCUCAACAGGCGACACAAGUUUUCUAUCUACCGUGGGCCUGCCAAACUGAUCCAAAUCUCAAAGGUUGGGAUGUCAUUUAUGAAGUGCCACCACAUUUUAGACCACCUACCGUCAAUGAAGAGCAUUACGAACCUCACAUUAACCCAGACACAUAUGAAGGAGAAUUCUUCCAAGAAACACGUAUGUCCAAGAAACGUUUCAAGAACCGCUCUACUUCACCCCAGAACAUUGAAGUAGACAACGACAGUGAAUCCGUCUUAACCCCUGAGCCCGAACAGGAAGAGCUGGAAGAAGAAGAGGUUACUGCUGCGGAUGACCUGUCACUUCUUGACCGAUUACAUAAUGGUGGCCUUCCACAUGUUCUUCGUGAUAGUGAUGAUGAUGAUGCAUUUAUUGAUGAUACCGAUGAUCAUGAUGCAUUUAUUGACCCCGAAGCAUAUAUAGACGAGCACGAUUGUUAUUAGUUCAUGUCAGGUAUUCAACUAUUAUACUAUAUAUAAAUUUUGAGUUCAUGUUAGGUAUUCAAUUUUUAUUAGUCAUGUUGGUAUUUAUGAUGAUGAUACACUUAAAUUAUAUACAUUUUAUUACUCAUGUUGGUAUUUAUGUUGUACUAAUUUCAUUUACUCUUUGUCAUGACAGGUGUUGAAAGAUGGUGGGAAAGGGUCGAAAGCACUCCACGGCUCCUUCUUCGUCGACGGGUGAUGGGAUGGGUACUUCCAUUCCCGCCUCGCCUCUUCGGAGAGUGUUGCUCUCUACUAUGCAAGUAGCGCCCCCCGUGAGAGGAGGUCGACCCCCCGCGAAGCCGAGAGGUACUAAAGGUACAUGUUGUAUUCAUGUUGGUAUUUAUGUUUCACUCAUGUUGUAUGCAUAUUGGUAUUUAUAUACAUUUUAUUACUCAUGUUGGUAUUUAUGUUGUACUAAAAGUACACGUGGCCGCGGGAGAGGUAGGGUGGUGGCUGCCACGCCUUCUGAGGUGGAGGCUACACGGUCUCCGCCACCACCCCAAGCUGAUUCACGUGAGCACAAGACUUCUAGGGUGGAUUAGUCUGAGGUGGAGGCUACACGGUCUCUGGUUCACGAGCCUCGGGUCGACGAGCCUCAGGUCGACGAGCCUUCGACCCACGAGACUCGUGUCCUAGAGGCCUCGUUCCAGGCGACUCCAGAGCAAAUCAGGGAUGAGGGUACGUCCCGAGAGACCCAGUGGGAUACCUGGGCUGAGCCAAGUGGCCAUGCUGGUAGCGACGAGGAGCUGGGUGAGGGGGCUACCGUCUACCAGCGUGGUAGUUCGGGGCUUCCGCUCGUGCCGGCAACCCCCCAGAAGAGGUGGUCGAUUAGGCAAAUGGGGACAAGUAAGUUAAUUUACUCUUAUUUAACCUUUUUCCUUCAUGUUUUCUCAAAUAUCUAAUGUUUUGGCUAUAAUUUUUCAUACCGUAGGGGUUGGAUUGUUUCCAAGGGUGUCUGCAAGCCCAACAACAUCCUUGGUGUGCUUUGCCGUAAAAAAUUUCCAGGGUUUGUUACGUUGCCCGGCCAGGAGCGAGAGGUAGGAAUGACCUGGGAGCACUACUUGGGUGCCUUGGUCCCGCCGGAGGUGGAGAUCGACAGUGUUUUGUGCCACACGAGGGCCGACAUGGUGAUCCGACAGUUCUGGGUAAUUUCUCCUUCACACAAUUAUAAAUCAACCAUAGCUAGUUAUUGCACUAAUCAGUGUUGUCUCAUUUGCAGACCUACUACAGGUGUGAGGAGGGAUACGAGGAGGACGCGGCAAAGGUUAUCGAAACCGAAUGUCGCCGCCUACUUCAAAACUUUCGGCACGAGGCUCGGGUGCAGGCUGUUCGAGACUACUAUGCCACGCGGCAUAUUAGGAAGGACAAGGCGAACUGCCGUGAUUCUAAGAUGGAGAAUGAGCAUUACAUGAUGGUAAUUACAUAUUAUUAAGGCUUUGUAGUUAGUUUCCUUGAUUUGGUCCUUACGCGCUCAAAUUUCUCUUUGUUAACUUAGGUGCCCCCAAGAUGGUGUGUGGAUAAGAUGGAUUGUUGGGAGGCCUUGGUGGAUCAGUGGUGCACUGAAACGUGGGAGUGUUGGGGAACGUCGCAUGGGAAACAAAAAUUUUCCUACGCGCACGAAGACCUAUCAUGGUGAUGUCCAUCUACGAGAGGGGAUGUGUGAUCUACGUACCCUUGUAGACCGUACAGCAGAAGCGUUAGUGAACGCAGUUGAUGUAGUGGAACGUCCUCAUGUCCCUCGAUCCGCCCUGCGAACCGUCCCGCGAUCAGUCCCACGAUCUAGUGCCGAACGGACGACACCUCCGCGUUCCACACACGUACAGCUCGACGAUGAUCUCGGCCUUCUUGAUCCAGCAAGAGAGACGGAGAGGUAGAAGAGUUCUCCGGCAGCGUGACGGCGCUCCGGAGGUUAGUGAUGAUCUUGUCUCAGCAGGGCUCCGCCCGAGCUCCGUAGAAACGCGAUCUAGAGGUAAAACCGUGGAGAUAUGUGGUCGGGCUGCCGUGGAAAAGUUGUGUCAAAUCAGCCCUAAAACCUCCGUAUAUAUAGGGGGAAGAGGGGGAGCCUUGCCUUGGGGUCCAAGGACCCCUAAGGGCUUCGACCGAGCCAAGGGGGGGAGAUCUCCCCUUCCAAACCGAGUCCAACUAGGUUUGGAAGCAGGAGUCCUUCCCCCUUUUCCCACCUCCUCCUUUUUUUCUUUUCUCUUUGAUUUUUCUUCCUAUGGCACAUAGGGCUCUUUUGGGCUGUCCCACCAGCCCACUAAGGGCUGGUGCGCCACCCCCAAUGCCUAUGGGCUUCCCCGGGAUGGGUUGCCCCCCCGGUGAACUCCCGGAACCCAUUCAUCAUUCCCGGUACAUUCCCGGUAACUCCGAAAACCUUUCGGUAAUCAAAUGAGGUCAUCCUAUAUAUCAAUCUUCGUUUUCGGACCAUUCCGGAAACCCUCGUGACGUCCAUGAUCUCAUCCGGGACUCCGAACAACAUUCGGUAACCAACCAUAUAACUCAAAUACGCAUAAAAAACGUCGAACCUUAAGUGUGCAGACCCUGCGGGUUCGAGAACUAUGUAGACAUGACCCGAGAGACUCCUUGGUCAAUAUCCAAUAGCGGGACCUAGAUGCCCAUAUUGGAUCCUACAUAUUCUACGAAGAUCUUAUCGUUUGAACCUCAGUGCCAAGGAUUCAUAUAAUCCCGUAUGCCAUUCCCUUUGUCCUUCGGUAUGUUACUUGCCCGAGAUUCGAUCGUCAGUAUCCGUAUACCUAUUUCAAUCUCGUUUACCGGCAAGUCUCUUUACUCGUUCCGUAAUACAAGAUCCCGCAACUUACACUAAGUCACAUUGCUUGCAAGGCUUGUGUGUGAUGUUGUAUUUCCGAGUGGGCCCCGAGAUACCUCUCCGUCACACGGAGUGACAAAUCCCAGUCUCGAUCCAUACUAACUUAACGAACACCUUCGGAGAUACCUGUAGAGCAUCUUUAUAGUCACCCAGUUACGUUGCGACGUUUGAUACACACAAAGUAUUCCUCCGGUGUUAGUAAGUUAUAUGAUCUCAUGGUCAUAGGAACAAAUACUUGAAACGCAGAAAACAGUAGCAAUAAAAUGACACGAUCAACAUGCUACGUCUAUUAGUUUGGGUCUAGUCCACCACGUGAUUCUCCUAAUGACGUGAUCCAGUUAUCAAGCAACAACACCUUGUUCAUAUCAGAAGACACUGACUAUCUUUGAUCAACUGGCUAUCCAACUAGAGGCUUGCUAGGGACAAUGUUUUGUCUAUGUAUCCACACAUGUAUAUAAGUCUUCAUUCAAUACAAUUAUAGCAUGGAUAAUAAACGAUUAUCUUGAUACAGGAAUUAUAAUAAUAACUAUAUUUAUUAUUGCCUCUAGGGCAUAAUUCCAACAGGGAGGCCAGCCACAACAACGCCAAGGAGAGGCGUGGCAAAAUGGUUGGUGUGCCACACCAUCAAGGGAGCGUCAACUUAAUCCAAUUUGGCGAGAACUGGGUAUGUGGUUUGCUUCAUGCCUCAUGCAAUUCAUUCUUAAUGCUAUCUUGAGCCCUUUACUAAUACAAUUUUCCUCUCUCUCUCUCUUUUAGGCGCGUCACAAUAAGACGGAGGUGCCACAGAUGUACGACCUGUAUGCGAUGGCCCAUACUGCCUCGUACUAGAAGGUCAAGGCAUUCUCUGAGUCUGACCUCGAGCAUCCAGAAAACUUCUCCAACAUCUCCUCCCACCACAAGCUCGUGAAGUACAAAGAUAACGGGAAGACGAGGAAAGGGGAGGACUUUAACCCGAGCGAGGGGCCUAUUCAUCCACAGCUGGUGAUGAUAGCUGGCAACGGGAGGCCCCAUGGCUCGAUCGCCAUUGGAGACGGCCUUAUACGUUGUCCUAGCACUCUCCGACAGAUAAAGGCAUGCCAAACGAGCUCCUGUCCGGAGAUAACACCUCGUCCAUGGCCAGUCGAGCUCGCCAUCGAGGUUAGUUUAAUGGACUCAACUAUCUUUCCGCAUUAUGUUGUGCGUUGGAACCAAUAUGAUUACAAUGCUAACAAUGAGUUGUGUUGCAGGCUGCUAUUCAGAAAGAGAGAGAGGCAAUGCAGGCGGCUAUGGCGGAGAAUGAUAAGGAGAUGAGGGAGCUCGAGGAGGGGAUGACUGCAUUGGUGGAGGUGGAGAGGGCACGGAAUGAUGCGUCUAACAGGGCCAUAUACGAGCUCUUUGUGGUAAGUUUCUUCUUCAUGUUAUUUCAAAUCUUGCAUUUUAAUGUCCGUUUAGCUAAAAAAUGACCAAUUUAGCUAAAAAAUGAAAUAAUAAGCUCAAAAUGGCAUAAGAACCUUGGUUAGCUCAUGAAUAUUAUAUACUUAGCUCGGCUUCCACCUAAAUGAUAUAAUUAGCCAAUUUAGCUCCAAUAUGGCUUAAUAAGCAUAGUUAGCUCCAAAAUGACAUAUUUAACCCAAGUGAGCUCCGAAACGACCUAUAGUUGGCUAGGCUUACACCUAAAUGAGAUAAUUAGCUUAGUUAGCUCCAAAAUGACCUAGUUAAUAAAAAAUGACCUAUAGUUAGCUAAGUUCUCUCCUAAAUGACAUAAUAAUGGUUACGUAGCUGCAAGAUGACAUAUUCCCCCUAACUUAGGUAUUAAAUGGCCUAUAAUUAGCCUAGCUAGAUACAAAAUGGCUUAAUAAGCAUAGUUUGCUCCGGAAUGACACAUUUUACCCAAGUUACCUCCGAAACGACCUAUAGUUAGCUAGGCUUCCACCUAAAUGACAUAAUUAGCUUAGUUAGCUCCAAAAUGGUCUAUUUAAUAAAACAUGACCUAUUCUUAGCUAAUUAUCCUCGAAAUGACAUAAUUAGCUCCAAAAAGGCAUUCUUAGCUAAUUUAGCCCGAAGAAGGGGACAAGAGGAGAAGAAAGAGGAAAAAUGAAAGGAAGGAAGAAGAAGAAGAGAAGAAGAAGGAUAAGAAGAAGGAGAAGAAGUAGGAUAAGAAGGAGAAGGAGAUCCUCCUUCUCCUUCUUCUUCCUCCUUCUUCCUCCUUCUCCUUCUCCUUCUUUUCUUCUUCUUCUACUCUUCCUUCUCCUUCUCCUCCUCCUCCUCCUUCUUCUUUUACUUCUUCUUCUCUUCUUGCUUCUUCUCUUUCUCUUCAUCUACGUAGCUUAGACUCAUCCAAGAAAGACUAAAUUGGCUAAUUAUCAUACAAAAUGACAUAAUUAGCUUAGUUAGGUGAACACAUCAUAAGAACCUUGGUUAGCUCAUUAAAAUGACCAAUUUAGCUAAAAAUUGAAAUAAUAAGCUCAAAAUGGCAUAAGAACCUUUGUUAGCUCAUGAAUAUUAUAUACUUAGCUUGGCUUCCACCUAAAUGAUAUAAUUAGCCAAUUUAGCUCCAAUAUGGCUUAAUAAGCAUAGUUAGCUCCAAAAUGACAUAUUUAACCCAAGUGAGCUCCAAAACGACCUAUACUUAGCUAGGCUUCCACCUAAAUGACAUAAUUAACUUAGUUAGCUCCAAAAUGACCUAUUUAAUAAAAAAUGACCUAUAGUUAGCUAAGUUCUCUCCUAAAUGACAUAAUAAGGCUUAUGUAGCUGCAAGAUGACCUAUUCCCCUAACUUAGGUAUUAAAUGGCCUAUAAUUAGCUUAGCUAGAUCCAAAAUGGCUUAAUAAGCAUAGUUUGCUCCGGAAUGACACAUUUUACCCAAGUUAGCUCCGAAAUGACCUAUAGUUAGCUAGGCUUCCACCUAAAUGACAUAAUUAGCUUACUUAGCUCCAAAAUGUUCUAUUUAAUAAAACAUGACCUAUGGUUAGCUAAUAUCCUCGAAAUGACAUAAUUAGCUCCAAAAAGGCAUUCUUAGCUAAUUUAGCCCAAAGAAGGGGACAAGAGGAGAAGAAAGAGGAAAAAUGAAAGGAAGGAAGAAGAAGAAGAAGAGAAGAAGAAGGAGAAGGAGGAAGAAGAAGGAGAAGGAGAAGGAGCUUCUCUCCUCCUUCUCCUUCUUCUCCUUCUUGUUGUCCUUCUUCUUUUCUUCUUCUUCUCCUCUUCCUCUUCCUUCUCCUCCUCCUUCUCCUCCUCCUCCUUCCUUUUUUUCUUCUCCUUCUUCUUCUCUUCUUGCUUCUUCUCUUUCUUCUUCUACGUAGGUUAUUUUCCCCAACAAAGACAUACUUAGCUAAUUAUACUCCAAAAUGACAUAAUUAGCAUAGUUAGGUAAAAACAUCACAAGAACCUUGGUUAGCUCAUUAAAAUGACUAAUUUAGCUCCAAAAUGACAUAAUAAGGUCAAAAUGGAUUAAUAAUCAUAGUUGGCUACAAAAUGACAUAUUUUAUCCAAGUUAGCUCUAGAAUGACCUAUACUUAGCCAAGUUCUCUCCUAAAUUACAUAAUAAGGCUAUGUAGCUCCAAGAUGACCUAUUCCACCUAACUUAGCUAUUAAAUGGCCUAUACUUAGCUAAUUUCUCUCCGAAAUAACCUAUAUACUUCUUCAUCUAGUAUUAUUCUUCUAACUUUCUUAUUUGUCAUUUUGUAGAUUACAUUCACUUCACCGAAAGCUUGGAUUAUAUUGAUGGAAUGCUUGAAGAUGAUUUCUUGUACCAUGGCUUCACGGAAGCUUGUAUUGAAACUAUUAUAGUAUAUGGAUAUAUAUGAAACUUUGUGUGCAUGUGGAUGAAACUGGUGUAAUAUAUGGUUUGGUAUGGAUGGAACUUGCAUAAUAUAUAUGUACUAUGGAUGAAAUUUAUUUUAAUAUGGUUAUGAGUACGGAAACAAAUUUAUUUUUGUAAAAUAUAUAUAUAUAUAUACAUCCUGAUUAUUGUGAAAAAUGCUGGAUAUAAUAAGAAAUAAAAUAAAAAGGGGCUGGUUCCCCCCUUUGCCGUCUCGCCCCCACAUGGCNNNNNNNNNNNNNNNNNNNNNNNNNNNNNNNNNNNNNNNNNNNNNNNNNNNNNNNNNNNNNNNNNNNNNNNNNNNNNNNNNNNNNNNNNNNNNNNNNNNNUAGGGCGAAUUCAAGAGAAUUGCAUGUUAUUAUGUUUAAGAAUCCGCAACCUUAAUUUUUUUGUCCUCCGCCUCUGUCUUAGGUCUAUGUAAUUGUCUUCCUUUGAGAUCAUUCACUUUCGAUGGAUCAAUUGCACAAGUAAUAUUUUAACACAAAACAUACUAAUACUUGUAUAUUAUUGCCAUUACAUGACUUAGAAGCAACAUAACAACAUCAACAACAUGUAUAUGAAAUCUCAUGAACUACCCAACAUAGUAUGUCCGCACGUAAGUUAAGCCUAGUUAGAAAUGCAGUUAAAAAACAUGAAACCCAUGGUAGGGUCAGAGAAUAGAAUAGCAGAGAUGAGUCCGUCAUGGUAACAGGGGAGCAUGAUGACGGAUCACUGGAUGAUGUAGAGCUUGAUUUAAUCCUUCGUAUGCAUUGUGCAAACCAAUAGUUCCAAGUGUAAGAAGUUCUGUGCGCAAAUGGUCUAUAUCACCUCAAAUAGAACAUAAGAUAAGAUGGAACAUCUUAAACAUGUUAAAUGUGUACGUGUUAGGUUAAUUUAGAACAUAUUAAACCAAGAAGUAGAAAGGAGCUGCAAUUUAACAUAAGAAGACUGGACAACAGGGUCUGAUCAUGUAAAAAACAACAGUAUUUCGUAAGUCAAGACUUUAAAAAUGAUAUGCGCUUAAAGACUACCCAAAUAUGUCCCAAGUUAAAACAUUUUCAGAUAUAUACGAUCACGUAUAUGUAACAAACAAAACAUUGAUGUGUAAAUAAUUGAGCUGCUUAUUUCUACUUACUGAACGAAUGUAAGGAUAUUAGCUAGUGCAUAUGUUGGACUACACCGGCUCUGAAGGAUAUCUAUGCAUAUGUUUCCAUCAGGCAAAUACAGUUAAGUAUAAGAUCAACCCUAAAUCAGACAUAUAGUUCUCACCAAGAGAAUGAUGAGAUGAUUUUCUAAGAAACCAGACAAGUUUCCAACAGCAAUCAAACACCAUAUGUCAGCCAAGAAGAUAGAUCUACCUCAUUGCAAACAUAGAUUGCAACAGAAGGAUUAAUCAUCAAGACCACCAAGUGACAACAGCAUCGCAUAUAACCACAAUCAUCUAAUCUCGCCGGUGAACCAAAGCAUCGCAGUACAAAUCGAAAACAGAGUGUCAUCCAAGCAGUGCAGGCAGAGACCAAUCAACCAGGCAGCAACAACCAAUGCCACCUAAUCUACUCUAAACUGGGCACUAUCCAAGCCCUGCAGCCAUGUACUUCCCUAUCCAUGGUUGCAGAGGAACACCCACCCCCGUAAACAGAGGAAAAUCAAAUCAGCCUGCAGACAAACAGUGUAAGGGGGGAGAUCAGGUCAGGAGAUCUCACCAUGGACCAACAGCUUGCUGCAUAUGGGCAGCACCUGCAUGAAAGGCCCUAGCUUCUCGUGCUCGGCGAGCAGCUCGGCCAAGUACUGGCUGCAUAAAACCAUUAAUCGCACAGCAAUCACAUCACCAUCCCCAUUCAUUCAUUCAUCCGUCCAGCAAACCCAACAGGAAGAGGGGGAAAAACAGCAAAAUACGCCUAGAAAUUGUGGCCACCGAGCAGGCGAUUGGUGCUCUUGUGCAAGGAUGGGGGUCUUGCAAGCGAAAGCGGCAGGGGGUCCUCGGUCGCGCUAUGUCGUGCUCCCUGGGAUUCGUCCAUGGUUGUGCUCCCUAAGAUCCGACCAUGGCCGUGUUCCAUGGGUCGUGCGCCACCACCCUGAGAACCUCCGGCACGGUUCGAUGGUGCGGAUCCGAACGCUGGCCGUGAAGCGCAUCCCCCCUGCACGCUGAUCUACUCGGAUCGUGGUCGCUCCGCUAUGCCGUGGUCGCCGCCGCCGCCGCCACGACAAUCGUCCGAGAAGCUCGGGCACGGCUCGAUGGCGCGGAUCCAGAUGCCAGCGGGGAGGAGCAUCUCUGCCCGUGUGUCACCACCCGCCGCUCCGAGACACCACGGUAGCCUCCACCUCGCCCGCAUGCGGGAGGAAUCGCGCUCAGGGGGCUGGAUCUGUGCGAGGAGCCGCUGGGGCGUCCUCUAGCCGUGUAGUGGCAGAGCGUCGUCCGCUCCAAGUAAUUGCUAUGCGCACAUCUAACUCGGGAUUAGAAUAAUCUAGACGGUUAGAUCUAAUUAAACGGGGUGAUCCGAUGAUGCUAUAUUCUUGUGUAUGUUUUAUGGGGUGUCCGGAAGAAAGAAAAAGUUGGCUUGUUUAUUAGUAGUAUAGAUCAGGUUCAGGAAAGGAUAUUUCAGUGUGAAAUUGCGUGAUACAUACAUAGUAUUUUUACUCUGUUCAAAUGGCAUCCGGAGGAAUUCCUGGUGAUUUAAAUUUAGCUGUUAGACUGAAGAUGAAUGAGAUGUUGAUAUUCCCAGUCAUAUAAGAAAUUUGCAUUUCUCUCUGCAGUUAACCUUUUUUUAGACGCUCGGUGUAAUAACAUUGGCUUCAGACUUGGUAUGAUACUCCAUUUGAGAUGCAUUGCAUGUCGAUGCGGAUAAUCUUAUUAGCACGCAAUAAGAUGCUCGCUUUAGGUUCAUAAAUUUAAAAAUAUGAUGCUCGCUAUGAUUUGGUUUCGGGGUGAAAUUUCAUGCAUGUGGGAAGGAUAGACAAGGCAAGAAACUGAGAAAGAGGGUGAGAGCCCACAUAGGGACGUCAUGUUUGAUGCACAUGUUGAUGAAGUGGAAUAGUUUGUUAUUCUAUAGUAUCCCAUGUGUAUUGGACAUCAUGAAACAAUAUGUAUCAUGUUGCUACACAUGGUUAAAAUUUCAUAGUAGCUCUAAUGAUUCAGGUUUGUCUCAAAGUGCUAGCUCAUGGUAAACCUCUUCAGAAACAAGUCGUAAAAGUUGAAAAUCGCAUCCAUUUAUAUUAUGUUCUGCUGGAUAAUAUAACAAAUUGUCUAUCUCUUUUAGGGUGGUUUGCUAACUUAUUUGGCAUAACAUUUCUAACGACAUUAAUUGUCCUGGUUGACAAAUCUCAUGCCAGAUAUACAUGUACGUCUUGAUUAGGCUGCCUAAUCAAGAGAGCAAACUUUUGUAAUAUACUUGCAGUUCUCUCAAGCAUGAGCUAAUCAGAACUAUAUGUCCUUGGGGAAGCUUUAUCUAUCUAUUUCGGUGUCUGCAUAUAUGACAGGUCUAGACUGUACGGAGGGGGUGAUUGAUGUUGUCGUGGAUGUUAAGUUGUGCUUAACAAAUGUUAUUCUGCUUGAGAACAAAGAACUGGUCUGUCAAGACUUGCUUCUAAUGGUUACACCUUAGAUCAUGACAAGGUAAAGUGUCAAGCGGCUACAACAGAAAAUUGCUGGAAGACUCUUUCUUCUCUAUGUUACAGAUAAUCAUUCUGUAUAUGAAGCUGUAGUCUGCCUUGGACAUCCAACCGUAAAGAAGAUUGGGAUAAUUUUCAAAAUAUACAACGAUAUAGCAGGUGCGUAGGAUUAGAAAUAGACUGUGAAUUGGUGCUACAACAUUGUCCCUUGAAUAUUUUGACUCCCUUCCUAAGGUAAGGCGACGAAUGCAUGCAUUCUUUCUCUGUUUCCUCUUAUCCAUUUUUUAUUAAAAAUCAAUAGAAGAAACAACAUCGUCAAAGAUUUGGUAUAAAAACAUCAGGUCAUCAAACCCCAUUUGAGUAUAAUUUUCUUGGCUAAAGAUUAAGAUGAUGCGGAGAUGCGUGAACCCUGCAAAAAAACAUUCAUUGCAUCCUUCAUGUUAGUGGAGGAAAAACAAUAUUUGUGUUCUCUCAAAGAUAUGGUGAGUAGAGCAAGGGUGUGAUGAUCAGAUAGAUAAAGGAAGGAUGACGAAGAUUUAUAUAAUGAAGUGGAGCUGAGUUAAAAACAAACCCAUGUGUAGAUGAACAAAAUAAGAUGGAAAAGUAUGCCUUAGUACGUGUGGUAAUUGAAAGCUUUAGUUGACAUGAGCAUCAUUUUUUCAUGAAAGGGGUGCGAGCGUUUGUUUCUCCCGUUGCAACGCACGGGCAUUUUUCCUAGUAUUCCCUAAAACUCAUACUCCAUAUCCAGCAACCUAUUCAACUCCACCUCUUAUCUUACAGAGCAAAGGGUAACCUGCAAUGUUUCAGAGCAUGUACACUCCCAAGGUAUUUCUCUGAAGUAAAACAGAAACAUCCGUAUUCUUCUCCAUUUAGUCUUAAAAUCAGCUAUAAUUAAUAUGGGUAACCUUCUCCAAUGUUGGCUCAGUUUAUAUAUCCCCUGAAACUUAGACUAUAUUUCAAAUAAUAUAAUCAACUCCAGCUCUUGAGGAGAGCUUCCUACUCAAGUUAAUAAUGUAACUCUUCUGCGUAGAUUAUUUCCACUGGAGAGACAUUACGACACUGUCAUGCAGUGACUACAUUAACUACAGUAGUUUGCAACGGGCCUACAGGCUACAGACAAGUAGACCUUGACUCAUGAGGUAACAAACCGUUCCAUAACCUUUAAAUUAGUCAGCAACCAGUCGUGUGCACAUCAAAGGCACCGCCGUAUUGCACAGGAAAUAACAUUGACCACAUGAUGUCUCUACACAUGCUUUAAUCUUGGACUGACAACAGUUAAAAUUGUACUGCUAGGAACGAGCAAAAUUCACUGCUGAAAUUUCUACUUGUACAGUUCUACCCUGUAUUAUAUAUUGCGCUGAGCACUAGCUUGAAGUGGUAAAGCCUGUAUUUAUACACGGGUGCUUGUUAUCUUAAUCAUUUAUGUUUUCCUUGAAAAAACUACGCAAAAAAAAUUAGAACAGCAAUGAUCAUGGACCUGAGUCAAUUGCCGCAUGUAUCUACCACUACCACAAAAGAAAUUCCACUGAAUAGACCGUCAAACACCGCACAGCAACCAACACUUGAUACGCAGGACAGCAACAUGAACGUCACUAUAGUCCGCAAUCUACGGUGAUCUGUUGCGCUCGCAGCCUUAAGGCAUGACCAUCGCUCCACGAUGGACAGAUGCCCCAGCUGUCCACGUCGACCUGCUCGGUCCAGCGAAGCCAAACCUGAUGCUUGCAGGCCAGAACGACCUCUUGCAGAAGAGGCAGGCUCCUCACGGGCAAAAGCAUGAGAAAAUGAUAAAAAGGCAGGAACCGUGUACAAAGAGAGCUGGUCAUUAUGGUUUGUUUCUCACAUAAAAGAAAGGAAACUUUUCAGAGAAAAAGUUGAUGGUGGUCCACAUGUGAUGCCUGCGUUGGACAAGAGCAACUGUGACAGUAGUCUCAUUGUCUAUUUCCUCGCUGGAAGUACUGAGGCUACCGUAUAGUGAUGCUACCAUAGUUCAUGCCCUUAGAAGUGUAAAUCAUUCUCCAUCACCUUCUUCUGUGAUGAUGGAAAAUCUGUACAAUACCUUUCAAGGAAAAUUUGUACAAUACAGUUAAAAAUAAACUGCCAUGCAUAGCCUUGUACUCCCUCCGUUCCUAAAUAUAAGUCUUUGUAGAGAUUCCAAUGAAGACUAUAUACGGGAGCAAAACGAGUGGACCUACACUUUAAAAUAUGUCUAUAUACAUCUGUAUGUAGCCCUUAUUGAAAUCUCUAAAAAGACUUAUAUUUAGGAACUAAGACAGUAGAAAAAUGACUCCAACUAAACAGCAACACCUCCACGUCCUACUACUCCUGCUACUGCUAGUAUGCUUCUACUAGAUACUGCAGACAAACAUAACACCACUGUUUCUUGCCUACCAGAUCAUGCUUCUUCCCUCCUCCCGCUAAAGCGCUCAUUCAUCAACGUAGAUUCGAAUCUGGCGUCUUGGCAAGCUGGAAGAGAUUGCUGCCAGUGGGAGGGCGUCACCUGUGAUAUGGCUAAAAUAGAAACCUCAAUAUUCUUCUUCCUUCAGUCUCCAAAUCAGUUAAUUUAAUAUGUGUAGCCUUUCCUGAUGUUGGCUGGCUCAACUUAUAUCCCCUAAAACUCAGACUCCAUAUCCAGUAAUCUAAUCAACUCGAGCUAUUACCUUACAGAGCAAAGAGUAAACCUGCAAUAUUUCAGAACAUGUACGUUCCCAAGGUAUUUCUCAAACAAUAAUUUAUCUUCUAUUAUACCUGACUUUGGUAGAUACCUUCCCAAGAAGACCCACGGGAACUUGAGGUCCUGGACUUAUCAUACAACAAUUUUGGAGGCAGGGUGUUGUCCUGCCUAAAGCAAACUAGCAGCAUGUCGAUAUUGAAGUUGACAGAUAAUCGUUUCCGUGCGAUAUUACCUGGAAAUAUUGGAGAAGGAUGUAUGCUUCAGACAAUAGAUUUGAACAGCAACUGAAUUGAAGGGAAAAUACCCAGAUCGCUACUGAACUGCAGAAGUUUAGAGGUUCUUGAUAUUGGUAGAAAUCAAAUUCUUGAUACUUUUCCAUCUUGGUUGGGUAAGAAGUCUAAUCUUCGGAUUCUCAUCUUGAGAUCCAAUCAAUUAUAUGGCUCAAUAGGAGGCCCUGCUGAAAGUGAUGCGGCCAGUAAGCAUUUCUCGAGUUUGCAAAUUGUUGAUUUGGCCUCAAAUAAUUUUUCUGGGAGCUUAAGUUCAAAAUGGUCUGACAAGCUAGAAACAAUGAUGGUAAACUCUACUGGUGAGGGUUAUGCUCUAGACCUUCGAAGAUUAUACUACCAGGAAAUUCUCACAUUUCAAGGGAUUGAUCUCACAUUUACCAAGAUCCUGACCACUUUCAACAUGAUCGAUUUCUCAAACAAAGCAUUUGAUGGCCCCAUCCCAGACUCAGUUGGGAAGCUUAUUGCUCUACAUGACCUGAACAUUCACAUUAUGCCUUAACUGGAGGAAUCCCAUCAAAGCUUGGCUACUUGGCUCAACUCGAGUCACUAGACCUCUCUCAGAACAAACUCUCAGGGGUUAUCCCACAGGAUCUAACCAGCCUAACAUGUCUGGCUGUGCUGAAUCUCUCCUACAACAAUUUGACUGGAAUGAUACCAGAAGGGCCGCAGUACUCGUUGUUCACUAACAGCUCAUUUGAAGGCAAUGAAGGACUGUGUGGAAGGCUGCUUUCCAAACAGUGCAACAAUUCAGGUACGGGAACCCUCAACUCAUCGGUGUCUUUGCAAGACAGUGUUGGAACCAUAGUGUUGUUUGUGUUUGCGGGAUCCGGUUUCAGAGUUGGCCUUGCGGCAGCAGUGGUUUUGUCAGUGGUUUUUCAGGCCAAACGUUGGAACUGCAAUCGUUCCUUGUUCUACCAGUGAAAUGAUAUGACUUGGGGUGUGACAGUGUGUUUCUGUAUCAUGUAUUCAUAUGAGCUUGUAGGAACCUACUUAUUUAAAAGUUAAUGCACCUUUUCUCUUUUACAUACAUAAAUUGUAAAUUAAAGGAACAUAAUCAUACGAGCUUGUACCCACUUCUUUAGUGUUCAUACGGUUUGUAGGAUUUCCAUGGGAUUUUGACCCUCCUAUGUAUGACAGUUGUUUCACAGGAAUGGAGGUACUAAAUUUCAUUAGGAUUGUGCUUAAUUCCUCAGGAAUCAUUAGGAUUGUGCCUAAUUCCUAAUGGAGGUAAGAUUUAUUAGGAUCUUUUCUACUGCACAGUGUAUUUACCACAACCACAAAAGAAAUUCCACCGAAUAGGCAGUCAAACACGGCACGGCGACCCCUUGAUAGGCUGAAUCAGUUUAGGAGAGUAACAUAAACAUCACUAUAUUCUGCAAUCGGCAAUGAUGGGUUGCGCUCACAGGUUCACAAGUGUAAAUGCAAUUUCCAUCACAAAAACAGACAAGUCCCCUGAAGGAAAAUCUGUACAAUACCUUCAAGUUUAAACACAAACUGGCAUGCAUAGAAAUAUCUAUACACAUCCUACAUUCCCAUAUAUAAACGUAGUACAACAAGGUUCGUGUAUUACAUUGGUUCAGAACUAAAGUACAGAAGAGUCUAGAAUAAAGGAGGAGUGUGUUUUCAGUUUUGUGCAUAUUGUACAACAAGGCUCAUCUAUGUACACUGGUUGUCUGGUUCAAAACUAAAUGCAACAUGAAACCUAAUGCAGAUUAAUAUUAUUAUAUCUGCAAGGUUAAUAUACCCCUGUAAUAUAUAUAUUUUUAAUCAGAGAUGAGCAUGAAUAUCUAUUGACGACUUAAUAACAGCAUGGCUGCAUAUAUGUACAUUAUAAUUAGGAAGGAAAAAUAUGUUCUUCGCCAACUUUAUCCCCUCAACUCAUCCAUCCCUGAUGUAUCAUGAAAGAGAUUUUUUUUGUGCUCAACAGCACAUGCUCUAUAAUGAGACAUGUAUCACUGUUAAUAGAUAAAUUUAUUAGUUACUACCAAUAGUCCUUGCACGAACACGUGCCAUCUUUAAACAAAUGGAAACGUGUUCGGUCUCUAACAAUAAUUUCUCUCCCAUAUACUUUGGAUAUAAGUUUGGUGACAUGAUGACAAUCUUGGCAAACUCUGAGGUUCUUGACAAUCCGAAUGGGCAUAUAAUCUUCUGUACUUAUCAAAGCAAAUGCGAUUGCCAGCUUCUCACUGUGGCGGCUGAGUGCACUUUCCAUCUCUUCUUCUUCAAUGUCAAGCAAAACUUCUUUCUUGUCAGGCACAUAACCUUCCUCCAGCCUUAUCCUACUAUCUACCUCAUACCACUUUGUCAAAAUAUCUUUUAUGCGAGGAUGAGACAGAUCUCCAACGAUGAACUGGUGGAUAACUCCUUUUAUCUCCACAUUGCUACAUCCAGGUGUCUUCUCAACUCCCUUCUCACGCAUUAGGUUCCUAAUUUCCCUCGCAGACGCAUGCCUACCAGAGGCAGAAUAUAUGUUACCUAAAAGCACAUAAGCACCGCUUUUGUCUGGCUCCAAUUCAAUCCAGUGCUUUAUAACAUACUCAGCCAACUCCACAUUCUUGUGAAACCUACAGCCAGCCAUUAGAGCUCCCCAGAUUAAGGCAUCCGGUUUCAUGGGCAUUUUCUCAACCAUGUCCCUGGCCUCACUCAGCAAGCCAUUCCGUGCCAGGAGGUCUACCAUGCAUCCAUAAUGCUCAAUCUUUGGUUUAAUACCAUAGUUGUUCACCAUGGAAUUGAAAAGCUCCCGACCCUUGUCAACUAAUCCAGUAUGUGUGCACGCACAGAGAGCACCAAUGAAGGCAAUGUCAUCCGGCUUAACACCUGAGCUCUCCAUCUGGGAGAAGAGUGUCAAUGAGUCUGAGCCUCGGCCGUGCAUAGCCAGGCCCUUUAUCAUGGUAGUCCAGGCCAGCACAUUCUUGUCCUUCAUUCCUUCAAACACCUCCAUUCCAAGCUGCACCUCGCCACAUUUGGCAUACAUAUCAACCAGUGCAGUGCCCAAAAACACGGUCAUCCUGAUAUUGUUUGCUUUGAGGUAACCAUGCACCCACUUCCCCUGCUCCAGAGCACCCAGCUGCGCGCACGCGGCAAGCACCCCGACGAGAACCGUGUCGUCCGGGCGGACACCUUGUGCCUGCAUCUGAGAGAACACCCCCAGCGCCUCCCUCCCGUCCCCGGCCUGCACGUAUCCAUUCACCAUGGCGCUCCAGGACACGGCAUUCCUCUCAGGCAUUUCGUCGAACAGCGAGCGGGCGUCGGCGACUCGCCCAGCCCUCGCGUGCGCCGUGAUAAGCGUGUUGAACGUGGAGGCGUCGACGGCAGCCGAGGUGCGCAGCAGCAGGUGCGCGUCGGCCAGGCGGCCGAGCAGGCCCGCGUGGACGCGGAUGAGCGCGUUGUUCACGAGGAGGAACCCCGCGAGGCCGAGCCUGACGGCGUGGGCGUGGACGGCGAGCGCGAGGCGGCGCGCGCCGGGGACGGCGGGGGAGAGCGCGAGCGACUUGAGGAGGGAGGGGAGGGUGUGCGGGGUCGGGAAGAGGCCCGCGCGGAUGAGGUGCGCGUAGAGCGGGAGCGCCGCCUGCGGCCGCCCGGAGCUCGCGUGCGCCCGGAUGAGCGCGUCGUGGAGCUCCGUGCUGCGCCGGAGCAGGCCUGACGUGACCAGGGCCGCCUGGAUCCGCGCGAUCGGGCGCGCGUCCGCGCCGCCGCGGCACCGCGACAGCAGCUCCACGUACCGCCGGACGACCACCAUCGCAUCACGUAGUGGUGGUAUGUUUUCCUCUAAAAAUGGCUCAUUCACAGGCAGCCCCACGCGAUACGAAAUAUGAGAGGGGGGAGAGUGGUAGUUUGACCUGGUCUUCGCCGGUGAGCUCCCGCAGGCGGGACGGGGCCGGGGCGGCCGCCGCUGCGCGGGUGGACGAACGCGGCGAGGGGGUUCUCGGGGCCGUCGUCGGGCACGAGGGCGAACCAAAGGUUGGCCGCGGCGCCGGCCCCGGGGACUUUCCUCCGACGCGAAGGCGCCGACAGGUAGAAUCAUGUUUUACUGUAAUACUUUUUUCAGACAAAAAAUGUUUUACUGCGGUACGUAUUGGUUGCGCAUGUGCACACACGUCUAGUUUGACAGUAAUGUUAUUUUCAAGAAUAACCGCAGGUAAUGUUGAUUUCAAUAUUAAUUGUGUUAAUACUCCUUCCGUCCGUCCCAAAAUAAAUGUUUUAAACUUAGUACAAUUUUAUACUAAAAUUAAUACAAAGUUGAGACAAUUAUUUUGACACAGAGAGAGAGUAUGAUUUAGCCAUUGUAUGGUUGUAAAAUGUUUAUUGAAUUUAAAUGGCAUCACAUAAUGGAAACCUUGUAGCGUGCAUGGUUGCAUGUUAAGGUUUUUUUUCAUGCAUGGCAUACUAACGUGACAUGCUUAUAUGUUGAGAAAUAUGACCUAUUCAGUUAUAUAGGACAGUACACAUGGUAGAAUCAUGUGCAAUGUAGAAGAUAUCCAACGGUCAAUAGUGCUCGAAUUUGCCACCUCUUUACCAUCAGAUUGGCGUCAUCCAGUAUUCAAACAUAUUCUUAUACUAUAUAGAAGAACUUGACUAAGAAUAUGAAAUAAAUCCACUUUUCUUCUAGGAGUAGCUACAAACAUUUACGUUGAUAUACCUUUUAUCCAUUUUAAUUUAUAGUUUGGUAACGAAGAGGGAUUUAAUUGUUUCAAAUUGCCUAAAGAAAUAAAUUGGCACAUGCGUUCAGUAAAUAGUAAAUUAAUGGUAGAAAGCCGCAUUUUUCUUGCUAGUGGAACUUAGAGGGUGUUUGGAUACGUUUUAGUCUCAUGACUAAAAGUAGUGGGAUUAAAACUUGCUAGCAUCAUCCAUGCUUGAAUUGAAGUACUAAAGAAACUAAAGUCAAGUUAAUGAGCAUUUAUUAUCCUCCAAACCCUUCAAUCCAGAACUCACCGAUGUUAAAGGAGAGGAGUUAAAUGAGGAGAGAGAGGACAAUCUAUAUUUUAGUAGGGGUACCCUUGACUAAUUUUUUUAGCCUCAAGACUAGUUUUAGCCCCUUUUUAGUGGAUGCUUCAAACUUUAACCUCUUAAAGAGACUAUUUUUGGUUAGACUAGUUUAGUCCCUUGGAUCCAGCACUCUCUUAACUCUAGGUGUCAUGAUCAUGCGAUGUCACAAAACGACAUCUUUACGGAGUUUGCCCACGCCUUUGUUGAUCCUCACCUCAGAGAGUAAUAAUCAAGCUCCACUUUUGUUGAGUCAUUGCCAUGUAAAACGAUGACAUAUAGAAGUAAAAGGAUCGCAAUUGUCACAGGGCUACAGUUGGUUUGGGUUAAAAUCGUAUGACCAUACAGCCAAGGGCUAAGUGAUAUAACUUUUAAGUAAGAUGAUUCAAUGACGACAAUAAAGUUUUCAAUGAUUUACUUACAAUGACAACCACUUAUCCUGUUAAACUCAAACUCAGUUUAUAUAGUAGUCCCUUCGUUCUUAAAUAUAAAUCCUUUUAAAGAUUUCAUUAGGGGCUAUAUGCGAAGUAAAAUGAAUUAAUCUACAUUUUAAAAUAUGUCUAUAUACAUACAUCUAUAUGUAGUCCCAUAGUGAAACUUCUAAAAAGAUUUAUAUUUAGAAACGAAGGGAGUACGAUUUAAUUAAAAAACAUGGCUUUGCAUGUACACCUAAUUCGUUUUAUGCCCUUUUGUAUGGAAGCAACUUUUGAGGAGAUCUUUUUUAUGUAUGUAAGAAUAUACAUAGUGCAAACCAGAGGGAACUGUAAUGGCAACUCUAGCAGAGCCCGCAAAAUCUGAACCUGCAAAACGCGUUUGUGGUUUCACUUAGAUCUCGUUUACGGAUCGAAAAUGAACGCGACUGAACAGAAACCGUAAAUGAAACUGCAUAAUUUGAAAAUAUAGUUUCGCGGAAAGUUCACACUAUAUACUACAUAGAUUACAUACUACUCCCUCCGUUCGAAAUUACUUGUCGUAUAAAUGAAUAAAAAUGGAUGUAUCUAUAACUAAAAUACAUCUAGAUACAUUUGUUCUUAUGACAAGUAUUUCCGGACGAAGGGAGUACAUACUACAUCAGUGCGAGCUCAGUCCUCCUCAUCGAAGCUGCCGAGGUCGAUGUACAUCGCCUUCUGCUCCUUGCGGAUGCGCCGCCACUCGUCGUCCUUCGCCUUGGCGGCGAUGUUGGCCUCGACCGCCUGCCGCCACUAGAGGUCUUCGAUCUCCUCGUCGUGGCGCCGGCGCUCCGCCUCCUCGUGCAAGCUGCGCUCGGCAAUGGCGGCCGCAACCACGUCCACGUCGGCGACGAAGUCCUCCGGCCCGACGACUCCGUGGCGGCCGAGCUCCUCGGGCUCCUCCUUGACGGCGACGACGUCCUCCGGCUCCUCCGACUACUGCCUCUUCACAGGGAGAAGGCACGCGGAAAAGGAGGAGCUCGCGGCCGAGGACGAUCCCUCGGCGACCUGUCGACGGUCGUACUCCUCCGUCUUCCGGACGCGGAAGCUCGUCGGCGGCGACAUGCCGCGGUUGGUCCACCUCCGGGCCCCGCGCUUCCUCGCGGCGUCCAACCGGACGUGUCGCUCGCGCUCCGGGUCGCUUCCGCCGCCGGAUCUGCUGCGGAGCNUUCGACCCGCAAACGCGUCGCGGAACCGUAGAUAUAGUGGUCGGGGCGUGCGUUUUGCGGGCCACGGCAAUUUUUUUACGGGCCGGGCGAGUAUGCGGGCUCUGUUCUGCUCGAAAAAAUGGGCCUAACCCGCAUAUUCGCCGGACUUUUACGGGUUUGCCUCUUUUGCGGGGUCUGCUAGAGUUGCUCUAACUAUGCGAGGCCAGGUGGGCAUGCAACUUUAGUUUCAUGCGAAAAAUUACAAAAAAAAUGUAAAUGUGGACCAAGAAAAAAUGUAAAGCAGUCCAUGGAGGAGACGCUGGAGUCGCUGGAAGUGUGCACCUGUUCUCAUCCAUGGUGGUUUUAGCUUUAGUUUUCUGAUAGGCUUGUAAGCGAAAUAAAUUCGUAGCUUGAGGAAACUUUUGCUCUCAGUUAUGUUUUAGUGUUUUAGAUUUGUAGGGCCAUGAGGCCAGCAGUGCUUCUUUUAUCUUGCUGUUUUCCAAUUUUGAAGCAGGGGUGCUGAACGUUGUGCUGGACUGGUUUGCUUCAUUCUACAAAAAUGGGGCAGGGGAGAAACCCCUUUCAUUCAAAACAAAAAAAGCAGAAAGAAAAAAAUUGUAUGAAUCUUCGUCUAAUCUGGCGGACAUAGCAGUGAUUGGGAUUUAACUAAUUCUUAAUUGAUGGAGAAUUAGCAAAUCCGAAAUAAUAUUUACUCAAAGUAUAAAUAUAUUGUAUUGGGAAUAUUCUCAGGAUGACUCAAAAUGCACUAUUAUUUGAAUAAAUCAGCAAUAAUUAAUAUGAAUAGGAGGGGAUAUUUUUUUACAUGCGCUACCCGUGUAUAACUAAUGCGUUUGAAGUGAAAAAAGUAUCGGCACAAGACUUUUGUCCAAGGAAGAGGUCAGAAUAAAACUUAACUCCUUUAGCGUAUCGUUCUUUCCUCGACCAGGAGAAAAAGCGAUCUCGCCAUUCCUCGCCGUCGUCCUCCGGUGGCCCCCCUCCACCGACGACCUCGGUCAUCGGUGGUGAGGGAGGUCAUUGGAUUCACGCGUGUGGAUAGUUUUAGGACAAUAUAGCUUAGUUUUUCGGCUGUUUGUCGUCUUGCUUCGAUGGUGACGGCUAUGGCGGCGCAGAAUAAAUUUUCUUCAGAUACUACUCCGACGAAGCGAUCCGUCCUAUUGUUGGAGAUGAAUUUGGAGUUCAGUCUAUUCAAACAAGGGUGGUACGUUGGCAGCGGCAUCCUCGUUGUGGACAUGUGUCCUCGGGCUUCAUCAUUGCGAUCGCGUUUGCUUCAGCGCCGACGCAGAGCCUGGGAGGUAUACCAGGAGCAUAUGCAAAUUAUGAUCUGCAAUGGCGGCAUCUGAAAGAUGGUGAAUUGUGUGCUGGAUUCGUGAUAUGUGGAUGUCACGUAUGGUUUCCUCCUCUGAUAUCUUAGUCAUGUGCGGGUGUCAGAUCUGGAGUUUGAUGACGUGCGUGUGGUGUUGCCACAGUCUGGUUCGUUGAACGGUAGUGGUUUUAUCUUUGCGAGCCAUCUUUGAGAUCCACAAUGUUGCAUAUCAAUGGAGCCGCGUCGGGCUUGGGUAUGAAGGUGAUCCGUCAUUUUCUUUUAAUGGUUGGAUGUGGUGGUGUGGCAGGUGACAGGCGUUGGUAACCAAACUCUGAUAUUUCUUCGAUCUUGUUUGUAUUCUUAAAUGCUUGGUUGGUAUUUCUUUAUGCAAAGGCUAGCGCUUUUGGUUUUUUUCUAAUUCUAUCAGGUCGAUGUGUAUGUGACUUGAACUAUGAUCUCUAUGAUAUAAAUAAAACAUGUAUUACCAUGAAAUUUUCUAUUAAAAAACACAAUAAAAUUAUUCUAUUAAUAAAACAUAAGCAAUAAAAAACACAUGAAUAUUGCCUCGUUUUCAAUAAAAUAAGSSGGGGGGACCCUUUUCUUCAAAACAAAAAACAUAAAUACAUCAUUCAAACUCCCACGAAUUUUCCCAAGUUCAAAGCAGCCACGCAGGCGCAUAUCUAGCUUGCGCACGCGCGCGCGCGCGUACAUGCAAUUGAAAUCAACGGACGAAUCAGUAGUGGCGCCUUGGCGCGCAGGUGUCCGGCNCUCGCCGGACCACCGCUUGCCCUCGUGGCGGAGCGGCGCGCCCUCGAUGCCGUAGUUGACGUUGGUGAGGUCGUCGCACUUGCGGUCCGGUGACGCGAGCAGGCGCACGAAGCAGGCCUUAGCGGGGUCCCCCAUGUAGUAGUCAGCCUUCUCGGCGACGUCGAACUCGGCGAGGAAGUAGCCCUUGCCGUCGGCGACGGGCGUCCGCGACACCAUGACGCGGUUCUUGGCGUCGCGGCAGGUG